UAGGAAUUUUGAGAUAUUAUGAAUAUUGAGAUAUUAGGAAAGUUGAGAUAUUAGGAUAUUAGUUGUUAUUUCCUUAUAUCAUUCUUUCCUUGUAUCAUUCUUUCUCAUUCUUAGAAUGGUGAUUACCCUCUAUAUAUACUCUAUACAUGAGCGAAUGAAAAAAUUAAUGAAAAAACUAUCAUUUAUCAAUUUGAAGAGAUAUCACCUCUAUACAAAGCCUUGUACAAAUCAGCAUCCAUGUGGGGGUCUCAGUUUGGCUAACAGCUGCAAUCUGGUUCGGCAUCUCAGUUUGGCUUGAAAAGGUUUCCGAGUUAAGGUUCUGCAAUUCUGUAAUUUGAUUGGCACUGGACUGAUCCAUUUUUGGUGUUGGAGGAACAAAGUAAUAAUCAACUCUUCACAUUCUAUCUAUCCAUCUAUCUAUAUAUAUAUAUUUAUAUUUUGUGAGCAAUUCCCUUCAAGCUUUUGUCCUUAAUUGAAAGAUAUUUUAUGUAGAGCAUAUGUGAUAAGGGCUUUUGUAAGUUGUUGGCCCGUGUAUAUUUUUCCCUUUCUUUCUUAUGAGGUUUUUCUGUCUUUUCUGACAGCUCCCCUUUUUAUUUACUUUUUCUGAUAGGGUUGUGAAACCACUGCAAAACGGGUAGAUUUUUAUGAUUUUCUCAUCUUUUUUUUUCUUAUAAACAAUAAUAAAUAAAUAAAUAAAUAAACUCGAAUAAAUAAUUUUGUUAAGACAUGUAUAAUAUAAAAGUUUCUACUCUAUUUUUCUAUUUCAUUUUAAAAAAUAUCAUAUCUUUAGAAUAACUUCUUAAAUUAUAAAAAAUAUAAGGGCAUGUUUGGCAACUAUUUUUGAAAAUAAUUUUUAUAUAUAAAGUUUUAUUUUUAAUCAUUCUAUAUGUUUGUAUAAUUAUUUCUUAAAACAAUCAUUAGAAAAUAAGUAAAAACAAUAAAAAAAACUGAAAGAUAUUCUCUUAAAACACUUUAUUUUUUUGUUCUUAAAAACAAAACAAAAAACAUAAAACAUUUUUUAGUUACCAAUGUGUUUUUUGUUAUAAAGAACAAAAAAUUAUUCUUAAAAACAAUUCCCAAACAUAUCCUAAAUAUCUAAACAUAUUUUUAGUUUUAAUUUUUAUUUUCUAGAAGAAUGAAAACACCAUACAGAAUCUUAACCUAUCUUUAGUCACACUAAUUUUAGGGUAAUCUCCGCUCAAGAGUUUAUUUUCUUACAUUUUUUCUAUAUGUAACUACUUAUCUUUUUUAUUUAUUUGUUUGUUAUCUAGAAAAAUAGACUAUGUGGGAGGUCACCCCAAGUAUAAUAUACAUCCUUUUUAACGCUUGAAGAGUAGUCAUCAUGAAAAUCAUUUCAUCAUUUCGAGAAUAUUAUAAUUUUGAGAAUAAAACAAGUGCGAGUAAGCCAUUACCAAAGUAAUAAUCAAUUUCCUCGAUCGGAAACAAAUUAAUAAAUAAAUAUGACAAAGGGAAACGAACAAAACACCACCUACUACAUAUUAAACGAGUUACAACUUGCAGCCAUGAAAGCUAUCUUAGACCUGACACUAUUAUUUUAGUCCCUUCCAAACUUAUUUAAGUCAAACCCAUUUAGGUUUUAUUUGCAAACACUUUAUAAAAAAUAAUUUUUAAAAUUCAUUUAUGAUAUUUAGUAUAAUAAAAUUUGUUUAGAAAUUUGAAAUGUAUUUAAUCUAUUUUUUUAUAUUUUAAAAAUAAUUUUUAUAUAAAAUAUUUCUUUUUUAUUAUUUUUAAUAAUUAUAUAAUUUUUUAAAAUAAUUAUCAAAAAGUACUAAAAAAAAAGUGAUAACCACAUAAAAUAAUUAAAAGUUAUCGGUUGAAAACACUUUAUUAUGUUUUUAAGGAUAAAAAAUUGUUUUUCACUUUUUUGUUAUUACACAUGUUUUUCCAUUUUUUUUAAAUUUUUUAUGAAAAAAAAAUAGUUAUGAAAUAAGACUUUAACUUCCACAUCAUGUUCUCCUCAACCGUCAUUAUUAAUCAACUUAUAAAUUAGUUUUGCUUAUUAAUUUCAUAAGAUCAAAAUUUAUUUUAAAAUUUUAAUAUUAAAAUUGAAUGGAAUAUGAUUAUUUAGUAUCUCAAAAAUUUGUCAUUGACAAACUACCGGUAAUUUUUAUCUUAUCAACUUAUGAACUCAGACCAAUAGAGAGUUAGAGCUAUUUUGCAUAUACCAACAAAUAAAAAAAGCUAAAUAGUCAAAUUUGUACAUCUAGUCAAAUUUGAAUAACGCGGUUUUUCCCACUUAUCGACCGCUGGGUAUACUGGAAUACUAAAAUAUUUCAUAUAAUGCAUAUUAACCAUUUCUCAUCGCUUGUAGCCACAACUUACCACAUAAAAAGAAUGUAUAAAAAUUAUGGUAACUAUAAUGAAAAAAAGAACACUACUAUUUAUUAUUUAUUAAUAUUAAAUAACAUUAAUUAUUAUAAAUAUUUUAUUUAGUACUCAUACUUUUAGGUUUAAUUUGAAGAUGAUAAUUAUCAGGUUAGUUUUUCAAUUCUAGGUUUUAUUGAAUUUUCCUAUUAUCCAUAAUAUGUUAUACGAAAUAUAAGUAUUAAUGUAAUUUAUUGUAUUCAUCGAAUGGUAUGUGACCAUGUGACAAUGCCAGAGUAUAUAAUGUUUCUUCUUUGUUUUAGUCCAAGGGUCUCCAAAAAGUCCGCGACCCGCUUUAGGCCCGGCCUGGCCCGACAGGCUAAAGCCUGGACCAAGCUCGCCGGGCCCGAGCCCGUUUCUGGGCGGGCCGAGCCGCGGGCCUAAUUUUAGGCCCGGCCCGUAGGCCAGCCCCUUUAAAAAAAAACUACAAAAAUAAAAAGUAUUAAAAAAAAUAUUCAUUUCAAAAUUUUAUUCAUUAAAUGUAUAAGCCAUACACCAUGUGACGUAGCCUCAAAACAAGAUAUGAACUCAGCUUCCAUAGUAGAAGUAGCAGUCAUGGUUUGCUUAAUGCUCCUCCAAGAUAUAGCUCCACCGGCCAAUAUAAAAAUGUAUCCAAAUGUUGAUUUACGUGAAUCAACACAACUAGCAAAGUCUGAAUCUGAGUAGCCAACAACCUCUAAAUUGUUUGUUCGUCUGUACAUAAGCUUGUAAUCUUUGGUUCCUUGAAGAUAUCUCAUCACUUUCUUUGCAACUUUCCAGUGGUCCUUACCUAGGUUACUCUGAUAUCGUCCUAACAUUCCAACAGCAAAUGCAAUGUCAGGCCUUGUGCAGACCUGAGCAUACAUCAGACUUCCAACCGCAGAAGCAUAUGGAAUGUUCUUCAUUUGUUCCCUCUUAAGAUCGUUUUUCGGGCAUUGGUCCAGAUUGAACCUAUCACCCUUCACUAUAGGAGAAACACUAGGUGAACAAUUCUUCAUCCGAAAUCUCUCUAAAACUUUAUUGAUAUAGGUCUCUUGAGACAAACCUAAGAUACCUUGAAAUCUUUAUGGAUCUUAAUGCCAAUGACAUAAGAUGCCUCACCCAUAUCCUUCAUGAAGUAAACCCUUAUCAUUGGUUGCAAGUAAGAUGUCAUCCAUGUAUAAAAUAAGAAAACAAACUUUACUCCCACUGACCUUAAGGUAUAUGCAUUGAUCCAUAACAUUUUCUUCAAAACCAAAUGAAGAAAUUAUGUUAUAGAAUUUUAAAUACCAUUGGUGGGAUGCUUGUUUUAAACCGUAUAUGGAUUUCUUAAGCUUACAAACCAAUUUCUCACCAUCUCUAGAGGGGAAUCCUUCAGGUUGUUUAAUGUAAACCUCCUCCUCUAGCUCUCCAUUAAGAAAUGUUGUUUUUCACAUCCAUUUGUUGCAAUUCCAAAUCAAAGUGGGCUACUAAUGCCAAUAUAAUGCGUAAGGAAUCUUUCUUAGAUACAGGAGAAAAGGUUUCCGUGUAAUCGAUUCCUUCUUUCUGAGUGAACCCCUUUGCAACAAGUUUGGCCUUGUAUCUCUCAAUGUUGCCUAAUGAGUCUUUCUUUGUCUUAAAAACCCAUUUACAACCAAUGGUUUUUGCACCAUUAGGCAACUCAACAAGGUCCCAAACAUCGUUGCACUUUAUGGAACUCAUCUCAUCCUUCAUGGCAUUGUACCACAAUUCUGAUUCUUUACAACUCAUGGCUUGUGAAAAAGAUUCGGGGUCAUUUUUGGCUCCUAUAUUGUAGUCACAUUCCUGUAGAUACACUACAUAAUCAUUAGGAAUUGUUGGCCUCUUAGUUCGAGUAGACCUUCUUAAGGUUGCACCAAUAUCUUCUAAGAAAGUAUGAGGUUCAACUUGUUGUUCAGAAGUGUCAGGAAACUCCUGAUCAACUUGAUCUACUGGAAUGUUGUCAACAGCUUGUGGAACUUCAACGACUGGUUGAACUUCAGUGAUUGUUCGUUCUACACCCGAUUAUACUUGAGGGGUGUUAUGAAUAAUAAACAAUCUAUCACUUGAAGUGGAAGGUUGAGACUUUGUAGGAUCAAUAUCAGAAACCAUGUUUCUGAAUUGAUCGCUCCCACUGACCAAGUCAUAUUCAAGAAAUUUAGCAUUUCUCGAUUCCACAAUCCUAGUGUUGUGAGAUGGACAGUAAAAUCUGUACCCCUUAGACUUUCCAGCAUAUCCAAUGAAGUACCCACUAAUAGUCCUUGGGUCCAGUUUCUUCUCCUGUGGAUUAUAAAUUCUCAUUUCAGACGAGCAUCCCCAAACGCGCAUAUGUCGCAAACUCGGUUUCCAACCUUUCAAUAACUCAAAUGGCGUCUUUGGGACAACCUUGGUUGGAACUCGGUUUAAUAUAUACACUGCUGUCUUAAGUGCUUCAGUCCACAAGAAUUUAGGAAGUUUUGAGCUGCUAAGCAUACUCCUCACCAUGUCUAAUAAAGUUCGGUUUCUUCUUUCUGCUACACCAUUUUGGUCUGGAGAACCAGGCAUGGUGUAUUGGGCAACAAUCUCAUGUUCUUGAAGAAACUUUGCAAAUGGCCCAGGUGAUUGUCCAUCUUCCAAGUAUCUACCAUAAUAUUCUCCACCUCUAUCUGAUAUCACGAUCUUAAUUUGUUUACCAUUUUGUUUCUCUACUUCUGCCUUGAAAACUUUAAAGGCUUCUAAAGCUUCAUUUUUAUUAUGAAGUAUGUAGAGAUACAUGUAUCGUGAGAGAUCAUCUAUGAAAGAGAUGAAGUAUUUCUGACCAUGAGAGUCCAUGUCAAGACUACAUAUAUCAGUAUGUAUGAUCUCUAAUAUGGUAGAACUCCUAGUAGCACCUCUCUUUGACUUGUUGGUCUGCUUUCCCUUAAUGCAGUCCACACAAGUCUCAAAGUCAGUAAAAUCUAGAGUACUAAGUACCCCAUCAUUCACCAAUCUUUUGAUUCUAUCUAUGGAGAUAUAACCUAAUCUCCGGUGCCACAAUGUAGAGGAAUCCUCAUUAACAACACAUCUUUUAAUGCCAGUUUGGACAUGUAAUGAAUUAUGAGUGGUAUCAUUUUGUAACAAUAUGCAAUAAAGACCAUCAGACAAAAUACCAUUCCCAACACAAUUAGAUUUAUAAAUCAAACUGAAAGAUGUUUCUGAAAAAUGAAAGGAAUAUCCAAACGGUACAAGUCUAGAAACUGAAAUCAAGUUUCGUGAGAAACUUGGUACAUAAAAGGUCUUUUGCAAUUCUAAAACAAAACCACUAUUUAAAGUUAAAUAACAUGUCCCUAUUGCUUCCACAUGCGAGCCCAUCUUGUUUCCGGAUAAGAUGAAUUGUUCACUUGUCACUGGCUUCUUUAGGUUUUGCAUACCCUACAAGAAAUUUGAAAUGUGGAUUGUAGAUCCAGAAUCAAUCCACCAUGUGUUGGUAUUUACAUUAACCAUAUUAGAUUCAUAACAAACAAAUGAGGUAGGGUUACCUUUCUUCUCAAGCCAUUUCUGAAAUUUCAGACAUUUCUUCUUCACGUAUCCUUUCUUUUUACAGAAAAACACUUUUCGUCUUUCUUAAUGUCAGAUUUGGGAGGAAUUUGUUGCUUCCCUUUUUUACUAGCUUGAGAUUUUCCUUUCUUUCUUUUCCUUUGCGUCACUAGCAUGGCACUUUCUCUGUUCCAUCAAUAACCUUCCUUCCUCUUGAACACACAUGGUCAUCAAUUCAUUGAUAAACCACUUAUCCUUAUGUGUGUUGUAAGAGAUUUUGAAAGGUCCAUACUGAGGCAGAAGAGUGUUAAGGAUAAAGUGCACCAAGAAGAAUUCAGACAUUUCUACCUCGAGUUUCUUCAAUUGAGCCACUAUGUCCCUCAUUUCCAUGAUGUGUUCGCAUACACCUCUUAUACAUGUGAGCUUCAGGGAUGUGAACUUCAUAAUCAGGAUGCUUGCCAAGGCUUUGUCUGAAGUGACGAAUUGCUCGUCAAUAGCCUUGAGCAAUUCGCGGACAUUCUCAUGUUGCUCGAUCGAACCACGUAUAUCAGCACUAAUUUUUGUCUUUAUGUACAUCAUGCUGAGCCGAUUAGAUUUCUCCCAGCGUUUGUACAAUAUUAUUUCUUCAGGUAUGCUGGUAUCAGUGAUCUUAUGUGGUUCAUCUUUUCUUAUGGCAUAGUCUUUGUCCAUACACCCUAAUUGAAGAAGAAUCCUCUCCUUCCAUAUCUUAAAGUUAUCUCCUCUAAGUUCGGGAACCUCACAACGAAUAUCAGAUAUGCUAGGUAAAACUGCACAAAAGGAUUACAAGCUUAUUAAAAAAUUUUGAGGCUUUAAUAUAAAUUCAUGCUUUACCAAUGUAGAACAUGCUUAAAAUUUAAUCUAAAUUUUAUUAAAAAUUGUCUGUGGGCUAAAUCUUUAAUUUAGUCAGAUUAAUUAUCUUUAUGAUAGACUUUAUCAAACUAUUUUAUUAAAUUAUGAAAUUUAUUAUGAAUAUAGUUUGAUAUUUUCUGUUUAUAAUCUUUAUGAUAAACCUAUUAAAUUAAUUCUUCCUAACUCUUGUGGGUAAAUUAGGAAAAAUUAAUUUUAAUAUUUUAUCCUAAUUAAUUAUAUAAACAUAAUGAAAACCCUGUGGGGUAAAAUCAUCAUAUUUAUAUAAUUAAUUACAAUUAAUGUCCAUAAUGUGAUCCUUAUUUACUUAAUAUAUAAUUUUUAUAUAAUUAAGGAUGUUGUGACUAUUCCUUAAUUAUUUAAAAAAUCAUAUGGUUUCACUAGACAUUAAAACUAUAUGAUAUAAUUUUAAUAUAUCUAACUCAAAUUCAGGCAAUAAUUGCAUGCAUUAAGAGCUACAACUUUAAUUUAAGUUACAAACAUAUAAAAAAAUAUAUAAUUAUUUAUUUUACAUGUAUAAAAUUUACAUGAUAAUUUUAAAAAUAAUUUAAAGGUUUCAGAUUAUGAAUGAAUGCCUAAAUCCAAAUAAAACACAAUCAAUUCCAUGCUUAAUAAAAUUAAAAUAAAAAAUUCAACCACAUGCCCACAUUGAGCCCCAUGGCCCAACAAAUUUUAUUUCUAGGCCAUUACCGAUCAAUCCAUAUUUAAACCCAAACUUUAGCGAGCUUCAUAAGAAACCCAACCCUUAGUAUUCAUAAUGGGCCAUUGUUUAUGCAUUAAGCCCAAAGGGCCCAAUAGCCUCUUAUACCAAGGCCCAAUUUCUUAGUAGAACCCAAUCUCUUAGUAGAACCCAAUCUCUCUCUAGGUUCUUUCAUUAUUUUUAAUAUCACCUUUAGCCAAAACCCAAUAUCACAUUAUUAUUAUUAUUAUUAUUUUAAUAUUUAAAUAUCAACUUGCAACUGAAACCUCCAAAAUCCUAUUUUGACGCCAUCCGCAUGGACUGCACCAACACGGACAGCGCCAUGAACGCCACGACCCGCGUGUUCUGCAUCGACACCGGCUGCACCACAUCGAGACUUUAGCAUGGCAACUUUCCAACACCUGCAGCACUCCAUGCUUUGGAGCUGCCUGCAUCAUGGGUAGGAAGAGCCUCACGGGUGCCCUCCUGCCGCCUGCAACGGCACCUCAGUGGCACUUCCCAUCUGAAUGAGAUGGCGCCUGAACGGAGCCUCCAAUGGUGCCUCUUGUCGGCACGAAAAGAUGCCUGAAAUGGUGCUGCGAACAGCGCCUGAACGGCGCCUAGAACGACGCCUGAAUGGCGCUUCCAAUGGUGUCUCCAAUGGCGCCUUAACAGCGCCACUAAAGCACCCGAAUGGCUGCUGGAGCUCCUGAAAAUGGCGCCUUAACAGCGCCGUUGAAGCACCCAAAAACGGUGCUUGGAUGGCUGCUGGAAUGGUGGCUGAGGCGCGCCUUAAAUGGCUCUUGAACGACACUUAGUAAUGACACUACAAGCGGCGCCUGAACGGCGCUGGUAUGGCGCCUGAAUGGCUGCCUGUUGAACGCCUGUAAUGGCGUUUUCUGAAAGAAUUACGCCAACCCUUUGGAUCGCCUUAAGCAGCCAUUGUUUAAAUAAUUUAGAGAGAUCAUAAUAACAAGAAUUUUCAUUCAGAAUUAAUACAAAACAGAGGUAAGGUUUAACGUGCUCUGAUACCAAAUGUUGUUUACAUGCUCUAUAUAUAUAUAUAUAUAUAUAUAUAUAUAUAUAUAUAUAUAUAUAUAUAUAUAUAUAUAUAUGAUUCCAAUGAAUUUGCAACAUGAAUCAAAACUGAAAAAGACUAAGAAUAGUCUACUUACCUCCAGCCAUUGUAGUCGAUUUCAAAAACUUGAUUUCCAAACUCUGAUCUCCCUUUUUUAGAUGGUGUUUCUGAAGGAAAAAACAGCAGACGAGUUCGGGACCAUUUUUCUUUUAAAAUCUUUAUAACCGUGGCUUCCAUCAUACCAUGUUGCUCUUGCCACCACGUUGAGCAGUUGCUGGAAUGUGCUCCUUAACCGCAGCGGAAGAGAGAUGGUGGAGGACGUGGUCAAAGUGCUGGACCACAUCAUGAAGUGUUGGACGUGUGAACGUGUAUUUAGCUUACAAUGCAUUCAUCAAAACCCACGACUCUCGAAUCCGUAUCUUCAUGUCAUGUAGCUGUAUGAAUUGAACUCCCUGUUUAUUUGGAAAGAAAAUGAAAUUGUGAUUAUAUGACUACUACUUCCAAGGAGCUGAAUAGUUGUAUUAGGCUUAACGAAUGGGUUAUUUUCUAUACUUUUUGUUGUUGGUACCGGCAUUUCCUCAAAAGCCAAACACAGAGUAUUAUAUCGUCUAGGAAUUCAUGUGGUAAUAUUGUGGUUUAGGGUUUAUGAUUUAUUUAUUUUGUUUGAUUAUGGACUUUUUGUUUGAUUAUUGAGAUACAUUUAAUUCACUUGAUAAAAUACACCCCCAAAAGUAGGGAAAUUCUUUUUUUUUUUUUUUCAUUUUCAUUUCCUUCUCCAAUAUGCUACUCUGAUCAUCACUGUUUGAUUAUUGAGACUGAGAUCAUUGAAUGGCUCAAUAAGAAGGAUCAGUUGUCUGCUGCAUUUGUUAAAAUAUGGAACUCUGGAAUCUGGUAGUGGAAAUAGAAGCCAUUACUUGUUUGUUUGUCCCGAAGGAUUUAAAGGUUUAAAUCUUGAGAACAUAUGUCCAUGGGGUUUAAAUAUCAAGGCCCACAUCAAUUCUAUAUCUGAACUUGUAAGUUUUUCAUGCUUGCAUGUGGACGAUGAUAUGGGCUUGUUGGUCUAAUGACACUUUAGUACUAGUUACAUCCACUUGUGAUAUCUCAUAUCGGAUAGAAAUUUUUUUUUUCUGGCAUUAUAUAAGUACAAACUUUUUUUUACCUUAUUUUAAAGUCAUAAGAGUUUCCCUAAGUUAUGAAUAGGUAAUAACUAUAUCAUUAGGAGUGUAGUGUGAGGGUUUGUUUGACUUUUUGAGAUAUAUAUGUCUAUUUGGCACUUUGUGUUUGUAUAUGAGGUGAAUAUGAUAUCUCACAUUGGAUUUGGGGAAAAAGUCUUUGACAUUAUGUAAGUAUAGGCUCCUCUUACCCCCUUAGACAUAGAGUGGAUAAUAUCUAUAUAAUUGGAAUGGAUCGUUAUAUCAUAAGUGUAACAUGUCUUAUUUUUUAUCAUAUAUACUACAAUUUAGAAAUGUACUCUUUUGGUAUCUAUAAAAAAAGGUAUAAUGAAUCAAGUGGUGUCAUUUACAUAUUUUUAGGUCUUAUUGUUUAUACCCUAACCUCAUAUAUUUGUAUUCUUGUACCUUAGUCUCUUUCGUUUGUACCCUUGCUCAACGGCCUACAUUUGACAAAACAUAUUCAAUGAUCAAAAAGGCACAACUAAUCAAGUAUAAAAAUAUAGAAAACUAAUAGAAUAUGGGUAAUUGUAUUCCAUAGGUGCAUAAGAAAUAUCAUAUAAAAAUUCUAUUAAAAAAAAAUUGGUCAAACAAAAUUUGUUCAAAACUUACAAAAAUAUUGGAAAAACUCUAUGAAAUGAUGAAACAUAUAUUAAAAUUUUUUAUUUAAUAAAAGAGUUUAUGGAGGUAAAAUUUGUGGAAUUUGGGUAAUAAUAUAAUCUAUCUUGAUAAAAAAAAAUAUGAAUUUUGAAACUAUAUGUCGAAAUAAAAAUUUUGUUUAUUGUAUUGCAUUAUUUAAAACAUAUAAUAUUUCAAUAUUUAUAACAAAUUACAUUUAUAAGGAAAUUCAAUUUUAUCCCAAAAAUAUCUAUAUUAAAAAAAAACUUAAAUUGUAAUUUAUAAUUAUAAAAAAUAAAAAAAUUUAAAACUUAUUAUAAAAAAUAAAGGUAUUUUUUCGAACAUUAUUAAUUGUUUUUAGUUAUUUUAACUUGUCUUUUGGAGUUAUUUUAAAAAUAAUUAUAUAAAUAUGAAAAAUAAUUGAAAAUAAAAUAUUAUAGACAUUUGAAAUUAUUGAAAACAAGUAAGUUAUAAAAAGCACAAGACAACUGUUUAUGAAAUUUAUUUUCAAAAACUAUUUAAUGAAAACGUUUUAAAAAAGUACCCAAAAACUAUUUUCAUAUAUAUGUGUGUGUGAUUUUUUUAAAAACAUAAAAACUAGGUUGAAAACAUUCUAAUUCCCAAGAAUAUUUUUGUUUUAUAAAUUAUCAGACAACUUUUAAAAAUUGUUAUUGAAAACCAUUUUUUUAAAUCAGUUUUGAAAAUAGUUCCUAAACGGAGUCUAGGCCUUCCUUCCUUGAAAUAAAUUUGGCAUUAAAGUGGUGCUUACUGUUUGGGCCGCUAGGCACUUGCUUUAAAUAUUUCACUCAAUCAUAACCGAUUAUGCACAUAACUAUAAUGUGUUAGUCUAAGUAACAAACCCCACCCCCCAACACACACACACACACUAUAUAUAUAUAUAUAUAUAUAUAUAUAUAUGGUAAUUUAAUAAUUGUAACUUAUUGAUUAGCCUAUUUUUGUCUCCUCUACAUUGGGUAGGGACUCACUCUAAGGUGAUACAAAACAAACAUUGGGCUGAGCGUGAAUUUAAGCAUACAUGGAACUCACUCUAAGGUGAUACAAAACAAACAUUGGGCUGAGUGUGAAUUUAAGCACACAUGGAACAGAAAGCGAAAGGAUGAAGACAAAAAUGAUGAAAGUGGUAAUACCAUCAAACAAUUCAAACGAAUAAAGCACAGCUUGCAGGCCCGCAACAAAUGCAAACACCAUGAAAAUCAUCGCAGCCAUGGUUAGCAUACAGCCGUAAAAUAAGAAUGCCAGGAUGGUGUUCUUGUUAUUUGUAGGGAACGCGGCAAGGAAAUAAACACCAAUAGCACACAUAGAAAGUACCAUGGCUAUGCUAUCUGCCAUGACAAAACUUGUGAAAUUGUCCCUUACUGCAGGUGCCAUGUAUUGGUCCUCGCCCUUGGUGCGUCUGAUACUAACUCUCUGAUUAGGUCUCUGAAACUGUAAAACAUUUAAAGAAAGCAUGGAUAGAUAUUCGAUUCAAAGGGUUUGUAAAAGAAGGAAAACAAUAUUUUUUAAGAUUAAAAGUCUGUCAUUUCUUUCUUUUUCCUUUUUUUUUUUUUCUCACUAUCAUCUAUGAUGAAAAAAAAAAAAAGUUAGAAAAUUAAUUGGGGGUCACAGCAGGAACAUAUACAUAUAUAGGGAAUUGAAAUUUUUGGCGGCCUUAUCAAUCUUACUAAGGUGUCCAAUAUCCACGUUAACAUCGUCUCCGGAGAUAUGAUAGGCAUGUGAAACAGAUGGAGGGGUGUCUUUCCUUCAACAUUCUUCUCAUUCAUGAGCCCUCUCACCCUUAACCAGCGAAUAUUUGACAAACCCGAAGUUGCAAAUAUUCUCUUCCUUGGCACUAUUAAGUGAAGAACAUUAUUGCCCUUAUCAUCAACUUUCUCGCAACAAUCUGGAAAGCGUGACACCAGCAGCUUCACUAUGUCCACAUGGCCUCGGCUCGCUGCAAUAUGAAGAGUUGUCCUAUAACGCCCAAGUUUUUAUUUUUAGGGGUAAUUUAGGAAAUUAUUAAUUUAAUAAAAAGGAAGAGGGGUGAAAAGGUAAUUUUAUGAAUAAAUACCCUAGGUAUAAAUUAGAAUUUUGUUCUUCCUGUUCUUUUCUGAAUCACGUUCCUGUUCGCAAAGAGUUUCCAGAGAACGUAAGAUUGGAGUCGGAUUUCAGGGUUUGAAGAACAGAUCUCUAUAGGUAAAAUUCUAGUCCCUAGAUUAAUAUUUUAGAUUCAUUAAUUAAUUUCAAGCACAUUAGAUAUGUUUUUGGAAAACCCAAAUCUAGAUUAGGGUUAGUUUUUUUUUUUAUUAAUUCGUUUUAAUAUCAAAAUAUUGAAAAUUUAAUAUUUUGAUUUAUUGUUGGAAAUUAGGAAAUCUUAAGUUUUUAGAUGAAAAAAAAAAAUUCUUUGGAAGAUUUCGAUUUAGGCUAGGGUUAAUAUUUAAAAAAAAUGAGAGUAAACAAAUAUAUUGUUAUUUGUGGCUUAAGGGAUUAGAAAUAUUAAAUAAUAAAAAAAGAAAAGAAAAUGAAGGAACGCUGUGCACACUAGAGGAAGUAAAAAAAAAAAAAAAAUUGAGAAUGCAUGUGCACACCGGAGAAAGUUGGAGAAUGGUAAAUAAAAAAAUAAAAAAUUAUGUACGGAUGGUGUUUGGUAGUUAAUGUAUAUAUAUAUAGAUAUUAUUAUUAUGUUGGCAAUAAUGGAGAAUUGUUGGGGAUAAAGUUUAUGUUUGAAAAAAAAAAAGUGGGAGAAUAGAAGUUUUAAAUAAAAGAACGUAAAAUUUUUGGUAUUAUAAUUAUACUAAUGAUGAGUGUAAGUUAAUAAAUAACGUAGAAAUUAAUUAGUAAAAUAAAUUACAGUUUAAUUAAAUUAAGUUGUGUCCCAAGAAAUAAAUUAAAAUAAAUUAAGUUUUAUAUGAAUUAAAAAUUUAUUAAUUUUUUUUAAAAAUAUGAAUAGAUUAAAUUAUCUUUUAUAAUUAAAAACAUUAAUUUGAAUACCUAAAAUUUUAGGAUUGACAAACCUAUAAUUUUAGAUAAAUAGUAAUGGUUAUUUCUCUUAUAUUUUGUUAGGUGAAGAAUAGAUUUUCAGGAUUAUUUUUCUCCAAAAUUUUUUAGGACUUCUUUUGAGGUAAAGGAAAUUAAUGCAAUUAUUAUUUUUUUUAGAAACAAAUUUUUAUAUACAUCUUUUGGAAAUAUUUUGAAUUAAUAUUCGUUUUAUGCAUGGAUCAAAUAUGUUUUGUAUGAAAAGCAUGUUAGAACUUUAUAUUUUGUUUACAACAGAGAAAUGUGGAGAUAUUAUGUUUUGCAAAUUCAAAUAAUUGAAAUAAGUAUUUGACUUUGAUUUGUUUGGCCCUUGUCAACGGGAUAUAAUAGUUGACCUUUACAUUUCUUGGUGGGGAAUGUAAUUGAUUUGGACCCUAGCCUCUAGGGGUUUGGUUAGAGAUUACUAGUACUAGUAGUGUUUGGUUCCACCCACAUUAAAGGAACAAUUUGAGGCUAGCCACCUAUUUGAAAAGUCCCACCUAAUUGGGCACUAUUUGAUGUUUGAUGACUAGAGAAAAUAAAUGAUUUGAAUGUUUUGAUUGAAUUUGAUAUGAAAAUGUUUGAAUCAGAAUUGAAAGUGUACAGUUAAAAAUUUCGAAUGUAUUGGCAAAACUGACUCAAAGGUUUAUGAAAAUAAUUAGUUAUAAUGUCUCCUAUUUUGCAAGUGAUUUUGAAAUGUUUGAUCCAUGGACUGCAUUAAUGUUCCUUAUUGGGCUUUGAGCUCAUACCUAUUUGUUGAUUACUUUUCAGGCACCUUUAGUUUGAGUGAGGAGUGAUGGCUAGGUCAGGGAAUGGUCAUCAUUAGGAUUUUGCUUAGGAUGUUAUUUGAACAUUGUUAGCUUAUGAGUUUAUGUUCCUUUGGAUUAUUUGGUUUUGGAAGCUAUUUAGAUAUUGAGCUUUUAAAUAUUUUUUUUUUUUAUAAGUUUGAAGUUGAGAUUUGGAGAUUAUGGAAAUUUGUUAGCACUUGAUUUAUUUGGGUUUGCAAUCUAUUUGGAUAAUGGAUUUUGGUUGAUGGAUGCUUAGUUUUAAAGUUAAGUUUGAAGAUUUUAGAAUUUUAUUUCGCUACUAUGAACAAGUUUCUGGUAAUUGGUUACUUCCAGUUAUAAUAUAAUUGUUUGGGUCAGGUUACACUUUAAGCCUUUGAGUUUGAGGUGUGAAAUGACCGUCACGCCCUUGGAGUGGGUCUUGGGACGUGACAUGUCCUGUUUCCAUGGUCUCUGACGCCUAGGCAGACAACAUCCCUGUCAAAUUGCUCUAGCAAUUGCCUCACUAUUGUUGGUGAGAACCCACAUAUGCAGCAAAGUGAAGAGGAGUCCACCCAUUUUCAUCCAAUUCAUUAGUUAAAGACACUUCCAUUCCACUAUCUUCUUUGUCAUUACUGAUAAAAUCAACAAAAGAGAGAAAAAAAAUUAAGAAAAUUAAUGCAGUCUCCUCUUGUAAUUAAUAGCCAAACAAAAUACACUCAAGUUUCAGCUCUCCCAAACCAAACUGAUCAAGAACUCAACUCCCAGUUAGUUACAACAACCCAAGAAGUUAGAACGGUUGUACAGUAGAGUAGUUAGUGUAACAGUUGAAUGAACUGGUAUAAAAACCAUGAUGCUGCUAUUAUAUUCUAGUGAUGAAAUGAAAAACACAGUUUCAAUUUAGUUUCUAUCAUGGUAUCAAAGCGGAACGAUCUCUUGAAAGAAGACUUGUUGAAAAGAUAAGCUUUAGGCUGCACAAUACGCUCGUCUCUCAAAAUAUCAUCUGUCUCACCAAUGGAAAAUUCAACUCAGUCUUUUGAUCUGCAAACUAGAGUGGCGCAUGUGUUUUCUUCCUCAAAUGACAUUCUUCCACAAACACAGGUACUUAAUCAUACACUCCCGAUCAAAUUUGAUAGAAAUAACUACGUCUUAUGGAAAACCCAAAUGGAAAACGUAAUAUUUGCUAAUGGCUUUGAAGACUACAUUGAUGGUUUAAAGGUGUGUCCUCCAAAAGAAACAAACACUGGUGUCUUAAACCCAGAAUUCAUUUUGUGGAGACGUUUUGAUUGUAUGAUCUUGACUUGGAUCUACUCCACUCUUACUCUUGAAAUUAUGGGACAGAUUGUUGGGUUUCAAACUUCUCAUGCAGCAUGGACUACAUUAGAGAAAAUAUUCUCAGCUUCAUCAAAGGCUCAAGUAAUGCAACUCCGAUUAGAGUUCCAAACAAUAAGAAAAGGUUCUUUGUCAAUGAUGGAACAUAUCCUAAGGAUCAAGAAUAUUUCUGAUAACCUAGCAGCAAUUGGAGAAUCAGUGUCUGAAAAAGACCAAAUUCUUCAACUUCUUGCGGGUCUUGGAGCUGAUUACAACUCCAUAGUAGCUUCCUUGACAGCACAAGAAGAUGAUCUCUCUCUUCACUCAGUACAUAGUAUUCUUCUUACUCACGAGUAACGAUUGUGUCUCCAAAAUACAGUACCUGAAAGUGAUCUUAUCAAUGCAAAUAUUGCAACCUCUCAACACAAAAAUAACAGCAACAAAAGGCACAACAACAGAUUCAAUUUCUCUCAAAAGAAAAAUGGCCCUAGACUAGGAAGAUAUCCAUCUAGUGGCAUAGGACAAGGAAACCACGUUAUCUCUACUGAUUGUCCAUAGUGCCAAUUGUGUGGAAAAUAUGGUCGCACUGUUCACAAGUGCUAUCACAAAUUUGAUAUUAAUUUUCAAGGCUAUACAUCUGUAGAUAGUUCAUUUGUACAUAAUACAUCCAACGGCAACAAUCAAAUGCAAGCUAUGGUUGCAUCUCCAGCUCCGGAAAAUAGUGAGACAUGGUUCUUUGACACUAGGGCCACUCAUCAUCUAGCUCAAGAUAUUAAGACUCUCUCUAAUGUUCAAGCAUACAAAAGAAAUGAGCAAGUUAUUGUUGGAAAUGGUAAGAAACUUCCAAUCCUCCACACUAGUUCAAAAUUCUUUCCAUCCACCUUCAGAAAUUUUCAUUUAAAGAAAGUCUUACCAUGUUUCUCAUCUCACUACUAAUCUAAUUAGUGUUUCCAAAUUUUGUACCGAUAAUAACGUCUUUUUUUAGUUUCACCCAAAGUUCUUUCUUAUCAAAGAUCAAGUCUCAAUACAAGUUUUUCUUCAAGGAUAACUUAAGAAUGGCUUAUAUGAAUUCCCUCCUUUGACUGAUAAUGCCCCUGUAGUCUUCUUCACUCCUAUAAUGUCAAACAUCACCUCUAGCCUCUAGCAUUCCAGGCUUGGUCAUCCAGCUGAUGAUAUUCUGACAAAAGCUUUUGAUUCUUGUGAUAUUGGUUAUCAAAGAAAUAGACGUGAUGUUUGUUCUGCUUGUCCAGUUGCGAAGAGUCACAAAUUACCCUUUUCUUUGUCAAAUUCUAGAGUUUCUCAUCCUGUUGCUUUAAUUCACACUGAUCUAUGGGGACCUGCCCUAACUCCAUCUACAACUGGUGCUCAAUAUUUUCUUCUAUUUAUUGAUGAUUUUUCCCGAUUUUCUUAGAUAUAUUCUCUACAUACAAAAGGUCAAGCCUUAUCAACCUUCAUCAAAUUUAAAACGAUGGUUGAAAAUCAAUUUUCUUUCUGUAUUCAAUGUUUGCAAUCUGAUAAUGGUGGAGAAUUCAAACUUUCACUCCUUAUCUUACCACUCAUGAGAUUACACAUAGAUGUUCUUGUCCCUACACUCCUGAACAAAAUGGCCGAGCUGAGCGAAAGAUGAGACAUUUAGUUGAGAGUGGUCUUGCCUUAUUAGCCACAGCUUCUUUACCAUUACAAUUCUGGCUUUAUGCCUUUCAUAUAGCUACUUACCUCAUUAAUCGGUUACCAACUAAAGUUCUUCAAUUUCAAUCUCCUUUUCAAGUGUUGUUUAAUAAAAUUCAAAACUAUCACCAUCUCAAAGUGUUUGGCUACCUAUGCUAUCCAUACCUUCGCUCGUAUAAUAAACAUAAACUUUGUUAUCGCUCUAGUCCAUGUGUGUUUCUAGGUUACAGUCCUACUCACAAAGGUUACAUGUGCUUUGACUCUAACUCCAAUAGUAUAUAUAUCACUCGACCUGUAAAAUUCCAUGAGACAAAAUUUCCAUUCCAGCAGACUGUUAACACCUCAUCUGCAUCUUCUUCUUCUCAGUUCACGUCUACUCCAGCCUUAUUGCCUAUACCAUUGUCUAUUCCACCAACUCAAACUUCACAGUCUUCAAUUCCUACAUCUCAGUCUCCUCACUUGUCUAAUUCUGCUCAUUCAUAUCAUUCUUCCCAUAAUUCAACUUCCUUACUUCCUAUACUCGAUCCUAUUCUAGUUCCUUUCACUGCAUCUUCCAGUUCUUCUCUUACUAAUCCCUUGGCACCACACAACUCACAUCCUAUGACCUUAAGGCAUAUUAUAAUUUCUUUUCACAUCCAUUAAAUUAUACCAGACUUCUUUCUUGACCAAUUUUUGCAGAGUGAGGUCACAAUUUUUCAUUAUGAUUGUGUUUAGAGUUCACUGGUUAGGAAUCGACUGACAUGAACUUAAAAAAUUAGUACAAAUUCAGUACGAGAAAAGUGACUUACAUUUAAAAAAAAAUUAUUAUUUAAAUUUUAGAGAAUGAAUUCAUUUUUUUUUUAGAAAAAUAUUGUUGAGCUCAUUCAUACCAAGUAAAUUUGGUUGUCCAUUUUUUUUAUUUUCCUUUUGAUUGUUGGUGAAAAAAAGUUGAUUAUGUUGUCUAUAUAGAAUCAAAUUAUUCAAUAAAUGGGAACUUAUUAAAUUAAUAAUUGGGGUAAUUAUUGGUCAAGGAUGUGAGAUGGCAAAGAAUGGGAGUUAUUUUGCAUGGUAUGAAUAAGUAUAAAUGAGGGAAAUAGCUUUAGAGUUGAGGAUCUAAUUUGAUAGAAACAAAUUCCAUUGCUUAAUUAUGUAUUUUUGUUUUCUUGACCAUUUGCACUUACAUAUGAAUCAUAUAAUCCAUCGAAUGCAUCUUCCUCAAGUGUUUCAUUCUUAUACUUUUUUUUUUUGAAUUUUCUAAUCAUUUAGGUUUUUUUUGCAAACACUUUAUAAAAAAUAAUUUUUAAGAAUAAUUUUUAAAAUUCAUUUAUGAUAUUUAGUAGAAUAAAAUUUGUUUGGAAAUUUGGAAUGUGUUUAACCUAUUUUCUAUAUUUUUAAAUAUAUUUUAAAAGUAAUUUUUAUACAGAAUGUUUCUUUUUUAUUAUUUUUAAUAAUUAUGUAAUUUUUGAAAAUAAUUAUCAAAAACUCAAAAAAAAAAAAAGUGAUAACAACAAAAAAUAAUUAAAAGUUAUUGGUUGAAAACACUUUAUUCUGUUUUUAAGGAUAAAAAUUUGUUUUUCGCUUUUUAGUUAUUAAACAUGUUUUUCUAUUUUUUUUAUGAAGAAAAAAAUAGUUAUGAAACAAGAAUUUAACUUCCACAUCAUGUUCUCCUCAAUCGCCAUUAUUAAUCAAUUUAUAAAUUAAUUUUGCUUAUUAAUUCCAUAAGAUCAAAAUUUAUUUUAAAAUUUUAAUAUUAAAAUUGAAUGGAAUUUGAUUAUUUAGUGUCUCAAAAAUUUGUCACUUUGAUAAACUACAAGUAAUUUUUAUCUUAUCAACUUUUGAACUCGGACCAAUAGAGAGCAAGAGCCAUUUUGCAUAUAUUAACAUAUAAAAAAAGUCAAGUAGUCAAAUUUGUACAUCUAGUUAUUAAUUAAGUUCCUUGAUUUUAGCAACUUUUAUUCUCCCAAGAUUUUACCAAUAAGAUAAUUAUAAUAAUUAGAUAUUAGUUUGUUGAUUUUUAUUAUUAUUAUUAUCGUUUGUAUAGUUGGAGAUUAGUUUCCUUUUUUUAGGAAACUUAUGAUAUCUAUUUUUAUUUAUUCAUAUCCACUUAUUAUCAAUUUUGAAUGCCAAAUUAGAGGUAAUUUGAUCCAGAAAAUUUUUUAUGUCUAUAGGAACAAGACAAUAUGAAAAAGAACCAAUUACAGUAAUGUACAACAUUGAUAAAGGAUUUACAUAAAUUGAUUCAAUUAUUAGAAAAUUGAUUUGAUUAUUUCCAAAUAUUACAACAAUUUCAAGAAAUUUCAAAAGAAUAUUAUUUAUAUUAAAAACAAAUUCAAGUUAAUGAUUUUAAUUUAUUUAUUUACAAACAAAGUUUUGACUUAUUUACAAUAAAUGAUUUAAUUUAUUCACAUUCAAUUUUUGUUUUCAAGAAAGUUACUUUUACUCAUUAUCAUUAAAAGAAUUUAUUGGAUGCAAUUUCAUUAAAAAAAUUCAGUUUGAUUUUAUUUAGAAGAAGUGAUUUUUAUUUACCUUUACUAGAAAGAGAAUGAAUUUUUACAAUUUUAUUUUCAAGAAAAUGUUUCAAUUCAAACUUUUUUUUUAAAAUUACAAAUUAUUUAAAAAAUAUUUUCAAAAAUUUAUUUACAAAAUAAUAUUCUAAUUUGAUUGUAUUUAUAAAUAAUAAAUUUUAACAUAUUUAUUAUCAUCAUAUAUUAAUGAGUGGGGACUUAGCCUAGUGGCAAUCAAGCUUAAACCCAAGCCUUGUGGCUUGGGUUCGGAGGAAAGCGCGAAAAAAUUACCUAAAAAAUCUAUGAUUUAUUUAAAAUAUCAUUGACAUUUUGGCCAUUUUUUUCAAUCUCCUCUGCCGCGUGUCGCCUCAUGCUCGAUUUUUCACCGCUAAAUCACCUCUAAAUCAAUAUAUCAUCAAUAUUUGGACGACCUUGCUGAAAUUCUAGCCGAUUGAUAAUUGAUGCCCGAUAUCGUUUUGGGCACUACCGAUAUUCAAUAUUUUGCCAAUAUUUCAGCGAAAAAAAUCAACAUUUCAAUCCUUGGUUCCAACUACCUACUACUCUCUAUUUUGGCAUAGUACAAUGGAUUUAAUGCCAUUUUGUACAAGUAUUAAUCUAAGAAACUAAAGUUAAGACAACAUAAAAGAUAUUUUGUAAAAUAAAUUUCAAUCAAAGAGGUAGAUGUUUGUGUGUUAGACCCCUACCAACUUUGUUGUCGGAGUUAAAAGCCCUACCAACUUUAUUGUCAGAGUUAAAAGCCUUACCAACUUUGUUGUCAAAGUUAAAAGUAGUUGGAACUUGGAAGUAGAUCAUAACUAACACGUUUAUUUAUGUGAAACAAAGAUGAAAAUAUCGGUGAUUACGGAUAUAUCGAUACUUCGAUUUUACAAAUAUAUCGAAUUUAUCAAAAAUAUAUCAGCAGAUAUUUUGAUACAAAAUAUCAAUGGACUUAAAAUUGAUCAGAACUUAUAGAAAUGUAGGUAAAAACUUUUAAAAAUGAAAUUAGAAGUAUAAUAGAUAUUUUAAAGCUGUUUUGUUGAAGAAAUUAAUAUAUAUAUGGUAUAAUUUAUUAUAUUUGAUAAUAAUAUUGUAUGUGUUGAUAAAAAAUGUAAAUUUUAUAAGUGUACAUUUAUUAUUAAAUUACAUCAAAUAUUAUUCGACAAUAAUAUUGUGAUAUUUGAUUAUAAUAUGUCUAAUUUUAAAAUAUAUUUAAUAUUAAAAUUAUAAUUCAUUUAAUUUAAUUGUAUUAAAUGAUAUAAAAUAAAUGAUGAUAUAUGUAUAAUUUUUUAAUAUUUAAUUAAUAUAUAAAUGAUAUUAAAAACACUAUAAAGAAAAUUAUCAUGAUAAUUUUUAUAUUUUUGUUAACAUAAAAAUUAUUUUUGGUAAUUAAUUAAAUGAAUUUUUUUAUUUAAUUAUAAAAUAAUUAUAAUUAAUUUGUUUAUUUUUAAAUAUUUUGUUAAUAUUUUAUUUAUAUGAUGACUUUUAGUAUAUAUGGGUUGGAUGCAACAUAGGCGAACUUGCCCUGUGGUUGGCUGAGGUUAGAACCUUUUGUUUGGGGUUGGAGUGGGUAUGAUAUUUUAAUCCUUGAUAUGGAGAUGAGAGUUGUUUUGUAAAAGAUAUGUUUUUUUAGCAUAAAUGAAAGUUCUAUGUCCAAAAUAAGAUUUUGAUGUUCUCUUUCUUUCUGACAUGGAUAAGAGUAGUCCGUAAAAGUUACAAAAAUAAAAGUAAGUUUUGGAAAAAAUAAAAUAAAAAUAAAAAUUAUACUCACUAGUAUGUCUUGUUCAUUUUUGUCAAAUCUCGAUGCCCUAAAUGUGAAUCUUGGAAAAUUGAAGAAACUAACCAAACAAUUUGUUGACCCCUCAUUUUGGCCGAGUAAGAGAACAUUUUUUUUUUAGGCCAAUUGGGGCUGUUAGGGAGCUAUGGAGAGGAUGCUCUCCGAGGUCCAGAUGGGUGACAGGUGGAGCUGUGGAGAGUUGUUCUCCUGGGUCCGGAUGGAUGACCCUCCAUCAUUGAGGGGAUUUUUCUGUUAGAAAAUAUUACCUUUAGGGAGCACUUUGAGGGAGUGGCGCAGAGACCUUUUUGCUAGGAGAAACCAGCAGGUGACACGCAGUAGUGGUUUUUCUGGCCGUUGGAGGGAACUUGAGCAGCAAGAAAAGUUGGAGAAGUUGGAAAGAAGAGAGAAAAAACGGGGGGAGCUACAGAGAGUGUCUCGAGAGAGCAAAGAGGAUUGAGGAGGCUGUGAGAAAAGCCAUUUUUGAGAAAAAGAAGAGUAUAGAGAGAUAGUGAGCUAAGCUUAGACAGAGAUAGUGAAAAGUGAGGUUGAAGAAAGUGAGAUGAACAGAAGAGAACCAGAGCAGAGAACAGGGAAGAGGAAGGAAGUUGGAGUCUUACCAGUUUUGGAGUAAAAGAAAGUAUGAGAAGCUGACCAAGCUUUGAGAAACCUAGGUAGGGCCACUGUACAUUUCACCGUUUUCUUCCUCUGUGCUUGUUGAUUUUGAGUGUUAUUUGUUGAUUUGGGUGCGAAUAUCAUAUGUCCAUGCAUUGCUUGUUGCCUUUUAAGCGGUUGAUAGGCUAGAUCUUGCUAUAUUCAUCUAUGCACCUUUGUUUUUCUUUGAGAUAUAUCCUGAAUAUGGUUCAGUUUUACUGUGUGACCAGGGUUCAAAAUCUCGGUCGAUACCGGUACGACUCGGCCGAGUCGUAUCCACCUCGACCAUGGACGGUACCGGACCGAUACCCGAGUUGGAUAUUUUGCCGAACAAACUCGAUUGAAUUGAAAGAGUGAAUCCUAUGAAAACGUUGAGACAACUCCAAGAUCAUGUUGAGACUAAGCUAUUUGGGUUAUUGGUAAUGGAAACAAAGGUAAUAUUGAAGUAGAAAUGGUGGAGAAGAUGAGAAAAUCAAAACCCACGAAAAUGAAAAAUACAGAUUACAGAGAUGGCCUGCAUCUUGUAGUCGCUGGUCGGAUCCCCCAAGUUCUUGCCGGAGAUGGAACUAAGCGACAUGAUUAGGAGGCAGAGUUGCCGAAUAUCGACGGAGAACGACGGUGAGGUGGCCGAUGGAAGUGGGAGAAGAGAGAAAGUGGCCUGCGGAGGAACUGGUUGUGGGGAGAAAUGGGUCUUUGACCGAUGGUGGCUAUGAGUAUUUAAACAAUAUGGAUUUGAGUUUUUUUUUUUUUUUUUUGGAUAAAUAGGUGAGGAUUUAGGUUUUAAAUAAUAUGUAUUUAUUUUUUAAGUAGAUAAUGAGUAUUUGGUGGGAAUUUGAGUUUUAAAUAAUUUGAUGAAAAUUAUAAUGAUAAAAAAUUAAUAAUGAAUAUUAGACUUAUAUCAAAUAAAUAGGAAAUGAAUAUUUAUAUAAAAAUUAAAAUUAAUGAAUAUAUUUUAUAAGAAAAAUUAUAUUUAUUUUUUUAAAGAUAAAUCAUGGUUUUAUUUUUUUAAUAGUUAAAAAUAUUUUUUUUUAAAUUCAAAAUAUUUAAUUUAAACAAUUUUUUAUAAAAAAAAUUACUUUUUAUUAUUUUCAUCUUCAACAAGAAACAUUUAUUAUCAAGUGAUUAAAUUAAAAUAUUUUUAGAGAUUUUUAAUAUUAUUUUAAAUUAUCCCAAAAGUAUGCUUUUAUUAUAAUUUGAAUAAUUUUAAUAUAAUAGAAGUUUAUUUUAUUAAUUUUUCACUCUACUUAUUUGUAUUUAAUUUUUUAAAUAAUUUUAAUAAUUUUUUAAAAUUAUUUUAAUAUCUUAAAUUAGAAUUUUUUGCGUAUCACCCGAUACCGAUCCGAGAUACCGAGACAGAUGUGCCUCAAGACCUCCCGAGUCAAUGACCGAUACCGCGACUUUGAACUAUGUGUGUGACAUAUGAGAAUCAUGUUUCUACUCCCUGUUUCAUUCACCCGUUCUUGGCUCGUUGAUUAAAACAUGAAAUGUGUGGCUAUAGUUGGUUCAUUUUGCUUCCUUCACUUGUGCUCUGUUUUCUUCUUUUCUCCUGUUUCUGAUGUCCACCUAUGGAGAGCUGGGCACAAUGAAUAUAAAGCAUUAAGAGGUUUUGAGUGUUUGUGGAACAUGGGUUUUUACUGGGUGAAAUAAUACCAGAAGAUUUCAAGGAUGUUUGUGAUGAUAAAUGCAAGUGUUUGCAUUCUUGGAAUAUUGGUGAUUUUUUCUCGAGUUUGACACAGCUUGAAGGGCACCAGAAGGUUGUUUGUGGGAUUGUUUUUGCUAUUUGGGCCUGAUAAGCUAUAUAUUGGGAGCAAAGAUGAGACUGAGGACUUGGAACUCUCAAUCUAGGCAGUGCACUAGUGUGGUUAAUCUUGGCAGAAAAGUUGGUUGUAUGAUCAGUAAAGAUUCAUGGUUCUUUGUGUGUAUACCAAAUGUUGUUAAGGCAUGACACACUCAAAAUAACAUUGAAUUGAGUAUCGAUGAACCCAUUAGGCAAAUUUAUGCAUUGGUUGUUGGUAAUGAUCUGCUAUCUACUGGUGCACAAGAUGGAGCAAUAUGGGCAUGUCUGUAAUGAUCACCAAACUGCCACAGCUCCAACCACUUCCAUGCAAAAAUACUGCCACCCAAACAUUCAAACAAGCCAAUUGCUUCUAAAUGGGAUUUCUACUUGGCUUUGUAUCUGCUUACACCAAAAAGUGAGGAAAGGAACAGCUCAGCAAGCUCACCUUACAUGAGGUAGAGGAUUCAGAGGAACUUGUGGAAUGACUUCAUGAACAACCCAAUUUUCAAUGUAGAACAUUAGCUUCUUUACACAGAGAACACCCACAAUAAUGAGAUUUGUUCGACUUUGAAGGCAGCUCAUCAUCAUCCAUUUACGGCAUGCUCGAUCAACUCCAAUCAGCAAACAUGGUCUCCUAAUAUGGUUCAUCUUUCCAACCAAAUAAUGCUCUGAGUCUAGGCAAAUGAGUUAUGGACAAAAUGCCAAUAGAGCCUACUUCGGUGAUCUGGACCACUUUGUUUGGAGGUUAUGGGAGACAUGAUGAAACCAAGGUGGCCAAGUUAAAACUAAGGGAGCUCCAGAGCAUAAUUCCUUGAAGAAACUGCUCAUUUACUCUUCGCGUGCAUGAAGUAAUAUCUCCUCAUUAACAUGGCCACCCUACAGUUGUUACAUGACCACUUGCUCCUUUUUUUAUUCCCCCAAAGGAAACCUAGAUAGUAAUUCCGGUUUGAACCCCUACCAGCUUCUUUUCCAUCCUACCCAUGUGCAUGUGUGCAUGGCCACCCAAAACUGUUGCAAGGCCCUCCAUCAAAUCCAAAUCCUAAGCCAAAUAAUUUUGUGCCUAAAACCUUAGGACCAACUUACCAUGUCACGACCCAAAUUCCGGGCAACCCAAAAUUUGGCCCUAACCCCAGGUCAAAGGUUUUACCCUAAGGGUUAAUCCUAAUCCACACUAGCAGUUAACCAAAACGCUUUAAAAUUUUUUUUUUCUACACAUACAUCACACUAGAAUUCCCACCAACCAACAAUCCAAACUAACAAUAUCUCAAUCACUACUCAAAAGCAACAAGAUAUAAUAAUUAUCAUUAUAGUCCAAAAAUAAAAGUUCACAGUUAAACAAUUUAAUCAAAAUAAGGUCUUAUUACAAUGCAUAGUCCACAAUUUGCUAAAACAAGUUCCAAUACAACCAACACAACAAAUACACCACUCUCCACUAGGCUGUUCCAAAACCUCCAGGGACAUCCUAAAGUCCUCCCUGCCCCACCUGUGAAUCUUCAGGAGUGAUAUCCACAUCUAAAAAGAUGUAAAAAGGAAGGGGUGAGCAUUUCACAUUGCUCAGUAGGGUGUUUAACACCCAAAGGGUUAAUGGGGAUUACUAAGUUUCAAUUAGCACAAAAGAAACAUUCAUCAAUAUUGAUCAAGCCACAUAUCUUAAUCUCUAUAAUUAUACACAAUUCCACAAUUUUCAACAAUUAAAUGAAAUGCAUAUGAACAUGUGACACACAACCAUACAAUGCACUGUCAUUCUCAGGCUUUCAUCGAAUGAUAUGCGUCCGCAUCCAAAUACACUUCCCAUUCAGAGUCAUCUCAGGGUAAACUUUGGGUCUUUCACCCUAGGGAUCUCUCAUCCUUCUUAAUUCGCCUCACACGGACCUUUACUUUUCAUCACUAUUUUAUUUUUUUCUUUCUUUUUCCAUUUCAUGCACUUUUCACAGUUUUUAUCUUUUCUUCACACAACCAUGAUGCAAAUGAAUGUCAUGAGGUUAAUCACCCUCAUUCACAAGUAUCACCAAUAUUACAUAAAUUUCCAACUAAUCCAAAUAUAAUUGAAAGCACAAUCAUACCAAAAUUCCAAAAUUUCCCAACAAUUCCAAUAAUUCCAAUACUCAAAUAUAAUUAUUUUUCCACAAUAAAAUUAAAAAAAAUAUUCCAACAAAUUCUCAAAAAUUCACAUAUCAAUAAAUUAUAAAUUAUACCAUAAUUUCGUAAUUUUCCAACAAUUCUAAUAAUUUUCAAUAAUCAAAUAUAAUUAUUUUUUCACAAUAAAAUCACCAAAAAUAUUCCAACAAAUUCUCAAAAAUUCACAUAUCAAUAAAUUAUAAAUUAUACCACAAUUUUGUAAUUUUUCAAUAAUUCCACUAAUUUUAACAACCCAAAAGCAACCAUUUAUCAAUCAAAAAAAAAAUUCUCGAAAUCACAAAAAUUCCAAAAAUAUUCCCAAUCAUCCAAUAAAAUUCCUAUAUCACAAACACUACCUAUUUAACUCAUAACGACAAGAUCGACGAUUUUUUUCAAGAAAAAAAACAUUUAAUUAAAGUUUUAGGGUUAGGUUUCUCUAUCACAUAUUUACAAAUCAAACCGUUAAAAUCAAGAUCAACCAUCGUAAACUCGUUCCUCGUGUCGAGUAGAACAUUUCCUCAAAUUUUCACUCAAAACGAACAACGUUCGGCCGUCCAAAAGGCCGGCCAAAGAUUUAGAGGGAAAAAUUCUGCCCACAGUGCCGAAAGCUCCUCUUCUGCCACUUUCUAAUUCCUUUCUUUUCUUUUUUUCUUUUUUUAAAUCCCAAUUAUUCUACUUUUUAACCACCAGCCAAGCCCACGGCCCACACCAAAAGCCUUUGAAUUCUUUUCUUUUUCUUUUUAUUUCAUUUGUUUUGUUUCAUUUCUCAUUUCAUUUCCAAUUCAUUUCAUUUUUUUUUAACAACACACAAAAUAAUUUAACCAACACCAAUCCAAAAUUAUUUUUCUCAAAUUUAUUAUCAAGUAAUUUAAUUUAAUUUUUACUUAAUUAGUUCUAGUUAAUUUUAAUUAAUUCAUUUUUCAUUUUUUGUUUUCGUUUUUUGUUUCCAGAAAUUUUCAAUUUCUACAAUCCUAAGAAAUUUUCUACCAUAAAACUAAUGUGGCACAAAAUUUUCAACUCGCCUAAUUGACCAACAAAAUAAUUCGAAUUCCAUCAAUCCAAAAUUAACACGUGCUCUCCGAUCACUUUUCUUUUUUUACUUUUCAACCAUUGCUCAAAAGAAGACUUUUCAAACUAGAAAUCCUAAUGUGACCUAAAAUACCCGGUCAUUACAUACCACCAUCAACCUAAUCCCAUCACCAUGCCCACCAAUCACUCCUCAUUCCUACACGAUAUUGACCACUGUUUGACAUGAGCUUGAUCUAAGUUUUGAGGUUUGCUUGAGAAAACCACUACUGUGAUUUGAAGAUGGGUUUAGUGGACGUCUCUUCUGAUCUUACCGAGUUUAGAAGAACUCCGAUGGCAGUAUUUUCGGCUGGGGUAAAAUCAAUAUUAGACAUUCCCAGAACCUUGGAGUAUUUGAAAUUCAAAGAGCAUGUGUUGCUGCUUAUAUGACUAACGAAUGUCCAGCAUUUUUCACAAAAAAUCAAUGAUUGCAUCUCGACAACACAAUCUUAUAUUGGCUUCAGAGAGGAAGCUCUCAAACCCAAUGAGACAAGACAUCUUUUAAGGCAGAUGACAAAAUAGGCCAUGCUCACCUCAGCCUUCAACCCAUAGUCUUAGCUGCAAGACUAAAGCAAAUCCUAGGGUUUCAUCUGGCUAUACACAUGGAAUAUUGCUACUGAAGAAGAGCAAAGUGAUGAUACAAAUGAAAGUUUUGCCUCUACUGAUGCAACCAAAGCUUCUUAAUCGGUGUUACUAGCAAUAUGGAUCAAGAGAGACACAUAGAAUACUAUUUCUUUGGGGACCACUGAAAAUCACAGUGGUGCAAAUGCAGAUUUGAUGUCCUUGUCUCAAUCAACAGAAGUUAGUGGUGGUGAAGUUGCUACGGUUGGCAACAGGGUUCUUUUAAACCCCAAAGUUGGUGCUCCUAACACAAAAGGUUUGAGUUAAAUUGUGCCUUCUUCAUAAAUUGAUCAAAAUUUGAAGGUUGAGGCAGAUCGUGGAAGCAUAGAAAAUGUUGCCAAGGAAGUUAUGAAUUCCAAAGAUAGUGUUAUGGGAGUUGAUGCUUUUGAUGGGAAUUUAUAAUAUUCAUCCAAAGAUAAAACAUUGAUGGACAAGACGGUGGAGAAUGGCACCAGAGGCCAUAAUGAUGCACGUGUGUGAGUCCAGAUGAAUGAACCCAGGUUGCUGAAAGAGAGAAAGCUUCACCUAUGUAAAAUAAGAAGAUGUUGGACUCGAAAAUUGAAGUUGUGGGAAGUGAUGAUGCAGAUGGGAAAUGUUGUUCUUCGAAAAAAGAUCAAGAUAUGGAGGAUUUUGGAGGAAAGAGGGUGAAACUCCAUCAGCAGUGAAAAAGGAGGAUCGAAUUAUAGGGAUACAUGAAGGUUCUUGGUCUUAUCUUGUUGGUACCAUUGGUAGAGUUCCUAAGAAAGUGAUAGGAACAACAACACCAAAAGAACCCCCAGACCAUCAAAAAUCUGCAUGGUGUUUUUCCAUUGGAGAUGAACUGAUUAUACAUUGGGAAUUAUCAUCAUCAAUAGCAGCAGCACUGGCACCAGCUAAUGCAGCCUCUUUGCACCUCGGGCCCACUUCUGCACCCAUGCAUGGCCACCUUUGGCAUGCAAUCCCAAAGGCCACAUGUCAUCCUCUUAUUUCUUCAUCUUUUGCUUUUAAAAUUUGAUUUUCAAAACUCUAGUUUUCAAAUAAUUUUAAAAAAUCCAGCUUUCGAAUCAUCUUAAUCUCUUACCCUUUUAUAUUUAUUUUAUUUUAUUAUUAUUAUUUUUCCUUAGAAAUUUCAAGUCAUUCCAAAAAUCCAAUUUUAAUAAACUUUUUGUUGUCAUAUUUCUCUUUUGGUAUGCAUUUUCAUAUUUUCUUUGAAUUUCAACUUUUUUUUAUUGAUUUUUCUCAAUUUUUAAUAAAGCAUGAAUAAAUUCUAUAAUUUCAAGUAAUAGAAUUUAUGAAGUUAAUUCAUGCUAAAAUAAAUCGGGCAUUGGUGGGGCCUGACAUCUAUGAUUGAUUACUUGAUUGACUUUGUCCUACUCCGAUAUGUAUGCGAUUAUUCAGUAUUUGUGCACUAACCUUGUCUCCCAUGAUAGUACUCAGUUUGCGACUAAGGUACGUCUCGUACCCGAUCAUUUUUAUAUAUUUAUCCGUUAUCAUGCAUGACUUAUUUAAUUAUUUGAUCAUUGUUUAGUAUCCACGAUUUCUCGAUCAAUUGUCAUGUUUGCCCUAAUUGAUUAGUAGGGACCCAUUUUUAGGAGUUUAGAGGGGUGCUACGCCUUAUCACCGUACCUUCUCGAUAGAUAACCUGACCCCAAACCCAAACUUAGUUUUUCGCAAACUUGUUUUUUUUUAGGAGUCACAUUUAGGUUUUUCUUUCUUAUUUUGUUUUUCCCUUAAAAAAUAAAACAAAAAUAAGUGGUCACUCCAAAUUAUUAUUAUUAUUUUUAAAAUAAUUUUUUCAAUAAAAAUUGGGUUUCACCAUUCGAGUGGAAACGCAUGCGAGAAAGGCGGGGUCCACACAAUUAUUAAAAAAUUAUCCAAAAAAAGUUUGAGCCCUUUGUUAUUAUUAAAUAAGGUUUUUUUCAUAUUUUUUUAUAAUAAAAAACUAAAAUUAUCGAACAUAUUUUUAAGAAUUUAAAAACAUAAUUGAAAACUUAUUUAUUCUUUCUACCCUUAAAAACUCUAAAACAAAAAUAUAGCUAACAACCAUCUAACCUAUCAUGUUCUUCUCCUUUUCUUUUCUUUUCUUUUUUCCUUCUUUUUUUCUCCAAUUUCCAUUGUAGAAUGGACAAACAAUUUUCAGAAGGAAAAUAUAGAAUGUGAUACUGUGGCAUAAAAAAAUAACCUAUUUUUAGGCUUAGUAUUAAUCAAGUGAGAAAAUAAAAAAUGAAGAAAUUUAAAAUUUCUUAUUUCAUUUAAUAUUAUAACAAAAAAGUGGCCUUUGUGUGUGUUAAAGCACUAUCAAUCUUGUCAUUACGCUACAAUUAUUUUAUAGGACAUGAGCAUUUUCUUUCAACUUAUUUCUAUAUUUAAAGAUAUUUUAUGUAACUUAUGUUUACAUUUGAGGAUAUCUCAUAUAUAAUAUUAGCGUAAGGAAAAGUUGUCUAGCUAGAUCCUGAUCCUUAUCUUAUUGGGAUCCCAAAAUAUGAUUUGAUCUCCGAUUACAAUUAUAGAACAAUAACACCAUGGUAGCUACUGUGCUCCUUUGCUACACAGAAUAGAAGCUUCUCUACAAAACUACCCAUUUUCUGCCCCUCACAAAAACCAUGGUCACUCUUUUUUUUCUAGCUAAAUUCAUUUUAUUAAAUAUUUUUAUAAAUAAAAUGACAUUUCUGACAUUCCAUAAUUUCUACGUUGUUGAGCCAAAUUUAGAAAAUGGAUCAUUCUUGGACAACCUCGAUCUUGUGGGGUUUGGUUUUGGAAGCCAAAAGUCCUAUCUCUGUUGCCCUUUAGGGCUCUUGUAUAGGGAGACGGAGAUAUUUGAGGAUGCCUGCAAGGUUGUAGUACAACCUACAUCCUUAUCUAGGCUUUGGUUCUAAAAGUAUUAAAAAAAAAAAAAAUGUUAUAGAAAAUUACUAUUCAUAUUUGAUUUCACAGUUAAAAAUAUAUUAAAAUAAUCAAAUAUAAUUAAAAUUAAUUAAAAAAUUUAUAAAUUUUAAAUUUAUUUAAUCUUUAUAUAAAGAAGGAAAUUAAAUAAAAUAAAUUUUAAAAAAUAUAUAAAAAUAAGUUAUUGAUUUAAAUAUUUUUUUUUCUAUUUUUUCUCUUUAUUUUCCUUAUUUAAAAUUUGAUGGGAAUCAAAGAUAUUUACUUAAAAUUUGAUUUAAAUAAUUAUUUAUAUUUAGUUUGUAUCCAUUUCUUAAUUUCAAAGGUACAUUUUAAUAAACCAGACCUUAUGGAAGGUCAUGACAUACCUUCUUGUUAAUUAUUAAUUUCACUCCCAUAAAGAAAAUGAGAUCUUACCCAUUGCAAAUAGAUCAAUUAGCACAUCCUGAGAAAAGGUUAAAAACGCAAAUAAUAAUAAUAAUAAUAAUAAUAAUUACCAAACGUGCUUAAAAGAAAUUAAUUUCAAGUUUCAGAAGAAAAGGUAUUCUUACAGCGGUACAAGAUCUGCAAAAUUGUAAACAUAAGGUACCCUAAGAUUCUUUUAUAAAUUUAAAAAUUUGUCUAAAUACAAAAUAAAAGGCAAGGAGAACGAUGCAGCAGAUGAUACAAGUAACGAUUGGAAGGCCAGAGGAAAGUGGUAGCACAGCGUAUAGGCCCGUCAUGAAUGCAACCACCAUCGCUCCCAUGCUAAACAGGGUGAGUAAAAAGCCCAUAAUCAAGUGUUUUACAAGGAAUUCCCCGUCCUUAUGCAACGACAUAAAAAAAUAAACGAACACAGCAGAUACGGAGAGGAUCACGGCUAUGGUGUCCGUCACAAUAAAUGCUUUGAAAGCUGCUCUCUUUGUUAAAAUUGCCAUGCCAUUGUCAUUGUAACCACCGGGCAAGGUGAAACCCGCAGCAAAGGUUACAGUUGCUACAAGUGCUGCCACUAUCAAAUGGGUUUCACCUUGUCUUUUUAUGGUAGAGAUGCUUUCGUCUUUUUCGACGUCUUGGCUUUUACUACUACUACUACUACUACUAUUACUAUUACUAUUACUAUUACUAUUACUGAUAGCACCACUGUCUUUAUUGAUAGCCUCCUGCCAACUAAUGGUCCAACAACAACUUUCUCCCAUUCCCUCAAUUGUCUUCGAAUUUCUUCCUGAAAUUUGAUCAAAAUAAAACACCUUAAAAAAUAAAUAAAUAAAUAAAUAAAAAUAAAAGAAAUAAAGAAAGAAAAAGAAUGUAGUUCAUGUGUCGCUGUUUUGGCUUUUUGCUCUUCCUUUAUAUAAGAAGAUUUUCUCAUCUUCCCUCAAAAUGUUUUUCCAUAAGUCUACAAUUUAGACCCACAGGUUCUACAAAUUGCCUACAUUAUGGUAAUUUGGUAGUUAAUUUCUAUUUUAAGCAUGAUUGUCUCUACCGAUAAUAAAAAUAGAAAAAAUAAUGAUGAUGGAGUCUUUCCAUAUCAUUACUAAUAAAAAGAUUAGGUUAGGAUCCUUACUGGCUUAACGUUAGCCCUUGAAAAAAUGUCUAGGGCGGUUAACUUAUCCUUGUUGAGUGCCAUUUUAUCCACUCUAUUGUCCUCUGACAAAGAUGGAUCAUAAACUUGGUAAGAAGCAAGCAGGUGGAGGGGUGAGUCUCCUUUAGCGUCUUUCUCAUUUAUAAGUCUUCUCACCCUUAACAAACUAUUGUCAUUCAAGAUAUGACGAGUAGCAUGAUACCGCUCGCUCAUAAUGGCAGAGUGAAGAACAUUAUUUCCCUUAUCAUCCACUUGCUCGCAACAAUCUGGGGAGUGUGACAGCAGCAGCUUUACUAUAUCUUGAUGGUUACGGUUAGCUGCAAUGUGAAGUGCUGUUUUCUUGCUGUCCUUGAUUCCAAGAUAAGUUACAGAUUUAUCUGGUGAUUUGGCUAGUAAUUGCUCCACAAUUUCAGUAUGACCCAAGUAUGCAGCACAGUGAAGGGGAGACCAUCCUUUCUCAUCCACUUCUUUUGUCAGAUCUGGCUUCCAUUCCAAUAACCUUGCUGUCAUUUCUGUAAACAAACGAACCAACAAAAAACAGAGAAAACAAAUUGAAGAAAAUUAAGUUAAUAAUUGAAGUUCCCUCUAGUUUUUUUUUUAAAGAGGGAGAGCUGGGAUUGAGAGAGGAAGGGAUUUUUUAAAGAGGACAGUUUUUUUUUUAGAGAAAAAAAGGGGAGCUUUCCGACAACCCCUCCACCAGCAACUCCACCACCGGCCACUUCGCCACCUGCUACCCCUCCACCGGCUCAUCUCGCCUCUCCACCAGCAGCGGUUCCAGCGCUAGCUCCAAGGACGAAGGUGAAAUCUCCGGUCGUGGACCGAUCUCAGGCGGAAUCUCACCAGGCCAGCUACGAACGAUGUGAAUGGAGUGGAAAGGCUGUGGUCGAUGAAGAAGGUGGUCGGGCAUUUGGACUGGCACUGAGCUUGAUGAUCUGUGAGAGAAGGAGCACCGAGAGAAAGAGAUAGGAGUCUUCCAGGCGAGAGAUUUUCUCUUCUUAUAUCUGCUUUUAUAUGUCAGUUUUUCUGCUAAAAAUUCAUGACGGGUAAGGGGAAGGUUCACGUCAGCAUUGUCGCCAUUGGCCAUGUCGACCAUGGCAAGUCGACCACCACUGGUAAUUUGAUAUACAAGCUUGGAGGUAUUGACAAGUGUAUUAUUGAGUGGUUUGAAAAAGAAGCCGCUGAAAGGAAUAAAUGACCAUUCAAGUAUGCUCGGGUCUUAGACAAGCUCAAGGCUGAACGUGAGCAUGGUAUUACCAUUGAUAUCGCUUUAUGGAAGUUUGGGACCAUUACCAUUGAUAUUGCUUUAUGGAAGUUCGGGACCAUCAAAUAUUAAUGCUCAUGGUCAUUCGGAUUUCAUCAAGAACAUGGUUACUACUUACUAGCACCUCACAAGUCACAAGCAGACUGUCUUGUUUUCAUUAUUAAUUCCACCACUGGUUGAGCAUGUAUUGCUUGCUUACACCAAGCCCUUGGUGUAAGCACAUGAUUUGCUGUUGUAACGAGAUGGAUGCCACACGUCCUCUUAAUCCUUCAUCGUGACAAAUAUAUAUUUAAAAAAAAAAAAUCAAAUUUUAAGUAAUUUUUCAAAAUUUCCCUUUUUAAAAUUUAAUUAAAAAAAAUCCAUUUUCAAAAUCCCUCUUUUCAAAGUCAAUUUACAAAACUUUUUUUUUUAAACAACUUUUCAAAAUCCCAAUUCUCAAAUUUAAUUUUCGAAACUCUCGUCUUCAAAUAAUUUUCAAAAUUCCAAUUCUCAAAUUUAAUUUUCAAAACUUCCAUUUUCAAAUAAUUUUUCAAAAUUCCAAUUUUUAAAUUUAAUUUAAAAAAAAUCAUUCUCAAAUAAUUUCCCAAAAUUCCAAUUUUCAAAACUUUAAUCUUGAAAUAAUUUUCCAAAAAUUCAAUUUCCAAGUUUAAUUUUCAAAACUUCUAUUCUCAAAUAAUUCUUCAAAAUUCCAAUUUUUUAAAUUUAAUUUUCAAAACUUUCAUUUUCAAAUAAUUUUCUAAAAUUCCAAUUCUCCAAUUUAAUUUUUAAAAAUUUCAUUUUCAAAUAAUUUUCAAAAAUUCCAAUUUUCAAAACUUUAAUCUUCAAAUAAUUUUUCAAAAUUCCAAUUUUCAAAACUUCUAUUUUCAAAUAAUUCUUCAAGAUUUCAAUUUUUAAAUUUAAUUUUCAAAACUUCAAUUUUCAAAUGAUUUUCCAAAAUUCCAAUUUUCAUCUCAAAUUUAAUUUUCAAAACUCUCAUUUUCGAAUAAUUCUUUAAAAUUCCAAUUUUUAAAUUUAAUUUUCAAAACUUCCAUUUUCAAAUAAAUUUUCAAAAUUCCAAAUUUCAAGUUUAAUUUUCAAAGCUCCCAUUUUCAAAAUUUUAAAUAUAAAAAUGAAUAAAUUUUCAUAAUUUCAUAGUAAUGGAAUUUAUGAGAAUUAACUCAUAACAAAAUCAAUAGGGCUUUGGGGGGCCUGAAUAUUGUUUGAUCUUUGUCUUACUCUUUGAUAUGCAUGUGAUGAUGUUAUACUUGACCUAACCUUGUUUCCAUGAUAGCAUAUUAUUACUUACUAUUAAGAUAUGAUUUCACUCCUACUUUGUUUUAUCCUUAUACAUCAUUUGUUUAUUUCCUUAUUAAUUGUGACACUUGUUUCACCUUUUUUAGUAGAGAUCCGUUUUUAGGGACUUAGAGGAUGCUACAAUCUUUACCAUACAUUUCCAAUAAGUAAUUUGACCCCGUACCCGACUUUGAUUUUCCAUAUGUUGUCUUUUCCAAAUAAUAAGUCACACUUAGAGUUUUUUUUCUUAUUUCGUUUUCCCUUAAAAAAAAAUAAAACAAAAAUAAGUGACAACUUCAAGUUUUUUUCUAAAAAUCAUAUUUUUCAAUAAAUAAAUAAAAAAAGCAAAUUGCAUCAUCUAAUGAGAACACAUCAUGCGAAAAUGCGGGGUCCACAACCAUAUUUUUUGUUUUUAAAAACAGAAAAUAUAAAACAAUUUUCUAGUUAUCAAAUAUAUUUUCUUUUUAUUUAAAAUAAAAAAACAUAUUCUUAAAAUAGCUAUCAAAUAAGACCUUAUAUUUUUUUUACCUUUAUUAUCUAAUAACAUUGCAAUUGUAUUAUAAAUUAUGUUGAAAACAAUUAGCCAUAAGGCAUAGUAAAAUUUCUUUUCCCAUCCAUAUAUAAAAUUAUUUAAUUAAUGAAAUUGUUAUUAUCUUUUUCUAAUCUAAAUUCAACCAUUACGUUGAAAAACAAUUACCUUGUUGCAAUUGUAUGAUCCAAAUAAUUUUUUUUUACCAAAUUUUGCAGAGAGUGAGAUUGUAGUUUUUCAUUGGGAUAGAACUUUUGGAGUUUGAUGGUUGGGAAUCGACUAACAUAAAGUUAGCAAAAUUAAUAUAUAUCAUGUACGAGAAAAGUGAGUUACACAAAGAACAAAGCUAUACCGCCAAGUAGAGUGUAAGCUUUCUAGUAGCGUGCAUCAUGAGAUUGCAAAGAGCGCAAGCUUUCUGGUAGGGUUCAUCAUGAGAUUGCAGGUCUAGCAAACUUGACCUUGCUUGAUCUAUCUUCAUGAGAUUGCAGGUCUAUCAGGGCCUGUACCGAAGUUCUUUGACCGGUCCAACCGCCGACCUUUGACUGGUCUGGUUUGGUCCUCUCCUUCUGGGUGGUUGAACUGACCACAAACAGGGUGAACCGACUGAACCGGGCGGUUCUUCAUGAACCGCAUAGCUCAAUUCCAGCCCAGCCUUCCCCUCCUCUCUUUCAUAGGGGCCCAAGUAAAAGUCCAAUAAGCCCGGACAGGUUCUCAAUUCCAGCCCAGCCCAGCCUUUCCCCUAUUUUCUUUGUAGGAUCCACCGCAAGCAUUUGAACCCUAAACCUCAACUGAGCAAGCAUCAUAGAGCACCACUUGGCCAUAGUACAUUUUUUUAUACUAAGUUUAGCAAAUAAAAAAAAUCUAUAUGUGUUUGUAAAAUGAUUUAUAAUAUUAAAUAAAAAUAAUAUAAUAUUUUUUGAAAUUAUAAAAUUAGUUAAAAUUUUCUUUCAUUUUUAAUAUAUUCACAUUUAAAUAUUAUACAUAUUCCAUUUAAUAAAGUUUAAAAUAUUAAUAGAUUUAUAUUUAUAAUUGAUAAUAUCAAAGAUAAAAAAUAAAUAUUAUUAAUUUUUAAUUUAUAUAUAUAUAUAUAUUUAAAAUUUUAUUAUUUUUAAUUUUAAUAUAUUUAUAAUGUUACUAGUUCAUCCUAUUCAAACAUCAAUUCAAUCAUUGAACUAUUAAUUAUAACUUUUUUGGUUCAAUAAUGCUAAAAACAUUGUGAGAAACCUUCAAGGACUUGUCCUUUCGCAUAACCAGCUAACUGGAACCAUCUCUGUUGAUCUGGGCUCGUUGAUGCCAAACUUAGUUAAGCUUGAUUUUUUUAUCAACUGGCUCAUUGGAUCACUUCUGACUUCCCUCAUUUAUAUUCUGCAUGAAAAUCCUGACCCAUCUAGACAUUAGCAUGAAUUCUUUCUUGGGUCUCACUUCUCUUGAUUUUAGCCUCUUUGUUGCUUCUAAAUGCCAACAACUAACCUCUGUCUGUGACUUUUUAUGAAAUAUAGCUUCCCCUUCUAUUUUAUAUCUUUAGAACAACAGAGUCACAGGCAGCUUCUUCGCUCUCAAAACUUGUUGCCUUGGCAUACCUCAAUUUCUCCAAUAACAAUUUCGAAAUAUGCCAUGCUAUAUGUGUGACAUAGUAGGCCUUGCCUUCAUCAAUUUCUCUGGCAACAGAUUCACUGGCUAUGCACCAGAGAUUUGCAUGUAGGACCAACAGUGCUCACACUCCUACCUUUAUAUCUUCUUGGCAGGGCUACACAGCUGUGAGGGCUCUGACACAAGCGGCCAAGCCUCUAUUUGAGCUAUUGUACCACUUUCGUAUUCCUAGUUCUGCUCAUUUUCCUUCUCACACGGAGGAUGCUGAGGCAAAAAACUGUAGUUGUUGACAAGGGAAAGGGCAAGCUGGUGGCAGUAGUUGAGUCAGAAUCCGCUGAUGAGCUGCUGGGCCAGAAGAUAAAAGGGACAGCUAGCAUUAACUUUGCAACAUUUGAGCGCUCUUUGCUGCGGAUGAAACCUUUAGAUAUCUUAUCAGUGACUGGCAAUAUCAGCAAGACUUAUAAUAUUGGUGAUGGUGGGUUUGGUACAGUUUAAUUAUAGAGCCUCACUACCAGAGGGAUGAGCAAUUGCUGUCAGAAGGCUCAACAGAAGACGUUUGCAUGGUGACUGGGAAUUCUUAUCUGAAAUGGGGACAGUUGGAAAGGUUAAGCGUGAAAACCUGGUUCCACUCCUUGGUUGCUGCAUCCUUCAGGAUGAGAGGUUUUUAGCAUACGAGUGUAUGGAGAAUGGAAGUCUUGACGUGUGGUUGAGGAAUAGAGCAGUUGCAGUUGAGGCCCUGGACUGGCCCACCAGGUUCAAGAUCUGUUUGGGAUCUGCCAGGGGGCUCGCCUUUCUGCGUCAUGACUUUUUUCUUCACAUUAUUCGCAGAGACAUCAACCCUAGUAAUAUCUUUUUUAACAGUAAAUUUGAGCCAUGGGUGGCAAUCUGGUUGGCUGGGUGGAGUGGAUGGUUGCAAAUGGGAGGGAAGACGAUGUGUUGAAUCAUCCGUACUUUUCAACUAUUACAAAGUGGAAGGAUCAAAUGUUAGGUGAGCUUUCAAUUGCAUGAUUGUGCACAUUUGAUGACUCAUGGAAGCGGCGUGCCAUGCUUGAGGUGGUGAAUCUGUUAAUGGGGAUUAAGCUGGCAGCUCACUGAAAGUACUUAAGUGACUGCAAGUCCAAAAAUUCUACAAUAGCAUAUGUUUUCGACUUAUGAUUGAGAAACGCAUGUAAAUAAGUGACUAGAGGAGAAGGAUGGAAAUGUGCUAUGAUAUUCAAUAUUAUCUUUUGAACUCUGCAGACCAGUUGGGAAAUGCAUUUUCCUCAAAUGCGACUGCAACUUUUCUCUUAUGUCAACAGGAUGCUAAGUUUGAGAAUUGGCUGUGCGUUUUCAGUUUUCGUGUUUGGAAACCACAAGCAUCCAUUGCGACCAGAGACCGGUUCCAAAGCAUUAAUAUCUGCAGCAACGAAGUUAGAUUUAAUCCAAGGGAGGCAAAUGAAGAUUAUGUUGUAAUACUCAAGAAACUUUUCUUCAUUUGUAUUUGCCUGGGAAGGAGUUGACCUUAGCUCCAAGCCUUUAGGAUGUUGGAGGCAUUAGGUGAAGGGGAGAUGAAAUUAAGUGGAAGGUGUCCACACUGUCCAGAGGAGGAGUAUUGUUGUUAUAUUAUUACGGGCCUUUAAUGCCCUAGUACUAUAGAGGUUGGAUAUCGCCGCCCUUGGAAUGAGGUUGAAGGCCUCAACAUGCCUUUGCACUGUUAUAUGCCGUUUUUCUAAUAGGCAAAUAAGAAUAUAUUAGAAGUGCCAAGAAAGAAGGGGGUGGCUUCACUUGUAAAGGGUUGAUGCUCCUUUUGGCAAUUUCAAUGUUAUUUUCUUUUCUUUCAGAGGAGUAAGGGAAAAACUGCAAAAAAACUUUUACAUUCAAGUUUGCAGGGCUUAAUCCCAUUUUUCUUAUGUGGUGUAAUUUGUUCAUCUGAUUGUUCUCCUACCUUAUUUUUUCCGGUGGUUUCUGCUAUUUGAGUCGAUUCGUUAACUUCUUGAGCCUUUUUAAAAAAGGACGACGAGGGAAUGUUGUUCACAUAUAGUUUUGCCUUCACAUCUAUUAUGUUCUUUUGAUAUCACAGCAGACACAACUUACACUCGCUGCUUCCCAAACCAAAGCAGUUCUACCACCAGUCGAACUGACAAAAAGAGCUGGCAACUAACACCUUGUAAUAUAAGUCUAUGUGUGUGUAUGUAUAUAUAUACUACCGAUGAAUAUUAUUAGUGGGUAUUUCCAAAUCUUUGGAGAUUGCAGCAGAAUUAAGCAAACCUUUCAAGCACAACACAUAAUGUUCUAUUCCUAAUCACUCCCCAUUAGGGUGUGUUUGGUACUGUGAAAAUGAGGAGUGCAUUUUCUCUUUCACUCCCAUAUUUAGAUAAUUUAAAAAUGAUGAUGAGAAUGAAAUGAAAAAUGAUUUCAAUGAAAAUGAAAUCUCACUUAUAAAUGAGAUUUCAAUUCAUUCAAACUAGGAGGUAUUUUGAUUCUUUAGUGCAAGUUCUUCUUAAAAAUACUUUUUAAAAAUUAAAAACUAAGACUUUUUUAGAUAAUUUAUUUUUAAAAAUAUUUUUUUAUUUUAAUUUUUUAAAAACCACAUAUUAUAAAUUCAAUUUAUAUAAUGUAAACUAAAUUUAAUUCAUGUUUUAUUAAAAAUAAAAACAAAAUUAAAAAUAAAUAUUUUUUAAUAAAAUAUAAAUAUUAACAAUGUAAUAAAAUUAUAAAUUAUAUUUUUUAUAUAUAUUAUAAAAAAUGUAGAUAUUAACAUUAAUUGAUUUAUUUUGUUGAAAAUAAAUAAUAAUAAUUCAAAAUUAGUAAUUUCUAAUACCAUUCAAUAUAUAAUAACAUGGCAUUAAGCUUUCUGCUCUCGAAAGCUACAAAGUGCACCUGUACCCCACCUAAAGUUUUGUUAGAAGCAUUCGUCUACACCUCAAAAGGAAGCUUCAGGUGCAGGAGUCUCAACACUGGCCCCAUUGUAAUCGUGUUUUUCAAGCAUUGGGCAGCUUUCUUGCAAUCCGACUCCCAAUCCCACCUUGUCUCCUUCUUUAGCAAAUUAGUCAAAAGAAUGACUAUAUCAUAAUAGCCUUUUAUUAAACGUCGUUAGUAAUUAGGUAAACCAAGGAAGGAAUAUGGAUAUUGAGAUCUUAUAAAAGCAAAAUUAAUUUAUUUUGUUAAAAAUAAAGAAAAAUUAUUCAAAAUUAAUAAUUUCUAAUAAUAUUCUAUUUUGAAUGAAUAUAAAAAUAAAUAAAAUUUAAUUUUUUAAGAUAUAAAUGUGCCAAAAUUUUCAUUAUAUUCAUACAUUUAUUACUCAAUUACAAAAAUAACAUUCUAAAUUAUUUUAUUUAAUCUAUAAUUAAUUAAUCAGUUUUUUGAAUCUCAAAUUAUUAUUAAAAAUUACAAGAUUUGUUAAAGAAUCUAAAAUAUUAAUUAUGUUUGUUAUUUUUUAUUGGCAUUAUAUAUAUUAAGUUUUAAAUUAUUUUUUAAAAUCGUUAAACUUAUUAAUAAGUUAAUACAAAGUCUCACUUCAUUUUAAAUUCAUUUUCUUUAAUAGAAAAAAAUAAGAACAGUUCUCUAUUUUACUUUAUUUUUAAAGAAUAAUGACUAAAUAAUUGUAUAAAUUUUUAAAAAUAAUUUUUUUUUCAAAUCACAUGCCUAGGUUUUUAUUAUUUAGCAAAAAAAAAAAAUCUUUCAAGGAUUUUCUUUUAAAUGGAAAUAAAAAAUUAUUUUAAAUUAUGUUCAAUUUAAAUUAUUUUAAAAUAAAUAUAAAAAUAAAAAAUUAUUUUAAACCAUGAGAAAGAAUAUCAUUGAAAAUUUUGUUUAUUUUUUCAUUAGUAUUCCCAUUUUUACUUAGAAUUGAAAUGGAAAUAAAUUAUCAUUUUUAUUUUAUAUCUUUAUAUGCAUCCAAAAAAACAAUUAAAAUUAUUUUUAUUUAAGAGAAAAUAAGAAUGAAAACAAAAUAUUUAUUCUCAUAUUUUUCCUUUCGGCCGCCCAAGACGCAUGCUCGCACGUCCAACAUGUGAAGCAUAGAGAUAGAAGAGGCUGCUGAAGAUGCAAUGAAAAGUGAGAAUUGGGAAUCCAAAGGAUUGUGGCAGCACAGCAUACAGCCCCGUCGUGAAUGCUACCACCAUUGCUCCCAUCCCAAACAGGGUGAGAUGAGAGGCAUAAAAAAACAAGCGUAGCCACGUCCUCAUAUUGAGGUCAUAAAACAGUGCAUGUUGCACUGCCAUACUAAAAAAUAUGAAUACGGCACUUACCGAGAACGUCAGGGCUAUGGUAUCCGACACAACAAAUGCUUUGAAAGAUGCUUUCUUUGUUAAGAUUGCCAUCCCAUCUGUGUCGCUGUAACCACCAGGCAAGGUGAAGCCUGCCGCAAAGGUUACUGUUGCCGUAAGUGUUGCCACUAUCAAAGGGGUUUCACUUGCCUUUUUCACGGAAGAGAUGAUUUUAUCAUCCUCCUCCUCAUCAUCAUCUAUUUUGCCACCAUAUUUGCUGUCAUCCUUUCUGAUGACGUGCUGCAAACUCGAAGGUCUAAAAGGCAGUCUUGAAUAUUUCUUAAAUCCUUCAAAUCGGUCAUCUACUUGUGCCUGCUGCGAACUGGAAGAUCUAAAAGGCCGUCUAAGAUAUUCCUUGCUUCUCUCAUGUAGGUGAUAUAACUGCGGACAUUCUAACGCAGAGAGCUGAAAUUUGACCAGAGUAAAAUUUCUAUUAGAGAAAAACAGAAAAUUAUAUAUAUAUAUAAUGCAUGAGAAGAUCAAAUAAAUGGAUGAUCGUCCAAUGGGAUGAAGUAAUAGAAAAUUUAGUUAAAAAGCCUUACCGUGCCCCAUGAAAAUUUAUUCCGGGAAGAAAAAAGGUUGUCAGAAAAGUUUAACUUUUCUUUGUUCCGUUCCAUCUUAUCCACCGUUUUGUCCAAUAUGAAAUCUACAUCAUUAACUCCGAAAGAAGCAAGCAGGUGGAGGGGUGUGUCUCCUUGAGCAUCUUUCUCAUUUACAAGUCCUCUCACUCUUAAUCCAUCCUUUAUUAAUAACUCACUACCAAAAUGAGAAGGGUGCUUCUUCAUCAUGGCAAAGUGAAAAACAUUAUUGCCAUUCUCAUCAACCUGCUCACAACAAUCUGGAGCGUGUGACAGCAGCAACUUUACUAUGUCCAUACAGCCAUUGUAACUUGCAAUGUGAAGGGCUGUUCUGUUGCUAUUUUUUAUUCCAAGGUAGAUUACAGACUUGUCUUGUGAUGAUCCGUCUAGUAAUUGCUUGGUAAUUGCGGCAUCACGCAUGUAUGCAGCACAAUGAAGCGGAGACCAGCCAUUUUCAUCCACUUCUUUGAUUAGCAUUGGCUUCCAUCCUAGUAUCUUCUUUGUCAUUGCUGAUCAAAUAAAUAAAUGAAGAAAGAGAGGUCAAGGAAUAUUAAAGAAAAUUAAUUAUAAAAUGAAUAACCUAAUGCAUUACUAUAGGCCCUUAUAUGCACUACCUUGGUGACGGCAGAGUACAGCAGCAUGCAAAGCUGUUCUACCCUCGAUGCCUUUGUGAUCUGAUGAAGGGCUGGUGUCUAUGAUUAUUUCAACCAAGUCCUCAUAUUCUCUCUCGGCAGCCAUGUAAAGAGGAGUGUAGCCUGUACUGUUAGCACCAUAGAUGAAGUGAGGGUCUGCCUCAAUCAAUAACUUCACCACUUUUGAGUGAUGAUACCGCACCGCCUCGUGCAAGGCUGUGUCUUUCUCCUUAUUGGUUAUCCUCAGCAUCGCCUUGUCUGUUCCAACCCCACUUUCGAUCUCUAAGUGAAGUGCUUUUGCAUCAAGGAGAGCUUCCACAACCGCCCUAUGGCCUUCUCUCGCAGCAAGGUGAAGUGGAGUGUCGCCUUUCAGAUUGGGCUGCUGCAGUAGAGGUGAACAUGAAUGAAAGUCAAGGAUCCACUCUACGCAUGCCAGCUGACCGAACUGGGCUGCAAUGUGGAGGACAGUGUUCCUUUUUGGGGUUAGUUGGGGUUGAAGAUGAGCAAAUUCCGAGUACUUCCCCUUGAGGAAACUGAUAUCACCUCUAUACAAAGCCUUGUACAAAUCAGCAUCCAUGUGGGGGAUCUCAGUUUGGCUAACAGCUGCAAUCUGGUUCGGUAUCUCAGUUUGGCUUGAAAAGGUUUCCGAGUUAAGGUUCUGCGAUUCUGUAAUUUGAUUGGAGCUGGACUGAUCCAUUUUUGGUGUUGGAGGAACAAAGUAAUAAUCAACUCUUCACAUUCUAUCUAUCUAUAUAUAUAUAUUUAUAUUUUGUGAGCAAUUCCCUUCAAGCUUUUGUCCUUAAUUGAAAGAUAUUUUAUGUAGAGCAUAUGUGGUAAGGGCUUUUGUAAGUUGUUUGCCCGUAUAUAUUUUUCUCUUUCUUAUGAGGUUUUUCUGUCUUUUCUGACAGCUCCCGUUUUUAUUUACUUGGUGAGAUUUUUCUGAUAGGGUUGUGAAACCACUGCAAAACGGGUAGAUUUUUAUGAUUUUCUCCUUUUUUUUAUUAUAAAAAAUAAUAAAUAAAUAAACUCGAAUAAAUAAUUUUGUUAAGACAUGUAUAAUAUAAAAGUUUCUACUCUAUUUUUCUAUUUCAUUUUAAAAAAUAUCAUAUCUUGAGAAUAACUUCUUAAAUUAUAAAAAAUAUAAGGACAUGUUUAACUGUUUUCAAAAAUAAUUUUUAUAUAUAGUGUUUUAUUUUUAAUCAUUAUAUAUGUUUGUAUAAUUAUUUCUUAAAAUAGUCAUUAGAAAACAAGUAAAAACAAUAGAAAAAAAAUAAAAGAUAUUAUCUUAAAACACUUUAUUUUUUUAUUCUUAAAAAUAAAAAAACAUAAAACAUUUUUUAGUUACCAAUGUGUUUUUUGUUCUAAAGAACAAAAAAUUAUUCUUAAAAACAGUUUCCAAACAUAUCCUAAAUAUCUAAAUAUAUUUUCAGUUUUAAUUUUUAUUUUUUAGAAGAAUGAAAAUACCAAACAAAAUCUUAACCUAUCUUUAAUCACACUAAUUUUAGGGUAAUCUCCACUCAAGAGUUUAUUUUCUUACAUUUUUUCUAUAUGUGGUCAUCAACUACUUAUCUUUUUUAUUUAUUUGUUUGUUAGCUAGAAAAAUAGACUAUGUGGGAGAUCACCCCAAGUAUAAUAUACAUCCUUUUUAACGCUUGAAGAGUAGUCAUCAUGAAAAUCAUUUCAUCAUUUCGAGAAUAUUAUAAUUUUGAGAAUAAAACAAGUGUGAGUAAGUCAUUACCAAAGUAAUAAUCAAUUUCCUCAAUCAGAAACAAAUUAAUAAAUAAAUAUGACAAAGGGAAACGAACAAAACACCACCUAUACUACAUAUUAAACAAGUUACAACUUGCAGCCAUGAAAGCUAUCUUAGACCCGACACUAUUAUUUUAGUCCCUUCCAAACUUAUUUAAGCCAAACCCAUUUAGGUUUUGUUUGCAAACACUUUAUAAAAAAUAAUUUUUAAAAUUCAUUUAUGAUAUUUAGUAUAAUAAAAUUUGUUUAGAAAUUUGAAAUGUAUUUAACCUAUUUUUUUAUAUUUUAAAAAUAAUUUUUAUAUAAAAUAUUUCUUUUUUAUUAUUUUUAAUAAUUAUAUAAUUUUUUAAAAUAAUUAUAAAAAAGUAAUAAAAAAAAAAGGGAUAACAAUAGAAAAUAAUUAAAAGUUAUCUAUUGAAACACUUUAUUAUGUUUUUAAGGAUAAAAUUUUUUUUUUCACUUUUUUGUUAUUACACAUGUUUUUCUAUUUUUUUUUCUAAUUUUUUAUGAAAAAAAAAUAGUUAUGAAACAAGACUUUAACUUCCACAUCAUGUUCUCCUCAACCGUUAUUAUUAAUCAACUUAUAAAUUAAUUUUGCUUAUUAAUUCCAUAAGAUCAAAAUUUAUUUUAAAAUUUUAAUAUUAAAAUUGAAUAGAAUAUGAUUAUUUAGUAUCUCAAAAAUUUGUCACUGACAAACUACAGAUAAUUUUUAUCUUAUCAACUUAUGAACUCAGACCAAUAGAGAGUUAGAGCUAUUUUGCAUAUACCAACAAAUAAAAAGAGCUAAAUAGUCAAAUUUGUACAUCUAAUCAAAUUUGAAUAACGCAAUUUUUCCCACUUAUCAACCGUUGGGUAUACUGGAAUACUAAAAUAUUUCAUACAAUGCAUAUUAACCAUUUCUCAUCGCUUGUAGCCACAACUGACCACAUAAAAGAAUGUAUAAAAAUUAUGGUAACUAUAAUGAAAAGAAGAACACUACUAUUUAUUAUUUAUUAAUAUUAAAUAACAUUAAUUAUUAUAAAUAUUUUUUUUAGUACUCAUACUUUUAGGUUUAAUUUGAAGAUGAUAAUUAUCAGGUUAGUUUUUCAAUUCUGGGUUUUAUUGAAAUUUCCUAUUAUCCAUAAUAUGUUAUACGAAAUAUAAGUAUUAAUGUAAUUUAUUGUAUUCAUCGAAUGGUAUGUGACCAUGUGACAACGUCAGAGUAUAUAAUGUUUCUUCUUUGUUUUAGUCUGCCACUCAAUGGAUUCGUCUAUAGUGUGUUCUUUGUUUGGUCUGCCCCUCAAUGAUUCCCGUAAAUUGCGGAAGAAAGGCGAAUCAUUGCAUGUGCAAUUGUUUUACCGAAUGGUUUGUGAUAAUAUAUAUCACGUGAACUGUGAAAGAAAAGUGUCUUUUCUGAGUUUUCUCCCUUUGAUUGCAUUCACUGAACAGCAUGUGACCAUGAGACAAUGUCAGAGUGUAUGGUGUCUUCCUCUGUUCUAGUCCACCACUUAAUGGAUUACCGUGAAUUGUGGAAGAAAAGUGGAUCACUAUGCAAGCAUUUUAUCGAGUGGUUUGUGACAAUCUAUAUAAUAAAAAGUUAGGAAAAAGUUACAAGAAAAAUAUCAUUUCCAAAUAAUAGAAUGUUUAGGUGGUGUUUGUUUUUUUACUUAAUUCUAAAUAGAACCUUAAUACUUAAUAGUAUUAAAUAUUAGGUUGUUUGUUUUUGUAGUAUUUUAUUCCUAUUAAGUAUUAAAAAGUAAAAAAAACCAUUGUGUUAUUUUUUCUAUUUAGAAAAAAAUCACAUAUUUUGGUUUUUUCUAUUUAGUAAAAAGUUUAUAAUAAGUCAUGAAAAAGUAAAAAAACAAGCAACCUAAAUUCUAAAACUAAAUGGUUUUCAACAAAAAGCCAAAAAAACAAACACCACCUUAGUGAAUUUCUACCACGAAUUUCUGCCACACUUUAUUACAUAUGAAAUAUUUUUAUUAUUUUUAAUAAUUAUAUAAUUUUUUAAAAUAAUUAUCAAAAAAAAAAAAGUGAUAACAACAUAAAAUAAUUAAAAGUUAUUGGUUGAAAACACUUUAUUCUAUUUUUAAGGAUAAAAAAUUGUUUUUCACUUUUAGUUAUUAAACAUAUUUCCUUUUUUUAUGAAAAAAAAAAAGUUAUGAAACAAGACUUUAACUUCCACGUCAUGUUCUCCUCAGACGCCAUUAUUAAUCAACUUAUAAAUUAAUUUUGCUUAUUAAUUCCAUAAGAUCAAAUUUUAUUUUAAAAUUUUAAUAUUAAAAUUGAAUGAAAUAUGAUUAUUUAGUAUCUCAAAAAUUUGUCACCAACAAAUUACAGGUAAUUUUUAUCUUAUCAACUUAUGAACUCAGACCAAUAGAGAGCCAGAGCUAUUUUGCAUAUAUCAACAAAUAAAAAAAGUUAAAUAGUCAAAUUUGUACAUCUAGUCCAUAAUUAAAAUUAUUUUUUAAUUAUGAACAACAAAUAAUCAUUUUUUGACUAAAAUAAUAAGAGAAUAAAACAAGUGUGAGUAAGUCAUUGCAAAAAUUAUAAUCAAUUUCUUCAACUCGAAGCAAAUUAAUAAAUAAACCCAACAAUAGGGGAACAAACACAUUGGAGGUGUUCCCAAACCCUCCACAUUUCAAUGGUGGGAGUGUUUUUCCAACUUGUAACUUGUUUACUGAUGAGCUGGAGGUACUGCUGGGAAUAAUUUAAAUUAUUUAUUUAUUUUUUAUUUGCUUUUAGCUAGGGUGGACCAAUUUAAUUACCAUAUAUUUUUUAGAAAAGAGCAAGCAUCUCUCGUUUUUAACUUAUAUGUCAAUGGGAUGGUCCAUUAUCUAUGUUCAGUGAAAACGUGGCAUGCCACGUACUUCCCAAUGCACAAGCUGACAAGAUAUUUGAAAAGUUGUCGUGUUUUAAUUUGUAAAAUGAUUGACUUUUGGGUCCCAUAAUCAUCGAAGUAUUUAGUGAAAUAUUGCUUAAUUUAUUGAAAUAUAAAUUUUAUCAUUAACGUGGAUACAUGUGCAACACCCCUUGAUUAUAAUAAAAGACAAUGAUUUCGUGUGGUUAUUUUAUAAAAAUUAAUACAUAAUACAUAAUUAUUAUAUAUAAUUUAAAAUUAAAUUAUAUUUAAAUUAUCAACUUUAAACUUAUUAUCAAAUUAUUAUUUUUUGUGCUAGGAUUAUAAAACUCUUUUAAAAAAUUAUAUUAUUAAAUUUACCCCUUUACUUUCGUGAAUACUAAAAAAUAAGGUUUGAAGAGAGAAACAUAAAAAUAAAGUGACAUAAAUAAUUAAAAUAAAAUAUUUUGGAGGAUUUAUAAAGAAUUAUUUAUUUAUAAAGAAUUAUUAAAAAAAGUUUAGAUGUUAUUUUAUUUACAAACUUGGUGACAAAAAAUAAAAUAAAAUAAAAUGAACGUGAAAUUAUUCAAAUAGUAUACAAAAGGGAUAUCAACAACAAACAAAAAUAACCCAAAAAUAUAUAUAAAUAAAUAAAUAUAAGAUGGAAUAAAUAAGAGAUUCAAAGCAUGCUAAAAAUACUGUAUUAAAAAUGAAUGAACAAAGAACAAACCAAACAAAAAAACAAUACACAAAAAAUUACUGAAAAUGAACCAAAUAUAAAUAACAUACCUAUAUUUACAAAACUGAAACGAAUAAAUAAAAAAUAAAUGAAUGAAAGGGAGAAGAAUGUACCCAAAAAAUAAAUGAAUGAAAGUGUCAUUAGUAGGGUAAAACCGAGACAUUUUCGAAAUAAAUCUUAAAUAAAUAUCUACAGGUGUUAUUUCAUCAAAAUAAAAAAUGGACAACAUCUUAAAUAUGUCUAUAUCAUAAUACAAAAGUCCAAAUUAUUUAAUUACAUGUCAUCACAUUAAAUACACUUCAUAGAACAUUUAGCUUAUAAUCAAAAUAGAGAUGUUCACCAAAUAAAUCCAAAAAAAAAUAAUCUAGAAAUGGAAUUUCAUCAUGAAAAAAAAAAUUGAAUAAUAUUUCCCAUGUGUCCCAAUUACAAUUCAAAAGGCCAAAUUAUUUAAUUAUGCAUCAUUCAAUACUAAAUUUCAUUUUACUGUUACUUUAAUUUACUACUAAAUGCAGAAAUUAAAUACCAUCCAAAAUAGAAGUAUAUAAAUAAAUCACACUCAAAUUGCAAUGGAUUGAAGUCACAAAAGGCCUAACCAUACAAGAAGAUGAGAAAACAACUCUUAAAGAGAAUGGUGAUAAGCUUUUUAAAAGGGUGUACUAUGGUAAAAAUAAAAGAUUGAAUUAAUAAAAUUUAAUUCAAAGUGGAGACUAUUAGAAAAUAUUUCAAAUUCCUAAUUGUUACAUAUUAUUUUUUUAAAGAAUAUUAUAUAAAAUAUUUCCUUAAAUUGAUAUGUUAUUAUGAUAUUAGAUUCUUUAUAAAAUAAAGAAAAUUAUUAUAAAUAUUUCUAUAAAUAUUAUAGUUUAUAAGAAGAAAAGGUUAUGGGAUGAAGCCGAUUAAAAUAUAUUUUAUGAUCAAUAAUUAUAUCUUAUUUCUAUCUUUUAUAGUAUUUUUUAAAGUACGGUAAAAAUAUUCUAUUUCAUUUGUGGAUUGACAUGAUUGGACAAAUUAGGUAAAAACCCAGUGUAACUUUGCACAUAAAUUGUUUGUUUAAUUACGCACUCCGAUAUUAAUAUAUUUGUAUUAAAACUUUAUGGAUACAACAUCGGCCAUCAGUGCAACCACCAUUGCUCUCAUGGCAAAAGUAAUGAGGAAAAAGGCUUGGGAUAUGUGUUCGUAAGUGAACUCCUUUUCAUGGUGGAGUGCAUAAAAAGGUGAGGCAUAUGAAGGUGUGGAGAGCAUCAUGGUGAGAGUAAUGACCACAACAAAUACUUCAAAUGCUAUCAUGUGGAUUUCUUUGACAUAAACUAUUUUAAUGGCAUAACAAUUAUCAGCGAUCCUUUAUAAAUUUUACUUUUUGAUUGAUCUAAUUAUGUGUGGGUAUAAUUUUAAAUGCCUAUUAUUAAUUAAAGGGUAGUUUCAACUACCUACAAUUCUCUAUUUUGACAUAUUACAAUGGAUUCAAUGCCAUUUUGUAUGAGUAUUAAUCUAUGAAAUUAAAGUAAAGGCGUAAAAGAUAAUUUUAAGAUUUUUUUCUUAGCAUAAAGGAAAGUUCUCUGUCCAAAUACGAUUUGGAUUUUCUCUUUCUUUCUGACAUAGAUAAGAGAAGUCUGUAAAAGUUACAAAAUUAGACUAAUCUGUUCUUAGUUUAGGGAUAAUAUCUGAACCCACAUUACAUAUUUUCUACAACAAUAGUGGCUCGCAUCAAGGCCUGGCAGAGGAUGAAAUUUGUAGAUGGGUUAGGCAGUGGGGCCAAUGUGAUUGGGUCGUAUUUAGGGCGGGCCAGGCCUGAUCCAAGUGUGAAUGCUAUAAUAUGGAUUUUGAAAGGCCAAGGUUGAGCCCAGCCCCCAAAUGUGCAGGCUUGGUAGAUCGACCUGGUUAAGCAAAAGCAAGAUGAGUUUGGAAUCCGACGGGGAAAAGGUCAGUAAUGGUAGGGCCCACUUCCCUUUGAAACCUUGUUCAGUCGUCCGUCCCCACCCUUUGGUUGCGUAGGACAAACCCCCACCAUAACACCAUGUGGGUUGCCCCCUCGUUCGACAUCAUUCCAUGAAAACAAUGUCGUUCUAUGAACGGAGCAGAGGAUCGCUUGCACAUGGCACUGGUGACGAAGGAGUCGGUGGAAAACCGGCGCGGACCAAAGUCGGGAGGCAUAUUUUUCAUUUCUUUUUUUCUUUUUAAUAAUGAGAAUCUGGUAAUUAUGAAUAAUUGGACAGGUGGAGCCUCGGAAUGAAGCAUGUCAGAGACCUCUAUUUCCAUGAGGAUACACAGGGAUAUAGUUUUGAAGAAAAGAGCCAUCACCCUUAUCUUGGUCAUCGCAAAUUGUAUAUAGAUGUGGCCAAACAGAUUCAUUCUAGCAUAAACCUUACAAUGGCAAUAGCCAUCACCCUCAUAGGCCAAGCCUUGAUCCUCUCUCGUUUGGUUUUGGAAGCCAAAAGUCCAAUCUCUUUUAUCCUUUGGGCCUCUUAUAUAUGGAGAGAGAGAGAGAUUGAGGCUGUCUCGAAGCUUGUAGUACAAGUUGCAAAUGACAUAUUGAUCCUGCAGUUUUUAGUUAAUAUAGUCACCACCCAUGGCUUGCGUUUUUAUUUUUAUUUAUUUGUUCAUUUUUUUUAUAUCUUUAAUUUGUUCAAACGUUUCAAUCAAGUUUACCAGAUCCACUAAUGGAACAUCAUGACACACUUUCAUGUAAAUUAAUAAUUUCACUCCCAUAAAGAAAAUGAGAUCUUACCCAUUGCAAAUAGAUCAAUUAGCACAUCCUGAGAAAAAGUUAAAAAGACAAAUUAUAAUAAUAAUAAAUUACAAAGCAUGCUUACAAGAAAAUUAUUUCAAGUUCCAGAAGAAAAGGAAAAGGUAGUCCUACCGCGGUACCAGAUCUGCCCCUUGCCCAAUUGCAAUUGCGAACAUAAGGUCAUUUGAUGGUAAUUUUGAGAACUGUUUUUAUCUUCCUUUUCAAACGUAUUCUAAAUGGACAAGUUAAGGUAAAGGCAACAAUAAUGAGAAACAAGUACCCGGAGGUACAAACAACGAGUAGAAGCCCUGAGGAAAAUGGUAACACAGCGGAUAGGCCCAUCACGAAUGCAACCACCAUUAGUACCACACUAGACAUAGUGAGACAAGUGCCCAGGACUAAUUGUUUUGCAAGGAUGUCCUCGUCCUUAUGCAACGACAUAACAAAAUAAACGAACACAGCAGAUACAGAGAGCAUCAUGGCUAAUGUGUCCGUCACAAUAAAUGCUUUAAAAGCUACUUGCUUUGUUAAUUUUGCCAUGCCAUCACUGUCAUUGUAACCACCGGGCAAGGUGAAACCCGCUGCACAGGAUACAGUUGCUACAAGUGUUGCCACUAUCAAAUGGGUUUCACCUAGUCUCUCUGUGAAAGCCAUGCUUUCGUCUUCUCUGACGUCUUUGUUUUUACUACUACUACCAUUGUCUUUAUUGAUGGCCUCUUGCCAACUGAAGGGUCCGACAACAACUUUCUCCCAUUCCUUCAUUUGUUUUUUUAGUUUCCCCUGAAAUUUGAUUAAAAAACAGAGAAAAUUGUUGUCACUAUUUUGGCCUUCGGCACUUCUUUUUAACAUUUCCCACCUUCCCUCACAACAAAGGAAAAUGGAUGAUUAAACAUUGAUAAACUAAUCAAAAUAUUAAGUUAGGAGCCUUACCCCGAACAUUUGUCCCGACUUAAUGUUAGCCCUUGAAAGAAUGUCUAGGGCAGUUAACUUAUCGUCGUUGAGUGCCAUUUUAUCCACUGCAUUGUCCAUUGAGAAAACUGGAUUAUAACAUUGGCAAGAAGAAAGCAGGUGGAGGGGUGUGUCUCCUUCGUCAUCCUUCUCAUUUACAAGUCCUCUCACUCUUAACUUAUUGUCAUCCGGGAACAAAUCAUCAAUAGCAAAAGGCCGUUUGCUCAUUGCGGCAAAGUGAAGAAAAUUAUUUCCCUGAUCAUCAACCUGCUCGCAACAAUCUGGAGAGUGUGAGAGCAGAAGCUUUACUGUCUCUCUAUGGUGGCGGUUAGCUGCAAAGUGUAGUGCUGUUUUCUUGGUAUCUUUGAUUGCAAGGUAAGUUACAGACUUAUCUGAUGAUUUGUCUAGUAAUUGCUCCGCAAUUUUAGUAUAACCCAAGUAUGCAGCACAGUGAAGGGGAGACCACCCAUGUUCAUCAACUUCUUUUGUUAGAUCUGGCUUCCAUUCCAAUAACUUCGCUAUCAUGUCUGAUAAACAAAUGAACCAACAAAAAAAAACAGCAGAGAAAAAAAUUUAAGAAAUUCCCUCUAGUAAAGCAUGACCCCUAGAGGUGAUCAUGAUCUCUAACAAUAUAUUGCAUGAGUAACUAACCAUGUAGGAAUCAAGAUUCAAGGAAAGGGUCUGCAUAUGUGUUACCUUGGUCCUCACGAAUUACAGCAGCAUGCAAAGCCGUUCUACCCAUUAUGCCACUGUGAGAUGGUGAAGCGCGAGUUUUGUCUAUAAUUAUACACACCAAGUCUCCAUAUCCUCUCUCGGCAGCCAUGUAAAGAGGAGUGUAGCCUGUAAUAUUUGCACCGUAGAUAAACUCAGGGUCUUCCUCAAUCAAUGACACCACUAUCUCUGAAUGAUGAUACCGCACCGCCUCAUGCAAGGCUGUGUCUUUCUCCUUAUUGGUCAUCCUCAACAUCGCCUUGUCUGUUCCAACCCCACUUUCGAUCUCUUGGUGAAGUGUUUUUGCGGCGUCAAGGAGAGCUUUCACAAUUGCCCCAUGGCCUUCUCUCGCAGCAAGGUGAAGUGGAGUGUCGCCUUUCCGAUUGGGCUGCUGCAGUAGAGGUGAACAUGAAUGAAAGUGAAGGAUCCACUCUACGGAUGCCAGCUGACCGAACUGGGCUGCAAUGUGGAGGACAGUGUUCCUUUUUGGGGUUUGUUGGAGUUGAAGAUGAGCUUCUGAGUACUUUCUCUCGAGGAUUCUGAUAUCACUUUCAUACAAAGCCUCGUACAAAUCAGCAUCCAUGUGGGUGAUCUCAGUUUGGCCAUCAGCUGCAAUCUGGUUCGACAUCUUAGUUUGGCUUGAAAAGGUUUCCAAGUUAAGGUUCUGCGAUUCUGUAAUUUAGUUGGAGCUGGACUGAUUCACUAUUGGCGUUGGAGGAGCAAAGUAAUAAUCAACUCUUCAGAUUCUAAAUAUAGCGCAUAGAAAAGUUGUGUGUCCACUUGGAUAAUAUUUAUAUAAUUAGGAGUGAAUCACUACAAUUUUACUAAACCCAAAUUUAUUUUUAAAUUUUUCUUAUUUUUCCUUUUUCCUUGCACUCCAUCCUAUUUAGCGAUUAUUUAAGCUGCUUUUACCACGAACAACAAUUCUGGUGGUUUAAAACAAUUUCAACCAUAUUAUCAACCAUUUUAUGAGGUCAUCUUCCAAAAUAACACAAAAUAACAAUUCUGGUGGCAAUUUGUGCUCAUGGGUUGUGUUUGUAUUAUAUUAAAACUUACUCAAUAUAAAUAAUAAUCUUGUUAAAAACAUAAAUCAAAAUAUUAUCUAUUUAUUAAAUAGGUAACAAAUCAUGUAAUCCAUUAAUUUAUUUAGUAAUUAAGUCUUUCUAUUUAAUAAUUAAGUUAAGUUAGGUAUUGUAUAUAUUUAUAUAAUUAAUUUUUUAAUCAAAUAUAUUUAUAACUUAAUUCAUCUAUUUAUUCAAAAACAAAUUAAUUUAAAAUAAGUUGAAGAUUAGUUAAAUAAUUUAAAGUUAUAAUUAAGUUAAUUAAUAAAAUUAUUAAAUCAAUCCAUUUGAAUCAAAUUUGUAUUAUACAGAUGGAUAUAAAAUCUACAUAUCUAUAAAAUGUGUAAUACAGACUAACAUAAAUUUGAUCCAAACUCAAUUAUACUCAAAUUUGUAAAAAGCAUGCUAAGUUUGAGUCGUGUUGACGUAUUAUAUCAAACUUUGUCAUCCCUACAAAAUACAAUGUUAAGGCCCAAACAAUUAAUAAUCACACAUGCUAAAGAGAGGAAAAUCUAAGGGUUAACCAUUUUCAUGAUUGCAAGAUAUUUUUUCUUGGGAAAAAAUGUGCUUCCAUACUCAUAUUUAAGAAUAUCACAAGAUGAAAAUCCAUUAAAAGUAAUUCAAGUUUUAGGCACUCUAAAGUCAAAAUAGCAUUUAGGGUAGUAAAAGGUAUUACUAACAUUACUAAAAAUAGUAGCUAUUUGCUAAAAAAUAUGUAAAAUCUGAAUUAUUUUUAGAUAAAUGUAUUCAAUUUAAAAAUUUUAAAUUGGGGUUGUUAUUUGAUUUUUUUCAAAUGUAUGUUUGAAAACACAAUUUAAUUUCCCUGUUUUUCUUUAUAAAGCAUAGUACCAAGGACGAUUGCUAGGCACCACGAGAAGUUCAUGUUUUUUUGUCUAUAGUCUAUUUAGUGAAUUUUUUCUUUUUUCUUUUUCUUUUUGUAGGGACGGAGUGUAGUAUUUUUCUAUUACUAAAUUUUCUCUCUUUUAAUUAUUCCUUUUCUUUCCCUUUUGGUGGGGGAUGAAAUAUAAUAUUUGUUCAUUAUUAAAUUUUUUUUUCUUUUUCUUUUAUUGGGGACAAGUGGAAUAUUUGGUUGUUAGAAUUUUCUCUUUUAAUUAUUCUUUUUCUUUCUCUUUUGGUGGGGGAUGAUGCUUAAUAUUUGUACAUUAUUAAAUUAUUAUUAUUUUUUUUUUAAGGACAAAUGGAAUAUUUGUUUGUUAGAAUUUUCUCUUUUAAUUAUUCUUUUUCUUUGACUUUUGGUGGGGAUGAAGGAUAAUAUUUUUUGAAUUUUUUUUUUCUUUUUCUUUUUCUUAGGGACGAAGUGAAAUAUUUGUUUAUUAUUAAAGUUUCUCUUUUAAUUUUUUUUUUCUUUCACCUCUUUCAAUUUUUCUUUUUCUUUCUCUUUUUGUAGGGGAUGAAGCGUAAUAUUUAUCUAUUACUAAAUUUACUCUUUUUCUUUCUCUUUUUUUGUGAACGAAAUGGAAUAUUUGUCGGUUUUUGAAUUUUCUCUGUUAAUUAUUAUUUUUUGUUUUCUUUUUGUGGGGGCUGAAAAAGAUCAAGAUAUGGAGGAUUUUGGAGGAGAGGGAGUGAAACUCCAUCAGCAGUGAAAAUGGAGGAUCGGAUUAUAGGGAUACGUGAAGGUUCUUGGUCUUAUCUUGCUGGUACCAUUGGUAGAGUUCCUGAGAAAAGUGAUAGGAACAGCAACACCAAAAGAACCCCCAGACCAUCAAAUAUCCGCCUGGUGUUUUUCCAUUGGGGAUGAACUGAUUAUACAUUGGGAAUUAUCAUCAUCAAAUGCAGCACCACCGGCACCAGCAAAUGCAGUCUCUUUGCACCCCGGGCCCACUUCUGCACCCCUGCAUGGCCACCUUUGGCAUGCAAUCCCAACGGCCACAUGUCAUCCUCCCAUUUCUUCAUCUUUUGCUUUCAAAAUUUGAUUUUCAAAACACUAGUUUUCAAAUAAUUUUAAAAAAUUCAACUUUCAAAUAAUCUUAAUCAAGUACCCUUUUAUAUUUAUUUUAUUUUAUUAUUAUUUUUAUUUAUUUAUUUAUUUAUUUAUUUCCUUAGAAAUUUCAAGUCAUUCCAAAAACCCAAUUUUAAUAAACUUUUUGCUGUCAUAUUUCUCUUCUGGUAUGCAUUUUCAUAUUUUCUUCAAAUUUCAAUUUUUUAUAUUGAUUUUCCUCAAUUUUUAAUAAAGCAUGAAUAAAUUCUAUAAUUUCAAGCAAUAGAAUUUAUGGAGUUAAUUCAUGCUAAAAUAAAUCGGGUUGGUGGGGCCUGACAUCUGUGAUUGAUUGCUUGAUUGACUUUGCCCUACUCUGACAUGCAUGCGAUUAUUUAGUAUUUGUGCACUAACCUUGUCUCCCAUGAUAGCACUCAACUUGCGACAAAGAUACGUCUUGUACCCGAUCAUAUUUAUUUAUUUAUCCGUUAUCAUGCAUGACUUGUUUUAUUAUUUGAUUAUUAUUUGGUAUCCACGAUUUCCCGAUCAAUUGUUAUGUUACCCUAACUGAUUAGUAGAGACUCUUUUUUAGGGGUUUAGAGGGGUGUACGCCUUAUUACCGUACCUUCUCGAUAUAUAACCUGACCCCAGAUCCAAACUUGGUUUUUCGCAAACUUGUAUGUCCUUUAGGAGUCACAUUUGAAUUUUUUUUUUAUUUUGUUCUUCCCUUUAAAAAUAAAACAAAAAUAAGAUGUCACUCCAAUUUUUAUUUUUUAUUUUUAAAAAAUCAAAUUUCUAAUAAAAAUUGAGUCUCGCCAGUUGAGUGGGAACGCAUGCGAGAAAGAUGGGGUCCACACAAUUAUUAAAAAAUUAUCCAAAAAAAGUUUGAUCCCUUUGUUAUUAUUAAGUUUGUUUUUUUUUUUUUUCAUAUUUUUUAUAAUAAAAAACUAAAAUUAUCAAACAUAUUUUUAAGAAUUUAAAAACAUAAUUGAAAACUUAUUUAUUAUUUCUACCCUUAAAAACUCUAAAACAAAAAUAUAGCUAACAGCCAUCUAACCUAUCAUGUUCUUCUCCUUUUCUUUUCUUUUCUUUUUUCCUUUUUUUUUUCUCCAAUUUCCAUGUAAAAUGGACAAAUAAUUUUCAGAAGGAAAAUAUAGAAUAUGAUACUGUGGUAUAAAAAGCAACCUAUUUUUAGGUUUAGUAUUAAUCAAGUGAGAAAAAAAAAAGAAGAAAUUUAAAAUUUCUUAUUUCAUUUAAUAUUACAACAAAAAAAAGUGGCAUUUGUGUGUGUUAAAGCACUACCAAUCUUGUCAUUACACUAUAAUUAUUUUUUAGGAUUUGAGUAUUUUCUUUCAACUUAUAUCUAUAUUUAAAGAUAUUUUAUGUAACUUAUGUUUACAUUUAAGGAUAUCUCAUAUAUAAUAUUAGCGUAAGGAAAAGUUGUCUAGCUUGAUCCUGAUCCUUAUCUUAUUGGGAUCCCAAAAUUUGAUUUGAUCUCCAAUUACAAUUAUAGAACAAUAACACCAUGGUAGCUGCUGUAUUCCUUUGCUACACAGAAUAGAAGCUUCUCUACAACACUACCCAUUUUCUCUAGCUAAAUUCAUUUUAUUAAAUAUUUUUAUAAAUAAAAUAACAUUUCUGACAUUCCAUAAUUUCUACGUUCUUGAGCCAAAUUUAGGAAUGAAUCAUUCUUGGACAACCUCGAUCCCGUGGGGUUUGGUUUUGGAAGCCAAAAGUCCUAUCUCUGUUGCCCUUUAGGGCUCUUGUAUAUUUAGUGUCUCAAAAUUUUGUCACUUUGAUAAACUACAGUAAUUUUUAUCUUAUCAACUUAUGAACUCGGACCAAUAGAGAGCUAGAGCCACUUUGCAUAUAUCAAUAAAUAAAAAAAGUUAAAUAGUCAAAUUUGUACAUCUAGUUAUUAAUUAAAAUUAAAAUAAUAAUCAUUUUUUGACUAAAAUAAUAAGAGAAUAAAACAAGUGUGAGUAAGUCAUUAAAAAAAUUAUAAUCAAUUUCUUCAACUCAAAGCAAAUUAAUAAAUAAACCCAACAACAGGGGACAAACAAAUUGGUGGUGUUCCCAAACCCUCCAUAUUUCAAUGGUGGGAGAGUUUUUCUAGCUUUGACUUCACUUUUCAAACUUGUAACUUCUUUAUUGAUGAUCUGGAGGUGCGGGUGGGAGUAAUUAAAAUUAUUUAUUUAUUUUUUUAGGGAUAAUUAUGUUUUGGAUCUAGUUGAGUCCAAAAAUUAAGUUUUAGUCCAUAUAAAUUUACCAUUUAAAUCGAAGACCUAGAGAAAAUGUGAAAAUUGAGAAGAAUGAUAUAAAUUUUUUAUCUUUCCAAAAAUGAUCUUUAUUGACUAUGAAAAAAAGAGAGUAGAAAAACAUUAAUUUAAAUUUUAUUCCUUUUGCAAACCUCAAUAAAAUUUAAUUUAAUUUAGUGAUUUGAAAAAAAAAACCAUUUUCCAAAAAAAUAAAAAUAAAUUAUUAUUAUUAUUAUUUAAAAACCAAACAUCUUGGAAAAAUAUAUAUUUUUCAAAUUAUGUAUAUAAAAAAUAACUAAAAAUAUGUCAAAUUUAUUUUUUUUAAAUUAUAUAUUUUUAGAAUAUAUAUAUAUAUAUAUNNNNNNNNNNNNNNNNNNNNNNNNNNNNNNNNNNNNNNNNNNNNNNNNNNNNNNNNNNNNNNNNNNNNNNNNNNNNNNNNNNNNNNNNNNNNNNNNNNNNUUUUUUUUUUUUUUUAUAAAACACACAUCUGGGAAAAAUAUAUAUUUUUUUCAUUAUGUAUAUAAAAAAUAAAUAAAAAUAUCUCAAAUUUUUUUUUUUUAUAUUAUAUAUUUUUAGAAUAUAUAUAUAUAUAUAUAUAUAUAUAUAUAUAUAUAUAUAUAUAUAUAUAUAUAUAUAUAUAUAUAUAUAUAUAUAUAUAUAUAUAUAUAUUAAAUUAGUUUUCUAAAAAUAAUAAAUUUUCAGAAUAAUUAUUAAAAAAAAUUUAAGAUCAAAAAAUUUGUCACACAUUAUGAUAGAAAAUAUUCAAAAUGGUUUUGAAGGGUAUAUUGGUCUCUUUAUAUUUUAUAUCAUUCUCCUCAAUUAUACAACUUUUAUAGGCUAAAUUUUAAUUUUUGGGUCCAGAUUCAAAACACAAUUGUGCUGCUUUUAGCUAGGGUGGACCAAUUUAACUACUAUAUAUUUUUUUAGAAAAGAGCAAGCAUCUCUUGUUUUUAACCUAUAUGUCAACGGUAUGGUCCAUUAUCUAUGUUCAAUGAAAACAUGGCAGUGGACGUGACCACCUUGCCAUGGUGGUGGUUGAAACAGUAGAGCUGAUGGAAGCUUAAAGAAGAAGAAACCAGCUGGGGAAAAGGAGGGCAGAGAGAGGCCGUUGGCGGAAAAGAAAAACGGAGGUUUGGAUGAGAGGUUUUCAAGGACAACUAUGUAGUAGUCUGGGGGGUGGUACCAACAUAUUUUGAGAGCAAGGAAGAAAAGAGUUGCAAAAAAGGAAAAACAAAGUUGCAAAAACAAAGGAGGAGGGUGAUCGAUUGGUUUUUUGGAGGAGAAGGGAUAGCUAGAAGCCGAUAUUCCACACGUCCGGAGAGGAGUCUUCCAAAGAUAAUCCCAAAAGAAAUAGCCCUCCAAGCCCUCAACACCAUCAUCUAGCUCCACUUCAAGAAGACCUUGGAGAAGAAAAGAGCUAUCGACCUCCAAAAGAAGGAGCAUUGGAAGCUCUUUCAGCUCUUCUUCAUCUUCCUCUCUCUCAUCUUCCUCGAUCAGACCUAGUCCCUACACUUCUAGUGUCGCCACUACUAGGUCCCAAUCACUCUCCUCUCCUUAGCCCACCUCAUCUUCUAUGUCUUUGUCGCUCAUACCCUUCCUCCGCUGCAUCAAUGGCUUCAAGUACCAGCGACGUUGCCACAAGCUCACUCUUAGCCUCUCCACUAAGCACCUCUAGUAGAUCUGUUAGUGAACUAGUUGAGUUAGUUUUGAAGUCCAGUUAGUUUCAACCAAUCAUUUCUGUUUAUAACCAACCUCUCAAGUUAGUUAUAGCUAUCAACAACUAAGUGUAUAAAUACUACAGAAGUGUAAUGAUAUAAGCACUGAAAAUAACAGCAAGAAACUUUACUCUGUUUUUCUCUUACUCUGUUUUCUCUUCCUCUUCUUCUAAUCGUUUCUGUUACUCCAUUUCUUCAAACAUGGAAUCAGAGCAGGCUUUAGCUUAGUUAUCCGCCAUGGAUGAAACCUCAAGAACCACCAGUUUUCUCCCAGUUUCCUUUCCCCAUCCAGUCUCAUCCAAACUAGACAAUCACAACUUUCUGGUUUGGCGAAAACAGAUACUCACCACAUUAAGAGGCCAUAAGCUGCAACAUUUCCUUUCUAAAACUUCAGUUCUACCCUCAGAGUUUCUCUCCUCAGACGAUGAAACCCAAAAUCAUGUAAAUCCCAAGUUCCAGGAUUGGGAACAACAAGAUCAGCUUAUUAUGUCUUGGCUUCUUGCAUCUAUAACUGAUGCUCUUCUCACUCGUAUGGUGAAUUGUGACACUUCAGCCCAGGUAUGGAAAACCCUUGAACUAUACUUUGCUACUCAAGUGAGAGCCAAAGUAACUCAAUUCAAAACGCAAUUGCACAACACCAAGAAGGGAGACUUGUCUAUAAUUGAUUACCUCCUUAAAAUCAGAAAUGUAGCUGACCUUCUUGCUCUGGUUAACCACAAGAUUUCUGUCAAAGAUCACAUAGAUGCAAUUUUUGAAGGUCUCCCUCAAGAUUAUGAAACCUUCAUCAUCUCUGUCAAUUCUAGACUUGAUCCAUACACAGUUAAUGAAAUUGAAGCUCUUCUUCUUGCUCAAGAAAGCCGUAUUGAGAAAAACAUCAAGAUUGCAGACCUUUCCACUCCUAGCUUGGCUCAUCUCAUCACAACUAACAGAAAUGGUUCUCCACAUUUCAACUACAGAGCUAGCACCAGAAACUCAAAUUCCCGUCCACCUACACAUUCUGGAAAUGGAAUGCAACACUUUCGUGGGAACUUCACUCAACAAGGAAGAGGACGCCAUGGUCGAGGCUCCUGGAAAGGCAACAACAAACCUCAAUGUCAACUUUGUGGAAGAAUUGGACAUGUUGUCAUGCAGUGCUACUACUGAUUUGAUCAAUCUUUCACAGGACCCUCACAACUUCAAGGAAAUCGUCCACAGGGAAACAUGGCUCAUCUUCAUCAACAACCAUCUGAAAAUUUUUUCCCAGGAACCUCAUUAGUCAAACCAACAACAGCAGAAAUGAUCCAAGACAACAACUGGUACCCUUAUUCUAGAGCCACUCAUCACCUUACACCAGACCUCAACAAUCUCCUGACCAAAUCACAGUUUCCUUCAUCAAACGAAGUCUUCGUGGGAAAUGGUAAGGGUCUCCCUAUUCAUCACAUUGGUCACACCCCAUUUUCAUCAUCAUUCAUUCCCUCCAGAACACUUGCCUUAAAACAACUUCUCCAUGUACCAGAAAUUACAAAGAAUCUUCUUAGUGUUUCUAAGUUUGCUGCUGAUAAUCAUGUAUUUUUUGAAUUUCAUCCUACCUCUUGUUUUGUCAAGGAUCUUUCCACCCGGACAAUCCUCAUGCACGGCCAGCUUAAGGGGGGAUUAUAUGUGUUCGAUAACACACAGCUGAAACUCCCUCUUCACAGUGUAGAAACUUUCAACUCUUCAUGCUUUGCUUCUACAGCUCUCCCGUCCAAGGAACCAACAACACUUACUUCAUCUCCAUCUCCCUUUAUAUUGUGGCAUAAUAGACUUGGUCAUCCUUCCUCACAUAUCGUUUCUCUUGUACUCAAUAAAUGUAAUCUCCCACUAAUGAUCCUCCCUUCUUCAACCUCUGGUUCAACCUCUUCUCCAACCAAUCCAUCAAUAUUUCCUGUCACCUCUAACCACAACGUAGCAUCACAACCUCCACCAUCCUCUGCCCCUCCUUUUCCCACCCAUCAUAUGAUUACUCGAUCCAAAAAUGGCAUCUUUAAACCAAAGGCCUAUCUCAUUUCUACAACUCCCACUUCAGUCCCUGAAGCCCUCCAACUUAGCCAUUGGAAACAGGCCAUGACUGAUGAAUAUCUCGCUCUCCUCCGAAACAACACUUGGGAUCUUGUUCCUCCUCCCACUGAUCGUAAAUUGAUCGGCUGCAAAUGGGUGUUCAAAGUCAAGGAGAAUCCCGAUGGAACUAUAAACAAAUACAAGGCCCGUUUAGUUGCUAAGGGUUUUCAUCAGAUUGCUGGAUUUGACUUCAAUGAAACUUUUAGCCCGGUUGUCAAACCGACUACCAUUCGCAUUGUUCUCACUAUUGCUUUAAAUCUACAAUGGAAAAUUCGACAAUUAGAGGUCAAUAACGCCUUUCUCAAUGGCGACCUACAUGAAGACAUAUUCAUGCAUCAACCUCAAGGCUUUAUCGACCCUGUCAACCCAAACUAUGUCUGCAAGCUCAAUAAAUCUCUUUAUGGCCUCAAACAGGCCCCUAGAGCUUGGUUCGAAAAGCUGCAUCACGCACUUGGCAUUCUUGGUUUCUCAUCCACCAAAUCAGAUCAAUCUCUAUUUAUCAACAUCACACCUACUCACUCCACUUACAUUCUAGUAUAUGUGGAUGAUAUUCUUAUCAUCGGCAGCAAUGAUCAGUUUGUUCAACAUGUGAUCACUCAGCUUAACAACCAAUUUGCUCUCAAAGAUCUUGGAGAUAUUGAUUACUUUCUGGGUAUCCAAGUCAAGCAUACAUCCGCUGGAAUGCACUUGUCACAGGCCAAGUAUAUCUCCAAUCUACUUCAAAAAACCAAGAUGCUUCAUGUCAAGCCAGUUCCUACACCUAUGGUAUCUAAUCAGUCCCUAUCCAACUCUGGAAGUCCUCCAUUCAGCAACACUCAACUUUAUAGAAGCACUGUUGGUGCCCUCCAAUAUGCCACCAUCACAAGGCCAGAUAUCUAUAAUGUCAACCGAGUUUGCCAAUUCAUGCAAGCUCCUCUGACUGCUCAUUGGAAGGCUGUCAAGAGAAUUCUACGCUACCUGGCUGGCACUCUUCACCAUGGACUCCAUCUUCAGCACAGCUUCAACUCACACCUCAACAUAACAGGGUUUUGUGAUGCAGAUUGGGCAUCAGAUGUUGAUGACCGCCACUCCACAUCAGGAUAUUGCCUCUUUCUUGGUCCAAACUUGGUUUCCUGGCACUCACGAAAGCAACAUACAGUCUCUAAGUCUUCCACCGAGGCAGAAUAUAGAAGUGUAGCUACCUUAGUUGCUGAAAUUUCUUGGUUGCAGUCUCUCCUCAAAGAAUUAAACAUAUCUUCCUCCACAACUCCGGUCAUUUGGUGUGACAACCUCAACACAGUGUACCUCUCGGCUAAUCCCAUUCUUCAUGCUCGGACUAAGCACAUCAAAAUUGAUCUUUAUUUUGUUCGAGAAAAAGUUCUUCAGAAGCAAAUACAAAUCCAUCAUGUACCUUCCUCCGAUCAGCUAGCAGAUGUCUUCACCAAGGCAACUCCUAACUCCAGAUUCCUCACCAUACGUGCCAAACUCAGUGUCAACCAAAGUCCACCCUGAGUUUGAGGGGGGCUGUUAGUGAACUAGUUGAGUUAGUUGUGAAGUCCAGUUAGUUUCAACCAAUCAUUUAUGUUUACAACCAACCUCUCAAGUUAGUUAUAGCUAUCAACAACUAAGUGUAUAAAUACUACAGAAGUGUAAUGAUAUAAGCACUGAAAAUAACAGCAAGAAACUUUACUCUGUUUUUCUCUUACUUUGUUUUCUCUUCCUCUUCUUCUAAUCGUUUCUGUUACUCCAUUUCUUCAAACAGAUCAAGAUGAGGGCCAGUAGUGGAGGAUGAGGAGAUUGAAAAGCUUCUGGAGCCCUUCUCAAAAGAGCAACUGUUGGCUUUGUUUCAGGAGGCAAUGGAAAAGUACCCGGACUUCGUUAAUAGCAUCUAGAGACUCGCCAACGUCGACCCGGCUCAACGAAAAAUCUUCGUCCACGGCAUGGGAUGGGAUACACCUUUAUUCUGUUCAAGCACCGGAACGACGCUCACAAGGCACUGAAGCAGCCAUAAAAGAAGAUUGGAAAUCGGAUGACCUCAUGCUAGCUAGCCUUUACCGGCCUCGUUCGAACGCCGUCACCGGUGGUACCUCCGGUGUCUGAGUAUACUCAAAGAAAUUUUUUUUUUUUGUGAGCAAUGUUUCUGCAGAGAUCGAUUCUCAGAAGCUACUAGAGUUCUUUGCAAAGUUUGUGGAAUUUUUUUAGGGUCACACAUUGCAUUGCUAGAAGGCAAUUGAUGGGCCAAGCCAAAAAAGCCUUUCCACCAUCACCACCAACAAAACCUACACCACUUUUGAUCCUUUUUUAUUCUUUAUAUUUUGAUAUCAAAGUUUCAAUUUUCAAAACUCAAAUUCUCAACUAAUUCUCCAAAAUUUCUAUUUUCAAAUAAUUUUCCAAAAUUCCAAUUUUCAAAUUUAAUUAUCGAAACUUCCGUUUUCAAAUAAUUUUCAAAUUUAAUUUUUAAAAAUUUCAUUCUCAAAUAAUUCUUCAAAAUUCCAAUUUUCAAAACUUCUAUUUUCAAAUAAUUUUCCAAAAUUCUCAUUUUCAAAUUUAAUUUUCAAAAGUUCCAUUUUCAAAUACUUUUCCAAAUUUCCAAUUUUCAAAUUUAAUUUUCAAAACUCUCACAUUCAAAUAAUUUUUCAAAAUUCCAAAUUUCAAAAUUCCCAUUUUCAAAUUUUUUUUUAUUUAAAUUCCAAUUUUUAAAUUUAAUUUUUAAGAUUUCAAUUUUCAAAUAAUUUUCAAAACUCUAGUUUUCUUUCAAAUAAUAUUAAUUCCACUUCAAUUUUCAAAUAUUUUUAAUUUUACAACUUUUCAUCAUUUAUUAGGGUUUAGGUAAAAAAAAUCUUGUUUUAAAUAAACUUGCUACAUUUCACUUCAGGUAAGUACUUUUACAAAUUUUCUUUAAUUUUCAAAUAAUAUUUUCUUUCUCUUUAUUUUAAAUAAGCAUGAAUAUAAUUUUAAAUAAGCACGAACAUAGGUUUGGUUUUUCGAAGAUCAUCUUUUCCAAAUAAGAAGUCACAUUUACGGUUUUCUUUCUUAUUUUGUUUUCCCUUAAAAAAAAUAAAACAAAAAUAAGUGGUGACUCCAAGUCUUUUCUAAAAAUCAUAAAUUUUUACAAAUAAAUAAAAAAUAAGUUUUGCUAUCGAGUGGGAAUGCAUCGUGCAAAAUACGAGGUCCACAUAAUACUAAGUUACUUUACUAAGAUAUUGAAUGCACUUUAAAUAUUCCAUUAAGUCAUCUUUAUCAAUGUUGUUGAUUAUGAACUUAUAUUUUUUUUAAUUAUUAUUAUGAAAUGCUAAAUUAAUUAUUACAUUUUAAAAUCUAUAAAAUUAAGUAUGAACGUGUAUAUUUUAAAAUCUAUAGAAUUAAUUAUUAUAUAUUUUUCUUAUUUUAUGUAUUUAAGAUAAAAAUAUUCAAAAUUAAUAAUUUAAAUUGUCGUGCACCACCUUCUCUAAAACCCUAGGGGUAUGUGCCCUUUUAUAGGCUUUCAAGCUUGGUCUUCAUCGACCCUCUCACAUGGUGGACAUCAAAGCUCUAGGCAAAAAGUAAGCUAAUGGAGGUAGUAAAGUUGACCCUUGUCCAAAAUCAAAAGGCCAAAAUGAGAAUGAUGAGAGCCAAAAAAAUAAUAAAUAAAUAAAUAAAUAAACCCAAACCAAUAUAAAUAAGCCCAAAACAAACAAAGCCUAAACCCGAAAAAUAAAAUAAACUAGGCCCAAAAUCAAAUAUACAAAGCCCAAACUCAAAACAAAUAUGAUAGCCCAAGGCUACAAAUACAUCUCAGAGCAAUAACCGAAGUUCAAAAUAAUAUCCAAGAACCCCAAUACCCAUAAACAUGAAUCAAUAAAUAAAUCCAAAUCAAAGCCUAUCGUGGACUAGUAUUUUUCAUUCGAUGCAUCCUUAGUAAAAAAUGACGAGACUUACUAUUUAGCGAAAAACUGAAUUUUAUUAUAAAAAAAAUGUAGUUGUCACUUAUUUUUAUUUAUUUAUUGAAGGGAAAACAAAAUAAAAAAUAAAAUCCUAAACAUAACUUUUUAUUUUGAAAAGUCAAGUUACCUAUUGGGAAGUUAACAUAAGGUAACACCUCUUUAAACACUAAGACAUAUCUCUACUAAUCAAAUUGAAAUUACUAUGACAAUUAGUCAAUUAAUUAAUCAUGAAUACCAAGAAGCUAAGCGUAUAUCAAAAGCAAAGUAUAGCAAAAGGCUACUUGAACAAGGCAUACAUAUCAAAGAAUCAAAUAAAUGAGAAGGAAAUGAAACUAUCUCAAACAAUGAACCAAGUGUUUUCAAGUAACAAUUGGGUUAGCUCACAAAUAAUAAUAAGGAACCAUAAGCUAGGCCUCAUAAUGAAUGUAACAUAUGCAUAUCUCAACUCAUGAAGUAAAUGAUAUGGUGUGAACAAGAGGAAACAGGAUACAAUAAAACAUGUGGGUUGCCCCCUCGUUCGACAUCAUUCCAUGAAAACAAUGUCGUUCUAUGAACGGAGCAGAGGAUCGCUUGCACAUGGCACUAGUGACGAAGGAGUCGGUGGAAAACCGGCGCGGACCAAAGUCGGGAGGCAUAUUUUUCAUUUCUUUUUUUCUUUUUAAUAAUGAGGAGAAUCUGGUAAUUAUGAAUAAUUGGACAGGUGGAGCCUCGGAAUGAAGCAUGUCAGAGACCUCUAUUUCCACGAGGAUACACAGGGAUAUAGUUUUGAAGAAAAGAGCCAUCACCCUUAUCUUGGUCAUCGCAAAUUGUAUAUAGAUGUGGCCAAACAGAUUCAUUCUAGCGUAAACCUUACAAUGGCAAUAGCCAUCACCCUCAUAGGCCAAGCCUUGAUCUCUCUCGUUUGGUUUUGGAAGCCAAAAGUCCAAUCUCUUUUAUCCUUUGGGCCUCUUAUAUAUGGAGAGAGAGAGAUUGAGGCUGUCUCGAAGCUUGUAGUACAAGUUGCAAAUGACAUAUUGAUCCUGCAGUUUUUAGUUAGUAUAGUCACCACCCAUGGCUUGCGUUUUUAUUUUUAUUUAUGUGAGAGCAGAAGCUUUACUGUCUCUCUAUGGUGGCGGUUAGCUGCAAAGUGAAGUGCUGUUUUCUUGGUAUCUUUGAUUGCAAGGUAAGUUACAGACUUAUCUGAUGAUUUGUCUAGUAAUUGCUCCGCAAUUUUAGUAUAACCCAAGUAUGCAGCACAGUGAAGGGGAGACCACCCAUUUUCAUCAACUUCUUUUGUUAGAUCUGGCUUCCAUUCCAAUAACUUCGCUAUCAUGUCUGAUAAACAAAUGAACCAACAAAAAAACAGCAGAGAAAAAAAUUUAAGAAAUUCCCUCUAGUAAAGCAUGACCCUUAGAGGUGAUCAUGAUCUCUAACAAUAUAUUGCAUGAGUAACUAACCAUGUAGGAAUCAAGAUUCAAGGAAAGGAUCUGCAUGUGUGUUAUACCUUGGUCCUCACGAAUUACAGCAGCAUGCAAAGCCGUUCUACCCAUUAUGCCACUGUGAGAUGGUGAAGCGCGAGUUUUGUCUAUAAUUAUACACACCAAGUCUCCAUAUCCUCUCUCGGCAGCCAUGUAAAGAGGAGUGUAGCCUGUAAUAUUUGCACCGUAGAUAAACUCAGGGUCUUCCUCAAUCAAUGACACCACAAUCUCUGAAUGAUGAUACCGCACCGCCUCAUGCAAGGCUGUGUCUUUCUCCUUAUUGGUCAUCCUCAACAUCGCCUUGUCUGUUCCAACCCCACUUUCGAUCUCUUGGUGAAGUGCUUUUGUGGCGUCAAGGAGAGCUUUCACAACCGCCCCAUGGCCUUCUCUCGCAGCAAGGUGAAGUGGAGUGUCGCCUUUCAGAUUGGGCUGCUGCAGUAGAGGUGAACAUGAAUGAAAGUGAAGGAUCCACUCUACGCAUGCCAGCUGACCGAACUGGGCUGCAAUGUGGAGGCCAGUGUUCCUUUUUGGGGUUUGUUGGAGUGGAAGAUGAGCUUCUGAGUACUUUCUCUCGAGGAUACUGAUAUCACCUUUAUACAAAGCCUCGUACAAAUCAGCAUCCAUGUGGGUGAUCUCAGUUUGGCCAUCAGCUGCAAUCUGGUUCGACAUCUCAGUUUGUCUUGAAAAGGUUUCCAAGUUAAGGUUCUGCGAUUCUGUAAUUUAGUUGGAGCUGGACUGAUUCACUAUUGGCGUUGGAGGAGCAAAGUAAUAAUCAACUCUUCAGAUUCUAUAUAUAGCGCAUAGAAAAGUUGUUUGUCCAUCGCUACAAUUUUACUAAACCCAAAUUUAUUUUUAACUUUUUCUUCUUUUUCCUUUUUCCUUGCACUCUUGCACUCUUGCACUCCUGCACUCCGUGUCUGGAUAGAGCCUAGAGAUUAGGCUUAAUUUUACGUGUCUCACCCGAUUCCACUGCAUCAUAUACGAUAGAGAAUAAGCUCACUGUGGCAUAACUCUUUAGCUAGAGAGAGAUUUAAGCUUAUGCUUGGUACUAAAAUUAAGAUUUCAUUUUAGUAUUGGUAAAAAACCUAGAUCUUCGAGUCAAAAGUUUCACAUUGAUCUAAGUUGGUUAGGAUUAUUAGUGGGCAAGAAUUGAUAUCUUGACUUUGAUGAGAAAUGUGAAAAUGAAAUCUAGUAGCUAUUUUGAACAUAUAUAUAUAUAUAUUAAGCUUCUUUUUCGCCAAAAAAAUAAGUCGAAGAUGAGUUAAAUAGUUUAAAGUUAUAAUUAAGUUAAUUAGCGAAAUUAUUAAAUCAAUCCAUUUGAAUCUAUGUUGUGUAGGUCGAUAUAAAAUCUAUAUAUUUAUUAAAUGUGUUAUACAGGCUAACAUAAAUUUGAUCCAAACUCAAUUAUACUUGACCCAAACUUGUAAAAAGCAUAUUAAGUUUGAGUUGUGUUGACGUAUUGUAUCAAACUUUGUUAUGCCUACAAAAUAUAAUGUUAAGGCCCAAAUGAUUAAUAAUCACACAUGCUAAAGAGAGGAAAACCUAAAGAUUACCUGUUUUCAUGAUUGCAAUAUAUUUUUUUUUGGAAAAAAGUGUGCUUCCAUACUCAUAUUUAACAAUAUCACAAGAUAAAAAUCUAUUAAAAGUAAUUUAAGUUUUAUGCACUCUAAAGUCAAGAUAACAUUUAGGGUAGUCAAAGGUAUUACUAAUAUUAUUAAAAAUAGUACCAAUUUGCAAAAAAGUAUGUAAAAUCUGAAUUAUUUUUAGAUAAAUAUAUUCAAUUGGAAAAUUUUAAAUUGGGAUUGUUAUGUGAUUUUUUUCAAAUGUAUGUAUGAAAACAUAAUUUAAUUUCUUAGAUUUUCUCUAUAAAGCUUGGUACCAAGGAGAGUUGUUUUGGCUCAAAAGUCCAUGUUUCUUUGUUCGUUGUCUAUUUAGUGAUUUUUUUUUCAUUUUUCUUUUUCUUUAUGUGGGGACGAAGUGAAGUGUAGUAUUUGUCUGGUACUGAAUUUUCUAUUUAAUUUAAUUAUCCUUUUUUUUGCCCUUUUGGUGGGGGAUGAAGUGUAAUAUUUGUCCAUUGCUUUCCUUUUCUUUUAUUAGAGACAAGUGGAAUAUUUGUUUGUUAGAAUUUUCUCUUUUAAUUAUUCUUUUUAUUUCUCUUUUGGUGGGAUGAAGCAUAAUAUUUGUCCAUUAUUGAUAUUUUUUUUUCUUUUUCUUUUUUUAGGGAUAGGUGGAAUAUUUGUUUGUUAGAAUUUUCUCUUUUAAUUAUUCUUUUUUUUUUUUUUUUACUUUUGGUGGAGGAUGAAGCGUAAUAUUUGUUCAUUACUUAAAUUUUUCGUUUUCUUUUUCUUUUUUUUUUCUUUUUUCUUUUUGUAGGGACGAAGUGAAAUAUUUGUCCGUUACUAAAUUUUCUCUUUUAAUUUUUAUUUUUCUUUCACCUCUUUCAAUGCUUAUUUUUCUCUCUUGGGGAUGAAACAUAAUAGUUGUCCAUUACUGACUUUACUUUUUUCUUUUUUUUUUUGUGAACAAAAUGGAACAUUUUUCGGUUAUUGAAUUUUCUCUUUUAAUUAUUUUUUUAUGUUUUCUUUUUGUGGGGGCUAAAGCAGAAUAUUUGUAAUUUUGUGUUUCUCUUUCACUUUUUGUGGGGACGAAGUGAAAAUAUUUGUCCUUUAGUAUUGACAUUUGGAUAAAAAAAUGAGUAGGAAAUAGUUACACAACUUGGCAUCAAACGCUUUUAAGCUAACUUCAACUCAAAUAUAAAUAUUCCUUCCAACAUAAAGAAACUUAAGGAAAAAGAAUGGGAAGAAGUUCCAAAUUUUUUUAACCUAAUUAAGUAGAUUACGAAAAUCGGUCGGUCUUUCAAUGUAGCCUCUAGUGUUUUCUUUUUUUCUUUUCAAGUGAUAUCACCUCUAGCCAAUUCUUAAAUGUCAUAUUAGCUCUUCCAUUAGGAUUUUCCAUAGGAAUUGAUGAAAAACUCAUCCGAAAAACAGGUAGCAUUAGUAUAAAAUUUUAUGUCAUAGGUUGGAAUAUGUUCAAAUUUUUUGUGUUGAUGAUAUGUUUUCCAUCCAUUUUUUACACAUGAAAAAACUUAAAAAAUUAUUUAAUAUUUAAGGAUAGUGUAGGAUUAAUAUUGUAACGCCCAAGUUUCUUUUUAGGAAAAUAUUAUUAAUAAUAAUAUUAAAUUAAUUAAUUAAUUAAUUUAAUAAAAUGAAAGAGGGGUGAAAAGGUAAUUUUACGAAUAAAUACCCUAGGUAUAAAUUAGAAUUCUGUUCUUCCUGUUCUUUUUUGAAUCGCGUUCCUGUUCGCAGAGAGUUCCUGAGACCGUAAGAUUGGAGUUGGAUUUCAGGGUUUGAAAAACAUAUCUUUAUAGGUAAGAUUCUAACCCCUAGAUUAAUAUUUUAUAUUCAUUAGUUAAUUUUAAACACAUUAGAUAUUUUUUGGAAAACCCAAAUCUAGAUUAGGGUUAGUUUAUUAUUAUUAUUUUAAUUCGUUUUAAUAUCAAAAUAGUGAAAAUUUAAGAUUUUGAUUUAUUGUUGGAAUUUGGGAGAUCUUAAGUUUUUUUAGAUGAAAAAAAAAAAAAGAUUCCUAGGAAGAUUUCGAUUUAGAUUAGGGUUAAUUUAUUUAUUUAUUUUUAAAUAAUAAUAAAUAAAUAUAUUGUUAAUUGUGGCUUAAGGGAUUAGAAAAAUACAAUUUGAUUUAACAAAAAAAAAAAAAAAGAGAAAGCGUGUGCACCGGAAAAUAGAAGGUUGGUGAAAAAAAGAAAAAAAACGUGUGUGCACUGGUUGCAUGCGUGUGGGAACUGUGCAUCCAUUUUUUUUUUUUUUUUUGUAAGGAUUUCAUGGUUGAAAUUUAGUUGGUGGAUUUUCACAUACUCUAUUAUUAGGCUUUGAUGGAUACUUGGGUAUGUAAUAUUUAAUAGUAGCAGGACUCCGUAUAUUAGACUUUGAUGGGUACUUGAGUACUGAGUACUGUAUUAUUUAACAAUGGCAGAGCUUUGUGUUAUUAGACUUUGAUGGGUAUUGUAUUAUUUAAUAAAAGAAGAUGUGUACGAAUGGUAUUGAGGUGGUUAAUAUAUAUAUAUCUGUGUGUGUGUGUGUGUGUGAAACCAAGGUUUGGUUAAUCUUGAUUUUGAUGAUAACAAAACAAGGUUUAGAACUAAUGACUACAUUUUAAGUGUGAUUAGGUAAGACGACUUCCAAAGUGGUAAUCCAAAGAUAAAACAAGCCAAAGAGAAAUCAUGAAGAAGAAGACCACCUCAAAGAGAAGAGUUUUUCAAGACCAAAGCUUCUUAAGAUCUCUUUGUAAGGUUGUUGGUGCACUAUGACUUUCAUGCAUUUCAUUCUUUAUUUAUGCACCAAAAUCAUCCAAGAGUAAUAUUGUUUUAAAUAUCUUAAGAAUUGGAUGAUUUCAUGUUUUCAACUAAAACCUUGUGUUAAAUGAUUUUCAAACUUGUGUUAAAAGGUUUUAAGUUGAAAAGGGUUGAGUGUUGAGCCAAAAAAAUGGCUCAACCGGUCAACCGGUUGUGCUCGUCCGGUCGAGGAUCGGUUGAGGGAGGCCAAAAAGUUUCUCUCUCUCCCAGUGACCUUCUCUUCCCGGUCAAGGUUGAACCUCAUGAUCAACCGGUUGAGGUCUAGUCGAGGUCCGGUCGAGGUCCGAUUGAGGUCCGAUUGAGGCCCAACGGUCACUUUCCCUAACGGCUAGUCAACCGGUCGAUCCCUAGCUCGAUCGGUCGAACCCCCAACGGCUAGUUUGACUUUUUUCUUCUAUAAAAAGGCUUCAAUCUUCAUUGUUUCAAAAAACUUAACCUUCCCAAAUCAUUCUUGAUUAUAUUUGAGCCUUGGAAGAGUGUUUUUGAGUGCACCAUUGUUUCAUAACUUGCAUAUCUUUAGUGCACCAUUCAAUCUUAGUUUUUCUUGUAUCUUUGAGCCUAAAGUUCUAUCACUAAGAUUUUGAGAGAUCAUUAUUUGUAUAUCUUUGUGAUGAAUUUUCUCAAGUGUGGGGUAUCACUUGAGGGUUGUUCAAGAGUGGGAUAUCUCUUGAGAAGUGUAAAGGGCGCUUGGAGCCAAAAGUCCAAGAGGGUGAAUUGGAACCAUAAUCCAAUUGUAAAGAGAUUGGAAGCUUGGUUGAAGCUUCAAGAUAGUGAAACCCUCACUCGGUUAGGAGGUUGAGGAGAGUGGACGUAGGCAAGAAAGUGUCGAACCACUAUAAACUCUCGUGUUUGCACUCUCUCUUCCCUAACUCUUUUAAAUUAUAUGCAAUUGUGUUUAUUUUGUUUAUUAUAUACUUGCAUAUAAUUGUCUCUUAUUUUUGCAUAGUUUAAAUUUGAGAAAAAGAGACUAUCACCCUAUUUACUCCCCCCCCCCUCUCCUCCUCCUCCUCCUCUAAGGUGAUUACCAUAGUUUGGAGUAGCCCUAUUUUUCUAAUAAUAUAUAUAUAUAUAUAUAUAUUAUAUUAGCAAUGAUGGAGAGUUGUUGUGUAUAAGCUAUGUUUGGUGAAAAAGUGAGAAAAUAUAAUUUAUAAAUAAAAGAAAGUAAAGUUUUCGGUAUUAUAAUUAUAUUAAUGAUGGGUGUAAUGUAAUAAAUAGUAUAGAAUUUAAUUAGUGAAAUAAAUUACAAUUUUAUUAAAUUAUGUUGUGUCUCAAGAAAUAAAUUGAAAAUAAAAUUUAAGUUUUAUAUGAAUUAGAAAUUUAUUAAAUUUUCUAAAAUAGGAAUAGAUUAAAUUAUCUUUCAUAAUAAUAAAAAAAAAACAUUAAUUUGAAUGUCUAAAAUUUUAGGCUUGUCAAACCUAUAAUUUUAGAUAAAUAAUAAUGGUUAUUUCUCUUAUAUUUUGUUAGGUGAAGAGUUGAUUUUCAGGAUUAUUUUUCUCCAAAGUUUUUGAGGACUUCUUUUGAGGUAAAGGAAAUUAAUGCAGUUAUUAUUUUUUUAGAAACAAAUUUUUAUAUACAUCAUUUGGAAACAUUUUGAGUUAUUAUUCGUUUUAUGUAUGGAUCAAAUAUGUUUUGCAUGAAAAGUAUGUUAAAACCAUAUUUUAUUUACAACAGAGAAAUGUGGAGAUAUUAUGUUUUGCAAAUUUGAAUAAUUGAAAUAAGUGUUUGACUCUGGUUUGUUUGGCCCUUGUCAACGAGAUAUAAUAGUUGACUUUUGACUUUUUGACCCUUGUCAAUGAGAUAUAAUAGUUGACCUUUACAUUUCUUGGUGGGAAAUGUAAUUGAUUUGGACCCCAGCCUCUAGGGGUUUGGUUAGAGGUUACUAAUACUAGUAGUGUUUGGUUCCGUCCACCUUAAAUAAACAAUUUGAGGCUAGCCACCUAUUUGAAAAGUCUCACAUAACUGGGCACCAUUUGAUGUUUGAUGACCAGAGUAACUAAAUUAUUUGAAUGUUUUGAUUGAAUUUGACAUGAAAAUGUUUGAAUCAGAAAUAAAAGUGUACAAAUAAAAGUUUUGAAUGUAUUGACAAAACCGACUCAAAAGUUUAUGAAAAUAAUUAGUUAUAAUAUCUCAUAUUUUGCAAGUGAACUUGAAUAAUUUGAUCUAUGGACUGCAUUAAUGUUCCUUAUUGGGCUUUGAACUCAUUCCCCUUUGUUAAUAAUUUUUUUCAGGUACCCUUAGUUCGGGCGAGGAGUGAUGACUAGGUCAGGGAAUGGUCUUCAUUAGGAUUUUGCUUAGGAUGUUAUUUUUGGACAUUGUUAGCUUAUAAGUUUAUGUUCAUUUGGAUUAUUUGGUUUUUGGAAGCUAUUUAGAUUUGAACUUACAAAUUUUUUUUUAUGAUAGUUUGAAGUUGAGAUUUGGAGAUUAUGAAAAUUUGUUAACACUUGAUUUGUUUGAGUUUGCAAUCUAUUUGGAUAAUGGAUUUUGGUUGAUGGAUGCUUAGUUUUAAAGUUACGUUUGAAGAUUUUAGAAUUUUGUUCCAUUACUCUGAAUAGGUAUUUGGUAAUUGGUUACUUCCAAUUACAAUAUGAUUGUUUGGGUCAUGUUACACUUUAAGCCUUCGGGUUUGAGGUGUGAAAUGACCGGCAUGCCCUUGGAGUGGGUCUUAGGACGUGACAAAUAUUAUAACAAAAAAAUAAAAAAAAAUAAAAUUGGGGACUUAUAAAUUAAGAUAUAAAUAAAAGUAUAAAUUUCACACAAGAGAGUAAGGAAGAAAAUGUCGGGAUAUAUCGAAAGGUUUCAACACGAUAAAUCAUGGUGAUAUAUCAGAGAGGAGAAAUUUCUGUAAAUAUCACCAAAAAAUCACAGAUAUAUCGGUUGGAGGCGAUAAAUAGCCAAUUUUUUUUCAUUAAUCUGUUGUCACAAAAAAAAAUCGCCGAUAUUUCUGCAAAAAGAAAAUGCCCUCCUCUGCCCAGACUGCCUGCCCCUCUGCCCAGGCUUACCCUAUGCCCAGACUCCCUUUCCCCAGCCAAUCUCCUGCUCAAGCUCUAUUCCCCACUUUGCCUAUAUAUGAGACCUCCACGGUUCCACCUGCUCCUCUGCCCAGGCCUAUCAGUCUACCCAAGCUCCCCUUCCCCAGCCAAUCUCCUACCUGGGUUCCAUUCCCCAUUUUGCCCAUAUAUAAGACCUUCAUUCCCCUUUGUUAAUUUUAACCAAACGUGUGUAUAUAUAUAUAUUAAAAGUAUUCACAAAAGAAUAUUUUUGAAAACAAAUUAAUUAUAAUUAUUAUAAAAAAUUAUAAAAAUUAUAGAUAUAUUAUAAUUUAUUUUAUAUCAUUUAAUAUAAUUAAAUUAAAUGAAUCAUAAAUUUAACAUUAAAUAUAUUUUAAAAUUAUAUAUAUUAUGAUUAAAUAUUAUGAUAUUAUUAUAAAAUAAUAUUUGAUGUAAUUUAAUAAUAAAUGUACACUUAUAAAAUUCAUAUUUUUAUCAAUGCAUACGAUAUUAUUAUCAAAUAUGAUAAAUCAUAUUAUACAUAUAUCAAAUUAUUUAAUAAAAUAACUUAAAAAUAUCAUUGUACUUCUAAUUACAUUUUUAUGAAGUUUUUCUUAUAUUUUUAUAAAUUUUGAUCAAUUUUAGGCUUAUCAAUAUUUUUUUCUAAAAUAUCCGUCGAUAUAUCUUUGAUAUAUCCGUAAUUACCGAUAUUUUCAUCCUUCCAGGAGAGUAAAUAAAAUUAAAAAAAAAAAGAAAUUAUUGAAUUUAAAUAACACUUUUCUUUCUUUCCUUUUUGUUUCCCAUUGUUUUUAAUGUGCUAAUGGAGCCAUAACAUGUGUGUUGGUCAUAUGUUUCCUUUUGUUUAAACAUUGACCCAAAGCCUUAGUGGAUCUCUACGGUUAUGUUUGGUUAUUUGGAAACUUGAUAGAAAAUGUGAGGGGAAAAAAAUAGGGAAGAAAGAUAAAAGGAAAGAAAAAGUGACAAAAAAAAAAAAGAUUUAAAAACAAUAAAUUAUUUGUAUAUGUUUCUUCAAAAGUUAUUUCACUUAUUUUCCUUUAUUACAUAAAGAUUAAAUAAAUUAAAAAUAUAUCAAUUUUUAACAAAUUUUAAUUAUAUUUGUCAAAUUAUAGGUGUAUAUAUAUUUAAAAAUAUCGCCAUUAAUAUAAAUAUAUAUAUCAAAUAUAAAUUAAUCUAAAAAAUGUUAAUAAAGACAAUGGUAGAAGUAUCUUAAAACCCUACCACCUCUAUCAAGAUGUAUGUGUUAAUACUUAAUAUCCUCCAAACUUUGUCAUUCAAAUUAAAACAAGAGUUGGAAGUAUAUCAUAAUAGAACAAUUGUUUUUCAAGAGAUGAAUAGUACCUUUUAACUUAGGUUCACAUUCCUUAGUGGACCCAAUUAAUUAGUAAGUGAAAUUUCAAACAUAAAUCAAUCUCAAAUAUUAAUAUCGAUAAAGACUAGGUAUAUACCAUAUCAAAAUGGUAGAAAUAUCUUAAAACCCUACCACCUUUAUCAAGAUGUAAGUAUUAAUAUCCUCUAAGUUUUGUCAUUCAAAUUAAAACAGGAGAUAAAAAUAUAUCAUAAUAGCACAAUUAUUUUUCUGUGAUGAGUAGUCCCUUUCCACUUAGGUUUACAUUCAAAGACAUAUAUAACAUGAUUUUAAAACACACAAUUCACUCAAAUCUUAUUAGAUUUUACCAAAUCCACAUCAUCGUCUCUUGUGCAAACACCGGAAAAACCAUCAAACCUAAUAAAAAAUCAUUAAAAAAAAAAUCUAAUUGUAAUAUAAUUACAAAAAAAAAAAAAAAAUCUUAUUUUUAAAAACAAAAGUGAAACAAGGUUCGGUGAAAGUGGUAGAUGUAUCUAUGUUCAAACUCUACUAGCUAUAUUCUAAGAGUUCAAAAGAGUCAGUGGAGGUACAAUGGGGCAACAUAAUUGUUUUGGUGGAAGUGUUUUGUGGCUCCUUCAAAUCUCAAGUCCGUAUUUUCAAAGUUGUUUGUCCAAAUAGGAUUUUCCUUUUCUUUUUGGCAUGAUAAGGAUAGCUUGUAAAGAUUAGAGAAAUAAAGAUUUAUUUAACAAAAAAAUAAUUUAUAUAAAUUAAAUUUAAAAUAAAAAGUCACUCACAAGUAAACGUAAAAAUUGAAAAAUUAUCCAAAAAAAAAUUGUGUUUUCUUUUUGUCAUACUAUCAAAUAUUUUUCUUCUUAUUUUUAUAAAUAAAAAAUAAACCCAGGAUUAGAAAAUAUUUUUUUUCUAAAAAUUUUAGAAAAUAUGGGCAUGUUUGGUUAGUUGUUUCAAAAAAAGUUUUCUGUUUUUGAGAACAAAACAUGUUUGAUAAGAGAGUAGUUUUUGUUUCCAUGUGUUCUCUGUGUUUUCUAAAACCUGGUUUUCAGAGAACAAAAAAAUGGUGUUUUUCGUCACUGUUCUAAGAAGAAAAAAAAUAAAAUUUUCUUCAUAUUUUCAAUCACUGUUCUUGGGUGUUCUCAUCUCUUCACUAUGAAGGAAAAUUCUUUACACUAUGAGAAAAAAAAUCAGAAAAUGGGAAAAAUAAAAAAAUCGGUCUAACAAAAAUUCAAACAAAAACUUAACAUUAUCGACAAUUUUUUUAUUUUUUGGUCAUUUCCAUUUCAAUAUUUUUCAGAUAUUUCAGGAUUUAUCCCCAUAUGAUUUUUCGAUGCAUUUCAAAGCCAAAACCUCCAUAUAUUCUAGGAUUUCCCUGAAACUAAACAAAACAUAAACAAUAAGACAAAAAACCAAGAAUGCAAAAAAUGAAAAAGAAUAGAAAAAUUAAAACAAAAGUUGAAACCCUAACCAGGAAUCUUUACAACAACCACAAUAUGGAUUUUGAUCUCAGUAAGUAAUGUUUUGAUCUUAAAAGAGAGAAAUAAACCGACGGUGAAUAAAAAUUUGGAUAUUGGAAGAGAAAGGGAGAUAGGAAGGAAAGAGAAACAGAGAAUAGGAGGGGAAGAGAAACAGAGGAAAACAGAAGAAUGAGAGAAAUGAGAACAUGGUUUCAGUCCCAAUAAAUAUAAAUAUAAAUAUAAAUAUAUAUAGUAAAAUAAGUAAAAUAGUGAAAAUUAAUAAAUGUUUAUAAAUAAAUUAGUUUGAUUUCCUUUUAAUUUUUUUUAUCUUUUAUAUAAUUAUUAAAUAUAAAAUAAAAUUUAAUUUUAAAUAAAAUUAUAAAUAUUUUUAAACAAAAAUUAUCAUAAAUAUAUCAUUAUUAAUUAAUUUUUUAUAUUAUUAAUUACAUUUAAAAUAGAAAAAAUACAUCAUCUAUUUCUAAGUAUAAUGCAUUACUAUUUGAUAUCAUAAAUUUUAUCUUCAUAAAAUCCAAUAAUUGAUAUUUACCAAUUUAUGACAUUUUGAUCAUAUAAUUUAUCAAUUAUUGAAAUCAAACACAUUUAAAAAUAUUUAUAAAGUAAUCCUUUGUUUGAAAAAAUUAAAAAUGAUGCAUAAAAUUUUCAAAAUGAAACAUUUUUAUUUUUUAUAAAGUGUGAAUGUAAAAAUUAUUUAUUUAUUUAUAAUAUCAAUUAGUUAAAGAAAAUACUCAACUUUAAAAAACAAAACCAAUUAUUAUUAUCUAUUGUUGAAUUUUUUUUAUUUGUAUCCUUUUUUCAUUAAUGGAGAGGAGUUAUGAAAAAAAUUCAAUUAAAAAAAAAACCAACUUUUAAACAUGUUUUUUAUUUUAUUUAUUCUAAAACAUUUUUUUUCUUAACUUAACCAAAUAUAUUUUUUAGGUUUUUAAGAAUAAAACUGUUUUUUAAAAUUCAGUUUUCAAAUAUAAUUUUACUUUUUAAAAUAUAAAAAAUUAUUCUUAAAAACUAUUUUCCUCCACAAGUUUUAAAAACACCAACCAGGCCUAUAUUUUCUAAAUGUUUUCAUGAAGAAUCUUUACCUGUAGUUAUUUUUAAUAAAUUUUAGUAUAUUUGAAAAGAAACUAAAGAAUCCAAUUCAACUUGAUUCAAUUUUGGCUAGUAUAGACUUCUAAAUUAUUUUUAUAAAUUUUUAGACUUGUCAUUGAGUAAACAUGGAUAGUUCAAUAAUUUCUGGAUUGGAUUAUUUGGCAAAAAAUUGGGAAAAUAAUUGUGUUUUAAAAUGUGCUAUUUUACACAAAUUUGGAACUAAUAGAGGUUGAGACUAAGUUGAUGCUCUUUUAGUCACCAGUUGACUUAGUUAUCAAUUUUCUAAGUAUAUAUAUAGUUGAAAGACUCAUUGGUUCAAGUUUUACAAAAGUUGGACUCCAUUUUCCUAAAUUCUUAUUUUCAAGUUCAUCGAUUUCAGUCUAAGGUGGUGUUUGGGUGAAAGAAGACUAUUAGGUGUUGUUCGUGUGAAAGAAGACAAUUAGGGCCAUAGGAUCUUAGCCAUCUUUUAUGAAAUUUCCAAAUCUAAAAGUUAAUUUGAAUAUUCAUUUGUUUUUAUUUUGAUUACAAGGAUUUUUGUGAGUAGUUAAAAUAUAAAUGGUUUUAGUAAAUUUUCCUAAAAUAAAUAUCUCUUGUAUGCAUUAUACAUUACUUGUUCAAAUCGAUUAUUAGUAUGAGAUAUAUGUGAAAUUUCUAUUUGGUCGAAAUACAUAUGAUUAAUAUUAAGUUUGCAAAACUAAAUACUACUUCUUCUUCAAGUAAUUAUUUAAUUCCUUGCGUAUGUGUACAAUAAUGUAAUUACAUACUUUGUUAAAUUUUAAAUUAAUUGUUAAAGUUUUAGAGAUUUAUAUAUAAUAGGUAUCAUACAUAACACAUAUAUCAAUGAGGUGUUUCAUUUUGUUUUGAUCUAAAACUUUACACCAUCUUCAGCUGCAGCCUGGUUGGUGAUCUGGAUUUCCCUAGCAUCUUCAGCUCCAACCUGAUUGGACUCUCUACUCAAGUUAAGGCUGGAAGUAGUGGAAUCGGCCAUUGUUGUUUGAUGAGCAGUCUCCUUUCUAUAUUUUGCGCCAAGGAUGGGAAACAAGUUGACCAAUUGUUUAAUGGAAUGGGUGGCUCUUAGUUCAACCUUGGGAGAAGUUGAUACUUCUUAUAGCCUGCAGGCCAAAACGUUGGGCUGAUGACAAUUUCCCAUCUCAUUGGAUGGAUCCAUAUGCAUAAACAGUACAACGAAAUAUUUGGUCACAUAUUCAAUUCUUAACAAUCCCUUGUAUGAUCAAAGUGAAGAGAAUUUAAAUUGCAUAGGAUCACAUGUUAACAUUUAAACAUGCAUUUAAUAGCAAAAAUUCAUCCGGUUACCUUGGUUCAUGCCAUCAGAAGCCAUUUCUUUCCCCUCUGAUAUCCAAUAAGCUGCUUUUCGGGUGCGUGAUGGUCCGAGAAUGAGGGAUCAAUGAGCUCUUCCCUUGCCUCCCAAAAUUCAGUCCAAAGUGAAGUGUGUGUGUGUUUUCUGGGAGUGCUCUCCAAAGAGAAGAAAAUAUGAUAGCUCCCCCAAUGCACACACAUCUAUAUAUAUAUAUAUAUAUAUAUAUAUAUAUAUAUAUAUUACACAUUACACACUUUAUUUGGACGACUUGACUUAAUAGGCCAGUCAAGUGAAUUAGGAUAAGCCUAUAAAAAUUAAGCAACAAUAUGUGUCCAGUCCCAUUGUGGACCACAAUGCAAAAAAUAAAUUAACACCGAUUUAUGAUAUUAUCAAAUUGAUUAUGUAAGUCCACACAUAAAAAUUCCAACACAAAGAAGUUCAUUGAAUUUUACCCAAAAAAAUAUAAGCAUUAUUCUAAUUAUGUCUUUUAUUUUCAUAAAUAUUAAAUAUAUUUGGUAGCAUCAUUGUUCUUAAAAAUUAUAAAUAGAAAAUUAUUUUUGCUAAUUGUAUUAAAAAUAAUAAAUACAAUAUUAAUUUUUAUAAUUAUUAUAUGUUAUAUUUUUUGUGAUUUCUUCAAUGGAUUUCAAUGACUUUUAAUGUCGACAAGCAAGACAUACAUGCUGUUGGUUUAAUUGUAGAAAAACAAGAUGUGGUGAGUUUCGCGUGUUAAUUUUGUAAAUUGAAAUGUGGAAACAGUUGGUUUCUUUCCAUUUAUGUUUUAAUUUUUCUUCAUUCAUGUUUAUGUUCUUAUUCUUUCCUCUUUUUUUUUUCAAUUUUUAAUUUAAAUAUAGGUAUGGAAUCAUAAUUGUCCAUCUCUUAAAAGUAAUCUACAUUAAAAUGUACAUCAAAUAAAUUUAAGUGAUGAUUAAGAAUAAGGGCACGAAACUUAGGAAAGGGCUAAAAUAAAAGUUGUAAUUGUUUUUAAAAAUAAUUUUAAAAAAUAACUUUUUAAAACAGUUUUUGAAAAUUGUUAUCUGAUGUCUUAUAGAAUAAAAAUUUGUUUGAAAACUUGAAAUAUUUUUAAUCUAUUUUUAAUGUUUUUAAAUAUAUUUUAAAAAUAAUUUUUUAUAUUUAAUAAUUUUAUUUAUUUAUAUAAUUAUUUUUUUAAAUAUUCAUAAAAAAAUAAGUGAAAACAAUUAAAAUAUUGUGGACCCCGCAUUUCGGCUCAUGCGUUUCCCACUCGAUGGCGAGCUCGAUUUUUAUUUGAAAAAUUGAUUUAUAUUGAUUAAAAAAAAUGACUUGGAGUCGCCACUUAUUUUUGUUUUAUUUUUAAAGGGUAAACAAAAUAAGAAAAGAAAACCCUAAGUGUGACUCCUUAUUUUGGAAAAGGUGAUCUACGAAAAACCGGAUCGGGCUCGGGGGUCAGGUUACUCAUCGGGAAGGUACGGUAAAGACCGUAGCACUCCUCUAAGCCCCUAAAGUCGGGUCUCUACUAAUAAAAUGAAGCUGACAUGGUAAUUGAUGAAUAAAUCAAUGAAUACCCAGAGCGAAACAUGCACAUACGGGAGUCAGAAAAUGCAUAUAAACUAACCAGAGUAGGAAUGAGCGUGUACCUGAGCAGCGAGCCACCAUGCGCUAUCAAGAGAGAAGGUUAGUACAAAAUAAAGAGCAGAAACAUAUAUAUCUCACAUGUCACUAAAUCGAGUACUAAAUCAUCAAAGGCACGCAUGACACUCUACUCAAAAUUUAUUUUUAUUUUAAAGAAAUUUUAUUUGAUGUUGGGCCCCCACCAAAGCCCGUUUAUUUUUGAAUGAAUUAAUUCCAUAAAUUCCAUUAUUCGGAAUUACGGAAUUUAAUUCAUGUUUUUUUUUAAAAAAAAAAAUUUUAAAAAACAAAGAAAAUUCGAAAGUGGCGGCCAAAUUUUAUUGAAAAACGGAUUUUUGGAACCUAAACGAAAAAAAAAACUAAGGAUGAAAAAUUAAAGAGAUGAAAUUAUUUGAAAAAAAAGGAAUUUGAAAAAUUAUUUUCAGAGUCAAAAGAUGAUGGAAUGGGGGGUAACAUAUGACAUGAGAGUGGCCAGUGAACCAUACAACCGGAUGUACACACGUGUGGGCCCAAGGUAGAGUGAUGAGAUGGAACAUGAAAUACCCAAUGAAAACGAGGCAGCUCUGGAGACAUCAAAUGCAAACAUCUUAAUAAGACCUUCCUUUAGCACAUCAACUUCUCUUUCCUCGUUCGCUAUCUCUCCGAAAACAACUUCUGCAACUGGAUGCUGCGCUUGAUGACAGGUAAUAGCUGGCAUGGCUAGAUCAUUAACUACCCAUUUAAAGAUAUCGUCAUAGGCAACAAAAAUUAGUCUCACGAUCCGUCACUAUCAGAACAUUGGUUCAGUCAUCAUGAACGUAAGAACCAAUUCUUCCUUCAGCAUGGACCCUACAAGCCUGAUAUUCUCAUUCAACUCGCUGAUCAAGGGUGACUUCAAUUCUGGGACCAAAUACAAGCCACUGUGCUGCAGGGUUCACGUAACAGAGGCUUUCCAGAUUAAAUAAAUCAGCAUUGCAACCCACAGCUGCCACUUGCUCUUUCAUUCGAACAGGUCCAACCUCUAGCUCCUUCAUAAGCCACUGCAAUUUUGUUGACUUUCCUUCACCAGAUAUGCACUGCCCACAAUAUCCACUGGUGAAUCUGUGAAGUUACCAAAUGCGAGGGACCCCAUUCAUUUGAUUCUCAAAACCCAUAAGACAUACCGGGUUGCAAUCUCACCUUGCUCAUAGCAUGCUGAAAAAUUCUCUCCCUGAUGUAGCAUGAAGGUCCGGCUUGGCUAUCACCGUUGGGGGUUGGAGCAGCAGGGAGGACAUCAAUAUCUAUCUUCGAUGCCGUGUCACCAACAGGGACCUUGGGCUUCAUGGGCUUCUUGGACUUCACUUUCUAAUGGCACAUCAACAGAGGAACGCGAUAUUCAAGCCCAUAAGCUUCGCCCCGUUAUGGUUCUUUGCCCAAGCAGUAAGCUCACAUCGUAGAGGCUCAUCUCCACUUCGAAACUGUUGAGACGGAUGUACCAUUAUGUUCGUGGGCAUCUUGCAGGCUGUUCACUGCAUGGAAAUGUCUACACUGAUAUCUUGACAUUCUCUGGGACUCCUUAACAUCCUCAAUAUUGCAGCCGUGCAUUCUUUUGGACAUGGGUAAGUGGGAUAGUGUGAGGGUGUAGAGANNNNNNNNNNNNNNNNNNNNNNNNNNNNNNNNNNNNNNNNNNNNNNNNNNNNNNNNNNNNNNNNNNNNNNNNNNNNNNNNNNNNNNNNNNNNNNNNNNNNGAUGGGUAUAUAUGCUGAGUGAUGAUGAGAGAGAAAAGGUGGCGGAGAGAGAAUAUGAAGGUGAUGAGACAUGGGUAUGGAGUUGUGAUAGCAUGAGAUGAUGGAGGCCCAUGGGGGGGGGGGGGGGCGGCUGUAUGCAUGAACGGCAUGUGGUAUAUAGAGAUAAGGGCAGUGGUUGGCAUGUGAGGGUAGUAAUGGGUCUAGAAAUCGGUUAUGAAGGGUAUGAUGGAUAUGAUGAGUAGAUGGGGAAUGACAUGGUGCAUGGUGGUGUAGAGAGAGAGUGGUGGUAAUAGAAAUGGGUAUGAAAGGUGUAGGGAUAUGGGUAUGAGAGAGAUGACCAGAUUUGCAUGUUCUCAUGAGCGUGGGUGGAUGAAUCUGAGGAGUUUUGGACAGCCAUGCCUGGGCGGAAACAGGUAAUGGAUUGGUGGAAUGAGUAGAGAGGUUUAAUGAGAAAAUGGGUAUGGGAAAAGGUGAUCUAGCUUGCAUGGAAUUGGUGAUGUGGCGAGGUGAAGCAUUAAGGUGGCAUGGGAAGGCAGUAAGAUGCAAGGAGAAAUGGAUUUAAUGUAGACACCCAUGGCCGUGAAUCGAUGGAAGGAAUGAUUUUGAAAUACACUCAGAAAAUGGGUAUGGGGCUUGAAAAAGAGAGAGAAAAGGUGGUAAAAAAAAAAUGAGGAUUAGGAACGUGGGUAUGGAGUUUUGGGUGAUGAGAUGAUGUAGUUAUGGAGUGUGGGUAUGGGGAGUGAGCAUGGCGCAGCCACGCAUAGCCAUGCAUUCUUCACACGUCUAACCCCGUCCAGGAACUUUCUCCAGCUUUAUGCGCAUGCAAUAAAUGUGCUCUGCCCCCCCUCAUUGCACUAUGUGUAAGCAGAAAGCAGUUCCUCCAGAUCGGCAUCCCCACAUAUAUCACAAACUUUUACUUCAUAUUCCAAAACAUCUGAUUUAACAUAAUCAUCAACAAGCUGAGAUUGCAAAGGACGUUUCUGUGAGUUUGAAUGUCUCAAGUAAUGCACAAUACUCUUCAGAAUGUUCCUUUUUAUCUGACUUUUGACCACCGAAACUAGAGGCUGCCACUGCCACUCUCGCCGAUGAUGAUUCAACUUGUUUUCCAAAGCAUUCAGAAGAUUCUCCCUUCGGUGAUGUUGGAUUUGGACCAGCAUAAACACCUUUUAAGUAAGAAAAUUCUGACGGGUCCAAUUUGUUUGAUAAGCCAGCAGUUUUCCUCAUGGAUUCUUUAAUAAAUUCCUCUCCAAACUUUCGAAGUCCCUCAAAACACCCAACCCGGACAGCCAAACUUAAACAAAAAUAUUUGUACUAAAAGAAAUAGAAAAAACAGAGGAUAAAGAGUGAAGAAGGAAAACAGAGCAAGAAUGACAAGAGGAAAGAAGUAUUUAGCCAAAACCAUGUAUCAUGAGUGAUAAACGGGCUUCGAACUGGUGGGACAAAGACGAAGGCUUCAAUAUAACUAUCAUUCAUCAAAUCUAAACCCAAAGAAGAAACUCACCAUUUACAGAGGGGAAAACAAGAUUAUUAGAAGGGAAUAAACAGAGCAUAUAGAAGCAGAAAAUCACAUUCAACCAAAGCAAACCUGUGGCCCUUGAACGUCCACAGCAAAUCACAAAUAGAUAUUCGUUAGAUUAACAUAGAAUGAAGUGGGAUUUUUAGAAAUGAAAACGCACCAGAUUCAAAGUGACGCUUCUCACGCCUCCACAACACAAACUCCUCCCCUUCAACGGCUGCCUCCAGAAAGAAAAAAAAAAAAACCCCCCCCCCCCUUUUCAACCUCUUUCCUUGCUUUUUAAACCUCCUCACCUUGUCUUCCUCAGCAAGCCAUCCUCGGCUCCACUGCUACACAUCCCAUCUGCCGCCCAAAAGCUCUGCCUCCCCUGCAGCUUCAGAGCCCCCAAACACAGCUCUCCCAUCAUAGCGAGCCCCGGGAAAUAAAAAUUAAAAUUAAAAAAAAAAAAGUCUCUGCUUCCGGGGGUCUACAAAUAUGUUAUUUAAAAACACCAUAUUUUUUGUUUUUAAAAACACCAUAUUUUUUGUUUUUAAAAACAUAAAACAUAGAACAAUUUUCUAGUAGUCAAAUAUAUUUUCCUUUUUUUGUUUUUUUUUUUUUAAACCUAUUCUCGAAAACAAUUAUCAAAGACCAUAUAUUUUUUACUUUCAUUAUCUAAUAACAUUGCAAUUAUUUUAUAAAUUAUGUUGAAAACAAUUAGCCGUAAGGCAUAGUAAAAUUAAGUUAGAAAAAUUAGUAUAUAUCAGCUACGAGAAAAAUGAGUUAUACAAAGAACAAAGCAGAGUGUAAGCUUUCUAGUAGCGUGCAUCAUGAGAUUUCAGGCCCAGCAAACUUAACCGCAGAGGCAGAGUGCAAGCUUUCUGGUAGCGUUCAUCAAGAGAUUGCAGGUCUAACAAACUUAACCUUGCUUGAUCUGUCUUUAUAAUGAGAUUGCAGGUCUAGCAGGGCCUGUGCCGAAGUUCUUUGACCGGUCCAACCGCCGACCUUUGACUGGUCCGGUUUGGUCCUCUCCUUCUGGGUGGUUGAACUGACCACAAACAGGGUGAACCGAUUGAAUCGGGCGGUUCUUCAUGAACCGCACGGCUCAAUUCCAGCCCAGCCUUCCCCCUAUUUUCUUUCAUCCAAACAGUCCAACCUUCCCCUCCUUUCUUUCAUAGGGGCCCAAGUAAAAGCCCAAUAAGCCUGGACAGGUUCCCAAUUCCAGCCCAGCCUUUCCCCUAUUUUCUUUGUAGGAUCCACCGCAAGCAUUUGAACCCUAAACCUCAACUGCGCAAGCAUCACAGAGCACCACUUGGCCAUAGGCUCAUAGCACAUUUUUUUAUACUAAGUUUAGCAAAUAAAAAAAUCUAUAUGUGAUUCUAAAAUAAUUUAUAAUAUUAAAUAAAAAUAAUAUAAUAUUUUUUGAAAUUAUAAAAUCAGUUAAAAUUUUCUUUCAUUUUUAAUAUAUUCACAUUUAAAUAUUAUAUAUAUUCCAUUUAAUAAAGUUUAAAAUAUUAAAUUAUAUAUAUUUAUAAUUGAUAACAUAAAAAAUAAAAAUAAAAAUUAUUAGUUUUUAAUUUAUUUUUAUAUAUAUUUUAAAAUUUAUUAUUUUUAAUAUUAAUAACAUAUAAAUUAUAUAUUUAUAAUGUUACUAGUUUGAUCCGAUUCAAUCAUUGAAUUGUGAAUUAUAACAUUUUUUUUGUUCAAUGACAAGUUUCGAUGCUAAAAACAUUGUGAGAAACCUUCAGGGACCUGUCAUAACCAGCUAACCGGAACCAUCCCUGUUGAUCUGGUCUUGUUGAUGCCAAACUUAGUUAAGCUCGAUUUUUUAAAAAAACUGGCUCAUUGGAUCACUUCUGACUUCCCUCAUUUAUAUUCUGCAUGAAAAGCCUGACCCAUCUAGACAUUACCAUGAAUUCUUUCUUGGAUCUCACUUCUCUUGAUUUUAGCCUCUUUGUUGCUUCUAAAUGCCAACAACUAACCUGUGUCUGUGACUUUUUAUGAAAUAUAACUUCCCCUUCUAUUUUGUAUCUUUAGAACAACAGAGUCACAGGCAGCUUCUUCACUCUCAAAGCUUGUUGCCUUGGCAUAACUCAAUUUCUCCAAUAACAAUUUCGAAAUAUGCCAUGCUAAAUUUGUGACAUAGUAGGCCUUGCCUUUGUCAAUUUCUCUGGCAACAGAUUCACUGGCUAUGCACCAGAGAUUUGCAUGAAGGACCAACAGUGCUCAGCACUCCUACCUUUAUCUCUUCUUGGCACGGCUACACAGCUGUGAGGGCUCUGACCCAAGCGGCCAAGCCUCUGUUUGAGCUGUUGUACCACUUUCAUCUUCCUAGUUCUGCUCAUUUUCCUUCUCAGACGGAGGAUGCUGAGGCAAAAAACUGUAGUUGUUGACAAGGGAAAGGGCAAGCUGGUGGCAGUAGUUGAGUCAUAAUCCACUGAUGAGCUGCUGGGCAAGAAGAUAAAAGGGACAACUAGCAUUAACUUUGCAACAUUUGAGCGCUCUUUGCUGCGGAUGGAACCUUUAGAUGUAUCGACCGCUGGGUAUACUGGAAUACUAAAAUAUUUCAUAUAAUGCAUAUUAACCAUUUCUCAUCGCUCGUAGCCACAACUUACCACAUAAAAGAAUGUAUAAAAAUUAUGGUAACUAUAAUGAAAAGAAGAACACUACUAUUUAUUAUUUAUUAAUAUUAAAUAACAUUAAUUAUUAUAAAUAUUUUAUUUAGUACUCAUACUUUUAGGUUUAAUUUGAAGAUGAUAAUUAUCAGGUUAGUUUUUCAAUUCUAGGUUUUAUUGAAAUUUCCUAUUAUCCAUAAUAUGUUAUACGGAAUAUAAGUAUUAAUGUAAUUUAUUGUAUUCAUUGAAUGGUAUGUGACCAUGUGACAACGCCAGAGUAUAUAAUGUUUUUUCUUUGUUUUAGGUGGCGUUUGUUUUUUGGCUGAAUAGAAAAAGACAAAUAUUUUGACUUUUUCUAUUCAACUAAAAGUACCUUAUUGAUACUAACCAAUAUAACUAAAGUAAACUUAUUAUCAAUAAGUUUAGUUUAAUUAUAUUGGUUGAUGCCAAUAAGUUACUUUUAACUGAAUAGAAAAAGCCAAAUAUUUUGAAUUUUUCUAUUCAGCCAAAAAACAAACACCACCUUAGUUUGCCGGUCAAUGGAUUCGUCUAUAGUGUGUUCUUUGUUUGGUCUUCCACUCAAUGAUUCCCGUAAAUUGCGGAAGAAAAGCGAAUCAUUGCAUGUGCAAGUGUUUUACCGAAUGGUUUGUGAUAAUAUAUAUCACGUGAAUUGUGAAAGAAAAGUGUCUCUUCUCCCUUUGAUUGCAUUCACUGAACAGCAUGUGACCACUCAGAGCAAAAGCAAGAUGAGUUUGGAAUCCGACGGGGAAAAGGGCAGCAAAUGGUAGGGCCCACUUCCCUUUGAAACCUUGUUCAGUCGUCCGUUCCCACCCUUUGAUUGCGUAGGACAAACCCCCACCAUAACACCAUGUGGGUUGCCCCCUCUUUCGACAUCAUUCCAUGAAAACAAUGCCGUUCUAUGAACGGAGCGGAGGAUUGUUUGCACAUGGCACUUAUUUGAUUUUUUUAUUUGAACAGCCAAAGGUAUUGCUAACAUUAUUAAAAAUAAUACUUAUUUGCUAGAAGGUAUGUAAAAUCUGAAUUAUUUUUAGAUAAAUGUAUUCAAUUUGAAAAUUUUAAAUUAGGAUUGUUAUUUGAUUUUUUUCAAAUGUAUGUAUGAAAACACAAUUUAACUUAUAUCAUAUAUAAUGUUAGUGUAAGGAAGAGUUGUCUAGCUAGAUCCUGAUCCUGGUCUUAUUGGGAUCCCAAAAUAUGAUUUGAUUUCGAAUUACAAUUAUAAAACAAGAUUCUGUGUUCCUUUGUUGCACAAAAUAGAAGCUUCUCUACAACACUACCCAUUUUCUGCUCCCCACAAAAACCAUGGUCGUUCUUUUUUUCUAGCUAAAUUCAUUUUAUUAAAUAUUUUUAUAAAUAAAAUGACAUUUAUGGUGUUCCAUAAUUUCUACGUUCUUGAGCCAAAUUUAGAAAAUGAAUCAUUCUUGGACAAACUCGAUCCCGUGGGGUUUGGUUUUGGAAGCCAAAAGUCCUAUCUCCGUUGCCCUUUAGGGCUCUUGUAUAUGGAGAGGGAGAGAUUUGUGGAUGUCUGCAAGGUUUUAGUAUAGUCACCAUCCACGCAUGGCCGUGGUUUUAUUUUUAUUUAUCUAGGCUAUGUUUGUUUCAAAAAUGUUAUAGAAAAUGAUUUUUCAUAUUUGGUUUCAUCAUUAAAAAAAAAUAAAUAAAUAAAAUAUAAUUAAAAAUUUAUAUAUUUUAAAUUUAUUUAAUCUUUAUAUAAAAAAAAAAAAUAAGUAAAAUAAAUUUAAAGAAACAUAUAAAAAUAAUUUAUUGAUUUAAAUGUAUUUUUUAUUUUUGUUCCUUUUUCUCUCUAUUUUCUUUCCUUAAAAUUUUAUGGGAAUAAAAAAUGGCCUUAUUUUGUAUAUUAAUUUGUUUAUUUCAAGGGUACAUUUUAAUAAACCAGAUCUUAUGGAAGGUCAUGACAUACCUUCAUGUUAAUUAUUAAUUUCACUCCCAUAAAGAAAAUGAGAUCUUACCAAUUGCAAAUAGAUCAAUUAGCACAUCCUGGGAAAAGGUUAAAAUUACCAAGCACGCUUAAAAGAAAAUUAUUUCAAGUUCCGGAAGAAAAGGUAUUCUUACCGCGGUACAAGAUCUGCUAUUUGCCCAACUGCAAAAUCAUAAACAUAAGGUCCCACUAAGAUUCUUUUAUAAAUUUAAAAAGUUGUCUAAAUACAAAAUAAAAGGCAAGAAGAAAGAUGCAGCAGAUGAUACAAGUAACGAUUGGAAGGCCAGAGGAAAGUGGUAACACAGCGUAUAGGCCCGUCAUGAAUGCAACCACCAUUGCUCCCAUGCUUAACACGGUGAGAAAAAAGCCCAUAAUUAAGUGUUUGUCAAGGUAGUCCUCGUCCUCAUGCACCGACAUAAAAAAAUAAACAAACACAGCAGAUACAGAGAGGAUCACGGCCAUGGUGUCUGUCACAAUAAAUGCUUUGAAAGCUGCUCUCUUUGUUAAAAUUGCCAUGCCAUUGUCAUUGUAACCACCAGGCAAGGUGAAACCCGCAGCAAAGGUUACAGUUGCUACAAGUGCUGCCACUAUCAAAUGGGUUUCACCUUCUCUUUUUGUGGUAGAGAUGCUUUCGUCUUUUUCGACGUCUUCGCUUUUACUACUACCACUGUCUUUAUUGAUAGCCUCCUGCCAACUAAAGGGUCCAACAACAACUUUCUCCCAUUCCCUCCAUUGUCUUCUAAUUUCUUCCUGAAAUUUGAUCAAAAUAAAACAAAUAAACCUUUUUCCUUAAAAAAAAAUAAAAAUAAAAGAAAUAAAGAAAGAAAAAGAAUGUAGUUCAUGUGUCGCUGUUUUGGCUUUUUGCUCUUCCUUUAUAUGAAAAUAUUUUCUCAUCUUCCCUCAAAAUGUUUUUCCAUAAGUCUACAAUUUUGACCCACAGGUUCUACAAAUUGCCUUCAUUAUGCUAAUUUGGUAGUUAAUUUCUAUUUUAAGCAUGAUUGUCUCUACCGAUAAUAAAAAUAGAAAAAAUAAUGAUGAUGGACUCUUUCCAUAUCAUUACUAAUAAAAAGAUUAGGUUAGGAUCCUUACCUUGAAUAUUCUUCUUGGCUUAACUUUAUCCCUUGAAAUAAUGUCUAGGGCGGUUAACUUAUCCUUGUUGAGUGCCAUUUUAUCCACUCUAUUGUCCGCUGACAAAAAUGGAUCAUAAACUUGGUAAGAAGCAAGCAGGUGGAGGGGUGUGUCUCCUUUAGCGUCUUUCUCAUUUAUAAGUCUUCUCACGCUUAACAAACUAUUACGACCCAAGAUACCACCAGCAGCCAAAAACUGCUCGCUCAUAAUGGCAUAGUGAAGAACAUUAUUUCCCUUAUCAUCCACUUGCUCGCAACAAUCUGGGGAGUGUGACAGCAGCAGCUUUACUAUAUCUCGAUGGUCACGGUUAGCUGCAAUGUGAAGUGCUGUUUUCUUGCUGUCCUUGAGUCCAAGAUAAGUUACAGAUUUAUCUGGUGAUUUGUCUAGUAAUUGCUCCACAAUUGCAGUAUGACCCAAGUAUGCAGCACAGUGAAGGGGAGACCAUCCAUUCUCAUCCACUUCUUUUGUCAGAUCUGGCUUCCAUUCCAAUAACCUCGCUGUCAUUUCUGUAAACAAACGAACCAACAAAAAACAGAGAAAACAAAUUGAAGAAAAUUAAGUGAAUAAUUGAAGUUCCCUCUAGUGAAGCAUGACUCCUAGAGGUGAUCAUGUUUUCUAACAAUAGGUUGCAUGACUAUCUAACCACAUGGGAAUCGAGAUUCAAGGGAAGGAUCUGCAUAUGUGAUACCUUGGUCAUUGCGAAUUACAGCAGCAUGUAAAGCCGUUCUACCCAUCAUGCCACUGUAAGAUGGUGAAGUGCAAGUUCCUAAGAUUAAAUUCACCAAAUCUUCAAAACCUCUCUCGGCGGCCAUGUAAAGAAGAGUGUAGCCUGCAAUAUUAGCCCCAUAAAUAAACUCGGGGUCUUCCUCGGUCAAUGACUUCACAACCUCUGAAUGAUGAUACCUCACUGCCUCAUGCAAGGCUGUGUUUUCCUCCUCAUUUGUCAUCCUCAUAAUCGCCUUAUCUCCUCCAACCCCACUCUCGAUCUCUUGGUGAAGUCGUUUCGCAGCAUCAAUGAGUGCUUUCACGACUGUCAAAUGGCCUUCUCUCGCUGCAUGGUGAAGUGGAGUGUCGCCCUUCAGAUUGGGCUUAAGCAGGAGAGAUGAAGAUGAAUGCAGCCCCAGGAUAUACUGAACACAGUCCAGUUGACCGAAUUGGGCUGCAAUGUGGAGGACGGUAUUCUUAUUUGGGGUUAAUUGGACCACAAAAUGAUGUUCUGACAUUUGUUCCAGGACAUCGAUCCUGCCAUAUGCUGCGGCCUCGUACAAAGCAGCAUCCAUGCAAGUGAUCGGAGUUUGGCUGCCAUCUGCAUCUGCCGCCUGGUUCGAGAUCUCGGUUUGGCUACCGUCUUGAGCUGCAAGCUGUUCCAGGUAAAGAGUAUGUGAUUCUGCAGUGUUGAUGGAAGUGGAAAGAUCCAUAGGUGCUUCAGCAAUCAGCACUAUCCUCCUCUACACAACUUUUCCCCACCCCACCUUGCCUCCAUUAUAUAUUAAAAACAAAAAUUAACAAAAAUUAAAUGGGACAGAGUGGAAUGGCCGGCGGGAUUUCUUACACCCAACUAUGCUUUAUUUAAUUAGUUAAUUAAUUAAUUAAUUUAAUGUGAUGGGAUUGGGAGAGGUGACCCUGUCCCAUUUAAUUUAUUUAUUUAUUGAUAGAUAUAAGUAUACGUGAUGGGAAUGGCUAGAGAGAGACCCGUCCAGAAUUUGCCGGUUGCCAGCCUGUUGAUAGAAAAUACUAGCAUAUUUCUCGUGUACUUACAAAAUGGAGCCAAGAGGCUUGGGCAAAAGAAUUAACAUGUCAUUUUGAAUUUUAUUUUUUUUCUCGAGUACCAAUAAUUCUAAAUAUUUUAUAAAAAUAAGGAUAUUUGGGAAGUUGUUUUUAAAAGUAAUUUUUCUACUUUGAUUUUAUAAAAACAUUUUAAACUGAAUUUAUAUAAUAGUAAUUAAAUUUAAUUUAAGCCUUAUUACAAAUAAAAAUAGUUUUCUAAUUAGAUAUAAGUUAAAAAAUAAAUAGUUUUUUAUAAGAUAUGAAUAGUAAUACUACAAUAAAAACAUAAAUUAUAGUUUCUUAAUAAAUAAAUAAAUAACUAUUUUAAUACGUAUUAGAGAAGUAUGGAUAUUAACAUUUUCUUGAAAGCAUAAUUAAAUUUUUUUGUUAAAAAUGAAGAAUAAUAUUUUAAAAAUGCUCAUACACAACUUCGAAAAUAAUAUUUAAUUGAUAUUAAUAUUUUAUAUAUAUAUAUAUAUAUAUAUAUAUAUAUAUAUAUAUAUAUAUAUAUAUAUUUAUAGUAUUCAUAUUCGUUUCAUACGGGAGGUCUUACCAAGUCUUUAUUUUAUUUCAUUUAAAGUUUUGACCUUUUCAACAAAGUAUUUUCAUCUUUUUUUAAGAAAAUAAAUAAUUUUUUAUUUUUUAUUUUAAUUUUUUAGAAAAUGAAUAUGGAAAAAAUGUGUUCAAUAUACAUGAUUUUCUCUUCUUUUUUUUUUUCUUAUAAAAAAAACUCAAAUAAAUAAUAUUGUGAAGAUAUGUAUAAUAUAAAAUUUUCUACUCUAUUUUUCUAUUUCAUUUUAAAAAAUAUCAUAUCUUUAGAAUAAUUUCUUAAAUUAUAAAAAGUAUAAGGGUUUGUUUGACAACUGUUUUCGAAAAUAAUUCUGAAAAAUAGUUUUUAAAAAUUGUUCUCUAAUUUUUGUAAAAUAAAAGUCUGUUUGCAAACCGAAAAUAUUUUUAAAUUAUUUUUAAAUAUAUUUUAAAAAUGAUUUUUAUAUCAAAUGUUUUAUUUUUAAUCAUUUUAUAUGUUUGUAUAAUUAUUUAUUAAAACAACCAUCAGAAAACAAGUGAAAACAAUAGAAAAAAACUAAAAGAUAUUCUCUUAAAACACUUUAUUUUUUGUUCUUAAAAACAAAAAUAUAAAACAUUUUUUAGUUACCUAAUGUGUUUUUUAUGUUUUUGUUUUAAAUAAUAGAAAAUUAUUCUUAAAAACAAUUCUCAAAUAGACUCUAAAUAUAUAAACAUAUUUUUAGUUUUAAUUUUUAUUUUCUAAAAAAAUGAAAAUACCAAACAAGAUCUUAACCUGUCUUUAAUCACACUAAUUUAGGGCAAACUCCACACAAGAGUUUUUUUUUUUUUACAUUUUUUCUAUAUGUGGUUAUCAACUGCUUAUCUUUUUUAUUUAUCUGUUUGUUAGCUAGAAAAAUAGACUAUGUGGGAGGUCACCCCAAAUAUAAUAUACAUCCUUUUUAACGCUUGAAGAGUAGUCAUCAUGAAAAUCAUUUCAUCAUUUUGAGAAUAUUAUAAUUUUGAGAAUAAAACAAUUGUGAGCCAUAACCAAAGUAAUAAUCAAUUUCCUCAACCAGAAACAAAUUAAUAAAUAAAUAUAAAAAAAAGGGAACGAACAAAACACCACCUACUACAUGUUAAACAAGUUACAACUUGCAGCCAUAAAAGCGAUCUUGGAGCCGACACGAUUAUUUUAGUCCCUUUCAAACUUAUUUAAGGCAAACUCUUUCUUUUUAAUACUUGAUUUUUAUAAAUUUUCAAGGAAAAUAUGAAAAGAAAGAUAAUAAAAAAUAAAUUUAAAAUUAAUAAAUUAUUUUAUGUAUUAUUUUAAAUUCAUUUACUAUAUUUUUUUAUAUAUAUAAAGAUUAAAUAAUUUAAAAUUACAUACAUUUUUAAAUAAUUUUAAUUAUACUUGAUUUUUUUUUUCAUAUUUUUCAUAAUAAAAUCAAAUAUAAGAAAUUUAUUAUUUUAAUAUUUUUCAUAUUUUUCAAGGUUGCUUUCAUUUUUUCCAAACUUGUAACUUGUCAAUUGAUGAGCUAGUGGUGCUAGUGGGAAUAAUUCAAAUUUUUUAUUUGCUUCUAGCUAGGGUGGACAAAUUGAGUAAGAGCCCUGCUGUCUCUUGUUUAAUUGUUUUUAACUUGUAUGUCAGUAGGAAUAGUCCAUUAUUAUCUUUAUUCAGUGAAAACAUGGCACGCCAUGCACCUCGGAAUACACAAGCUGACAAGAGAUAUGAAAGGUUGUCGGUUUUUUAAUAUAUAAAAAGUUAUAAUUUACAAAAUUUAUGAAAGGGUCCACAUAUAUAGAAUAUUUAUAAAAUAUGAUUUCGAUAUAUUCUAAAAAAUUGUAAAAUGAUUGACCUUUGGGUCAUUUAAAAUUUGUGUGCCUAUUCAUAGAAGUAUUUAAUGAAAUAUUUAAUUAUUUUAAAAUAAUAUAAUUAAAUAAAAUAUAAGAUGACGAUCUUAAAGACUUAAGCUUGGUAUCUAAUAAGAGUUAAUACUUGAUACAUAAUUAUUAUACUUGACUUUAAGUUAACUUAUGUUUAAACCAUCAAUUUAAAACUUAUUAUAAAAUUAUAUUAUUAAAUUAACAUAUUUACCUUCAUCAAUACUUAAAAAAUGGGGGAGAGAAACACAAAAAUAUAGAGACACAUUAAUGUUAUUUUAGGUUGAAUUAUAUAUACUUAUUUAUUAUUUAGUUAUUAAGAAAUAAAUUUAUUACUUCACAUUAAUAAUAAUAAAUUCUUUAUUAAGUCAUCUUUAUUAAUGUUUGAGUGUUGUUAAGUAUGAACUUAUAUUUUUUUAAUUAUUAUUUUUAAAUGGUAAAUUAAUUUACUUUUAUAUUUUAAAAUCUAUAAAAUUAAUUAUUAUAUUUCUUUUUAUUUUAUGCAUUUAAGAUAAAAAAAAUAGUUAAAAUUAAUAAUUUGAAAAAGGAAUAGCAAUGUAAUAUAUUUCCAAACAUCAAAAUUUAUUAACAUAAUAAAAAUUUUCUAUUUUGAGUAAUAGCUCAUCAGAAAAUUUUAUAUUAAAAUUUCUUAAGAAAUAAGAGAAAAUAUAACUUAAAACAAAAUCUAUUCCAACUAAAAUAAAUUAUUAUUUUUUAUUUAUUUUUAAGACAACAGUUAUCAAAAUUUUAAAAAUAAUAAAAAUAAAUUUAAAAAUAAAUUGAAUUAAAUAAUAUAGAAAUAAAAAAUGAAUAAAUAAAUGAAUAGAUGUGAUGUAUGAUAUUAAUGGGUAAUUAAUUAUUCAUGGCACUUACAUCAUAUCGUAUUUUCUUAAGAAUUAUUUUUCAAGUCAUCAUUUCAGAUAGAGUGAUAUUUAAAAUGGAUGUCCGUUUAGUUAUGAUUUUAAAAAAUGGUUUUAAUUUUUCUUAUAAUUCAAAAAAAAUUUAUCAUUUAAGUGAUAAAAAAAUUAAAAACUUUUUUUAUGUUACUAUCAAACACAUUCUAAAAGAAAUGGUAUUAAAAUGAGUUAAUAUUUAUUAUUUACUGAUAAUAAUAUAAUAAUGGAUUUUAAAUUCAAGAACAGCAAUAAAGAGGGGACCCGUGAGUAUCCUAUUUAAUGUUGAAUAUUUUAUUUAUUAAUUAAUCUCUUUAGUUGUAUCAACAAUAAAAAGCAUGUUAAAAUAAUGGAAUAAGUUUUUCUAUCCUGUCAAUUUAUAUAUAACUUUGAAGAACUCAUCUUAGAACUACAAAAUGAUUAUUUUAACAAAAUGGUACAGACAAAAUUGUGGGCCUACCCUCAAGAUUCCUUUCAUAUUUCAAACUUGUAAAACUUGUUUAUGGAGGAGUUGGUGGUGGUGAGAAUAGUUUACAAUUUUUAUUCAUUUUUUGUUUGGCACUAGGGUGGACAAAUUUAAGCAAGUGUUUAAAUCUUGGUGAUGACAAGAUGGAUGAAUGCAUUUUUGAAAAUUUAAUUGAUUAAAAAAGAAUGAAAUGAUUUCAAGUUUAUAUUAUUGGUGCAAUACCAACCAAACUUGUGUUCGUCUAUUAUUUUUGGAGUUAGAUGAAUAUCUUCCCUACACAAAAGGAUGUCCGGAUAAGGUGAUUCGGACAUGCUCAUCUGAAACUUAAGUCAAAAAAUAAUAAGGACUAGUCUAGUUAUUUCGAAUGACUUUGUACAUGUGUUCCUUUUUCAUGCUUCUUGAGGGGUAUUUAUAGAGCGAAUGACACCAUUGUUAUAGCGUUGAUGGAUAUCAGAUGGAAUGGACAAACCACACCGAUUGAGAUUUUUGGACGAAUUAACCAACAUAGCCGGAGAUUUUGGGUACUGAGCAUAUGGAUAAUCACACCCAGUGUUUGAGUAAGACAACAUUUACGUCUAAAAGUCAAUGAAUACUAAUUGCUACACACAAUUAGCGACAUUGAAAAAUGUAAAUGCAGAGUCAACUACAUGGUCCGAGACUCUUACUUGACAACCAGCAAAUGACAUCAAUCAGGGAAUUUUAUUUGGUAUGAUUACCCAAUUCGUAUAGAAAUGAUGGCGUUGACUCUCUUGCUAAGGCUCGAUUUCCGCCCUGAUAACAAUCAUCAUCAUAAAAAAGACAUGAAUGCAUCCUCAAUGUUAUAACGAUGGUGCCAUCUGCUUUAUAAAAACCCAUCGAGAAGCAUAAAAAUGUACACACGUAUAGAGUCAUUUAAAAUAACUAGACAUAUUCUUAUUAUUUUCUAACUUAAGCUUCGGAGGGAUAUACCCGAACCACCUAUCCGGACAUCCUUUUGUGUAGGGAAGAAACCCAUUUGACUCUAGAGAAGCUAGACGAACACAAAUCUGGUUGGUACUGCAUCAAUAUGUAUAUCUAAUUUCUUGUCUUUAUAACUUGAUAAUCCUCUUUAACCUUUUUAUUAUUUACAUGUAAGUUAUAUAUAUAUAUAUAUAUAUAUAUAUAUAUAUAUAUAUAUUAUUUUUAUAAGAAAAAGAUAAAAAUAUUGUUUUCUAAACGGAUAGUUAAAAAAAUGUAGAAAGUUAAAUUUAUAAAUUGAGAAUCAUUUCAUCCUUUAAUCAAAUGACUUUUUUGCAAUUACUUAUUUCUAUUGUAAAGGGCUGGAAUCAUUUGUAAUGUUUAUAUUAAAAUUUGUGUGCCUAUUCAUAGAAAUAUUUAAUGAAAUAUUUAAUUAUUGUAAAAUGACAUAAUUAAAUAAAAUAUAAGAUGAUGAUUUUAAAGACUUAAGCUUGGUAUCUAAUAAGGGUUAACACUUGAUACAUAAUUAUUACAUGUGACUUUAAGUUAAAUUAUGCUUAAACCAUCAAUUUAAAACUUAUUAUAAAGUUAUAUUAUUGAAUUAACAUAUUUACCUUCAUCAAUACUAAAAAAUGGGGGAGAGAAACACAAAAAUAAAGAGACAUAUUAAUGUUAUUUUAGGUUGAAUUAUAUAUACUUAUUUAUUAUUUAGUUAUUUAAAAAUAAAUUUAUUACUUCACAUUAAUAAUAAUAAAUACUUCAUUAAGUCAUCUUUAUUAAUGUUUGAGUGUUGUUAAGUAUGAACUUAUAUUUUUUUAAUUAUUAUUUUUAAAUGGUAAAUUAAUUUACUUUUAUAUUUUAAAAUCUAUAAAAUUAAUUAUUAUAUUUCUUUUUAAAAAUAGUUAAAAUUAAUAAUUUGAAAAAGGUAUAGCAAUGUAAUAUAUUUCCAAACAUCAAAAGUUAUUAACAUAAUAAAAAAAUUUCUAUUUUAAGUAAUAGCUCAUGAGAAAAUUUUAUAUUAAAAUUUCUUAAGAAAUAAGAGAAAAUAUAACUAAAAACAAAAUCCAUUCGAACUAAACUAAAUCAAUUUUUUAAAAUUUAUUUUUAAGACAACAAUUAUCAAAGUUAUAAAUGUGAUGUAUGAUAUUAAUAGAUAAUUAAUUAUUCAUAGGUCGCACCAAUUUCAGGGCUUACAUCAUAUGCAUCUUCUUAAGGAUUAUAUUUUGAGUCAUUUCAAACAGAGUGAUAUUUAAAAUGGAUUAUUAAGAGCCCGUUUAACUAUGUUUUAAAAAAUUUUAUCAUUCACGUGACAAAAAAAUUAAAAAUGUUUUCUAUAACCUCUAUCAAACGCAUUUUAAAACAAAUGGUAUUAAAAUAAUAUUUAUUAUUUACUUAUAAUAGUAUAAUAAUGGAUUUCAAAUUCAAGAACAGUGUUCAAGAGGGAACACGUGAGUAUCCUAUUUAAUGUUGAAUAUUUUAUUAAUUAAUUAAUCUCUUUAUUUGUAUCAACAAUAAGAAGCAUAUUAAAAUAAUGGAAUAAGCUUUUCUAUCCUAUUAAUUUAUAUAUAACUUUGAAGAACUCAUCUUAAAACUACAAAAUAAUUGUUUUAACAAAAUGGUACAGACAAAAUUGUGGGCCUACCCUCAAGAAUCCUUUCAUAUUUUCAACUUGUAAAACUUGUUUAUUGAGGAGUUGGUGGUGGAAUCAUUUGUAAUGUUUAUAUUCUAAAAAAAAAAUUGGGAAAUGAUUGGCUAUUAAGUCAUUUAAAAUUUAUGUGGCUAUUCAUCAAAGUAUUUAAUUUGAUAUUACUUAAUCUUUUUUUAUUUAAGUUUUAUCAUUACUUUUGAAUGUUCAAUUGAGUCAAGUAUUUAUAAUAAUCUUAUUUUAUGUUAAAUUAUACGUACUUAUCUUUUUUAUUGAUUAAUAUAAAAAAAUAUUUCUUUUCUCAAUAAAGAUAAAUAUUUCAUUAACUUAUGUGGACCAACAUCUCUCAUGUGAUUCCAUUUGAAAAAACUAAUUUUAUUAUGAAAAAUUAUUUUUUUGAAAAAAAUAAAAUAACCACUUAUUUUUGUUCAUUUUUAAAAGAAAAGCAAAAUAAAUAAAAAAUAUUAAAAAAAACCAAUGACUCCUUUUUAAUUUUAUAUUAAAAGUUUGCAAAUUAUCUCAAUUCAAUAAAAAAAAUUCAAAUUUAUUGUUAAAAUUUUUAAAAUUUUUUUUUAAAUAUUAGAAAAUAUUUUAUUCUUAUUUAAAAAAAAAAGGAUUUUGCCCUUUCUAUUUUAGAAAAAGGAUUUGCAGUUUUUUAUUUUAGAAAAAGAUAUUUUAACAGUUUUUUUUUAUUGGAAAUAAAUACCCUAUAGGGUUUUUUUUCAAAAAAAAAACUUUGAAAAAAAGAAAAAGAAAAGACUCUUACCGUUUUUAUUUAAUAAAGGCUUGAUAGUUUUAUUCUAUUAAAAAAAAGAGUAAGAUGUUAUUUUAUUUGCAAACUUGGUGAUAAAGAACAAAUCAAAUGAAACCGAAAUAAAGAACAAAUCAUAUAUUCAUAGAAUUGAAAAUUAAAACGAAGGAAAAAAAUACGGAAAGAGCCCCGGCAAAAUGUCGUCCACCACCUCCUCUAAGAUCCUAGGCCUUCAAGCUUGGUCUUUAUCUACCCUUCCACGUGGUGGACAUGCUCUAGGCGAAAAGUAAGCAGAUGGAGGCAGUAAAGUUGGCCCAUGUCCAAAAUCAAAACAAGGCCAAAAUGAGAAUGAUUAAAACAAAACCCAAACCAACAUACACAAGCCCAAAACAAAUAAAGCCCCAACGCAACAGACAAAUUAAACCAGGCCCAAACUCAAAUAAACAAAUAUGAUGGACCAGAGCAAUAGUUGAAGCCUGAAAUAGUAUCCAAGAACCCCAAUACCCAUAAACGUGAAUCAAUAAAAAAACCCAAAUCAAAGCCCACAAAUAGCCCAAGUUCUCAAAACUAACACUUUGAAGUAGGGAUGGCAAUGGGGCGGGUCAUUUCGGGUACCCGCCCCGCCCCGCCCCUAAUGGGGUGGGAUAUUAUUUUUCUAAACGGGUAUGGGACGGGUUUGGGAUUUUUUUUGAAACCCGGGGCGGGUUCGGGGCGGGUUCGGGUAUUGCCCCACCCCGCCCCGCCCCGAUUAUAUAUAAAAUUAAAAUUAAAAUUUAAUUUAAUUUAAAAUUUAAAAUUAAAUUAAUUUAAUUUUUAUUUUAUUAUUUUUAAUAUAUAGAUAAUAAUAAAUUAUUUUUAAUAAAAUAAGUUAUAAAAAAUAUAAUUAUUUAAUUAUUUAUAAAAUAUAUUUAUUUUAAUAUAAUUAAAAAAAUUUAAAAGUAAUUUUUUAAAAAAAUUAAAAUUAAAAUUAAAUAAAAAGCUAAACGGGGCGGGUAUGGGAAUGUAGCAUACCCGCCCGCCCCGCCCCGCCCCGCCCCGCCCCGUUUAAUUUUUUAAAUGGGACGGGGAUGGGAAUUGAUUUAAAUAAACGGGGCGGGGUUGGGAGGGGGGCGCCCCGCCCCGAACCNNNNNNNNNNNNNNNNNNNNNNNNNNNNNNNNNNNNNNNNNNNNNNNNNNNNNNNNNNNNNNNNNNNNNNNNNNNNNNNNNNNNNNNNNNNNNNNNNNNNAAAAUUAAAAUUAAAAUUAAAUAAAAAGCUAAACGGGGCGGGUAUGGGAAUGUAGCAUACCCGCCCGCCCCGCCCCGCCCCGCCCCGCCCCGUUUAGUUUUUUUCAACAUACACCAUUGGGAAUCAUAUUGAUGGUACACCACGACGAUCUGAGUUGAGAUUGUAGUGAUGGUGAGCGGCUCUGUUCUGUACCAAAAGAACUGGUUCAGAAACGAGAGGAGCACGCACGAGACCGUUCCGAGAACCACAUUUGGAAGGUGAGCACCGACAGAGAAGGGUCGUCUGUGGUGGGCACAGUUAGAGCCACCUGUUUGAUCGGUGAGUUCUCUUUGUCUGGGCAGGUUUCAAUGAAGAAGACGAUGGUUCCAAGCUCGAAUACCGCCCUUUGAUACUGCAGAAAACAGAGAGAUAGAGAAUGUUAACUUUCUUUUGCAAAGAUCUGAAGAAGAAGAAGAAGAAUAGAGGACUUACUAAGAGGGGAGGUGAUUUCGUUUAAUUUUUGGGAUUGAAUCAUGAGCUAAGAAUCUGAUGGAAUUGUUAUGGUUUUGGGGUGGAUGUGCAUUUUUUAUCCUGGAUCCUCAUGUUCUUGGCUUGAAAAGUAGUUUUGGUUUUCUUUGUUCCUGAUUUUGUUUCAUUUUUCAAUUUGGGUGUUUUUGUUGUUUGGUCUUCACUCCAGUCCUUGCUUUUGUCAUUUCGAUGAAGUUCUGUUUGAGUUCAUUGCUCAAUCUGUUAUCUUUAUGUUUAAUUUUAAAAUUUUUUUUUCCUGUAAUUUGAUUAUGGGUUGCUCUGAAAGCAGAUGUAUAGUUGAAGAAUGAAACAAAUCAUAUUGAUGGUACACCAUUGGGAAUUUUAUAUGUAAACGGGGCGGGGCGGGAUGGGGUAAUACCCGAAUCCGCCCCGAACCCGCCCCGGGUUUUAAAAAAAAUCUCAUACCCGUCCCAAACCCGUUUAUUAAAUUUAAACCCCGUCCCAUUAGGGGCGGGGCGGGGCGGGUACCCGAAAAAACCCGCCCCGUUGCCAUCCCUAAUUGCAAAGGAAGGGUUUUGCUUUAUGCUCCUGAAACGGAAGUAUAGAUAAAAUAUUUUAUUUCAUUUGUGGAUUGACAUGAUUGGUCAAAUUAGGUAAAAACCCUUUGUAGCUUUGGACAUAGAUUGUUUGUUUAAUUUCGUAUGUUGAUAUUAAUAUGUUUGUAUUAAAACUUUACGGAUAUAACACCGAUCAUCAGUGUAACCACCAUUGUUCUCAUGGAAAAAAUAGCGAGAAAAAAGGCUUAGGAUAUGUGUUUAUAAAUGAACUCCUUUUCAUGGUGGAGUGCAUAAAAAAGUGAGGCAUACAAUAAAUGUAGAUGUGGGGAGCAUUGUGGUGAGGAGUAAUAGGCACAACAAAUACUUUAAAUGUUAUCAUGUGGAUUUCUUUGACAUAAACUAAUUUAAUAGCACAACAAUUAUAAGUGAUGUUUAUAAAUUUUACUUUUUGAUUGAUUUAAUUAUGUGGGUAUAAUUUUAAAUACCUAUUAUUAAUUAAAGGCAACUACCUAUUGCUCUCUAUUUUGUCAUAGUACAAUGGAUUUAAUGCUAUUUUGUACAAGUAUUAAUCUAUGAAACUAAAGUCCAGACAACAUAAAAGAUAUUUUGUAAAAGAAGUUUCAAUCAAAGUGGUAGAUGUCUCUGUGUUAAAGCCCUACCAACUUUGUUGUUAGAGUUAAAAGCCCUACCAACUUUGUUGUUAGAGUUAAAAGCCCCGAUCAAUUUUGUUGUCGGAGUUAAAAGCCCUACCAACUUUGUUGUCGGAGUUAAAAGCCCAACCAACAUUCUUGUCUGAGUUAAAAAAAAGUUGUUGGAAGUAAAUCAUAACUAACACAAUUAUUUAUAUGGAGUAAUGAUGAAAAUAUUGGUAAUCAUGGAUAUAUCGGUAUUUCAAUUUUACAGAUAUAUUGGAAAUAUAUCGACAGAUAUUUUGACACAAAAUAUUGGUGGACUUAAAAUUGAUUAGAACUUAAAAAAACGUAAAAAAAAAAUAUUCUUCGAAAUAAAACUAGAAAUAUGAUAGAUAUUUUAAAGUUGUUUUAUUGAAGAAAUUGAUAUUUGUAUGGUAAAAUUUAUCAUAUUUGAUAAUUAUAUUGUAUACGUUAACAAAAAAUAUAAAUUUUAUAAGUGUACAUUUAUUAUUAAAUUACAUCAAAUAUUAUUUGAUAAUAAUAUUGUGAUAUUUGAUUAUAAUAUAUCUAAUUUUAAAAUAUAUUUAAUAUUAAAAUUAUGAUCCAUUUAAUUCAAUUAUAUUAAAUGAUAUAAAAUAAAGGAUAAUAUAUGUAUACUUUUUUUAAUAUUUAAUUAAUAUAUAAAUGAUAUUAAAAAUAUUAUAAAGAAAAUUAUCAUAAUAAUUUUUAUAUUUUUGGUAAUUAAUUAAUUAAUUUGUUCUUUAAAAUAUUCUUUUAAUAUUUUGUUUAUAUGAUGAGUUUUAGUAUAUAUACAUUUGGUGAUAUAAGCGAACUUGCCCCAAUGGUCGACUGAAAGUUAGAACCUUUUGUUUGGGAUUUGAGUCGUUAGGAUUUUUUAAUCCUUGAUGCGGAGAUGAGAGUAGUUUUGUAAAAGUUAUACUUUUUUAGCAUAAAGGAAAGUUCUAUGUCCAAAAUAGGAUUUUGAUUUUCUCUUUCUUUCUUACAUGGAUAAGAGUAGCAUGUAAAAGUUACAAAAAUAAAAGUAAGUUUCAUGAAGCCAACACAUUAAAAAUAAUAAUAAUAAUAAUAAUAAUAAUAAUGAUGUGUUUUUACUUGUCAUGUAAAAAAAAAAAUAAUAAUAAAAAUAAAAAAUAAAAACAAAAUUUUGUAGUGGUUGGAAGUGAAAAGAGAGGAGAGGUUAGAAGUUAAUGUUGAGAUUGAUAAUUUUCACAAUUGAAGCUUAUGUUUUGAGGAUUAUUUUUUUUGGAAAAGUGAAAUAGUUAAAAUUCUUAAAUAUAUUAUUUUUUAAAAUAGUGCAUCUUAACAUAAAAAAAAUAAAAAUAUCGAUUUAUAUGAAUAUAUCAAUAUAUAGGGGUCGAACUCUAUUCCCGUGAUCUACUUGACACUUUUUUUAAAAGCCUAAAAAUGCUAUCCCACAUCGAUCGCUUGAUAGAAAAUAGAGCACGAUUUAAUAGAGGGUGCCUCGCAUUAAGCCUCUGCCUGGUGCAGCGGGCAGCCUCAGAUCCUUUACUUAUUUUUUGUCAAGAUUAUCCUAUCAUGCAUGUGAUAUAACUAAAAAAAUUUAGGGAGAAUUAUGUUUUGGGGGUAGAUGGGCCCCCAAAUUAACAAAAGGUUCAUGUAACUCUUCAAAUUGAGCCCAAGACCCAAUGAAAGUAUGAAAAUUGAGUUAAAGGAUAUUAUCCUUCAGUAUUUCCAAAAAUGCCCUUUGUUGAUUUUGAGAAAAAAAAUUAAUAUUUUUGAAAAAUACUUUUAUUUAAUUUAAUAUUUUUUAUUUAAUUUAAUAUUUUUGAAAAAUACUUUUAUGUAAUUUAAUAUUUUUUAAAAUACUUUUAUUUAAUUUAAUAUUUUUUAAAAAUAAAUUUAUUUAAUUUAAUAUUUAAAAAAAAUUAAUUUAAUAUUUUUUUAAAUACUUUAAUUUAAUUUAAUAUUUUUGAAAAAAAAUUAUUUAAUUUAAUAUUUUUGAAAACUACUUUUAUUUAAUUUAGUAUUUUUGAAAAAAAAAUUAUUGAAAAAAAAUUAUUUAACUUAAUUUUAUAAAAUAUUUUAUAUGUGUUCUUAAAGGGUAUAUUUGUCCAUUACUAUUUCAUAUCCUUCAACUCAAUUUAAAGAGUUAUAUGGACCUUUUGUUAAUUUGGGGACCCAUCUACCCCCAAAAGAUAAUUCUCCCAAAAAUUUAAACUUAAAAUAUGAUAAAAAAAAAAAAAAAAAUGCUCGGUCACGUGCCGGUGUACAACUUCGUGCUACAAAAAUAUCAUGAUAUUUUUUUUCCCCACUAGAUAUGACUAUCUGGGACCACAUCUUUUGUGGGUGCAUUUGGCCCGGUUCCUUUUGCUGCUGUAAUAUAAUGCUCAGAGGCGGUGGAUUGUGGUGUUGUGAAAGAUUUGAUCCAAGCAGAGAGGCUGUAGGGCUUAAGCCACUAAUGGAUCCUUCCACUUCCACUUCCAGCCAUGCUUUAGAAUUACAGAACCUUAACUCAGUUCCUAGUGGGAACCAGGAGAAUGUCACAUGCAUGGAUCCUGAAAUUUACGUGGCUGCUGCAGAAGGCGACACCGAUAUCCUCAAGAGAAUGCCUAGCGCUGACCUUCAAUUCCAAUUAACACCCAAUCACAACACUGUCCUUCACAUUGCAGCCCAAUUCGGUCAACUGAACUGCUUUGUAUGGAUCAUUCAGCACUACUCCGCGGAUUCGUUGCAAAUCAAUUAUCAAAAGAACUUCUCAUAGAUAUUGAAAAUGGCAUGUCAAUAUCCUGAUGUGAUUAACCAAAUCAAUUAUUAAAGCAACAAAGGGGUUAACCAAAUCAAACAAAAGGCCCAAAUAAUCUCACAUGCUAACGACUAUGGAGGAAAACCUUAAGGUUAACCAUCUCCAUGAUUGUAAGAAUUUUUUAUUUGUAAAGCAUUGGUACCAAGGACAGUUGUUUGGCACCAAGGAAAGUUGUUUAUCCAUUUUACUUUUGUCUGUUGUCUAUUCACUUAAUUUUCUCUUUUUUUGUGUGGGGGCGAAGUGAAGUAAUUGUCCAUUCAGCAUAACCAUUUGGACAAGCCUUUCCCAUGAUGGGAUAAGGAAAUGGGUGGAAAAUAGUUACACAACUUGGCAUAGUAAUGUUUAAAGUAAUUUUGAGAUCAAGUUUAAAUUUAGUCCCUAAAGGGAAAAUGGCACUAAAGAAACUAAUGAACAAUUGUCCCUUUCUUUCUUAUGCAACAAGACGAGGCAUUUGAGACAGCCUUUGCUCGAGUUUUUUUCCUAGAUAAUUUUAAUCAAUACAAAACUGGUGCUUACACCAAUCACCCCUUAGUAUAUUAAAAGAGGAAAAAAAAUUCAAAUGUCCACUUAGUCAGGUAUCAAUAUACCUGAGAAAAACAUUCAAUUAAGUUCAGUGUUGAUUGGUCUUCAUAGUAUAUUUACAUGUCGAAUUUUCUAUUUGAAUAACUAAAAAAUCAGUGCCCUUACUUGCACCAGAUUAUGACUGGAACAGGUUUAAGAGCCUUUGGUCCAUUUCUUAUGCCUCUUUUAUGGCAAGACGCCUACAUAUUUAGGACAUAUAAAUAGCUUUGAGAUCGGAAGGUAACAAAUUUUCAUCACCUAAAACAAAUGAAAUAAAUAAACAAAACCCCAAAUAGCACAUUACAAAAAAAACUUGAAAUUAAAAAUCUGGGUGUGAGUAUGUAUACUUUUUUCUUUAUAAAUUUUUUCUUCAAUCCAGGCUUCUUUACAAUGCAAGCAGAGCUUACACAAUGUAGGCCUACCAAUAAUUGUGUGACUUGAAAUGAUACCAUUCAUUGAUUCCUAUUUUAUUUAUGGAAAACCGAAAUUCUGAAUUCACAGCUUUGCUUGGUUUUGUUGCAUUGGGAAGAUAAAGUGAGGUUUGAUCAUCACUGAUUUUUGUAAAACAGUUUGUUUUGAUCAUCCAUAUUUAAUUAACAUCCAUAAACCUAUUCUGUAAUGGAUUUAAUUUUCCGAUAAAAUAUUGCAUUCCUUCUCUCAUUAUAGGUCUAGAUAUCAAGAUUUAGCAUGUUAGCUCAUCCAUCCUAGGAAUUCUAAUUCAAGAUUUCAUUUUCUAGAUUUAGAUUUAUUAUGCAUGUAUUACACAAGCUCUUAAACUAAUAUGAUUUUUUCAGUAUAUUAAUUUAUACUCGUUUCUACUCACUGAACAGCAGUAUAAUCAAUACUAAAAGGAGACACCUUAAAAUUCACUUCUGACACCAUAUUAAACCCAGAUCGUUGGACAACCCAACAAUCAGUGCUCAAAAUAUGGAAUCCCUAAAUGAUAAAUCAGCUAGCAAUCGACACCAAAAAAACAAAUCAAUAAUACAUUAGAGAGAACCUUUGAUUUAUACUCAAUGACUUAUUUCCUACUCACCUACCACCAUCAUAAUCAACACUCAAAGAAGCUAAAAAAAAAAAAAAAAUAAAAAUUUCACUACUGAAAUAGAGUGGAAGCAAAGCCAUUGGACAACAAAACUUUCAAUGCUCAAAAUAUGAAAACCCAUAUGCUUAAACCAGAUAACAAUCAAUACUCUAGAAUGAAAUCAACAACACACCACAUAAAACCUUUAAUUUAUAUUCAUUUUCUGCUCACUUACUACAAGUAUGAUUAAUAUCUAGAAGGGGCAAAAUACCUCAAAAUUGACUUAUGAAACGAUAUAAAAGCCAAGUCGUUGGACACCCCAACAAUCAAUGCUCAAAAUUCGAAAGACCCAAUUGCUUAACCAGCCAACGCACGACCCCGAAAAUAAAAUCCACAUCAUAGUAUACAGAAACUUUACUUUAUAAUGAUUUCCUACUCACCUCCUACCAGUAUAAUCGAUACUCAAAACAGUAAAAACACCUCAAAUUCAAUUUUGAAAUGAGAUGAAAGCCUAAUCACUGGACAACCCAGAAGUCAAUGCUCAAAAUCAGAAAGACCCAAAUGCUUAAACCAACCAACAACCGACACAUAAAUAUAUUUUUGUGAAAACAUCUAAAAUCUGAAGUUUUGGCCAAAAACAUAUUUUUAUCCAACAAAUCUUUAGAAUUAGCAAUUGAUCAGCCUGGCUUUUUAAGGUGAACUAAUUCAAAGGUCAGCCCGUGCAUGAGUUACCAUGAAUACUUGCAUAUUCAUACCUGGAAGGUUGAAUUGUAAAGGGCCACAAUAUCAAAAGAGUACUACUGUGUGACAAAUAAACAAUAAGCUCGAGGGUAUUACAAUAUUUGGACAUCAUGUACGAAACCCUGGAGAAUGAAUUAAGACCAUUCAUCAUCACCUAUGAAUUAAGACCAUGCUAAACCAUGGUCCACUGGAAAAUUCCCAAAGUGGGAACUUUUUUAUUAUUCUAUGCAUUUAGAUAUAUAAUAAUAAUGCAAGGAAAACUGCCCUUCUUAUUAUUGUCGGUGGUGACAAAAGGCGUUGAUGGGCUCACCUCCUACCAGUAUAAUCGAUACUCAAAACAGUAAAAACACCUCGGAUUCAAUUUUGAAAUGAGAUGAAAACCUAAUCACUGGACAACCCAGAAGUCAAUGCUCAAAAUCUGAAAUACCCAAAUGCUUAAACCAACCAACAAUCGACAUAGAAAACCUCACAAUACCCAUCAAAAAGUAAAAAAAAUAAAAAUAAAUAAAUAAAAGCACAACCAAAAUAAAGUACCAAAAUCGACUUUUUUCUGAUGCUCAAUCUGUUAUUAAACUAGUUUCUCUUCUGAUGCUCAUGAUAACACCUUUAGCCCUAAUAUGUUCUCAACACCCAAACGAAUGCUUAAAUGGAAAACUCACCUGUGAUUGAUUGAGGAAGCUCCACUUCAGUUUUUAGAAACCUUUAAAAAAUCAACCUUUGAUGAAGAAAUACGAAGAUCUGCCUCAACUUUGGCUUCCUUGAAGGUUUUCAGAAGAAACCUAUUGGGUUUGGGUUGUCAACUCGUGAAGAGACACGCUAGGGUUAGGGCAGAAUCAGACGAAGCCGACUUUCGAAAGAUGGGUAUCCAUUGCUUGCUCAAGACCUCAAUAAACAGAUCGACUCUAUCAAAUGAGCUAUGAAAAUGGAAAUUUUCUGAGAUCUGGUUAGGGCAAAACGAGAGAAAGUGACAGAGAUAACUUCAAGUUUUAAAUGUUUCUCGGGUCGGGUGUGUUGUGGGUUUCAGACUUCAUAACUUCAUUAUUCACAUUUUAGUGUUUCUAAAAUUGUGCAAUGGCUGUUGAUAUGGACACCGCAGUGGCUGCUGACAGGGAAAAAUAAAGGGCAAUUUUGGAAUAGCUUACCAAAACAGUAUAUAGUGCACAAAAAAAAUAAUAUUUUGGUCAUUAACGGACAAAGCCCAUAUUCCAGUUUUUUUGGGUUUGAUUUGCAUAUUACCUUCAAAUGGGCCAAUGUUGAGAAAAUUUGGAUACAAUGGAGAAAGGAAACACUCUCACACACUCACUUUGAUACAAUAAAACUCUCUUAGAUACAAAAUAAGAAGAAGAAGAAGAAGAACACAAGAAAGGCUCAAACAAGUUCUUGGAACUUUGUCCAAAGACUCUAUUUCCUCCCACCUCUAGAAAUCUUUUGGGAACUAAAUGGAAAUAGUCUUGGGAUUGAUCAAGCCUUUUCACUUUUCUGCAUGAGAUUUCAAAAAGAAGAAAAGUCAUAUAUAUAGCACUCUUAGGGUUGAAAAAAGGUUACAAGGAUGAGAAAAACUCAUUGUCUUCCUCAAUCUCUUCAUCUUUGUAAUAUUCAAAAUUAAAUCAUAUGUUUAAUUCACACAUUAAACAUGAUUUAAUCUCAAAUGUGUAACUCUCUUACACUUAAUCUCUUAAGUUUAUAAAGUUACAAAGAUGAGAAGACUCAUUGUCUUCCUCAACCUCUUCAUCUUUGUAACAUUCAAAAUUAAAUCAUAUGUUUAAUUCACACAUUAAACAUGAUUUAAUCUCAAAUGUGUAACUCUCUUACACUUAACCUCUUAAGUUUAUAAAGUUACAAAGAUGAGAAGACUCAUUGUCUUCCUCAACCUUUCAAGUUUUGUAACAUUUCAAAACUUAAUCAUGUGUUUAAAUCACACAUUAAAAGUGUAACCCUUCUUACACUUUAUUUUCCAAAAGUUAUUUUCAAAAGUGUAACUCUUCUUACACUUUAUUUUUUAACCAACAAUAUAUAUAUAUAUAUAUAUAUAUAUAUAUAUAUAUAUAUAUAUAUAUAAAUAUAACAAUCCCCCACUUGGUUAAAAAUAAACAUAAACCCUUAUAACCUUAACAGUGAAAAUGCAUAAAAUAAAAUAUCUUUCGAUUUGAAUUUUACCUUAGUGUAAUUGUCACAAAGCUCCGUUGAAAUCCCAGGUUGCUUGUAGCAUUGAACCAGUUAUUCCUUGUAACGAAACCGGUAACAACACACACACUUCCACUAACCACACGAGUGCCCAUUAUUUUCUUGCUUAGCACUUUUAUGGCCAUGUGCUCAAUCCAUUCAUGAACUUUCUUGAAAGAAACUCCAACUCUCAUGAGAGGCGGCACCACCCCUAAGUUCACAUAGGUGAAAUUCUUCCAGCAUCCUUGUUACCUUUAAGAUGCUUGUCACACAUAGACUGAAUUUCAUUAAAAGCUUUAAGCUUAACCCUCCAACGGUAACAACCAGCAUUAAUAAUCACAGAUGGAACUCACAUGUUCUAAUGCUGCCACAACCCACUUAUCAAUGACUUGUUUUUACCCAUUGAACUUAAGACUAGUCAUUUCGUAGUAUUAAGUUGGGUUACCAUCAUUGGUGAGUUUUAUUUAAGGAGUUUUAGUCCCAUCCCUCUAGAUGUUAUCCUUACUAAAUCUCUUGUAAGAGGUUUAGUAAAAGGAUCCGCCAAGUUUCCACUUGACCUCACAAAUGAGAUUGAGAUGAUUCCAUUUUGAAUCAAUUGUCUUACAUACUCAUGUCUAAUGCUUAUAUGUCUAGACUUCCCAUUGUACACUCCACUGUACGCACGAGCUAGAGUGGCUUGACUGUCACAAUGUAUCGACACUGUUGACACAUUAUUUGCAGUAAAAGGGAUGUCCAUCAUGAGAUCCCUAAGCCACUCAGCUUCUUUUCCAGUUGCAGCUAGAGCUAUAAACUCUGCCUCCAUGGUUGAGUGUGAUAUACAAGUCUGUUUCUUGGAUCCCCAAGAGACAGCCCCACCACCAAGUGUAAACACCCAACCUGUGGUAGAUAAAUUAUCUCCCACACUCGAUAUCCAGCUUGCAUCUGAAUACCCUUCAAUUAUAGCAGGAAACUUUGAAUAUUGGAGGCUUAGUUCUUUGGUAUUCUUUAGGUAACCAAGAACUCUACCAAUAGCUUUCCAAUGUUCCACGCUUGGAUUGCUAGUAAACCUACUUAGUUUACUAACUGCAAAUGAAAUGUCAGCCCUAGUACACUGAGCAGCAUACAUAAGACUUCCAAUUGCACUUGCAUACUCAAGUUGAGCCACCGAUCUACCAUCAUUCUUUUCAAGUUUUAUACUUGAAUCAAAUGGAGUAUUAGCAUCUUUAAUCUUGAGAUGACUAAAUUUGCUAACUACUUUCUCAAUAUAGUGGGUUUGGUUCAAAGCAUAACCCCCACUAUUUCUUUUCACUUUGAUACCCAAUAUAGUAUCAACUUCCCCAAGAUCUUUCAUCUUGAAGGUUGAGGAUAGAAACCUUUUCGUUUCUAUUAUUCCUCUCAUGUCAUCACUCAAGAUUAACAUGUCAUCCACAUAUAGACACACUAUGACCAUAUAGUCAUCACAAGUCUUAGAAUAUAAGCACUUGUCCACAUUGUUGUGUCUAAAUCCAUCCGAAAGAAUAGCAUGAUCAAAUUUUUCGUGUCAUUGUUUAGGAGCUUGUUUUAAACCAUAUAAUGAUUUGACAAGCUUACACACUUUGUUUUCAUUCCCCAGUAGAACAAAACCUUCCGGUUGUUCCAUGUAGACCUCUUCAUUGAGAUCCCCAUUCAAGAAUGUCGUUUUGACAUCCAUUUGAUGAACAAAUAGAUUAUGAAUUGAUGUCAAAGCAAACAAUAUCCUAAUCGAUGUUGUUCUAGCCACCGGCGCAUAGGUAUCAAAAUAAUCAAUACCUUCUCUUUGUUUAAACCCCUUAGCUACUAAUCUAGCCUUAAAGGUUUGAAUCAUGCCAUCGGUGUGAUAUUUCCUUCGAAAUACCCACUUGCACCCUAUUGGUUUAGAUCCUGGUGGAAGGUCUACCAAUUCCCAUGUUUGGUUGGACAUAAUUGAAUCCAUUUCAUCAUUGAUAGCCUCUUUCCAAAAAGCAACAUCUCUAGAAGCCAUAGCUUCUUUGUAUGUUUUGGGAUCCUCCUAUAUUUGAAGUACUAUAGGAAUUUUUCUUAUAAUAUCUUCUCUAUUUCCUUCUACUAAGUAAAAGGAAAUUCUUUGAGAGUCAAUCUCAUCCGAUCCCAACACUUUCUCUUUUCUAGCUCUUUGGCUUUUCCGAGGCACAAUGGGUUGCUCAACAACCUUUGAAGGUGUCUCCUCUUGAGACUCUCCAACACUAGUAGGUACUUGAGAAUUGCUAUCACUCAACAAAUUCUCAAAGAACUCUACCUCUCUUGAUUCAAUUAUCACAUUAGACUCCAAGUCUAAUGGCCUAUAAGCUUUGCUAUUUGAGGCAUAGCCUACAAAUGCACACUUAACGGCUCUUGGACCCAAUUUUGUUUUAUUUGGAUCCGUUUUCUUGCAAUAAGCAAGACACCCCCACACUUUGAAGUAACCUAUAUUAGGCUUCCUUCCUUUCCAUAACUCAUAUGGAGAUAUCUCAUUUUUCUUCAUAGGAAUUCUAUUCAAAAUAUAGCAAGCAGUCAACAAAGCUUCACCCCACAAAUUGAAAUUCAAUUUAGCAUGCAAUAACAUAGCAUUCACCAUUUCCAAAAAUGUUCUAUUCUUUCUCUCCGCUAUGCCAUUGUGUUGAGGUGUAUAGGGUGCGGUGCACUCAUGUAUUAUGCCAUAUUCUUCACAAAAAGAAUUGAAUUCACUAGAGAAAUAUUCACCACCUCUAUCACUUCUAAGCACCUUAAUAUUUUUUCCUAGUUGAUUUUCAACUUCGGCUUUGUAAACUUUAAAGGCAUUGAAAGUUUCACUUUUGUUUUUCAACAAAAACACAUAGGUAAAUCUAGAACAAUCAUCUAUGAAUGUAAGAAAAUACCUAUUUCCACCUCUUGUUAACAUGCCAUUAAGUUCACAAAGAUCACUAUGUAUUAAAUCAAGCAAAUUAGAUGAUCUCUCAACACUAUGAAAAGGCUUUUUAAUCAUCUUUGCUUUAACACAUAUUUCACACUUUUCAAAUUUCUUGGUAUCACAAGCAAUCAAACCACAUUUCACAAUCCUUUUAAUAGUGCUUAAACCAAUAUGUGCAAGCCUAUUAUGCCACAAAAUUAAAGAAUUUGAAUCACACAUAUAAGCGGAAGUAGACGUCAUUUUAUUGAUAUUGUCAUUGGUACUAAGUUUGAUCAUCCCAUCACAAGAAUACCCUUUUCCCAUAAAGUUCCCCGAUUUGGUUGAAAUUAGCUUACCGGAUUCAAACACCGCUUUGAUACCCGGUUUGCCAAGCAAAUCCCCACUAACCAAAUUUUUAUUCAUAUCGGGGACAUAUAAUACAUUUUUAAGGGUAACCUUUUUGCCGGAGGUAAAAACAACUUCAAUAGUGCCCUUGCCAAGCACCUUGGAUUUUCCUUCAUUGCCCAUUUGAACCUCUUGAUCUCCCUUUGCAUCUUCAAAGGUCUUGAAAAGAGAUUUGUCAUAGGUAACAUGAACUGUGGCACAAGUAUCAUACCACCAUCCUUGCACCUUUCCUUGGACAACGCACACAUCGCUUAGUGUUGCAAUGAUCUCCUCAUCAAUUGCAUUCACCACAACCCCUUUUUGGUCCUUUCGGAACCUACACUCCCUAGCAUAAUGCCCGGGUUUUCCACACACAAAACAAGGACCUUUCUUGCCCUUAAAUUGCUCUUGAUUUUUCUUGGGGCUCAUAUAAUUUCCGGAAUUCUUUUUGUUGUUGUUAUUUUUACCUCUAGGAUGAUUGGCCUUUGAAAUCGCAUUGGCUUUGUUAGUCCCACCAUUGGACUCUUCCACCAUUUUGUCUCUUGAUCUCGAUUCUUCCUCAAUGCGAAGAUGUUUUUGAAUCUCUUCCAAGGAGUAAUCUUCACUCUUGUGGAGAAUCCUCUUCCGGUAACCUUUCCAACUUGAUGGUAAUUUAGCCACAAUAGCACCAACUUGGAAGGCCUCCGGAAGUUCAAUUUUGAGAACUUUCAACUUAUUCACAAUUACUUGCAACUCAUGAAUUUGUGGUAAGAGAGGCUUUUCAUCAAAAAAUUUGAAAUCUAUGUAUUGAGAAAUAAGAAACUUUUUGGUACCUUCUUCCUCGGCUUUGUACUUGUUUUCAAGAGCCUCCCAAAUCUCCCUCGCGGAAUUGGUGUUGGUGUAGAGAUCAUAUAGCCUAUCGGAUAAGGCGUUCAAAAUAUGACCCCUACAUAUGAGCUCAUCCUCCUCCCUCUUCUUCCUUGCCGCCACCACUUGAGGUGUGUCAUUUUCCUUUGGUUUCGGUAAUGGUGCCAAGGUAGGAUCAAGGAUGUAGAAAAUCUUGAGUGCUGUGAGAAGGAAUCUCACCUUGUCUUGCCACCUAGUGAAGUUAGAACCAUCAAAACGAUCCAACCUCACAAGGUCUUGGUUCAUAAUCUUGAUAGUCUCUCCCUCCAUUGAGAAUAGAGUCUUUGAUUGUUGAUGAAAUUUGGAUACAAUGGAGAAAGGAAACACUCUCACACACUCACUUUUGUACAUAAAACUCUCUUAGANNNNNNNNNNNNNNNNNNNNNNNNNNNNNNNNNNNNNNNNNNNNNNNNNNNNNNNNNNNNNNNNNNNNNNNNNNNNNNNNNNNNNNNNNNNNNNNNNNNNCCCUCCAUUGAGAAUAGAGUCUUUGAAUGUUGAGAAAAAUUUGGAUACAAUGGAGAAAGGAAACACUCUCACACACUCACUUUGAUACAAUAAAACUCUCUUAGAUACAAAAUAAGAAGAAGAAGAAGAAGAACACAAGAAAGGCUCAAACAAGUUCUUGGAACUUUGUCCAAAGACUCUAUUUCCUCCCACCUCUAGAAAUCUUUUGGGAACUAAAUGGAAAUAGUCUUGGGAUUGAUCAAGCCUUUUCACUUUUCUGCAUGAGAUUUCAAAAAGAAGAAAAGUCAUAUAUAUAGCACUCUUAGGGUUGAAAAAAGGUUACAAGGAUGAGAAAAACUCAUUGUCUUCCUCAAUCUCUUCAUCUUUGUAAUAUUCAAAAUUAAAUCAUAUGUUUAAUUCACACAUUAAACAUGAUUUAAUCUCAAAUGUGUAACUCUCUUACACUUAACCUCUUAAGUUUAUAAAGUUACAAAGAUGAGAAGACUCAUUGUCUUCCUCAACUUCUUCAUCUUUGUAACAUUCAAAAUUAAAUCAUAUGUUUAAUUCACACAUUAAACAUGAUUUAAUCUCAAAUGUGUAACUCUCUUACACUUAGCCUCUUAAGUUUAUAAAGUUACAAAGAUGAGAAGACUCAUUAUCUUCCUCAACCUUUCAAGUUUUGUAAUAUUUCAAAACUUAAUCAUGUGUUUAAAUCACACAUUAAAAGUGUAACCCUUCUUACACUUUAUUUUCCAAAAGUUAUUUUCAAAAGUGUAACUCUUCUUACACUUUAUUUUUUAACCAACAAUAUAUAUAUAUAUAUAUAUAUAUAUAUAUAUAUAUAUAUAUAUAUAUAUUUAUAUAAAUAUAACAGCCAAUGCAAACAUAACUUUCCCUCGUAUCAACCCAUUAACCUAGCAUCAUAGCUGCACUGCAUGGAGCCUUGAACCAGCCGUCCUCUCUGUCCAUUUCGCUGACCAAACCUUACCCUGAGGUCCCAGAGCUACAAGCAAGCAUGCUUGGCCGUUCAUUCACUCCCCUAUCAUCACUGACAAUUGAUCACUCCUCUCAUCUCCCUUCUCUCAAACCCAUUUUACCGGUCACCCCACAAAGGCCACACCCAAACCGCCUGAUAAAAAAUCCUAGAUUUCAUGGUCCUCCUCUCCACUAAUGGUGUCGUGAAAUUUCUGGAAUCUUCGGAGGAUUCUCUUUGCGCUUCUCCAUGGCCGCGCCUUUCUUCUCCACACCUUUUCAGCCGUACGUUUACCGGAGUCCACAAGAAAAUGUGACACCUUUUCAAAUAUUGGGUGGUGCAGCUCAGAUGGUUCAGAUAAUGUUGAAACCACAAGAAAAGAUUAUUGCAAAGCUUGGUUCCAUUUGCUACAUGUCUGGGUCCACCCAAAUGGAGAAUGUUUACAUCCCUGAAAAUCAGGGUUCAAAAUCUCGGUCGAGACCGGUACGACUCGGCCGAGUCAUAUCCGCCUCGACCAUGGCCGGUACCGGACCGAUACCCGAGUUGGAGUAGAAAUUGUGGAGAAGAUCAGAUGAGAGGAUCAAAACCCACGAAAAUGAAAAAUACAGAGUUAGAAUCCUGCAUCUUGGAGUUGUCGGCGAGGUCGAAGAAGCACGCCUGCUUGUUCGGAUCGCCCAAGUUCCUGCCGGAGAUGGAACUGAGCAACAUCAAGAGCAGAGUCGCCGGACUGCUGUUAUCAUCGAUGUUCAGCAAUGCCGCCACCGUCGCCCACCAUUCAGGCCCAGCUUGGCCUUGCCGAACCCGUUCGCGGUGUUAGCGGCCUGGCGUCAGGCGUGACGCAGCCCCGGACCUCGUGCCCGCUCGCGCCCCAAUCGCCUGCACCACCUGCGACUCACCCAGUCGCGCUAGGAGCUCAGCCAUUGAAGCCGCCCUCUCAAUGAAAUGGGUAUCUUUGAUGACCGAGGGUUAUGGGUAUCUGUGAUGAGGAUUUAGGUUUUAAAUAAUAUGUUUUUAUUUUCUAAUUAGAUUAUGAGUAUUUGGUGGGGAUAUGGGUAUUAAAUAAUUUGAUAAAAAUUAUAAUGAUAAAAAAUAAAUAAUAAAUAAUAGACUUAUAUCAAAUAAAUAAGAAAUACAAAUUAAAAUUAAUGAAUAUAUUUUAUAAGAAAAAUUAUAUUUAUUUUUUUAAAGAUGAAUUAUGGUUUUAUUUUUUUUAAUAAUUGAAAAUAUUUUUUAAAAAAUUCAAAAUAUUUAAUUUAAAUAAUUUUUUAUUAAAAAAAUUUACUUUUUAUUAUUUUCAUCUUCAAUAAGAAAUAUUUAUCAUCAAGCGAUUAAAUUAAAAUAUUUUUAAAGAUUUUUAAUAUUAUUAUAAAUCAUCCCAAAAAUAUGUUUUUAUUAUAAUUUGAAUAAUUUGAAUAUAAUAAAAGUUUAUUUUAUUAAUUUUUUAUUCUACUUAUUUGUAUUUAAUUUUUUAAUAAUUUUCAUAAUUUUUUAAAAUUAUUUUGAGCUCUUAAAUUAGAAUUUUUUGCAUAUCACCCGAUACCGAUCCGAGAUACCGAUACCGAUGUGCCUCAGGACCUCCCGAGUCAAUGACCGAUACCGUGACUUUGAACUAUGCUGAAAAUGAAGUAGGUAUGUGGCAGUGGGCUUUUGGCAAGGCUGCGACAAGUGUAGUUCUUCUCAAUCAAGGUUCAGGUGAUGGCUUUGUUGGAAUUGUUGCACCAUCUCUUGCAAGAAUAUUCCCGAUUGAUUCGGCAAUGUUUGACGGGGAAAUUUUAUGCCAGCCAGAUGCAUUCCUUUGCUCUCUCAAUGAUGUAAAAGUCAGUAAUACAACUGAUCAAGGGGCUCGUAACUGUCGGCGUUUUCGAAUUCUAGUAGACCGAUUGAUUAAAUCCAUCUUGUGACCAUCACCCUUUCUCAUGUAUCAUGGGCAAGCACGUGCAUUAGCAUGCAUGUGUUUAAGUUGGAUAGCUUUUUUUCUUCUAGGUUAUGUUUGGCUGAUGCAUGUGCAUGCAAGGUUAACUGAACUUCAUGUAUUUGGGACGGUUUGAGGGCGCGUGAAACACGGAGUUAGAGAGCAUGUCACGUGAGAAGGAAGGGGAUGGAGAGUCUUCGAAGAGGGGGUGUAUAAUCAGGGAAGGAUUUUCUGUUUUGGGGGGUGGGUUUUUUUUUUUUUUUUUUAAUGUAUGGUGAGAUUCCGAUCUCUGUUUAGAGAAAGCUACAGAUAAAAGAGAGAGAGAGAACGAUCUUUCUUUUUGGUGGUGAGUUUCUGGAUCUUUGUUGAGGGGGAACUUGAGAGAAGAGAGGGGAAGAGAGAGUUUCGGAAGAAGGAAGUGAAGAUUGAGAGUUCCCGUAGAAACUGUCGUGCCAUUUAGAAUUAAGUGAAAGAAAACAAAUAUUGUCUAUGUUUCAAGUAUAGCAUGUGUUUUAAAAGAAUGGGAGAAUUGGGCUUUAGACCCACUUGGUUUUGAUAAUUAAUAAAGAGUCCAUCAAACACCAAUAAUUGAUCAUAAGGAUAUAAGAUGGGAAUAGACAAAAAUACCCCCUUUGACUCAUUUUUGUCUUUAUUCUACCACCUUUCACAUGUCACUAUUCUUUCUUAUUUAACCAUUUUUAGAUUUUUCAUUAUUUUUUUAAACUCUUUUAUAAAUAAUUGAAAAAUCAACAUUAUUUUUUUAUUUUUAAAUUAUAAAUAAACAAAAAUUAUAUUAAUGAUUCAAAGACUAUUUUGGAAAAUACUUUCUAAAAAAAUAUUAAUUUAAAUAAAUAAAAAUUACAUUUUACAUUUAUUUUUAUCUUUUAUAUUUUAGAAGUAAAUAAUUUAAUGAUUAAAAUACUAUUUAAAAUAAAUAUAUUCACUAUUUUAUUUUUUUAUAUUAAAAAGUAUUUUAAAUUUUUUUUUACUAUUAUAAAAUAAAAAGUUUAAUUUUUUUUAAUCUUCUUUCUUCCUUAUUUUAAUAACUUUUUGAACAUGACUUUUAGUAAUAAGUUAUAUGAAAUGUUACAAAUUCGUUUAUUAAGAAUUUAUUUUAAUGAUUUGAAUUAAUUGAAAAUUUAUUAAAAUAAGAAAAAGAAAAAGAAAGAAAGAGGAUGGAUGGAAAGUUUUUAUUUAAGUACUCAAUUCAAAUGUUUUCAUAUGACCUAAUUUUAGAAGUGGAUUAUAUCAAUACAUAAUAGAGAUUGAAUUUUUCUUAUAUAAAAUGGUUGAAAGGUAUAUUUACUUAUUUUAGAUAAAAACAAGUAGUUAAAAAUUAUAUAGAUUAUAUUUGAGUUUGGUUUUAAAAUAUUUUUCUAGUUUUUAUUUUUUAUUUUUAAAAAUAAUUUUUAUUUUCUAUAUUGUCUCUUUUUGAAAAUAUUUUUAAUUAAAAAAUGAAAAGUAUUUUUUAAAAUGAAAAUUGAAAACCUUGUUUAAUACUAUUUUUUUAUAUGAAAAUAAAAAAAUAAUAAAUUUUAUUUAUUCAUUUAUUGCAUCACUGUACAAUUGUAUUACACUAACUGUAUAAGGGAAAUGUACUAAGUGUACAAAGGUGUACAAGGCUACCAUUUGUGAAAUAUUAUAAUCGAUUAUGAGUCAUUCCUUUAUUUUUUUUAUCACUCACGAAUUGUACACAUAUGUCAUACACUUUAUUUAAUUCCCGCAUGGAAAUUCCAAUAUUUUUCCUAAUAAUAAUAUUUGGAGAAAAAAAAUUUUGACCUUAAAUCAUCUACCAUCUUCUCAACUAAAUCAUUGAAAAUAUAAUUAAACACUAUUAUGUGGAUACAUAACUUAGGAGGGAUAUAAAAUUUGUGUCAUUGUACAAGGGUAUUACACUAACAAGAAAUGUACUAAUUGUACAAAAGUGUACAAGAUUACCCUUUGUGAAUCAAUUUAAUCAAUUCUAAACCACUUUUUAAUUUCCUUGUCACCCAAGGAUUGUACACCUAUGUCAUGCAUUUUAUUUAACUCUCACAUGAAAAUUCUAAUAUUUUCCCUAAUAAUGAUAUUUGGGAAAAAAAAAAAGUUGAUCCUAAGUCAUUCAUCAUUUUCUUAACCAAACCAUUGAAAAUAUUAUUAAUACACCUACAUGAACAUAUAACUUAUAAGAAAUAUGAAAUUUGUGUCAUUGUACAAGGGUAUUACACUAACUGUACAAGGGAAAUAUGCUAAGUGUAAUUGCUAGGAGAAUUACAGUUGUGUAACCAUACGAAUGAUCAAAUACUUUUACCCGUAAUUUUAUACAAUGUUUUGAUCAGAUACUCUUGCCAACAGUUUUUUUUUUUAUGUGUCCUAAGUUGUUACUCGACAAUUGAUCUUGCAAAAAUAAUGUGAACAUUAUUGUGAACCCGUAUUUUUCACAUGCAUCCCCACUCUAUAGCAAAACUUAGAAUUUAUGAAAAAUGUUUCAUGUUUUUAAAAACUCAUUUUAUUUGAGUUUUGGAAUUGACAUUUAUUUUAUUAAUUUUUUUUAAAAAAGGUAAAACAAAAUAAGAAAAAAAAUCACAUAUAACUCUUUAUUUGAAAAAGACAAGUCCAUUAACCAAAAAUGGAUUUGAGGGUCAAGUUACGUAUCUAGAAGGUAUGAGGAUGAGCCUUUGCACACCUCUAAACCCGUAUAAUUAAUUAAUUAGUGGAUACAAAAGAAAUCAAGAAACCUAAUGUCUCACAUAUAGAGAUUGGAAAGUGGUGGAAAUUGAUCAUCAAAAAAUCAUUAAAAAAAUUCCUUUUAUUAUUGUAUAAUAAUCAUCAAUAUAUUUUUCUAUUUUUUUUUAAAAAAAUAAAACUAAAAUUAAGGAAGAUAUUAAAUAUUUUUUUAAAUUAACAAAUGUAAUUAAAAAAUUAUUUAUAAUUCUAAUUCUAAAAAUAAUAUAAACCAAUGUAUGAAUAUAUAUUUCUUCUUCUUUUUCCUUUUUGGUAUUUUCUUUUUCUUUUCUAUUUGAUUGGUCUAUUAAAUGAAUUUCACUAAUUAUUAUUUAUUUCUUAAAUAGUAAUUGGUCCACUUUUCUCUCAUAUUUAAAUUAGCUAAUUAACUUGAUUUCCAUGUAAGGACCCAAUUAGUGGCAUUUCAAAUAUAAAUCAAUAUCAAAUAUUAAUGUUGAUAAAGACUAUUAUCUGCCACAUCAGUAUCAAGUAUUAAUGUUGAUAAAGACUAGUUAUCUACCACAUCAAAGUGGCAAACAUAUCUUAAAACCUUACCACCUUUGUCAAGAUGCUCCAAGCUUUGUCAUAGGAUUUAAAACACCAAGUGAAAGUAUAUUAUAACAUAACCAUUAUUUGUGUAGAGAUGAGUAGUCCCUUUCAAUUUAGGUUCACAUUCAUAGAUAUCUUGAAUAGAUUAUGUUUAUAUUCAAAGAUAUUUUAUGUACAAUAUUGAUUGUAAUUUUGUAAGUUAUAUGUACAUACUUUUAUUUUAAUGUGGUAGUAAAAUUUAAAAAGUAAAUGUAUCAUUUUUUUUUCAUUCCUAAAUUUAUUUAAAAUAAUUACAAAACUUACAAUUCACUCAUAUCUUAUUUUUUCUAUAGAAUCAACAUUAGCAAUGUCUCUUGUGAAAACAUUGGAAAAACUGUGGAAACCUAUUAAAAAAUCAUUAAAAAGAUAUUUGAUAUUUUUAAAAUUUUAAAAUAUAUAUAACUAAAAUAUUAUUUGUAGUUUACCUUUAAAAUAUAUAUAUCUAAAUGCAACCUAGGAUAUCACCACAAUCAAAAAAAAUUCUAGUAGAAGGAAAUUUCAUUGUGAAAGCAGUAUCAUUCAAACAUCAUCCAUAUACACACCUCUCCAUGGUGUUCUACAAUUAGUGUAAGAAAAAGAAGAAAAAAACAGGAAAGGGUAAAUUUAGUAUGGUAGAAGGAUUCGUAAAUUAGGUGAGAAUAAUGCCUUUGGAUCAAAGAGUUACUCCUUAAUUUAGGGAAAUGCACCCAGGGGCUUAAUAUUUUUAUGGCUGGUGAAGAUGAAAAGUGGAGACUGGAGAAUGUAUUUAUUCAUUGUAAAAAAACAAAAGGCAUGUUUUUCCCUGAUUGCUAAUUGUAAUCGGACUUGUUAGUAAAAGCAUAAACAAUAGGUAAGACUUAAGCAUGUUUAAAAUGAUUUACAUCAAUGUCAAAGAUUCACAAAUUUUUUCCAUGCAAAAUCCCGACUGAUGGUUACCAAUAAAGGAAAAGCUGGAACAAAAAGGAAAAGCAAGAAGACUACAAUCAUGUAUUUGGUGGUAACUUCAAGCGAUGAAGAAGGAUGUAGCACAGCUUGCAGCCCGUCAACGAAUGCUGUCACCAUUACAGCCAUCGCAGCCAAGGUGAGAACAUAGCCGUACAAUAAGUAUGCGUGGACGGUCUUCUUAUUUUCUAUGGGGAAAGAGGCAAGGAAGUAAAUACCAAUUGCACACAUAGAAAGUACCAUGGCUAUGCUAUCUUCCAUGACAAAAUUUCUGAAAUUUUCCGUUGCUGCACUUGCCAUGUCUCCGUCCUUGCCCAGGGUGCCAUCUGUUGGGAGCGAUAAGACUGCCAUGCCCUGGGUAACGCCCUUGUCCGGAAUGUAACCACCAGGCAGUGUGAAACCUGCCGUGAAGGUUACAGUUGCUAUGAGUGCCGCCACUAUCAUAUGGCUUUUCAUUGUUUUCUUAAUUUCAGAUAUUUCUUUACUUUCUUCACUUCCUUUGUUUUCAGAUAUUUCUUCGCUUCCUUUGCUUUCGCUGCUAUCCAUGUCUUCCUUAACCUCUAGCGAACCCAAGGGUCUGAUCCCAACUCUGAAACUUGGACUCCGUCUCUGAAAUUGUAAAAAGUUUACAGAAACAUGGAUAGAGAUUUGAUUUAAAGGGGUGAAGGAAUCAUCCUAAUUCUUGUAAAAGAAGAAAAAUAAUUUAUUUGCUAACAUAAAAUUACCAGAAACUGCAUUUUUAUUGUUCUUCUCUCACAUAAAAACAUAUUUUUGAAUAAAAGCAUAUGAAGGAUGGUUGUCAGAUGUAAUAUCUAUAUAAUUAAAAUACAGAAACACGAAAUAUAUAUAUAUAAUUAAAAUUAAUUAAAAAAAAUUAUGUAUUUUUGGAUGUCAAAUGGGUAACAUUGGAAAUCGAAAAUUUUGACGACCUUACCCUUAAUCCCGCGAAGGUGUCCAAUAUCCACGUCAACAUCCUCUUCGGAGGUGGGAAGUAGUCGACAUCUUUAGACGAGGGAGAAUUGUGAAAUAGGUAGAGGGGCGUCUUUCCUUCAGCAUUCUUCUCGUUCAUGAGUCCUCUCAUCCUUAACGGGGGAAUAUUUGACAAACCCGAAGUUAUAAAUAUUUUUUUUGGCAUUAUAAAAUGAAGAACAUUAUUGCCCUCAUCAUCAACUUUCUCACAACAAUCUGGAAAGUGUGACACCAGCUCUUUCACUAUGUCCACAUGGCCUCGGCUUGCUGCAAUGUGAAGAGCUGUCUUGUUUCCAUGGUCUUUGACUCCUAGGUGGACAACACUGCUGUCACAUUUCUCUAGCAAUUGCCUCACUAUUGUUGGAUGACAACCCACAUAUGCAGCGAAGUGAAGGGGAGACCACCCAUUUUUAUCCAAUUCUUUAGUUAAAGCAGGUUUCCAUUUCAGUAUCUUCUUUGUCAUCGCUGAUAAAAUCAACAAAUGAGAGAAAAAAAAUGAUUUAAGAAAAUAAGAAAAUAAAUUAAGUCUCCUCUUGUAAUGUGAUUCGACCAUUAAAUAAAAAUGGUGCAUCCUCCACUACGUACCUUUGUUAUUGAGAAUUACCGCAGCAUGCAAAGCCGUUCGACCCUUGAUGCCAUUAUGAGCUGGUGAAGAGUACUUGUCUAGGAUCAUCUGCACCAAGUCUCCGAAUCCCCACUCAGCAGCGAUGUAAAGAGGAGUAUUGCCUUCAGCAUUAGCACCAUAGGCAAAGUCGGGGUCAUCCUGAAUCAAUAACUUCACCACCUCAGGGUGAUGAUUUCUCACUGCCUCGUGCAAGGCUGUGUCUUUGUCGUUAUUUAUCAUCCUCAGAAUUACCGUACAAUCUGCUACAGCCCCUCUUUCUGUGUCUCCUUCUCCAAGUUUUUUGGCAGCGUCAAUCAGAUUUUUCACCACUGUCCAGUGCCCUUCCCUGGCUGCAAGGUGAAGUGGUGUGUCACCUUUCUCAUUGGGCUGUUGCAAUAGUGAUGAAGGAGAACCCAACCCAAGGAUCCACUUAACGCAUUCCGCUUGACCGAACUGGGCUGCAACAUGGAGAACAGUGUUCUUCUUUGGGGUUAGUUUGACUUGAAUAUCAUCUUUACGAGCGUUAAGGGCAUGGGUGUCACCAUCUGCUGCAGCCACGUACAAUUUAGGAUCCAUGAUUGUGAUCUUGGUCAGGCUCCCAUCUUCAGCUGCAGCCAGGUUGGUGAUCUCGAUUUCCCUAGCAUCUUCAGCUGCAGCCUGGUUGGUGAUCUGAAUUUCCCUAGCACCUUCAGCUCCAACCUGAUUCGACUCUGUAUUCAAGUUAAGGCUGGAAGUAGUGGGAUCGGCCAUUGUUGUUGAAUGAGCAGUGGCCUUUCUAUAUUUUGCUCCAAGGAUGGGAAACAAGUUGACCAAUUGUUUAAUGGAGAGGGUGGCUCUUAGCUCAACCUCGGGGAAAUUAAGUGGAUGCUUUUUAUAGCCUAUAGGUGUGUGGGUGUAAUUUGAUAUUCAAAGAUGGAAGUAUAUUCAAAUUCUCCAAUCUUUGUCAUAAAUUAAAACAGUAGAUGGAAGUACAUAUCAAAACACCACAAUUAUUUAAGUACACAUUCUAAGAUAUUUUCGGUAGGUUAUGUUUAUAUUCAAAGAUAUUUUAUACACUAUUGAUGUAAUGGAAAGUUGUUUAUUUGAAUUUUUCUUUUUAUAUGCCGUUCCUUUCAACUUGAGUCCACAUUUCAAGAUAUUUUCUAUAAAUUAUGUUUAUAUUCAAAGAUAUUUUAUGUACAAUUCAUAAUGUGAUAGAAAGUUGUUUAUUUGAUUUUUCAAUUCCUUUUUAUAUGUAGAUAAUGGUAUGUGAGGAAAUUGAAGAAAAAUGCUCUGAGCAUGUACUCCUCCGAGGAUAUCACCAAAAACAUUUGGAGAAGAUCACCAAUGCCAAAAAAAUUAUGAAUACAUAUUUCUCCUUUCCUGGUAUUUUCUUUCUCUUAAUUUUCUAUUUGAUUGGCAUAUUUGGAGGACACCACUAACUAUUAUUUGUUUUUUAAGUCAUAAUUAGUCUAUUUUUCUCUCAUAUUCCAACUAGCUACUUAACUUGAUUUCCAUCCAUUUCUUAGUGAAGAAAAAUGCUUUGAAUAUAUCCUUGUCCAAGGAUAUCACUAAAAAAUGCUCUGAAUUAGUCCAUUACUAAUUAUUAUUUAUUUUUUAAGUAGUAAUUAGUUCAUUUUUCUCUCAUAUUCAAACUAGCUAAUUAACUUUAUUUCCAUCCAUUUCUUAGUGAAAGAAAAAUGUUUUGAACACGUCUUCCUCCAAAUAUAUCACCAAAAGUAUUUUUGGAAAAAUAUCACCAGUGUCAAAAAAAAAAAAUGAAUACAUAGUACAAUGGAUUUAAUGUUAUUUUGUACAAGUAUGAAUUUAUGAAAUUAAAGUCAAGACAACGUAAAAGAUAUUUUGUAGAAGAAAUUUCAAUCAAAAUGGUACGUGUAUGUGUGUUAAAGCCUUACCAACUUUGUUGUGGGAGUUAAAAGCCUUACCAGCUCUCAUUGUAGAAUGGACAAAAAAAUUUCAAAAAGAAAAAAUAGAAUAUGAUACUGUGGUCAAAACCAAAUUAUUUUUAGGUCAAUUAUAAACACAUGUUCUAGACCCAAUGGGUUUGGGCCAAUAAACCCAAUGAGUUCUUUUUACUUAGUUAAAUGAUUGAAUGCAUUAUCAAAUUGAUAUCCCUUUAGGGCUCGUGUUUUUAUUUUUCUAUCUUUUGUUUCUUAUUUAUUUAUUUACUUAUUUUUGUAUCUCUCUAUUUUAAUUUCAACUUUUUCACAAAUUUUAUAGUAUCCAUGUAUGUAACAUUGUAAACUAACAAUUUCACUCUCGGAUCAGAUUGGUAUAUUUGGCAUAUGUCGCCAAGUUUUAGUUUAAUUUUUCUAAAUGAUAAUUGACCAUUUUUCUCUUACAUUUGAAAGCUAAUUAGAAUAUAUUUGACAACUAUUUUUUAGAUUAAUUUUUUAUUCUGUAAAACAAAAAAAAAAAAAAAAAAACCAACAAGGAAAUAUGUUUGACAACUAAAAAACUAUUUUAUAUUUUUAUUCUUUAAAAUAGAAAACAUGAUGUUUUUAAAGAAAAUUUUAUAGUUGUUUUCGUUUGUGUUUUUAAGAACCAUUUUUAUAAAAUAAUUAUACCAAUAUAUAGAAUGAUUAAAAAUAAAGAACUGAAUAUAAAAAUUAAUUUUAAAAUAUAUUUAAAAAAAUAAAAUAAUAGUUUUUUAGAAAUGUUUUUUAAUAUAGUUACCAAAACAGGGUUUCAGCUUUACGCCCCUCCAUGUUGACUCAAUUAUUAAUUAUGUGGCAUUCGAACAUAAGUCAAUGUAUAAUUUUAAUAGGAAAAAGACGGUUAUAUAUAUAUAUAUCAUAACAAACAAAAAGGUGAUAGAUGUGUGUUUUAAAGCAGUUUGUUUCAAGUUAUGUGUAUAUUCAAAGAUAUUUUAUGUAGCUUAUGUUGACAUUUAAGGAUAUUUUAUAUAAUAUUAAUAUAAGGAAAAGUUGUUUGUUUGAUUUUGUUUCUCUUUCUACUAUAGAUCCUACCUAGAUCCUGAUCCUUGUCUUAUUGGGAUCCCAAAGUCUUCUAUACAACACUACGCACUUUUUACCCCCACAGAAACCAUAGUCGCUCCUUUAUCUAGCUAAAUGCUUUUUAUUAAAUAUUUUUAUAAAUGGAAUUAUAUUUCUGACAUUCCACAAUUUCUUCGAUCUCCAAGGAUAGAAGAUGGAAGGAUUAUAAGGAAGAGGAUGUUUAAUUGUAAUUUUUUUAGUAAUAUAUAUAUAUAUUUAAAGAAGUAAUUGGUCCACUUUUAUCUCAUAUUUGGAUUAACUAAUUAACUUGAUUUCCGCCUUAAAGAACCAAUUAGUGUCAAUUUAAGUAUAAAUCAAUAUCAAAUAUUAAUGUUGAUGAAGACUAGGUACCCAAUCAAAGUGGUAGAAGUAUCUUAAGGCCAUAUCACCUUUAUCAAAAUGUAUGUGUUGGCCUACUACCUUACCAUCUUUGUCAAGAUGUAUGUGUUAACCCUACCUACCACCUUUGUGAAGAUGUAUGUAUUAAUAUCCUCGAAACUUUAUCAUACGAACUAAAACAAUAAGUGAAAAUAUAUCAUAACCCAACAAUUGUUUUUUUGACAACAAUUGUUUUUUGGGAGAUGAGUAGUCCUUUUCAACUUAGGUUCACAUUCAAAGAUAUUUUGUAUGGCAUAAAUCUAUAUUCAAAGAUUAUAUAUAUAUUCCAAACAUAAAUCAACUUCAAAUAUUAAUGUUGAUAAAGAUUGGGUAUCACCAUAUCAAAAUGGUAGAAGUAUCUUAAGACCAUACCACCUAUAUCAAGAUGUAUGUGUUAAUAUCCUCAAAGCUUUGUCAUUUGAAUUAAAUCAGGAGGUGGAAGUAUAUCUUAAUAGAACAAUUAUUUUUCUAGAGAUAAGUAGUUCCUUUCAACUUAAGUGCACAUUCAAAGAUAUUUUAUAUAGUAUAUGCCUACAUUAUAUAUAUUUAUAUUCACUCAUAUCUUAUUCUUUUUUUAUCAAAUCCACAUCAACAAUGUCUCUUGUGAAAACAUUGAAAAAAUCGUCAAACCCAUUAAAAAAUCAUUAAAAAAAUUGUGAUAUACUAAUUUGAUAGGAAGAAAUCCCACUAGUUAAUUAUUAUUUUUUUCCUUGAUCAUUUACACUUUCAUAUGAUCCAUCAAAUUCAUCUUCCACAAUUGGUCUACUUCUUAGUUAAUUUUGUUUACCAAUUUUAAUAUGAUCAAAAUCAAUUUUAAAAUUUUAGGUUAUGUUUGGUUUAAAAAAAAAUUGAGAGAAAAUAUAAGGGAAGAAAAAUAUGGAGGAAAAGAAGAAAGAAAGAAAAAUGAAUGAAAAUAAAAUAGAUUUAAAAUUAAUAAAUUAUUUUUAUAUGUUAUUUUAAACUAAAUUCACUUAUUUUAACUCUUCUAUAUAAAAAUUAAAUAAUUUGAAAAUAUAUAAGUUUUAACUAAUUUUAAUUAUAUUUUAAUUUCUUUGAUAUUUUUAAUAGUAUUACAACCAAACAUUAAAAAUAAUCAUUUUUUUUUAACAUUUUUUCCAUAAUACUUUUUGAAGAAUCAAAUAUAACCUUAAUGUUAAAAUUGAAUAGAAUAUAAUUAUUUUGUAUCUGUAAAAACUUGCUACUUUGACAAACUAGAGAUAAUUUUUAUCUUAUCAACAAUUGUGAAGUUGAGUAAAUUUAAAGCUAAAUCAAUUUCCCAAACAUCAACAAAUAAAAACAAAAUUAAAUAGUCAAAUAUCGUAUUUUUCUAGAGUUGGAAGUACAUAUAAACACCGCAAUUGUUUUUCUAGAGGUAAGUAGUCCCUUUCAAUUAAGUCUAAUUUCAAAGAUAUUUUCUAUAACUCUACAUUUCACAUUCUAUAUAUUUUGUGAGCAAUUCCCUUCAAGCUUUUGUCCAUGAUUUAAAGAUAUUUUAUGUAGAGCAUACGUGGAAGGGCUUUUGCCCAUGAUUGAAAGAUAUUUUAUGUAGAGCAUAUGUGGAAGGGAAAGUUGUUUGCACAUAUAUAUAUUUUUCUCUUUCUUUCUUGUGAAGUUUUUCUGUCUUUUUAGACAUCUCCCAUUUUUAUUUACUUGAUGAGAUUUUUAUCCUAUCACACUCCGGCCUCAAUAAUUUGGCUACAUUAAACCCAUUAACACCAUUUUAUUAUUUAUUUUUCUAAAUUGUAAUGCUUCAUAUUUCUCUCAUAUUUGAACCAACCAUCCAGCUUCGUUUCACGCUCAUUCCUUGAUUCACCCAUUUGAUAAGUGACUGUCAAUCAUAAAUCAAUAUAGAGAUGAGUCGUUGCUUUCAAAUCAUGUCUAUAUUUUUUAGAUUUUUUUUGUAACUUAAGUCCACAUUCAAAGAUAUUUUACGUCAAACAUGGGUGUAGAGGAAAGUUACUCAAAUACCAUAUUCUCUUUCCUUCUAUGGAUAAGAUAAUGCUUGGUUCUAAUUUCAUAUGUAGUAUAAUUUUAAUUCUUAAUUUUAAGAAAAUUAUAAAAAUAAAAAUAAAUAGUAAAUAAAAGAUUCAUUCCCAAAUUUGUUUAAAGUCAUUUUAAAUCUCACAACUCAUUCUCAUUAUAUUUGUAAGGCAAUCAAGCAACUUGCUGUCUCACAUGUAAAGAUUAAAAUGUGGUCAAAACUCAUCAAAAGAAUCAUUAAAUGUUUUUCUACUUAUUGUUAUAUAAUCAUCAUUAUAUUCUUGUGUAUUUUUUUUUUAAAUAAAACUAGUUUUAAGAAAAAUAUUAAGUAUUUUUAAAAGCUAAAAUUCAAUUGAAAAUUUAUUUAUACGUUCUACUUUUGAAAAUAGUGAAAACCAAAGCAUAUUUAAAUGCAUUUUUUCCCUCUUUUAUUUCUUUUGUGCACAUCUGGACUUUUCACAAGAAAAUGGACAAAGUAGCUUUGGGAAUAAAAAAUAGAAAAUGUUUAUGGUAUCAAAACCUAGUUAUGUUUUAUUAUAGAAGGAAGAAAAAAAAUGAAUGAAUUAUAUAUAUCUAUAUAUAGUAAGGAUCAAUGUGAGGUAAAAUCCCAAGAAUAUUAUCAAAAAUAUUUUGGUAAAUUAUUAUUAUUAUUAUUUUGGUAAUAUAUAUAUAUUCUUAAGAAGUAAUUGGUCCACUUUUCUCUCAUAUUUGGAUUAACUAAUUAACUUGAUUUCCGCCUUAAAGAACCAAUUAGUGUCAUUUCAAAUAUAAAUCAAUAUCAAAUAUCAAUGUUGAUGAAGAGUGGGUACCAUAUCAAAGUGGUAGAAGUAUCUUAAGGCCCUAUCACCUUUGUCAAGAUGUAUGUGUUGGCCCUACCACCUUAUCACCUUUGUCAAGAUGUAUGUGUUGACCCUACCACCUUUGUGAAGAUGUAUGUAUUAAAAUCCUUGAAGUUUUAUCAUACAAACUAAAACAAUAAGUGGAAAUAUAUCAUAACCCAACAAUUGUUUUUUAGGAGAUGAGUAGUCCUUUUCAACUUAGCUUCACAUUCAAAGAUAUUUUGUUUAGCAUAAAUCUAUAUUCAAAGAUUAUAUAUCUAUAUAUAUAUAUAUAUAUAUAUAUAUUCCAAACAUAAAUCAAUCUCAAAUAUUAAUAUUGAUAAAGAUUGGGUAUCUACCAUAUCAAAAUGGUAGAAGUAUCUUAAGGUCAUACCACCUAUAUCAAGAUGAAUGUGUUAAUAUCCUCAAAGCUUUGUCAUUUGAAUUAAAUCAGAAGGUGAAGUAUAUCUUAACAGAACAAUUAUUUUUCUAAAGAUGAGUAGUCCCUUUCAACUUAAGUUCACAUUCAAAGAUAUUUUAUAUUGUAUAUGCCUAUAUUAUAUAUAUUUAUAUCCACUCAUAUCUUAUUCUUUUUUCUUUUUUUUAUCAAAUCCACAUCAACAAUGUCUCUUGUGCAAACAUUGAAAAAAUCGUCAAACCCAUUAAAAAAUCAUUAAAUUUUUUUACUAAUUUUGAUAUACUAAUUUAAUUUGAUAGGAAGAAAUCCUAGUAGUUAAUUAUGUUUUUAUUCCUUGAUCAUUUACACUUUCGUAUGAUCCAUCAAAUUCAUCUUCCACAAUUGGUCUACUUCUUAGUUAAUUUUGUUUACGAAUUUUAAUAUGAUCAAAAUUAAUUUUAAAAUCUUAGGUUAUGUUUGGUUUAAAAAAAUUGAGAGAAAAUAUAAGGGAAGAAAAAUAAAGAGGAAAAGAGGAAGGAAAGAAAAAUGAAUGAAAAUAAAAUAGAUUUAAAAUUAAUAAAUUAUUUUUAUAUGUUAUUUUAUUUUAUUUAUUUUUUUAAAAAGAAAACAAAAUAAAAUAAAACAUGUGUAACUCCUUAUUUGGAAAAAUAAAAUAAUAAAAUAAGUGUAUGGAUUAAGAAUGAGUUUUGAGGGUCAAGUUCCCUAUAGGGUAAGCCUUAGCAUACCUCCAAACCCAUUUGUUUACAAUCUCUAAUAAACAAUAAGAGAUACUUUAACAUUUAAUUAGUCAAUCAACGGAUAGAAAAGAAAUUAAGAAACUUGAUGCCUCACGUACAAAGAUUAGAAAGUGGUUGGAACCACUCAUGAGAAAAUCAUUAAAUUUUUUCCUUUUUAUUAAUGUAUAAUCAUCAAUAUAUUUUUCUACUUUCAAAAACAAAAAUAAAACUAGAAUUAAGGAAGAUAUUAAUUUUUUUUAAAGGAAGAUAUUCAAUAUUUGUUUAAAGUUAAAAAAAUGUAAUUAAAAUUUUAUUUAUAUGUUCUAUUUUUAAAAAUAGUAUAAACAAAUGUAUGAAUACAUAUUUCUUCUCAUUUUUCCGUUUUGGUAUUUUCUUUCUCUUUUUUAUUUGAUUGGUCUAUUCAAUGGAUUUCAUUGAUUAUUAUUGAUUUCUUAAGUAGUAAUUGAUCCAUUUUUAUCUCAUAUUUGGAUUAGCUAAUUAACAUGAUUUCCAUGGUAAGGUCCCAACUAGUGACAUUUCAAAUAUAAAUCAAUAUCAAAUAUUAAUGUUGAUAAAGACUGUGUAUCUACCAUAUCAAAGUGGUAGAAAUACCUUAAAAUCCAAAUAACCUUUGUCAAGAUAUAUAUAUAUAUAUAUAUAUAUAUAUCUAUGUGCGUGUGUGUGUGUGUUGGUCCUAGCACCUUUGUUGAGAUGUAUGUGUUAAUAUUCUUGAAACUUUAUCAUAUGAAUUAAACAACAAAUGGAAAUAUAUCAUAAUACAACAAUUGUUUUUAUGGAGAUGAGUAGUCCAUUUCAACUUAGGUUCACAAUCAUAGAUAUUUCCGUAUAAUUUAUGUCUAUAUUCAAAGAUAUUUAAUGUACAAUAUUGGUUCUAAUUUUUUUGGUAAUACAUAUAUAUAUAUUGAGAAGUAAUUGGUCCACUUUUCUCUCGUAUGUGGAUUAACUAAUUAACUUGAUUUCCACCUUAAAGAACCAAUUAGUGUCAUUUCAAAUAUAAAUCAAUAUCAAAUAUUAAUGUUGAUGAAGACUGGGUACCAAAUCAAAGCAGUAGAAGUAUCUUAAGGCCCUAUCACCUUUGUCAAAAUGUAUGUGUUGGCCCUACCACCUUACCACCUUUGUCAAGAUGUAUGUGUUAACCCUACCACCUUUGUGAAGAUGUAUGUUUUAAUAUCCUCGAAACUUUAUCAUAGGAACUAAAACAAUAAGUGGAAAUAUAUCAUAACCCAACAAUUGUUUUUUUUUUUUUUUUUUUUGACAACAAUCACUGUAGAUCUUAAGCUUAGAGACGGAUAGUGCGAGUGCGAGGUCCAAUCUAGAUAGAGUGGCUUUGUACUCGGCUUCGUUGUUUGAUGCGAGGAAUCCGAGUUAGAUGGCCUGCUCUCACCAGUUGGAGAUUGUAGUAGCAAUCCCACUCUGGAUCCUGACGACUAAGAGGCUCCAUUGACUUGUAAGGUCCAUCACUCCGUCUUGUCCGAUUCUCAGUCUCGAGAGGGUUGUUGGGGAGACUCCACCACAAAGUCAACCAUGACUUGCCCUUUCAUGGACAGCCUAGGCUAAUAUUCGAUCCCAUACUCGCUCAACUCUAUGGCCCAUUGCAGCAUUCUUUCGGACUUAUUCGGUUUGUGUAGGGUGCUUCGCAAGGGCUAGUCGGUAAGCACGACUAUUGGGUGAGCUUGAAAAUAUGGGUGGAGCUUCUGGGCGGCACUCCGCAAGGCUAAGGCAAUUUUUUCUAUCUUUGAAUAUCUUGUUUCUGCAUCGGCCAUUGCUCUGGUGAUAUAAUAAACAGGCUUCUGCUCCUUGUGUGAUGGACAACGAAACAAGACGACGCUAACCACUCAAUCCAAUACUGCUAAAUACAUGUACAACCAUUCGGCAGGCUGAAGGCUGCUCAAGAUGGGUGGUUGUGUGAGGUACUAUUUGAUUUUCUUGAACACGCCUUGGUAGUUAUCCGUCCAUCCAGUCGCGUCGGCUUUCCUUAGCACCAGGAAGAAAAGUUGUAGUUUGUCUGUGAAUCGGGCUAUGAAACGUCCUAGUGCGAUGAGUUUGCUAGUGAGGCGUUGCAACUCCUUUUUGUUUUUGGGGGCGGGUGCCUCCAUGACUGCUUUAAUUUGAUUCGGGCUGACUUCUAUUCCUCUUUAAGUGACCAUGAAUCCCAGGAAUUUUCCCGUGCUUACACCAAAGGCGCAUUUGGAUGGGUUAAGUUUCAUGUCGUAUCUCCUCAGUAAGUGGAAGACUUUUUGCAGGUGGUGGGUAUGAUCUUCUCUAGUUUUUUUUUUUUACCACUAUGUCAUCAAUGUAUACCUCCACUGUGCGACCAAUCAAGGGCUUGAAGAUCUUUGUCAUUCGUCUUUGAUAGGUGGCGCCAACGUUUUUGAGUCCGAACGACAUGACCUUGUAACAAUAAAGUCCAUGCGACGUUAUAAAGGCAGUUUUUUCUUCGUUCGCGAGGGCCAUGGGAUCUGAUGGUAUCCGGAGAAGGCGUCUAGAAAGGAGAGCAUCCCUUGCCCGGUAGUGGAGUCCAUAAUUUGGUCUAUCCGUGGCAACGGGAAGCUAUCUUUUGGGCAUGCAUUGUUGAGGUUGGUGUAAUCAAUGCACACUCGCCACUUCCCUUCCUUUUUGAGGACUACCACCACAAUUGCCAACCAUUCCGAGUGCUCAACUUCCCUGAUGAACCCAACAUUCAAUAACUUAUCCACCUCAUCUUGAAUAAUCUUCUGUCUAUCCGGAUGAAAUCGUCUAACCUUUUGUUGAACAGGUCUUGACGAGGGCAAGAUGUUAAGUCGAUGGGAGGCAACUGAUGGGUGGAUCCCAAGCAUAUCGAAGUGGGUCCAUGUGAAAACGUCUUGGUUUUGUCAAAGCAUCUCCUUGAUGUUCUGAGUCUCUUCGAGUUCCAAGAGGGAACUAAUAUAGGUGAGACGACCAUUCUUCUCCGAGAUUUGGAUGGUUUGCAAGGGAUCUACCACCGGGGGAUCUUUAUCCGUCGGGUACUGUAAUUGCUAUUGGUCGGGUGCAUUCGCUUGCUCAGGGAGCAACUCGCGAUCGUUACUAGGUCCGGCCUCUCGUGCUAUUUGAUAGCACUGACGGGCUGCUAACUAGCUACCAUAUAAAUCAAUCUGCCUGUCUUCGGUCAGGAAGCUCACCAUCUGAUGGUACGUGGAAGGGAUGACCUUCAUGUAGUGAAACCAGGUGCACCCCAAAAUGGCGUUGAAGGAGGAUAGAUCUUCCACUAUUGAGAAUUGUACGUUGAGGAUGACUAAGCCUGCUUGGAUCGAUGACACAACGUUUCCAAGAGAGGUUGUUGCAGUUCCAUUGAAUCCUGACAAAAUCCGUCCCGGGGUCUCUAGGCUAAAGGGCACGAUUCCCAUUUGUUUGAUUACUAAUACUUGCAAGAGCUCGAUGGAGAUGCCUAGGUCGACCAAGAUCCGCCUUACGUCGAAGUCUCCAAUCCCAAGAGACAGGAUAAGGGUGUCUUGGAGUGGUUGCAAUAUUCGUAUGGGGUCUACUAGAGGAAAAAUGAUUGUCCCAUCUAUUGGACGGGCGUUCCUGCUAGUUAAUCCGGGCCGGAUGGAGUUGAUACGUUCGCGUACCGAAGCGGCCUACAGCAGCCUUUGCCUCUUUCUCUUGGAGUCGUACUCUUCAUCCAAGGGUCCACCAUGAAUGUAGUUAAUUAUGGCCCUAGGGGCGAUCGGAGCUGAGGUGACUCCGGAGGCUUGACUCCGAGAAGUCUCCUCCCUUGGCUUUUGAGCGAACGUACUGCUUUAGGUGUCCUGCUCUUAUAAGCUUUUCUACCAAGUAAUGGAGACUCCUACACUGUUCCGUAGUAUGUUCAUGCUCUUUAUGAUAAGCACAUUUCCUGUUAUAAUCUCUCUUGGUUGGGUCCGCUUUGAGGGGUUCAUGUCACCUAAAGUCGGACAGCUCGCAGAUCAUUGGAAGAAGCUUCUCAUAUGAUAUGGUAAGGGGUGUAAGCAGUGGCAGCUUUGACUGACUUUGUUCACCUUGUCUACAGCCGGGUGGCCUCUGCUAGUUCGGAGGUUUGGAACUUCUUGCCACGUCAUUCCUGGUCGGCUGUCCGGUAACCAGGAUUUGUUGGAUGGCUGCGCAUACAGCAUCUUCCAGCAUUGAGUAUUUGUUCGCGCGCCGGAACAAGUCAUCCAUAGUUGUGGGAGGUUUUUUAGUGAGUGAUUCCAAGAAUGGUGUGCCCGGACAUAUGCUCCGCUUAAAAAUUUGGAGGACAACAUCCAUGCUAUAGGAUUCUAGUUGUAGUGCAACUUGACCAAAUCGUUUCACGAACUCCCUCAGGGAUUCAUUUUCCUGUAUUUUUAUGUUUUGCAGGGUGCUAAUAUUCUAUUUAUGUCAUGCGGAACACAGGUAUUGUCCCACAAAGGCUUCUGAUAGAUCCUAGAAGUUAUUAAUAGAAUUCACAAGGAGUCGAUGAAACCAUGAGAGAGGCUGGUGGGGAACACCUUGCACAACAUUGCGGCAUUCCCUAUGUCGAGUGUCAUGAGUUGUUGGUAGUGCAUGAUGUCGUCAAACGGAUCGCUAGACCCGUCAUACGUAGAAAAUUUUGGCAUGAGAAACCCUCUUAGGGGCUCGUAAUUGAUAAUACGCGAGCUAAAAGGUGUGGAGAGCAUGUCAUCCAAUUGCCUAUUGAUGGAGCCCGAGGGGGCUCAUUUGCUGAAUUUCCUCCGACUUGUCAUAGUGCUUGGUGUGGGGGAUUGCCCUGUGUGAUGGGUGCGACCGCGGGACUAGGAUACGUCUCCCGGGUCGCGGCUGUAGGUGGCCUAUCCUUACCAGGUGCUUGUGGUCCCAACCUCACACGCAUUGUGUCAGAUAACUGUGGUCUCUUGUCGCGUUGUCUCUUUGACGAGACACAAGUGGAGUCCGAGCUUUCAUCAUAUGGAGCGUGAUAUGUAGGUAAGGGUCGUUCACUAGGCCGUUCAUCGCGCAUAUCAAGAGCGAUCUCGAUGACUUCAAGAUACAUUGUCUCCUGGUUAUGCUUAGAGUUUGUCCCUUGGCCUCUCGGUCGCUGGUCGUGAGGAGGUCCCGAGGAUGAAACCUGGAUUCUUAACACAUCGUUUUCUUCCUUAAGCCUCCUUGUUUCUUGGAGUAGGGCCUGCACUUGCCGCUCACUUUCCAGCUUUCGUUUUUCCAUACUUUCGCGCCAGUCAAAAUAACCCUCAUCACCCAUGGCUGAUGAACAACUUCUAGAAGGUGUGGACAUCUUCGUAAAUGUUGUUUCCCACAGACGAUGCCAAUUGAUGCCGAGAGGACCCAGAGUCACUGUAGCUCCCUAAAGUACUUGCCUCCUCAACUGAGAGCGAUGCUUCCUUCCUUUGCCCUGCAAAAGAUGUCCAGAUAGGUGGUCCGGACACACCUUCCAAAGCUUUUGUUAGUUUGGCGGUCAAACAUAUUGAUAUUUUUGGGCCCUUUUUUUAGGAAUGCUUACCCUCUCUUGACUGGGUCGUCGGGGGCCUUUUAUAGUGUCUAGAGCCCCGUCACUUUGAAUGUGGGAAGGCUCUUUGACUUUUACAGUCAUGAUGGUGCUCAAAGGGUGGCAGAGCCGUAUUAUCCUGCAGGCGGCUAACAGAAAUUGUUUGGGGGGGGGGGGGGGGGGGGGGGGAGGGGGAAUUUUUCCCCCCCCCAUUUUUUUUCCCCCAAAGGGGGGAAAGGGGGGGGGGAAACAAGUCCCCCGAAAAAANNNNNNNNNNNNNNNNNNNNNNNNNNNNNNNNNNNNNNNNNNNNNNNNNNNNNNNGAGAUGACAACUGUCGAGUUCGGACUAGACGUCCGAAUAGAGGGUGGGACGUGCCAUGUGUCCACCGGAGGAGUGCCUUGUGAGCCCAGGGUGGCCUACCACAUGUACGUUUAAGGGUCGUCCCUACAGUAAGAACAUAGGUAGAAAACGGUACUUACAUAUAGUUUUGGAAAAUAAAAGAAAAAAUGAUAAGGAGUUUCAAAUUCAUUUAUUUAAUUUAGAGUAUAUUGAAAAAAUCAUUUUUUUAUAUUUUUGCUGGCAUAUCAAUUUAGUCCCUAAAUAUUUUUAAAACAAUAUUACCCUUAAUCAAUGCUCAAAUGUCAAAUGAUCUCUUUUAUUGAAAAUUUUCAUCAAAACUUUACAUAAAACUCCCUCAUAAAAUAUACAUUAGCAUGAAAUUUUAUAUGAUAUAUUGGGAUCUGUCCAAGUUUUUCGUGCUUAGUCAUAUGUGUUUUUCCAUCUAGAUUUUAUUUUAUUUUAUUUUUAAAAAAAAAAUUCUUGUUCAAUUAAACUAAGUCAGAGCUAAUAUUGUGAGAGGUUGGACUAAACUUCUCACCGAAAAAAAAAAAAUUAAAAGUAAGUGAGUUUCUAGAUAUUGAAUCUGAAAUUAGUUAUACGAACAGAUCAAUCGAAAAAAAAAUGCUGAAGUAAAAAAAGUAAAAAGUCUUAACUUGGCAGUUGGAUUGAUGGUGAUAGGGCCUUUUUAAGGCUGCAAUGGAGAGGUUGUUGUCCAGUGGCCUUUAUUAACUCACAUCAUGGUUGUAAGGUAUUCCUUUUGUGACGCAUACGAUAUUUAGAGAUUUUUUUUGGCCUAUUUUCCUCUUUUUUUUUUCUUUGGAUGGGUGGUGGGGUAGAUUUUUUUGUUCCUCUUUUUUUCUUUCUUUUUAUUUUUUGCUUAUCGAUGAGGGAAAGAAAAAACAAUUUUAUGAAAAACUAGUCUAAAUCAAAGGGUUAAGUUCCUUAUUAGAAAUGUACUUCAAAAUAACAUAUCUUUUAGCCCUAAAAAAAAUCUUUGUUAAACAAGUAUUGAAGAUAAUCACAACAACUGAUUAAUUAAUCAUGAAUACAAAAAAAGUAUGAUAAACUUAUAUACAACAAAAAUUGGAUUGAUGGUGACAAGGCCUUUUUGUGGUUGCAAUAGAGAGGUUGUCCUUGAGCAAUUGUUGUCCACGGACCUUUAUUAACUCGCAAGGUAUUCCUUUUGUGACCCAUAUAUGGGUGGUGGGGUAGAUUUGUAUUUUUUUCCCCCUUAUUUUUCUUUCUUUUUCUUAUUUUUUUCUUUAUCUUUUCUAUUCAUUGACGAGGGAAAGGAAAAAAAGUAUGUGAAAAAUCAAUCUAAAUCCAAGGGUUAAGUUAUUUAUUAGAAAUGUACUUCAGAAUAGCAUAUCUUUAAGUUCUAAUUUUUUUUUUUUAGUAACCAAGUGGAGAAAAUUAUAACAAUUGAUUAAUUAAUCACAGAUAUCAAGAAAAGUAUGAUAAACCUAUAUAGAACAAUACAAAAAGGAAAAUAAGAUACAAUAAUAUACAACAUUGGUAAAGGAAAUACAUAAAUUAAUUUAUUAAAAUAUUUAGAUAAAUGAUUUGAUUAUUUCUAAAUAUUACAAGAUUUCUAAGAAAUUUUAAAAGAAUUUGACUCGCAUUAAAAACAAUUUCAAGUUAAUGAUAUCAAAAUUAUUUAUUCACAAAAAUUCAAUUUGUUCACAAAAGAUUUGAUUUUUAUUUUCGUUCAAAUUUAUUUCCAAAAUGAGUUUUGCUUGUUUUUGUUAAAAGAAUUUAUUGAACACAAUUUUAUAUAUCUAUAUAUAUAAAGAAUGUUUAAAUUUUAUCUAAUUUAUAAGAAUUUUUUUUUCUUUUUCUAAAAAAAUUACAAAUUUAUUUUUGAGAAAUAUUUUGAUUCAAUUUUUAUCAAGAAAAAUGAUUUUCUAUUUUUUUUAAAUAUUUGCAAAUUUAUUUAUAGAAAGGGAUUUCAACCUAAUUUUAUUAAAAGAAUUUCUACAACUUCUAUAUUUUAGAAAUUAUUCCCAAUCCAAUUUUAUUAAAAAAAUUAUAUUUAGGAAAUGAUUUUACAUCUGUAAUUGAAAAAGUAAUUUUGCAAUUUUUAUUUUAAAAAAGGAAUUUAUAGUUUUUUAUUUGAAAAACUGAUUUUGAAAAUUUUUUAUUUAGAGAAGUGAUCUUUUAUUUGAAAAUUUUCAAAUGAAAUAUUCCAUAGUUUUUACUUGAAAAAAUAAAAUAAAAUAACAAUUUUUAUUUAAAAAGAAUCCUAACAAGUUUUAUUUGAAGAAAUAUUCUAGAGUUUUUAUUAAAAAAAUAUUUUGUAAUUUUAUUUAAAAAAAAAAGGUGUUGAUAAAAUCAACAAAAGAGAUAAAAUGUGGACAUGUUGUGCAUUAUUAAGUUUUCGGUCCAAGCCACCUAACUUUCACUUAAAUGGGCUUCGGCCCCUUGUGCGCACAAGGCUCCCCACACCUCUGCUAAGGGGGGAGGGUUAGUAUAUAAAACACCAUUAAAGUACCCAUCACUUUCCACGGUGGGAAUCUUUUAUUUAUUUUUUAUUUUUUUCACAUUAAAACAAGGGUCUCCAAAAAGCCUGCGGCCUGCGGCCCGGCCUAGCGGGCUAAAGCCCGGCUCGAGCCCAGCAGGCCCGAGCCCAUUUCUGGAUGAGCCAGGCCAUGGGCUCCAAUUUAGGCCCGGCGGGCUGGCCCGCCACUUAAAAAAAAAUAUAUAUAUAUAUAUAUAUAUAUAUAUAUAUAUAUAUAUAUAUAUAUAUAUAUAAAUAUUCAAGAAAUAGAAAAUGCUACAUUAAUAAAAAUAUUCAUUGCUAACUAUUUUAUUCAUUGAAUGUAUACGUUACAUUUGAAAAUGUGGGAAAAGUUUGCAUCACUACAAAAUAAAUACAUCCCAACUAGGUUGACACCUACUUAUUUGUCAAUCAUUUGUAUUUUUCAACCACAAAAAUAAAAAUAAAAAUAUAACAUACAUUUAGUAAAAUAUUUUAAUCAUUAUCUCUUGGCGGUGAUGGCGAACUAUCGCAAAUCCAUGAAGAUCUUGAUGAUUUUAGUUUUUCCAUAUCGACAAGCAUAUUUUCUUCUUAAAUAGAAUCAAAUAUCAUUUUAUCUGCUAUUGCCCAGUCUUUCACACAUAUAUUUGCUUCAAUAGAAUCCGGCGCUAAGCUGCAUCGUUUAUCACUAACUACUCUUCCACCUGCACUAAAAGCAGCUUCUAAUGCAACUGUACUCACAGGAACUGUUAGUACAUCACGAGCAAUGAUAGAAAGCACAGGAUAUUUGUGUUGUUGUGAUUUCCACCAUAUUAAAAUAUCAAAAUUUUCAUCAUCUUCAAAUGAAAUUAAAUCAAUAUUAAGAUAUCUAUCUAAAUCAAUUGUGUUGUUUGGAGAACUAUUUGUUGUCUUCUUUCGACUUUUUAACAUUUCUAGAGCUCCUUUAUAAAAAGAUGAAGAACUUGUAGAUGUAGGUGGUAAUUUAAUGAAACUAAUAUCAUCACCAUAUUUUUCUUUAUAAUAGUUAUAUAAAUUAUAUAAUAAUGAAUUUAUUUCAUUUUUAAUUUCUUCAAUUUUUAUUUGGUCAUUAAAAUAAAUAAUUGUUAACCAUUCAUCCAAAGCUUCAAAUUUCAAUCUAGGGUCCACAAUUAAACCAAGAUAAAAAAUUAAAGGUAUUUCUCCCCAAUAUUUUCUAAAUUUUUCUAUCAUUGCAAAUAUUGCAUCAUUAAAUAUAUCCAAAUUUAAAUAUUUUUGAAAUACAAUAAAAAUAUUAGUUAUUUGCAUGACAACUCGGUUUGAAGAUGGAUAAUAUACACCACAAAUUUUUUUUUGUUGAAGUAUCAAAUACUUCAAAAAGAUCUCUUAAAAGAUCUGCAAUAUGCCAAUCAUAAUCAUUUAAUACAUCAAUAUCUGCUUCACAAUCAUUGUUAAUUAAUUGUUUUUCAUAUAGUUCUACUACUUUUCUAUAUUUUGUAAUAGUUUGUAAAAGUUUAUAAGUGGAAUUCCAUCUAGUGGGCAUAUCCAAAUUUAUAUUUCUUUUUUUCAUAUUUAACAUUUUGCAACAAUAAAAAAAUAAUUCAUGUUUUGCUUGAGAACUAUUAAGACCCGCAACAAUGCCUCUAAUUUUUUAUAUUGUAUCAUCAAUGUGUUUUAAUCCAUCUUUUACAAUUAAAUUUAAAAUAUGUGCACAACAAUGCAUAUGAAAUAUUUUACAUUGAUCUUCUUUUAUUUGUCAAUAUCGUUUUAAUCUAGAUACUGCUGCAUCAUUAUUAGAAGUAUUAUCUAAUGUUAUUGUAAAUAUUUUAUCACGAAUGCCAAAAUCUAUAAUUUCAUCAUUUAUUAAAGAUGCUAUAUUUUUACCAUUAUGUGGAGCAUUUAUUAUUUUAAAUGAAAUAAUUCUUUUAUUUAAUUUCCAUUCAUUAUCAAUAUAAUGAGCAGUUAUACAUAAAAAACCACUAUGAGUUAAAGAUGUCCAAAUAUCAGAUGUUAAACAAAUUCUUCCUUCAAAAUUUGCAAAAAAAAAUUUUAAAAUUUCUUUUUGUGUUUCAAAAUUUUUUAUAAGAAUUCUUUUAACUGUAUUUCCAGAGCAACCUUGAAACUGAGGAUUAACAGCUUGUUGCAUUGUUCCCGUAAAAUCAUGAGUUUCCAUGAAAUUGAAAGAUUGUUAUGCUCUUAUUAUAUAACCAAUCAUUUCUUCACGACAAUAAGAUUCAUCAUAACAAAAUGUUUUUAAAUUUCCACUUUCAUCUUUACCUAAUUGCAUAUAAUUUCUAAUAUCUACAUUAUUUUUAGUUUUACAAUUUUCAUGAUGCCUUUUUAAAUGACUUGUACCUGCAUUUGAGCCACCACUAAGAAGUUUGUUACAAAUUUUACAUUUUACAUUUUGCUUUUAUUUCUUUUUUAUUAUUUUCUAAAUUUAUUUCUAUUCUAUAAAAAAAAUUCCAUAUAUUUGAAGUAAAUUUUUUGCUAUCACAUGCAUUAGAUGAAGAACAAGAACCACUUGCCAUAAUUAUAAUUAUUGAUAAAAUAUUAUGCUAAAAAUAAUAAAUGUAAAAUUAAAAUGUAACAAAUAAAUAAAAGUAAAGGUGAAGUAUGUUACUAAAUUGGAGAACCGAAGCAGAAAUUCCUUCAAAUUUGAACUCUUUGAACCACCAAUGCUUGUUUUUCACCACUAAUAAUAUUGAAUAAUUUGAGACAAAAUGCAAUAAUCGGAAAUAUUGUGGAAUGGGAAAGAGCUUAAGAGUUGAGAGAAUAGAAAAAAAUUGAGGGUAUUUAAUAUUUAUAGGGAUUUAAAUAUUAGGAUUUAAUUUUUUUUUAUUUUAUAAUCAAGACUGUUCAACGGUCAUAAUAUUGAAUUGAGUGGCAAGCAUGUUCAACGGUCAUGUGACCGUUGAACAGCCAGUUCACUUUUAUUUUUUUUCAAAAAUCAUACAACAUUUCUAAUAUAUAUAUAACUAAUGCAAAAUAGUUACACAAAAGAGGGCUAGCUCAGUUGGUGGCUAGCUCCCUUGUGGAUCCAUAAGGGAAGGGGUUCGAAUCCUCUUUCCUUCCCGGCCCGGCCCGUUGACCAGUCAACGGGCUCAAUGGCCCGCCCCGUUGACCAGUCAACGGGCUCAGUGGCCCACCCCGGGCUAGGCCAUGGGCCUUACUCCUCCGGGCCGGGCAGCCCGGCCCGGCCCGUUGGAGACCCUUACAUUAAAACACCCACACACACAAGCACUCUACCAACCAUUACUGGGCAGAUUUUUUUGGAUACCUACCUUAUAUAGGAUGGAUUUGAGAUAAACUUAAACAAGUCUAGCAAAUUUCAAUAAAAUUCUUAAAACCUGAGAUUGGUCUGAGACGGAUUCAAAUUUGACUAUAUCCUACCUUGAUAAUUGUUGUAGUAUGUGAUUCAUAUUUGAGUGAAAAGACAUAUGAAGAAAAAUAGGCAAAAUGUCCGAGCAAAACAGAGUGGAACAUAGUGAAUAUCCUAUUUCCCUGUUCCUGUGGACAUAGACAAUUAAUCGAACCACAUUAAAUCUCUGUGUUUUUCUUUCUCGUUUUUUUUUCUAUUUUUUUCAUCAUUAAUCAUUGCACGGAUUCCAAUAAUAAUAUAAUACAAAAUAAAAAAUUAUUUUAAUUGAUUUUUUUUACAAUUUAAAAUUUUUAAAGUUAAAAAAAAUAAAAAUAUGUAAAAAUAUGAUAAAAUAAAAAAGUUAAAUGGAGCUGGGUGGGGUGAGGCAAAUAUAAGAAUUUCCUACACCUGUCCCAUCCCUAGGAAUGGCAACGGGGCGGGUUCGGGACGGGUCGCCCCCAUCCCAACCCCGCCCCGUUUAUUUAAAAUAAUUCCCAUCCCCGUCCCAUUUAAAAAAUUAAACGGGGCGGGGUAGGGCGGGUAUGAUAAAUUCCCAUACCCGUCCCGCCCCGAGCAGUCGUGAAGUUGGUCAGGCCCAGGUGGUAACGCAACUCAUCCUCAGAGGCAGCGUAGGGUAUGUCUAUCUUGUUUCCCAGAAUGAGAAAUGGAACAUAUGCCAGUGACUCAUCAGAAAGGAGGGCAUCCAACUCCCUCUUUGACUCGGCAAAUCUUUCCUUGUCAUACGCAUCAACCAGGUACACCACAACAUCCACCUUGGCAUAAUAAUCCUUCCAGACUCUUCGAGCGAUCUGAUGCCCACCCAAAUCAAAGGCUUUAAACUUAAUUUUCCCAAUUCUCAAUUCCUCGGACGUUGGGUGUUGCGUUGGUUGAUGCUGAACUAAUCUCUCAUCCUUCAACAUAUGAAGCAACGUCGUUUUUCCCGCAUUAUCAAGCCCUAAAAAUAAGAUCUUUGCCUCUUUUUACCAUAGCCCCAAAGAUGCGAGAAGUCCAUAGAACCAAUCGAAAAGAAUCAUGGUGUUCCGACAAGAUUCGCGACUCAAAACGCGGCCAAUUCACCGGAACUAAGCCGAAAACCACAAACUUAUCAACGAACUUGUCGGAAAAUCCCACUGGAGGUAGAGAUUCAUAUAUUCAUAUAUUAUAAACAGGGCGGGACGGGGCGGGAUGGGGCGAUACCCGAACCCGCCCCAAACCCGUCCCGGGUUUUAAAAAAAAAUUCCAACCCCGUCCCAAACCCGUUUCUAAAAUUUGAACCCCGUCCCAAUAGGGACGGGGCGGGGCGGGUACCCGAAAAAACCCGCCCCAUUGCCAUUCCUACCCAUCCCUCCCCAUUUAAAUAAAAAAAUAAAAAGGUUAUUUUUUUUCUUUUUAUGAAGAUGAAAAUAAAUAUAAAUAAAUGCAUGAGGUUAGGAUGGAGUGGCCAUCCGAACUCAUUUUGUUGUCGUCCCAAAGCAAGAGCCUCAUUUUAUUUGUUUUUAAUUUAUUUGUCAACAAGAAUGCAGAGGUACAUCUUUCUUUUUUUUUUCAAGGGCCGUAAAGGAUGCAACUAUGGGGAGUUGUAGUCUGCUCCAGGACCUCGAAGAAGUUGCAAGACUGGAUCACUUUCUGAUACAAGCUCUCCAAUGGUAGCCAAGUUAUCAGUGAGCAUCUUCAACUUGAGUAUGUAUUCCAUCAUGGAGAGGGAACCUUUCCGAGUUAUCUGAAAUGCUAGCCGAAGCUGCAUUACUUGUGCUAUUGAAGAUACGGAGAAGAUCUUCUCUAGAGCCAUCCAUGCUGUGUGAGAAGUCUGAUAUCCAAUUAUUUGUCCCAUAAUUUCGAGAGUAAGGAAAGAGGAGAUCCAACUCAGGACCAUGCGUACCAAAACAUCACCAACCAAGGAAUUCUGAAUUAUUUUCAUCAAUGGUAUUCAUCUUAGGAAGACGGAUUUUCAGUCCUUCACUGUGUGUUCUUCAAAACUAUUAGUAAAGAUGACAUUGUCUAUUUGUAUACACCAGCGAAUGGAAUCAUCUCUGUUGAAUUUGAUGGGAAGUGAAUGAUUCAACAUGUUGUAAUAGCUCUGAUGCCAUGAAAGAACUGCAGUCAAGAAGAACAACCUAUCUAACUAUCUAACAGAUUAGUUUCUAUUCUGGUGAAGCUUCUAAAUGCUGUUCUGUUGAUGCUUCUGGAUGACUAUCAACCCUGGGUAGUAAAUCUCGUCCUUUCAUUUUCUUUUCCUUUCUUUUCGAUGCCCUCUCUUGUGAAUGCGCCUGACUCAACCGCUGGUAAAUGGCACUAUUUGAAAUGUGCACUAGGCUUUUCACAUGCGCUUCAAUCAAAUGGUUCAUAUGCAAUAACUAGAAAUAUCAUAAGGAAAGGAAGAACAAACGGAACUGAUAUUGAUGAAAAGAAAAGCUAGGAUCGUGCCCUAUUGAGUGAAAAGAUAACAUUUGGACUCAUAGGCUCAGUGGGAGACUUUCAAAUACCCUUGCUAAAAAGAAGAUUGAAAUACAGAGAGUUGGGACCUUCAACUCAAACCCUAGACUUAGUCCGUUAUAACAUCAAAUCCUACCAACAUGUCAACAAUCGGGCAUGUUCAUCCUUGAAACAUCUUUCAUUGGCAUGAGUUAGAGUCCUCUCCUACCGGAACCUGGCAGUGGACUAUUAUUUUUAAGAUAGUUCACCCUUUUUUUAUAGUCCAUUGGGGGCUAUUGUGGGCUAUGUCAAACAACAGAUCUUUCCAUUAAUGGUUCCAUUCUCCCAUCGAGAGGCUAUGAUACUAGUAAGUGUUAACCAAAACCCCACACAUACAAAUAAAAUGUAAAAAAAAUACAUGACAUUUUUAAUAUGAUUUAGCAAUCAAUGUGAUCCUUACAUCAACAAAGUGCUACUAAUUAAAAAUAAAUAAAAAAUAGAGGUUAUGAUGUUGAAGCUAUCAAAAAACACCUCUUAAUUGUGGUUACACUCUCUUUUUAAAAAAAAAAACCUAAAAACAUAAGAGGGUUAAAUAUAUAAUGGGAGGAAACUCGUGAUUCAUCAUAUUAAAAAAAAUCUCUAUAUUCAUACUUUACAAUUCAACAGUAAGAGUUCUAUUCUUCUCCUCUGGACUCAACUUGGUUUAUGAAAUAGAGGUCUCUUUUUUAAGUGUGUGGAAAGUCCAGUUUCAAACUAUCUAGAACUAUAAUGCCUCUUUACAUAUAUACUUGGAGAAAAAAGUUAAGCCUAUCCAUCUCAUUACUCUUUCGUUUCUACAAUCUUCAAAUCCUUCUUACCUUACCCUCAAUAUCAAUGUUUGUCUAAUUUGUGGUCUCUACCUAGCCAAGUGAUCUUUCCUAUUUGCCACUCUAUAAUGCAUGCUCGUGUUGUUUUACUCUUCUGGAGCCAUUUCUCUUUCAACUUCAAUAUUCCCCUAAAAUACUACCAUUUUUAAAAAAAAUCUAUACCAUUUAUAUUUUUUUAUUGAUAUUACUAUUUAUUAUAAAUAUCCAUUUAAAGUAAAUUUAAAAUGUAUGCAAAAUUUAAAACAUUACAAUUCAUUUUUAAAAAUUUUAAAAUGUUAUUAUUCAUUUUAUAUAUAUAUAUAUAUAUAUAUAUAUAUAUAUAUAUAUAUAUAUAUAAAUCUUAGUAUUUAUUUAAAAAUUUGACAAUAGGAGGAAUUUGACAAGAAGAAAAACAUAUCUGCUUUUCAAUGAUAGCAAGAAAAUAAAAGAAAAAAAAUUCAAUGAACAAGCAAGAAUUAGGGAAUUUUUUCUUGGACAUUUACUUUUAGGAGGAAUGAAACUUGGGUAAUGGGAUUAGCUGGGCUGGUUUGGGCCAGUUUGGGCCUAUUUUUGGGCUCACCCAAUUAGUGUACAUCUACAAUUCCUACUAUUUUGAACCCUAAAGUUUGUAAUCCACAAUUUCUUUCAACUCUUUAUUUUUUCUUUUAUCAUUUGGUUUGAAGACAUGCUAUCAAUCUCUCUCCAAUUCUCGAGUCUUCCUUUUUCCUAUGUCAUGAUCAAUUAAUACACUCUUAGUCACAAAAUGAUAUAUAUCAAAUUCUUUUGAAAGAAUUAUAAUGACCAUAAAUUUCAUAAUCAUAAAUGUUUAGGAUCACUCAAUGGGACAUAUUACUUCAGAUUCAUGAGAUAUUAUGGUGUCUCUAUUAAGAGUAUCUAUUAUUACUUAUGUAAACCACCAAUAACUAUAAUUAAUUAAUUUUUCACGUCUAUGACUUACUAUUCAUUGUAUGCAAGUUCUUUAUGAAUUGAUGUCCAUUAUUCAACAAGGUAAUAACUAUCAAUCUCUCUCCAAUUCUUGAGUCUUCCAUCCACCUAUAUCAUAAUCAACUAACAUACUCUUAGCUAUGAAUAACAUAUGUCUAAUUCCAUUGAAAGAAUUCUAAUGACCAUAAAUUUCAUAAUUAUAAAUGUUUAGCAUCACCCAAGGGGUCAUAUUAUCUCAAACUCAUGAGAUAAUAUAAUGUCUCUAUUUAGAGUAGAAAUUAUUACAUGUUUAAACUACCAAUAACCUAAUACAUAGGAAAUAUAUGAUAAUUUUGGGAUCUCACCCAAAGGCCAAAGCCACUAAUGACCUAAACUCUAGUGCAAUAAUCUCUUAAGAGUAGAACCAAUGCAACAUAUUAUAAUGGAGAAGUCAUAACAAUUCAAUAGUCAUUCAAUCACAACUCUCUAUGGAUUAUGUUCGAUGUUUAAGAACACACAUUAAUACAUUUACUAUGCGAAAACCAUCAACAAUGAACAAGACUAGUCACUCCAUUAAUACAUACAUAUAUAUAUAUAUAUAUAUAUAUAUAUAUAUAUAUAUAUAAUUAUGAGAUGUUGUCUCUCUACUCUAUAAGAUUAUAUAUAUGUGGGACUCAUAUGGAGUUAAUUUCUGUCCAUUUAUGUUUUGAUUUUAAUUUUUUGAUUUAAUUUAAAGAUAUGCAUGCAACCAUAAACGUUCAUCUCUUAGAUUAUGCCACAGUAAAACAUAGAUAAAAACUAAAUUUAAGAGAUUAUUAAGACUAACAGCAUGAAACUUAGGAAUGUGCUUGUGAUGUAUAUUUUUAAAGUUCGUCUUCUAUAUUUUGUUGCAAAUUAUAUUGAAAAAAUUUGAGCUUGAUGCAUAUUAUUAUUUCCUUCCCUUUCCAUUAAAUUCUUUAAUUAAUGAAAUCUUUAUUAAUGAAUUCUAAUAUAAAUUCAGUCAUUAUAUUGAAAAACAAUUUACCUUAUUGUAGUUCUAUGAUGAUGUAGUUAUGCCCGGCUUUCACGAGUAACAACGAUUUAUCGUAGUGGUUGGAAGCACUUUCAACUGUACGUUUAUCGGUCAUCUAAUGCAAUCUUCCAAACGCAAUACAAAGAGAUGGUUCAAGAAAUCAAACAUGCUAAAGACAGAGGCUCGAUUACCAAGGGAAUUUCCAUGGGAAAAGAUUAGGCAGUGUUACCAAGAAAAGUUGAUUAUCCACUCUCUCUUUUGUUGUUUGGAUGGUGGUUGAGAAAACUUGUCUCCGUAAAUCAGUGGAUGAAAUAUUUCUCCUUUUUCUCUUCUCUUAAUUUUCUGUCCAAUGCUAGUGAUGGGAACAUUUGGAUAUGUUUUUACAAUGAUGUAGCGGGUUCGAAGUGAUCAAAUAGAUAAAAAGAGUGAAGUUUUAACAUUUCAUUUGGAUGUCACAAGAAUAAUACCAAAACAAAAAAAAAAAAAAAAAAAGAAGGAAAAAGACAAAAAUGAAUAAGGAAGGACUCCUAAAUUUUUAUUUAAUUUUCAGAGACUGAAUUUUUUUUUUUUAAAUGAUUGACCUCACUGGUAGUAGCUAAAGUUGCUAGCUAGUCCAUUUCUCACUUUGAAGCUUUGCUUAAGAUGUGUGUGGAUGAGGGCAUUUUUUUUUUCUCUCUCUCUUUUUCUUUUUUUUCUUUUUUAUUUUCUAGGCGAGGAGUAUUUGCUGAUAUAGUGGGAACAUUUGGAUACAAUCCUUUUGCAAUAAUUGAUAGGUUGGAUGUAAGAAAAUAAAUAGAAAGAGCUACACUAGCUCAUCACAAAACUAAAAGAACUAUAAAAUUUCAUUUAAAUGUUAGAAAAUAACAAGAAAUAAUUCUUAAUUUGUCUUAUUUGUUUUAUUUAUCUUUGGGAGAAUGAUAUAAAUUAAAGAAAAUAAAAUUGAUGAGCUCCCCAACUAGUUGCAAGUGAAGUUUCCAGCUUGUUUAUACUUCUCUUUUCUUUUGAAAUGAAUGGGUAACUUGAACGUGUAUUCUUUGAGUGAGAUUAGCCCCCAUUUGUAUUCACCAAGGGGAGAGUGGAGUACUUGUAGGUUUGGUGGGGACAUUUGGAUAUCGAUUUGCAAUUAUUGGAGAGGUUCAAAAUAAGGACAUGGAUGAAAAGAGUUACACAAGUUCACAAUCAAGUUUAUAGAUUUGUAUGAUUCCAUCUCGAAGCACAAAAAGAAAAAGAGAAAAGAAAUAUUUUUAAAUUAUUUUAUUUAAUUUUGGAAGAAUGAAUUAAAUUAAAGGAAAAAAAAUGUUGAGCUCAUUCGUACCUAAUAAAAAUGCUUUUUCAUUCUUCUGUUUUCGUUUAACGGGGUGGUGGAGAAAACCUGGCUCUCUAUCUAUUCAUUAAAUGAGUUUUCCCUCUUUUCUACUUGUUGGUGAGGAAAAGAUGAAGUAUUUCUUGGUUUGAAUUCAACGUUUAGUUAUGGUUUUGUAAGGAUUGGGUAGGUUAAAAGUAAUGAAAUAGAUAAAAAUUAAAUAAAUAUUUCAGUUUAAAGAUUUGUAAUAUUUCAUUUGAACAUUUAAUACAAUUUGUAUGCAAAACUAUACAAAAUAUUUACAUAAAUUCUUUUGGAUGUUGUUAUAAAAUUGUGACACAUAAAAAUCCUAUGUUUUUGUUCAAAGUUGGAAAAUAAUAUGAAGAGGAAAAAAAAAAAAGAAAAAGAAAGAUUCUUAAAAUUCUGCUUAAUUGUUGAGAGAGUGAAUUAAAUUAAGAACAAAAGUAAUUGAGCUGUGAUCAUGAUAGUAUGUAAAGUUACUAGUCCAUUUUUUUUACUUUUGUGAUUUUUCUUAAAGAUGAUUGGUAGAGAAAACUUGACUCUUUGUUCGAAUGAGAUUAGUCUUUUUCUUCUCUCUCCUUUUUACAACGAAGACUAGAGUAUUUGUUGAUUGGUGAGAACAUUUGGAAGCCGUUUUUCAAUAAUUGAUAGGUUCAAAGUAAGGAGACAAAUAAAAAGAGUCACACAAGUUCAUGAUGACGUUUAAAUUAAGAAUUGUAAAAUUUUAUUUAAGUAUUGGAAAAGAACAAGAAAUGGAAAAAAGAAAAAGAAAGAUUCUUAUGGCAUGUUAGGUAAUUAUUAAAAAAAAACAAUUAUGAAAAAUGGUUAUUGAGAACAAUUUUUGAAAUUAUUUUUUGAUUUUUGUAGAACAAAAAUCUGUUUGGAAAUCUAAAAUAUUUUUAAUCUAUUUUUAAUAUUUUUAAAUGUGUUUUAAAAAUAAUUUUUAUAUCUAGUGUUUUAUUUUUAAUCUUUCUAUAUAUUUGUAUAAUUAUUUAUUAAAACAACCCUUAAAAACAAGUGAAAACAAUAAUAAUAAAAAAAAAAAACAACUACAAUAUGUUUUCUAAAAACAUCAUAUUUUCUGUUCUUAAGAAUAUAAAACAUAAAAUAGUUUUUUGUUAUCAAAAGUAUUUUUUAUAUUUUUUUUGUUACGGAGAAGAGAAUACUAUUUUAAAAAAUAGUUCUCAAACAAACCCUUAAUUUUUUCUAUUUAGUUUUGGGAGAAUGGAAUUAAAAAAAAAAAUGGUUGAGCUACCUAGUUGCAAGUAAAGUUGCUUGUUCAUUCUUCAUUUUUUCUUUUGAAUGGCUAACUUGACUCUUUGUUUGUUUACUGGAUGAGAAUAGCCUGCCUCGCCCCCUUUUCCACUCACUAUUGGGAGAAAGUAGUACUUGCAGAUUUGAUGGGGACAUUUGGAUAUGGUUUUGCAAUUAUUGGAUGGGUUCAAAAUAAGGAUGGAAUAAAAAAAGAUAAAACAAAAAAAAGAAGUUACGAGAGAGAUAUGACUUAAAUGGACAUGUGAGUAUGAACAAUAAAUAAUUGAUGGAGUAAAUAAAGAGUGAGGAAAUAUGAAACUCGUGCUUCAGGGUAGAAAUUUAAAGAGUGAGGAAAUAUGAGACGUUUCAAGACACAAUAGUUAUAUUUAUUUCUAUCAUCUAUAAUAUUCUCUACUGUAUGAUAGAAUGUUAUCAUUUAUCCAUAAAGAUAAGUAUUGUUGGUCGAUGAAUCAUAUCAAACUUUUGUGUAUCUUCCAUUAAUAUGAGACUUUUUUUUUUAUUCUUCCAUUAAUUUGUUACAAUAUUAAAGGCCCAACAAGUAAGAGUACAACUUGGGUCUAAUACCAAUGUUAGAAAAAAUUAAUAUUAAAAAUAAUAUUAAAUAUGUUUUAUGGUAUGAACAACAUAUAUGCAAAUCCUAGAAAAACAACUUAACAGAUAAUAUAAAAACUAAUUAAAUUUGGGCAUACCUCGAUCCUACUCCCCAAAUGAUGCCCUCAUGAUACAAUAAAAAAGGAUCCCACAAUGGUGAAUACUAUAAGAGCAUGCUCGCAUAUCCACAAUCCAAAAAGGCACCAUUAAGGACAAAUGGUGGAAAAAGAAACAACAUUUUGUUUAUCUUUAUUUAUGCACCUUUAAAUUAAGAGUUCCUUUUUUUUUUUUUUCUUUUUGCGUGUGUAUUCUGAGUGUAGAGCAAAGAAGAGCAACUUUUGACUAUAGAAGAAAAAAGCAUAAUUGAAUUAGAACCAAGUUCUUAGCUGUUAUCUCUUGGCAGUCAUUAUAAUCAAUUAAUCCAUCUAGAAACAAAUAGUGAUCACAUGCAACUAUUGUCAGUAAUGGAAGUAACCUUAAAAAGGAAAUAAACAAUAUUUGAAUGACUUCUAUUAACUUCCUCUAGGGAACAUUGUACAUAUAUAUGCAAAGAGGAGUGUGGCUGGUAAUAUUAGCACCAUAAGUAAACUCAAGGUCUUUCUGAAUCAAUAACUCCACUAUAUCAGGGUGAUCAUACCGUACUGCCUCGUGGAAUGCUGUGUCUUCCUCCAUGUUGGUCAUUCUCAGCAUCACUUUAUCUGUUCCUAUCUCACUCUCCAUCUCUUUAAAGACUGCUUUUGCACCAUCGAAAAGGGCUACCACAACAUCAAUAUAACCUUUCCUGGCUGCAAGAUGAAGGAGAGUGUCACCUCUCAGAUUUGGGAGCUGCAACAGAGAUGAACAUAAAGGCAACCCAAGGAUCCAUCUAACACCGUCCACUUUACCAUAUUGGGCUGCAAUAUGGAGGACAGUGUGAUAUUUUGGGGUUUAAUGGGGUUGAAGUUGGGCAUCUGAGUACUUGGAUUUAAGGGUAUCAGUAUCGCCUUCAUAUACCGCCUUUUACAGAUCAUCAUCCAUAGGAGCGAUCUCCAUUUGCCUACCAUCAUCAGCUGUAACUUGGUCUAACAUCUCAAUGUGGCUUGAGGAGUCCAAGUUAAGGUUCUGCGGUUUUGCACUUUGGUUGGAAAUCAAUUGUGUUAGGGUGAAUUCACAAUAUUCCAACAAACACCAAAACUUUUCUACCUUUUAUUUGUGCAAAAUUAAAUAGGUAAUAGCAACUACCAGCAAUAAAUAAAUAAACUCAUGCAACAGAAAAAUAAAUCAAACACUAGAAUUUUUAUGUGAAAAACCCCCCAAUGCGAAGGGAAAAACCACGGGACCUAGUCCAGUUCAAACUUCCAUUAUCAACAAUAAUGGGUUAUACUUGUCUUCUCUAGAAUAAUCUUUAAAGGCUGCUAAAUACAUCAAGAGCAUAUAUAGCCUUGGAUUAUAUAAUCUCUCUUGGCAAAAUAAACAAAGAAAAAUUGGAGAAAGUAUACCAAAAAUGUUGUUACUGUUCACGGGUAGUAACACCAGUUUUCGAGCUCAAAAUCUUAUCUCCACCGUUCAGAUUGUAGCUACUCGAGUUUCAAACAUUUCCUCCAAAUUUCAACUCUAUUGAACCACAGAUGAAGUGGGAUCGGCUUGUUGAUGAAAUCUGGGUAGAUGUGUUUUUUUUUUAUUUCUCUUCUCUUCUCUCUGUUUUUCUUUUCCUGAUCUACUUUUUUUUUUUUUAAAUGUAACUAACUUGGGCCCCAAGCAUAUGGGGCCCACUCCCUCACAUACGAGGAAACCCAACUCCUGACUAUGUGAUGGGCUCUACCAAGCUCACUUGUUUUCUACAAAAUUGUAGCUUCUCUGUAGGUAUUGGUUUUGUCAUCAUAUCUUAUCCAUUCUCAUCAGUAUGGAUUUUUUCAAGGCAAAACAAUUUCAUCUCUAGUACAUCACGAAUCCAAUGAUAUCUCACAUCAAUAUGCUUGGAUCUAGAGUGAAAAGUUGGAUUCUUACUGAGAUAAAUAACACUCUGACUAUCACAGUAGAGUAGAUACCUUUCUUGCUGUAGACCUAAUUCUUGUAGGAACUUCUUCAUCCACAGUAACUCCUUGCUAGCUUCAAUGAUAACAAUAUACUCAGCCUCUAUGGUCGACAAAGCAACACAUUUCUGCAACAUUGAUAGUCAUGACACUGUUUCCCCUAAAAAGGUGAUCAAAUAACCAAAAGUAGACUUUCUAGAAUCAACAUCCCCAGCCAUAUCUGCAUUUGUGCAUCCUAUAAGCAUAAGUUUGUUAGUCUCAAAACAUAAACAUGUCUUAGAAGUACCCCUUAGAUACAUGAGAAUCCAUUUCACUGCAGCCUAAUGUUCUUUGCCAGGAUUAGAAAAGAACCUACUGACAACUCCAACAACAUAAGCAAUAUCAAGCCUCAUGCACACCAUGACAUACAUUAAGCUACCCACAACUGAUGCAUAGGGAACCUUUCGCAUUUCUUCUUUUUCUUUCUCACUUGAAGGACUUUGUUUGGAACUUAGCUUUAGAUGACUUCCAAGUGAUGAACUCACUGGUUUUGCCUUGCCCANUAUUGAACUNNNNNNNNNNNNNNNNNNNNNNNNNNNNNNNNNNNNNNNNNNNNNNNNNNNNNNNNNNNNNNNNNNNNNNNNNNNNNNNNNNNNNNNNNNNNNNNNNNNNNNNNNNNNNNNNNNNNNNNNNNNNNNNNNNNNNNNNNNNNNNNNNNNNNNNNNNNNNNNNNNNNNNNNNNNNNNNNNNNNNNNNNNNNNNNNNNNNNNNNNNNNNNNNNNNNNNNNNNNNNNNNNNNNNNNNNNNNNNNNNNNNNNNNNNNNNNNNNNNNNNNNNNNNNNNNNNNNNNNNNNNNNNNNNNNNNNNNNNNNNNNNNNNNNNNNNNNNNNNNNNNNNNNNNNNNNNNNNNNNNNNNNNNNNNNNNNNNNNNNNNNNNNNNNNNNNNNNNNNNNNNNNNNNNNNNNNNNNNNNNNNNNNNNNNNNNNNNNNNNNNNNNNNNNNNNNNNNNNNNNNNNNNNNNNNNNNNNNNNNNNNNNNNNNNNNNNNNNNNNNNNNNNNNNNNNNNNNNNNNNNNNNNNNNNNNNNNNNNNNNNNNNNNNNNNNNNNNNNNNNNNNNNNNNNNNNNNNNNNNNNNNNNNNNNNNNNAGUGUUCCUUGCCUUUGAUUGUAAACCCUUCUGGUUGCUCCAUAUAUAUUUCCUCCUCUAAGUCACCAUGGAAGAAAGCAGUCUUCACAUCAAGCUGUUCAAUCUCUAGAUUCAUAUUGGCAGCUAAGCCUAACACAACUCGGAUCGAAAACAUCUUAACCAUGGGUGAGAAAAUCUCUUCAAAGUCAAUGUCUUUCUUCUAACUAAAACCUUUCACAACCAAUCUUACCUUAUACCUUGGUUGUGAUCUAUUUGGUUCAGGCUUCCUUUUUAGUAUCCAUUUAUUAUUCAAUGCUCUCUUACCCUUAGGCAACUUCAUCAAUUUAUAAGUGUUGUUCUUAUGCAAGGAUUUCAUCUCCAUGCAUAGCUUUCAACCUUUUUUUUUCUCAUCAUGUAGUAGAACUUCUUGAUAAUUUUCUGGCUCUACUCCAUCAGAAAGCAACAAAUACUCAUCACUAGUAUUCUUUCUAGAAGGUUGACACUCUCUAGUAGAUCUUCUUAACUAUGUUUCAGUAAGCAACUUUGAAGUAGCUUGUUCUUGCUGCUGUUCUAAGUCAUCAUUCUCAAUUGUAAGAUUUUCUUCUACAUCAUCAAAUGCAGACUCAUCAUUUUUGUCAAUUGUAUCAAUCUAUUCUUCUUACACAACUUCCAUGUGUUCAUUAUGUCCCAUAGAGUUAGGAGAGACUAGACUCAAAUCAACUUGUUCUUCACUGAAAGGCUUUGGCUUCUUAACCUGAUCCAAGUCUUCAAUGGUUUGAUCUUCGAAGAAGACAACAUCUCUGCUUCUUAUAAUCUUUUUGGUAGUUGGAUCCCAUAACCUAUACCCAAACUCUUCAUUUGAAUAACCCAAGAAGAUACACUGUUUAGUCUUGUUGUCAAGCUUGGAUUGCUCGUCUCUAGGAACAUGAACAAAUGCCCUACAGCUAAACACUCUCAAGUGCUCAAAGGAAACAAAUUUUCAUGUCCAAACCCUCUUUGGAAUAUCAACCUCUAAGGGAUAUGAUGGAGACAUAUUAAUCGGAUCAAUGGUUGUCCUCAUGGCCUCACCUCAAAAAGACUUAGGCAAUUUUGCAUGAGAGAGCAUACACCUUAUUCUAUCGCAGAUGGUCCUAUUCAUUCUUUUAGCUACACCAUUUUGCUGUGGGAUCUUAGGAAGCGUCUUCUUAAGCCUGAUGUCAUGAAUUUUGCAUUAUUGCUCAAAUGGCCCCCUAUAUUCAUCACCAUUGCUUGCUUUGACAGAUUUUAACUACUUCUCAGUUUGCCUCUCAACCUUCACAUGAAAAUCUUUGAAUACAUCAAGUAUCUGGUCUUUGGAUUUCAAAGCAUAUGCUUACACCUUUCUUGAAUGAUCAUCAAUAAAAGUCACAUAAUAAAGUGCACCACCAAGAGUAUUACUUUGCAUAGUAUAAACAUCAAUGUGAACUAAAUCAAGAAUACCUGGUUUUCUCGUGAAAGAAAUCUACGAAAUGCAACUCUACUUUGCUUUCUAAACAGACAAUCUGUACAAGGUAAUAGUGACGUACCUUUGACUGGUAGAAGCUUCUUUCUGGAAAGAACCCGAAGUCCCUUUUCACUAAUAUGACCAAGCCACUUAUGCCAUAGCUUAGUAAAGGCUUCAUUCUCAACAAUGUUCACAUCUCCCUUGAUUAAUCUUGCUUCUGUCUUGUAGAAGGUAUUGUUUUUCUUUCCCCUAGCUAAAACAAGAGAACCCUUGGUAAACUUCCAUUUACCCUCUCAAAGGUGACUAUGAUAGCCCUCAUCAUCAAGCUUCCCAACAGAGAUCAAACUAAAGCGCAUUUCAGGAACAUGUCUAACAUUUUUCAAAACCAAUUUGCACCCAAUGCUAGUUUCUAGCUCUACAUCUCCCAUGCCAACAAUUUCACAUUUUGCUUCAUGUCCCAUCCUAACCCAACCAAAACUGCCAUUGGUGUAGGAAGAGAAGAAAUCUCUACGUGCAGUGAUAUGAAACGACGUUGCUGUAUCAACCACCCAAGUGGAAUCCUGACAUGCAAGGUUUACACAUGCAUCAUCAUAAAUAAUGAUCUUAUCACAAUCAGAUGCCAAUGUCUUUGUUAUCUUUCUGUUCUUCACCUUUUCCUUUAGAUUGUUUCUUCUGAAUUUUCUACACUUUCUCUUAAUGUGCCCUAACUUGCCACAGUAAAAACACUUUAUCUCUUUUCGGGACUUUGACUUUCCUCUUAACUUGUCACGGUUACAAUCACUAAAAGGUUUUCUGCUUUCACUUGUCCACCACCUUUCUGUAACAAGUGCUUCUGUAUUAGAGAAAAUACCUAACUCUUUUCUUCUUGCCUCUUCAUUAAACAUGUUGUCCUUUACCAUUUUGACAAUUCUCACACCAUUUGGGGCUGAAUUACUCAAGGAUACCACCAAAGUUUCCCAACUGUCUGGUAAGGAACUCAACUAAAGUAAAGUCUGUAUCUCAUAAUCUAACUAAAGCUUAAUGGUAGACAACUCAUUCAACAGUCUCUGAAAAUUACUGAAAUGCUCUGCAACACUAUUACCAUCCUUGUACUUUAAAUUCACAAGUCUUCUUAUUAUAAAGGCUUUGUUCUGUGCAGUCUUUAUCUCAUAAAGACUCUCUAAUUUCUGCCAAAUGCUAUAUGCAUCAACUUCCUUGACUACAUGAUGGAAGACACUCUGAUCAACCCACUAUGUGGACCCGCAUUUUUCACGUGCGUCCCCACUCGAUCGGCGAGACUCGCUUUUUAUUUAUUUGUGAAAAAUUGAUUUUAGAAAAGUUGGAGUCGCCACCUAUUUUAUUUUUAUUUUAAAGGGAAAAUAAAACAAGAAAGAAAACCCUAAAAAAGUGACUCCAUAGUUUUGGAAGAAGCAUGUCUUUGAGAAACCCGAGUCUAAGUCCGGGGAUCAGGUUACUUAUUGGGAAGGUACCUCUAGGAGGUAGCACCCCUCUAAGCCCCAAAGAGGUCUCUACUGACAAAGUUAAGGGAAGUGUGACCAUUAAUCAGUUAAUUUUAGGUACCUAAGUAGGCUAGGUGAUUUCAAAUAUUGCAUGCCUAACAAGAAAACGAACCAUAAGAGAGAGUCGAAGUGCGUACCUGAACGGCUUCUCAAGCGCUAUCAUGAAACAUAAGAGAUUAGUUUGGAAAUAUGACACAUGGUAUGUAUUUUCAUCAAAGAUGAUCAAACAAGCAUCAAGGCAAUCAAUUAUGGCAUCAAACAUGGUCAUGUCUCAUGAGAAGAUACACAUUCAUAGAAUUUUAGGGUUGUGGGGUAGAAAUGGCGUACCUGAUUAGCUAGCAUCCACAUCUCUAUGGGAAGCAAGGAUAUCUCAACAGUAAAAUAAUGAAUUCAAGGAUUUCACCAAGAAGAAUAAAAAAUCAACAUAUCAAGCAAAUAGUAUUGAAGUGAAUGCUAUGAAUGUCGGGCCCCCACCAAAGCCCUAGUUGAUUUCGCAUGAGUUUGUUCUAUGAAUUCCAUUGUUUGGAAUCAUGAAGUGUAUUCAUGCUUAUUGAAAAUCAAGAAAAACACAAAAAUAGUUAAAAAUCAAAUAAAACAUUGAAAGUGCAUACCCGAAGGAGAGUGGCAGCAAAUAGCAUGUUAAAAUUGGGAUUUUAUACCUAGAAACUCCUAAGGAAUUUUGAAGAAAACCAAAGUUAUUUGAUGGAAAAAGAUUUUUGAAAUUCAUAUUUAAGAUGUAUAAGAUCACAAAAAAAAAAAAAAAAAAAAAGAAACGAUAGGAGGAGUACGAUGUGAGGCAUAGUGACCACGUUGGAGUGAGGUCGGGGGUUAUGACCAAGUUUGCACUGUUGGUGAUUGCAGGCACUGCUGUCAUUUUCUCUAGAUUUUUCCUUCUGCUCUCUCGUAUGCAUUUAGGUACCUUACAUCACUGCAUUCUCAGACCUUUUCUAAUUCCUUGAAAUCCCCCUACAUUCAGAUGCAGCAUCAAUAUUGUUAGAGCAAGUGUCGGCAUCUUCUAUGACCUCCUUAUUAAUUUCUUCUGAUAUUUCAGAUACGGAGCUGAGACAUCCACUUUCUUUUCACCACUCUGUUUCUGUAGCAUCUCUACUUCCAUUGCUCUUGUGAUGGGAAAUCUUUCAGAGUCUUUGCUGAAAUCUUCUACAACCUGUAGGUUUACAGUUUUAGUCUGCACUUCAGAAUCUGUCAUUCUAGAAUUUUCAGCGAGCAUUGUCUCAGAAUGCCAUUCCUAUUUAACCGAUUCAACUUCAAUGGAUGUGGCUGGAAACCCCCCUGAUGUCUCUCUCUUUCUCUAUGAUCAGUUCUUUGUUGUUUUCAUACUCUUCUGCAGGUUUCCUAGCUCCCUCAGGAACCCCUGCUGGCAGCCUCAUGAUUCUGUCACUUUCUAUUGGAGAAUCUGGAACAUAUCGGUGAGUAAUCUUGGAAACAAUUGGGCAAUCUGUAGGUUCUUCACUUGUUCUCAUUGCUAAGUUACCCCAUUCCAUCUGAUGCCUUGGACCUGCCACCGCUGCUGGUAUGUUCCGUUGAACUAAGCAAGCUUGUUGAUGAUGCCAUUAAAAUUGUCUUGACGACAGCGAGGAUCUACUAAAGAUCACUUUCUUGGCGUCUCUAGCUCUGUGAGAUAUCUCAAGGUGUAGCUCGAAAGACUCAUAGUCUGAGAUCUUAUCACCAGUGGUGUUUGCUUGGCUUGCUUCUUUUAACUAUUUACAUGAACAAAACUGAAAGCUAAUGCAGUGUUUCAAUCCACAGAUGGUUGUUUCACCUCCGACUUCUCACUUACUGGUGUCAAUAAUAAUGACAGUAUCCUGACUUCAAUCAUUUCGAGUUCCAGCAAAGACUUUAUCCUGAAGAACUCCAAUCUGAAAUUCUGAAGUACUGAUGCCCUGUAACCCCUGACUCAUGAACGCAGCUUCGACUUAUGUUGCUUGUCACUUGCUCUUUUUAAUACUCCCCACCUUAUUCUCUUCCACCUAUAGUUUGAUUGUCAAUCAUUUCUUCUCUUCUUCAAACUCUCAAAUCUGUGCCCUUAACUUCUCAAUCUGAAAUUCUGGAGCAGCUCGCUUUUCUCGUAGAGACUCGGUUUCUGCUGCAUUGGAUUUUCUCUUCAAAUCCUCAUUUACAAUUUUUGGCUGCUCAUUUUCUUUCAUCAGCUUUGCAAUUUCAUCAGCUUUUACCUGAGCUUGUCUUGCAGCCUCCCCCUUAGAGUGCAGCUUCCAGCAUCUUCAAUUUGCUCAGCUAAGUUACCUUCAAUCUCUGGGACUGACCAGUUCAUUUCUGUUUUGCUUUUGGACCCAUGCUUCUUCCCUUUCUUUCCCUCGAGCUCUGAGAAUUCUUUGUAUUGAACCCUUAUAGUUGCCCGAGUAGUCUUCUGAUGGAGUAGCUCGCACCAAUAACUGAAGUGUUUUCAAUUCCCUGGUCUGAAAUAUCCAACAACUGCUUAUAAGUUGAAAAGAUUAAAGAAUCAAGUUACUUGGAGAGGCUACUAAACAUCUCAUCCCCUGGCUAAACUUCAAUGAGAAGCCUCCAGUCCCAAAGAUUUCUUCCACUGAUUGUGUUUCAAUGCCAACUGUGAAUUUCUAUAAUUCUGAACUCAUGGCCCAGCAAAGUUCAGAUCCAUUAUGGUUAAACAUGGUCAGAAUAGGACCUGAAAUGCCAACCAUGCCCAGAACAUCUUUUACCACUUCGAUUUACUAUUUUGCCCAUUUUAAUUUUCAAGCGAAUAUGACUAGUUGACGCACGACCUUUUACCUUUGACCCCUCAGGUUUAUCAGUAAUGCAGUCUUCAGAGAUAGCAAAUUAUUCCUUUUCCACCCUUGUGCGCUUUUCCACCAAGAUAACCGAAGAAUUCUUAUAGUACCCCUGAUUCAAACCACCAGAUUUACCUAAAAGUGGCAACUCAUAUUAUUGUUUUUUUUGCUGAGCAAACAGGGUCUCAAAGUACGCUUUCUGCAACCCUAACAAAAUCUCCAUGUGAAGUGCCAAUGAAAUUCCUUACUGAAGAAGGGUCACCCUGGCUAGCAGCUGUACGUGUUGCAUAAUCUGAAGUUCCUUGCAUGUAGUGGACACCAUGCGAUUCCAUGUAUGAGUGAAGGUCAGAGCCCAUAAUUUUAUUCCAGCUUGUGCAAGCUUGUCAAUGCAGUGAUCUCUUCUUCAAUUACUGCUUCAACACCUUGAUAUUUCGAUUCAGAAUCCAUUUCAGAUGCUCUUUUGAUUUGUUCUUUAAUUAUAUCUUCCUCUUUCUUGGUAUAACAUUCUCUGUCAAGUCUUCAUCAUCACUUGAAUCAGAAGAAACGUUUCCAUAUGCCUCAUCAUGCAGCUUUUUGUAAUCCCGCCUUUCUACACGUCUCUUUGCAGACAGAGGUGCAUUAUCUUGACCAGAAUUUGACUCCAACACAGAUAAGAGCUCAUCCUUUAACUGUACAUUUUGAAUUACAAAGCCCUGGUGAAUGCGAGGUAUCAUAUUAUUAGCUGCAAACAACAUGGUGUACACUUAUAUUAACACUGAUUGGGAAAUUAAUUGCAGUAACGGUAAGCUGAUCGCGACUAGAGGAUGCUGAGACAGUCGUGAGUAAGCUCCACACAGCAAAUGAAGAAGUCAUUCAAGCACUCCUGAAACUUCCCUUCACCGAUUUCAUAUACAACAUUAGGAAUUGGAUAGAUGCAGGACUUUGUAUGAUUGACAUAGUAUUGAAGGCAUGUCUGCGUCUCUGAGAGGUCUUGUCAUAGAUAUUCAUGAAUAUUUUUCUUCCGUAACUAGGUCCCCUGUAUUUCUUUCAAUUGCAGGUCCAUAAUCUCUCAAACUUAUAUCUGAGUUCUCUAUGGCCAUUUUGUUUGACGUGUGUUCAGAAUGAGUUUUCACUCCCAUGUGCUUGAACUGAACUCCCCUACAGUUAUUAUUUGAGGCCAAGACAAAGGGUGUGGAGGAAUCAUCUUUCUGGGUAAUGUCGGUCCUCUUUUAUACCAGUCAAAAGCUUAUCCCAAACUUCUUAAGGAACUAAAACAUAAUCAUGUCCCUCCUCUAGCGUAUUAAGAAUCUCCAGAUCAUCAAGUUCUUAUUCAUUUCCAUUUAAAACAAUAUCAGAAUUAUCAAUAGGUCCAGGCUUCUCUAUUGUCUUUGAUGGAACCACAUCCAAACGCUGUGAAUCAGACAAAUGUCCAUUGAUUGUUGGAUUCCAGACGCAUCAAUUCACAUCUAACAGCCACUGGAAGCUGCAGAAAUAUCAGUAUUUCUAGGCGGGUCUUCCCUGAAGAUGCCAUGCUAAACGUAUAUCCUUUCAACCUCAGCUUCCAUGCCCUUGCUGUAACGUAAAGUGGACUGUCUCUUAGCUUCAGCCCAAAAAAAAACUGGAAUUCUGGGCCUUCGCGAUCUGGAUGGCAAUUCUGCUCACGGGAUGUAAGUCUUUAAUUUUGCUUUAGCGUAGAAUUUUAAUUCGAAGAGUCCUCAUGGUAAUGGAGUUGACAGAAGGUUACCGUCAUAGGAUUGCUUGUCCACUAAUGGAGCAUCUCGAGAGAUUCUUCAAUAAAAUCGAUUAAGCAUAGAAGUUGAUUUCAGCUUUAGAUGCAAUCAUGACGAAUUAUAGUUGAUUGCUAGCUUCUACUGAAACAGUAUUCUGACUCCCAGCUUCUGGCACUACCCGUGAUCCUUUAAUUUUAUUGUCUUCUCUAAUUGCCAUAGUUUUUCUUCUAGACAGCAGCAAUGAGGAUUUUGAAUUCCAUGACUGACUCAUCUGAUUAAUUAACAUAUAGAGAAGAUUCUUCCAACCGGAGCAUUUGAGACUCACUUAUCAACAGAAGCUGCAUCAAUUUCUUUCUUUCUGCUAUUUUUCCCGCCACUAGAUCCUAACCCAUGACAGCUACCAAUGGCUGAAGCCGUAGAAAUAGUGUAAGAACAUUGCCAGCUUCCAUUCCCCAUGACAUUUUUCCUUAAAGAUCCAGAAUCUCAACCCCAAUCGCAUCUCCUCAUUAUUUCUCAUCUCUUUCCAUAAUCCCCAAAAUUUUUGAACCAACGCUGUCAACUUUUUCCUUGCUUUCAGAAUCACACACUCCUCUGUAGAACUGAUUAGAGCUGUUCCUGAAGGUGAAUGGCCCAGGUUGUAUUUGACUUUUAGAUUUUAGGAUCACAACGACAGUACCAGAAGGCUUAGAGAAGUCCAUGAUUUCGAGCACCACAUUAUGCUUAUCCGAAUGCAGAAAAAGCAGAGUGUCCCUUUUCCCAUGAUUUUUAAUUUUUAACUCCGAAGCAGAGAACAAAUCUUGAAGGCCAGGAAUAGAGCUUGUUGAGGUAUGGACCAAAAACAGAAGAAGACAACAAAAACGUAUAGAAAGAGAGGAAGGAUGAUCAACAAAAGUCACAAUUUCGCAUUUCAAUCCAUUAGCUUAGAACAGGGGAGUGAUUUCAGAAUAAGAUUUGAAUAAAAACCGGACGUGAUUUCUACUAUCCAGUCUGAAGAUGGACAUGUAUGCAAUUUAUUUUCAGGCGGGAUCGAUGACAUUAACAGAAUGAUGAACAUAUCAAACAGACAAAGAUCUAAUUUCAACACAGCAAUUUGUGGCCCUUUCCGUCCACACCAACCAAUAAUAUAUUGAAUAUUCAGAAAUCAUCAAAUGGAGGAAUCGAGUAUGAAUAAGAACAUCAAAAGUAACCAGAAACGUACCUGGGCAGCCUUGCUUCCAAUCUCCCUCCCUUUCUGCUCUUCUCUCUGCGCUUUUCUUCAAGAUCUCUCUUUUUCUCCUUUCUUCCAGCCCCUCUAAAAUUCCAGUACGUGCCCCCCUUUCUUCCUUUUUUCCACCUAUAUAUAUCACCCUUCAGGACCUAAAUUUGUUUCCAAAAAAGAGAAUUCUCCUAUUUUCUUUCUUCUUCUCUUCUCUUUUUUUAAAUCCUUCAAUCAAAAGCAAUCUUCCCAAUUUCAAAUUCCCCUCCAAAACCUUCCAAGGAGAGUCCCGCCUUCCUUAAACUUCAAUGGUAAGUUUCCUUGCAAAAAUAUGAAAUUUUUGAAGUUAAAUAAUUGCAUGAAUAGAUAAAUAAGUAAAUAAAUUAAAAAAUGGUAAAAAUAAUAAAUAAAUAAAUAAGUUAAGGAAAAUAAUAUAAAGAGGAAGAUAACCAAUAAAAAGUGAAUGAUAAUCAUAAAAUUAAAACUAAAAACAAAAUAAAUAAAUAAAUAAAAUAAAAUAAAAUAAAAGUCUUCGUAGGCCUAGUGUGCCUAAACGGGCCUAAGGUGAGACUAAGUGGGCCUAGGGUGGUGCCUAAUGGGCCAAGUGUAUCUAAAAGCUAUCCUAAAAAAAAAGCAAGAAAAGCCUAAGUCUAAAUUAGGGCUGCCAAGGGUCACAAUAAGGGAUCAAAUAAUCCCUCAACCAAAAUCUCCGAGGUGACUCAGAAAAAGGUAAGUGGUAUGAGUAGCCAUGGGCCACCAAAUUUUGAAGCACUGAAAACGAAUUUUAAAGACAUGUGCUAAAGGGACAAAAUUGAGGGUCUACACACUACCUAAUCUGUCCAAUGGUUUUCCUAUUUAAUUUUUUCCACUCAUCCUCAAUUGUAGUAACUAGCUUAUAACCCCCGCAUUCAGUGGGCUCAAACAACUCUUUGCAAUAUAGAAUAUCCUCAAUUUUAGUCUUCCAAAUUGAAUAAUUGGAAGUUAUGAGUUUAAUCAUUCCACUGUCAGCCUCCUCCAUUUAAUUCACACAAAAGAUCCCAUUGCUAAUCAACUUGGCUUUGAUACCACUUGUUAGGGUGAAUUCACAAUAUUCCAACAAUCACCAAAAAAUUUCUACCAUUUCUUUGUGCAAAAUUAAAUAGGUAAUAGCAACUAGUAGCAAUAAAUAAAUAAACUCAUGCAAUAGAAAAUUAAAUCAAACACUAAAAUUUUUACGUGGAAAACCCCCCAAUGCGAAGGAAAAACCACGAGCCCUAGUCCAAUUCAAAAUUCCGCUAUCAACAAUAAUGGGUUACACUUGUCUUCUCUAGAAUAAUCUCUAGAGGCUGCCAAAUACAUUAAGAGCACAUAUAGCCUUGUAUUAUAUAAUCUCUCUUGGCAAAAGAAACAAAGAAAAAUUGGAGAAUGUAUACCAAAAACGUUGUUACUGUUCACGGGUAGUAACACUAGUUCCCGAUCUCAAAAUCUAAUCUCCAUCGUUUCAAUUGUAGCUACUUGAGUUUCAAACCUCUCCUUCAAUUUUCAACUCGAUCGGACCAUAGAUGAAGCGAGAUCGACUAGAUGAAAUCUAGGCAGAUGUGUUUUUUUCUCUCUCUCUUCUCUUUUCUCUGUUUUUCUUUUCCCGAUCUACUUUUUUUUUAAAAAAAAAUGUAACUAACUUGUGCCCCAAGCAUAUGGGGCCCACUCCUUCACAUACUAAGGAGCCCAACAGGUUGAUCCAUGUUUGGUCUUGGAGCAAUGCACUAUAUCUUUUCCAUUUUUCUAAAUCCUUAUCAAAAGUUCCCUUUAAUCUCAUGUCCAUGAUUACGCUCACACACACAUAUAUAAAUCUUCUCAAUAGUUUCCUCAUUUCCUUUUCCUUUUCUUUUCUUUUCUUUUCUUUUUUUUGUCCUUUUAGAGUUGAUAUUGAUGGGGUUGUGAAAAAUGUUUUUCAAUUUGAGUGUUUGUUUUGAAAAAUUAAAUUAAAAAAAAACAUGUAAAAAAAUUUAUUGAAUGUUUUUUUUUCCUACUUAUUUUAUUUUAUUUUUUAUUUUUAUUUUAUCAAGGUUAGAAAAAAGCCAAUGGCAUUUGAGGAUAACAUGGUUGUCUCUUUCAAAUAGUAGGUCAACUUUUUGUUAGUAUUCUAUCAUAUGUAACAAUUCUUUUCUAUUUUUUGAUAUAAUUAAUGGAAAAUGAUAGACGAGUAGUUGCUUUUAGAAAGUUGUCUAGAGAGCAGGAGUAGCUUUCAAAUUUUGUUAUAAAAAAGUUCAUGAAGAUGAGAGUUAUUUGACCAUAUACAAUUUUCUCUUUCUUUCUAUAGAUAAGAUAAUUUUUGGUUGUAAUUUCAUAAGUAAUAUAUUUUUAUUUUAAUACAAUAGCAAAAAUUAGAAAAAAAAAAAAAAUGAGAAACUUGGGGUCUCACAUGUAAAGAUUAGAAAGGAGUCAAAACUCAUGAAAAGAAUCAAUGAAUUUUUUUUUCUUUUUAUUGUUAUAUAAUCAUAAAUAUAUAUAUUUUUCUAUUUUUAAAAACAAAAAUAAAACUAAAAUUAAGAAAUAUAUUAGAUAUUUUUAAAUGUUAAAAAAUGUAAUUAAAAUUUUAUUGAUACCCCCUACUUCUAAAAGUCAUAAAAAUAAAAGUAUGAAUACAUGUUGUUUCUCCUUUUUGGUAAAGAUCACUAGUAUCAAAGAAAUUAUGAAGACAUAUUUCUUCCCCUUUUUCUUUUUUGGUAUCAAAGAUCACUAAUUAUUAUUAUUUUUUCAUAUGUAGCAUAUCAAAUAUAAAUCAAUACCAAAUACAAAUGUUGAUAAAGACUAGGAAUCUACCAAAUCAAAGUGGUAGAAGUAUAUUAAGGCCCUACCAUCUUUGUCAAGAUAUAUGUGUUGGCCCUACCAUUUUUGUCAAGAUGUAGGUAAUAAUAUCCUUGAAUUUUUAUCACACAAAUUAAAACAAUAAGUGGAAAUAUCAUAACACAACAAUUGUUUUUUUAGAGAUGAGUAGUCCCUUCCAACUUAGUUUCACAAUCAUAGAUAUUUUGUAUAGCUUAUGUUUAUAUUCAAAGAUGUUUUAUGUACAAUAUUGGUUGUAAUUUUUUUGGUUAUAUAGUUAUAUAUAUAUAUAUAUAUAUAUAUAUAUAUAUAUAUAUAUAUAUAUAUAUAUAUAUUAUUUCUUAAGUAUAGCAAUUGGUCCACUUUUUUCUCAUAUUUGGAUUAGCUAAUUAAUUUGAUUUCCAUCCUUAGGACCCAACAAGUGACAAUUCAAAUAUAAAUCAAUAUCAAAUAUUAAUAUUGAUAAAGACUUGGUAUCUACCAUAUCAAAGUGGUAGAAGUUUCUCAAGGCUCUAUCACAUUUCUCAAAAUGUAUCUGUUGAUCCUAUCACCUUUGUCAAUGUAAAUGUUAAUAUCCUCAAAACUUUAUCAUAUGAAUUAAAACAAGUGGAAAUUUAUCAAAACAUAACAAUUGUUUUUUUGAAGAUGAGUAGUUUAUUUCAACUUAGGUUCACAAUCAUAGAUAUUUUCUAUAGCUUAUGUUUAUAUUCAAAGAUAUUUUAUGUACAAUAUUGGUUGUAAUUUUAUAUAUAUAUUGGUCCACUUUUCUCUUAUAUUUGGAUUAGCUAAUUAACUUGAUUUCCAUUGAAAGGACCCAACUAGUGACAUUUUGAUUAAUAUAAAUCAAUAUCAAAUAUUAAUGUUGAUAAAGACCGGGUAUCUGCCUUAACUAUCAAAGUGGUAAAAGAGCAUCUUAAGGCCCUAUCACAUUUCUCAAGAUAUAUGUGUUGGCCCUAUCACCUUUGUCAAGAUGUAUGAGUUCUUUUUUUUUUUUUUUUUUUUAUUUGAGAUAAGUAGUCCCCUUCAACUUUGGUUGACAAUCAUAAAUAUUUUGUAUAGCUUAUGUCCAUAGUCAAAGAUAUUUUAUGUACAAUAUUGGUUAUAAUUUUUUGAUAAUUUCGAAAGUAAAAAUUUCAUAAGAUAUCAAUUUUUUUUUUCACUCCUAAAUUUAUUUAGUGUAAUUUUAGAACUCAAAAUUCACUCAUAUAUAUAUAUAUAUAUAUAUUAUCAAAUCAAAAUCAUUAAUGUCUCGUGUAAGGGAAACCUAUUAAAAAAUAAUUUAAAAAAUUCUACUAAUUGUGAUAUAAUUACAAAAUAUUUUUUUUCCUAUUUUUGAAAAUAGAAUUAAAAAAAAGAUAUUUAAUGUUUUUAAAUUUUUAAAAUAUAUAUACCUAAAUCAUUAUUUGUAUUUUUACUUUAAAAAAAACACAAAAAUAUACUAAAUGAAACCUAAGGAUCUCACUACAGUCGAAAAAUAUUUAAAAUUUGAAAAGCAAAAAUUUCAAAAGUAACAGUAUCAAUUUGCUUAAUUUUAAAACUCAAAAUUCACUCAUUUUUUUUCCUUUUUAUCAUUUCAAAAUCAUCAAUGUCUCUUGUGUAAAGGAAACCUUUUAAAAAAUUAUUAAAAAUUUUCUACUAAUUGUGAUAUAAUUACAAAUAUUUUCUUUCUUCCUAUUUUUGAAAAUAGAAUUAAAAAAUAUAUUUAAUAUUUUAAAUUUUUUUAAAUAUAUAUAACUAAAACAUUAUUUUUAUUUUUACUUUUAAAAAUAAAAAAUAAAUAAAACAAAAAAACAAAAAAAUACUAAAUGGAACUUAAGGAUAUCACUGAAGUCUAAAAUAUUUAAAAUUUCAAAAGUAAUUAAGGGUUUUGAAACUCAAACUUUAAUUAAUAUGAUUUUAAAACUCAAAAUUCACUCAUAUCUUUUUUUUUUUUUUUUUUUUAUCAAAUCAAAAUCAUCAAUGUCUCUUUAUGUAAAGGAAAUCUAUUAAAAAUCAUUAAAAAAAUUUAUUAUAAUUUAAAAAGAUAUUUAAUAUUUUAAAAUUUUUAAAAUAUAUAUAUAACUAAAACAUUAUUUGUAUUUUUACUUUUAAAAAUAAUAAAAAAACAAAAAUAUAUCUAAAUGCAACCCAAGGAUAUCACCACUGUAUUAACAUUGAUGAUUUUGGUUGAAAAACAUUUAAAAAUUCAAAAGUAAUAAUUUCCGAAGUAAACUGUUUUCAUUCCUAAAUUUAUUUAAUAAUUUUAAACCUCAAAAUUCACUCAUUUCUUUUUCUUUUUCUUUUUUUAUCAAAUCAAAAUCAUCAUGUCUCUUGUGUAAAGGAAACCUAUUAAAAAAACAUUAAAAAAAUUCUACUAAUUAUAAUAUAAUUACAAAAUAUUUCUUUUCCUAUUUUUGAAAAUAGAAGCGAAAGCAAAAUUAAAAUGCAACCUGAGGAUAUCACCACAGUUGAAGAAUACUCUAGUAAGAGGCCUAGUAGGAAGGAAAUUUUGUAAGUAGUCCCCCAUAAAACAUCCCAAGAUGAUAUUAUUUUAUUGGAAAUAUAUCUUAAAGUCAGUACUGACGAUCGCUAUUUACGCAUGAAUUUGUAUUUAUGAACAAAUCUUAAACACUUUGUUUUAGUUGAUAAAUCAUUGCAUGCACCAUAAGAUUCAUAAAACACCUUGAGAUGAUGUAAAUUCUAGUGUGACUGUAGAGGAAGGUUGUCCUUAAUAUUAGCUCCCCUCCAUAGGCCAACUUUGAAUCUUCAUCGAUAGAAAACCUUACAACAUUAAGGUGAUUUUCUUUUUUCUUUUUUUCAUUUUUGACACUCUAUAGUUUUCUUCAAAUUACUGACAACGCCAAAGUAGUCUUUAGACUCUAUUCAAGCAAUAUAGAAAAUAUGUGAAACUAAUCAACCUUAGUAAUUGUUAAAAAUAAUUUUAUUCUUUUAAUUUAUAUAUUCUACUAUAUAUGCAUGUGUCCCUUUCAAGCUAAACCUAUGCCAACUUCCAAUAAUUACUCUCCAUUUUGAUAUAGAGUACAAAACAUGUUAUUAUGUAUGAGGCAUUAAUCUAUGAAAUAAAAGUAAAAUUAAUGUAAAAAUCCUAAUGAUGAUCAACACACAACCAUUUCAUUGAAAGUGGUAAAUGUAUCUAUGUUCAAACCCUACUAGCUUUAUCUUAGGAGUUAAAAGGAGUAGAUGCAAGCACAAUAGAGCAACAUAAUUGUUUUAGUAGAAGCACGUGUCUCCUUCAAAGCUAUGUCCAUAUUUUCAUAGUUGUCUAUUCAAAUAGGAUUUCCUUUCUCUUUCUAACAUUGAUGAAUAGCUUGUAAAGAUUUUUAAAAUAAAAAAUUAUACUCCCAAAUCACCCGUUAUCUUAUAUUUUUUGUCAUAUUUAACAAUAUUGAUGUCUUAAAUGUGAAAAUUGAAAAAUUAUCAAAAAAAUGUUUUUUAUUUUGCUACUAUCAAAUAUCUUUUUCUAGUUUUAAAAGGAGAAUAAACAUAGGAUUACAAAAUAUAUUUUCUAAUUGGGUUAUUGCAAUAGUGAUGAAGGAGAAUGCAACUAAUUAAAGAAUCCACUUAAUGCAAUCCACUCGACCAAAUGCAUCCCACUUGCCCUUCUUUUUAUAUGCUUUAAAUACCAAUUUGUUCGGAAAUUAAAAUUUUAUUUGAAGUAAUUUUAAAACUCACAAGUCAUCCAUAUCUUAUUCUUUUUUAUGGCCAAAUCAAGAAACUUAGUAUUUUGCAUGUAAAGAUUAGAAAGUGGUCAAAACUCAUAAAAAAAAAUUAUUAAAUUAUUUUCUUUUUAUUGUUAUAUAUAUAAUCACCAAUAUAUUUAUCUAUUUUUAAAAAAUAGAAAUAAUACUAGAACUAAAUAAGGAAGAUAUUAAUAUUUUUAAAAGUUAAAAAAUGUAAUUAAAAUUUUAUUUAUACCUUGUACUUUUAAAAAUAGUAAAAAUAGAAUUAUGAAUACAUAUUUUUCUCAUUUUCGGUAAAAAUCACUAGUAUCAAGAAACUUAUGAAUACAUAUUUCUUCCUCUUUUUCCUUUUUAGUGUUUUGUUCAUCUUUUCUAUUUGAUUAGCCUAUUUGGUGAAUGUCACUAAUUAUAAUUUAUUUCUUAAGUUGUAAUUGGUCCAUUUUUCUUCUCAUAUUUCAAUUAGCUAAUUAACAUGAUUUCUAUUCAUCUCAUAGUGAACCCAACUAGCUAGUAAGUGGAAUUCCAAACAUAAAUCAAUCUCAAAUAUUAAUGUUGAUAAAGACUAGUUAUCUAUCAUGUCAAAAUAGUAGAAGUAUCUUAAGUCCCUACCACCCUUAUCAAGAUGUAUGUGUUAAUAUCCUCCAAACUUUGCCAAUUAAAAUAGGAGGUGAAAGUAUAUCAAAACAAAGCAAGUGUUUUUCUAGAAAUGAAUAGUCCCUUUCCACUUAGGUUUACAUUCCUUAGUGGACCCAACUAUCUAGUAAAUGAAAUUCCAAACAUAAAUCAAUAUCAAAUAUUAAUGUUAAUAUAGACUAGGUAUAUAUCAUAUCAAAAUGGUCAAAAAAUAGUCUUUCAAAAUAAUUUUUAAAAACAAUUAUCAAUUGGGAAAAAGUUUUCCUAAUUUAUUCUCAUAUAAUACAAUAAUUUCUAAAGUAUUUUUCAUAUUUUUAAUUAUUUAUUACAAUACUUGACAAAAAAGAAAAUUUUUAAAUAUCUAGAAACACUUUAAAUUCAUUUUGAAAAAUAACUUAUUUUAUAACAAAUUUUUAAAAAAUCAUUUUCAAAAAAAAAAUUGAUAAAUAUAUUUUCUAAGUUGGAAAUGUAUUUUGUAUUUCAAAAAAUAGAAAACUAGUUUUAAAUGGGUCAUUAAUCAGGUUUUCUUCCCAGGGUAAAAAAUAAUAGUAGAGGGGAAGUGAUUUUUGACCAUUAAUAAAAUUAUUGUUAAACAUAUUCCAACCUAAACCUUUAAUAUUUAUAAGAAAAACAGUGAAAACUAUUGCUAGGAGAAUUACAAUUGUGUAACCAUACGAAUGAUCAAAUACUUUUACCCAUAAUUUUAUACAAUGUUUUGAUCAGAUACUCUUGCCAACAGUUUUUUUUUAUGUGUCCUAAGUUGUCACUCGACAAUUGAUCUUGCAAAAAUAAUGUGAACACUAUUGUGAACCCGUAUUUUUCACAUGCAUCCCUACUCUAUAGCAAAACUUAGAAUUUAUGAAAAAUGUUUCAUGUUUUUAAAAACUCAUUUUAUUUGAGUUUUGGAAUUGGCAUUUAUUUUAUUAAUUUUUUUUUUAAAAAAAAAGGUAAAACAAAAUAAGAAAAAAAAAAUCGUGUAUAACUCCUUAUUUGAAAAAGACAAGUCCAUUAACCAAAAAUGGAUUUGAGGGUCAAGUUACAUAUCUAGAAGGUAUGAGGAUGAGCCUUUGCACACCUCUAAACCCGUAUAAUUAAUUAAUUAGUGGAUACAAAAGAAAUCAAGAAACCUAAUGUCUCACAUAUAGAGAUUGGAAAGUGGUGGAAAUUGAUCAUAAGAAAAUUAGUAAAAAAAAUUCUUUUUAUUAUUGUUUAUUAAUCAUCAAUAUAUUUUUCUAUUUUUAUAAACAAAAAUAAAACUAAAAUUAAGGAAGAUAUUAAUAUUUUUUUAAAUUAACAAACGUAAUUAAAAAAUUAUUUAUAAUUCUAAUUCUAAAAAUAAUAUAAACCAAUGUAUGAAUAUAUAUUUCUUCUUCUUUUUCCUUGUUGGUAUUUUCUUUUUCUUUUCUAUUUGAUUGGUCUAUUAAAUGAAUUUCACUAAUUAUUAUUUAUUUCUUAAAUAGUAAUUGGUCCACUUUUCUCUCAUAUUCAAAUUAGCUAAUUAACUUGAUUUCCAUGUAAGGACCCUAUUAGUGGCAUUUCAAAUAUAAAUCAAUAUCAAAUAUUAAUGUUGAUAAAGACAAUUAUCUACCACAUCAGUAUCAAGUAUUAAUGUUGAUAAAGACUAGUUAUCUACCACAUCAAAGUGGCAAACAUAUCUUAAAACCUUACCGCCUUUGUCAAGAUGCUCCAAGCUUUGUCAUAGGAUUUAAAACACCAAGUGGAAGUAUAUUAUAACAUAACAAUUAUUUGUGUAGAGAUGAGUAGUCCCUUUCAACUUAGGUUCACAUUCAUAGAUAUCUUGAAUAGAUUAUGUUUAUAUUCAAAGAUAUUUUAUGUACAAUAUUGAUUAUAAUUUUGUAAGUUAUAUGUAUAUACUUUUAUUUUAAUGUGAUAGUAAAAUUUAAAAAGUAAAGGUAUCAUUUUUUUUCAUUCCUAAAUUAAUUAACAUAAUUUCAAAACUUACAAUUCACUCAUAUCUUAUUUUUUUCUGUAGAAUCAACAUUAGCAAUGUCUCUUGUGAAAACUUUGGAAAAACUGUGGAAACCUAUUAAAAAAUCAUUAAAAAGAUAUUUGACAUUUUAAAAUUUUUUAAAUAUGUAUAACUAAAAGAUUAUUUGUAUUUUACCUUUAAAAUAUGUAUAUCUAAAUGCAACCUAGGAUAUCACCACAAUCAAAAAAUGUUCUAGUAGAAGGAAAUUUCAUUGUGAAAGCAGUAUCAUUCAAACAUCAUCCAUAUACACACCUCUCCAUGGUGUUCUACAAUUAGUGUAAGAAAAAGAAGGAAAAACAGGAAAGGGUAAAUUUAGUAUGGUAGAAGGAUUCGUAAAUUAGGUGAGAAUAAUGCCUUUGGAUCAAAGAGUUACUCCUUAAUUUAGGGAAAUGCACCCAGGGGCUUAAUAUUUUUAUGGCUGGUGAAGAUGAAAAGUGGAGACUGGAGAAUGUAUUUAUUCAUUGUAAAAAAACAAAAAGCAUGUUUUUCCCUGAUUACUAAUUGUAAUCGGAAACUUGUUAGUAAAAGCAUAAACAAUAGGUAAGACUUAAGCAUGUUUAAAAUGAUUUACAUCAAUGUCAAAGAUUCACAAAUUUUUUCCAUACAAAAUCCCGACUGAUGGUUACCGAUAAAGGAAAAGCUGGAACAAAAAGGAAAAGCAAGAAGACUACAAUCAUGUAUUUGGUGGUAACUUCAAGCGAUGAAGAAGGAUGUAGCACAGCUUGCAGCCCGUCAACGAAUGCUGUCACCAUUACAGCCAUCGCAGCCAAGGUGAGAACAUAGCCGUACAAUAAGUAUGCGUGGACGGUCUUCUUAUUUUCUAUGGGGAAAGAGGCAAGGAAGUAAAUACCAAUUGCACACAUAGAAAGUACCAUGGCUAUGCUAUCUUCCAUGACAAAAUUUCUGAAACUUUCCGUUGCUGCACUUGCCAUGUCUCCGUCCUUGCCCAGGGUGCCAUCUGUUGGGAGCGAUAAGACUGCCAUGCCCUGGGUAACGCCCUUGUCCGGAAUGUAACCACCAGGCAGUGUGAAACCUGCCGUGAAGGUUACAGUUGCUAUGAGUGCCGCCACUAUCAUAUGGCUUUUCAUUGUUUUCUUCAUUUCAGAUAUUUCUUUACUUUCUUCACUUCCUUUGUUUUCAGAUAUUUCUUUGCUUCCUUUGCUUUCGCUGCUAUUCAUGUCUUCCUUGACCUCUAGCGAACCCAAGGGUCUGAUCCCAACUCUGAAACUUGGACUCCGUCUCUGAAAUUGUAAAAUGUUUAGAGAAACAUGGAUAGAGAUUUGAUUUGAAGGGGUGAAAGAAUCAUCCUAAUUCUUGUAAAAGAAGAAAAAUAAUAUAUUUGCUAACAUAAAAUUACCAGAAACUGCAUUUUUAUUGUUCUUCUCUCACAUAAAAACAUAUUUUUGAAUAAAAGCAUAUGAAGGAUGGUUGUCAGAUGUAAUAUCUAUAUAAUUAAAAUACAGAAACACGAAAAAAAUAUAUAUAUAUAAUUAAAAUUAAUUAAAAAAAAUUAUGUAUUUUUGGAUGUCAAAUGGGUAACAUAGGAAAUCGAAAAUUUUGACGACCUUACCCUUAAUCUCGCGAAGGUGUCCAAUAUCCACGUCAACAUCCUCUUCGGAGGUGGGAAGUAGUCGACAUCUUUAGACAAGGGAGAAUUGUGAAACAGGUAGAGGGGCGUCUUUCCUUCAGCAUUCUUCUCGUUCAUGAGUCCUCUCAUCCUUAACGGGGGAAUAUUUGACAAACCCGAAGUUACAAAUAUUUUUUUUGGCAUUAUAAAAUGAAGAACAUUAUUGCCCUCAUCAUCAACUUUCUCGCAACAAUCUGGAAAGCGUGACACCAGCUCUUUCACUACAUCCACAUGGCCUCGGCUUGCUGCAAUGUGAAGAGCUGUCUUGUUUCCAUGGUCUUUGACGCCUAGGUGGACAAUACUGCUGUCACAUUUCUCUAGCAAUUGCCUCACUAUUGUUGGAUGACAACCCACAUAUGCAGCAAAGUGAAGGGGAGACCACCCAUUUUUAUCCAAUUCUUUAGUUAAAGCAGGUUUCCAUUUCAGCAUCUUCUUUGUCAUUGCUGAUAAAAUCAACAAAUGAGAGAAAAAAAAUGAUUUAAGAAAAUUAAGAAAAUAAAUUAAGUCUCCUCUUGUAAUGUGAUUCGACCAUUAAAUAAAAAUGGUGCAUCCUCCACUACGUACCUUUGUUAUUGAGAAUUACCGCAGCAUGCAAAGCCGUUCGACCCUUGAUGCCACUAUGAGCUGGUGAAGAGUACUUGUCUAGGAUCAUCUGCACCAAGUCUCCGAAUCCCCACUCAGCAGCGAUGUAAAGAGGAGUAUUGCCUUCAGCAUUAGCACCAUAGGCAAAGUCGGGGUCAUCCUGAAUCAAUAACUUCACCACCUCAGGGUGAUGAUUUCUCACUGCCUCGUGCAAGGCUGUGUCUUUGUCGUUAUUGAUCAUCCUCAGAAUUACCGUACAAUCUGCUACAGCCCCUCUUUCUGUGUCUCCUUCUCCAAGUUUUUUGGCAGCGUCAAUCAGAUUUUUCACCACUUUCCAGUGCCCUUCCCUGGCUGCAAGGUGAAGUGGUGUGUCACCUUUCUCAUUGGGCUGUUGCAAUAGCGAUGAAGGAGAACCCAACCCAAGGAUCCACUCAACGCAUUCCGCUUGACCGAACUGGGCUGCAACAUGGAGAACAGUGUUCUUCUUUGGGGUUAGUUUGACUUGAAUAUCAUCUUUACGAGCGUUAAGGGCAUGGGUGUCACCAUCUGCUGCAGCCACGUACAAUUUAGGAUCCAUGAUUGUGAUCUUGGUCAGGCUGCCAUCUUCAGCUGCAGCCAGGUUGGUGAUCUCGAUUUCCCUAGCAUCUUCAGCUGCAGCCUGGUUGGUGAUCUGAAUUUCCCUAGCACCUUCAGCUCCAACCUGAUUCGACUCUGUAUUCAAGUUAAGGCUGGAAGUAGUGGGAUCGGCCAUUGUUAUUGAAUGAGCAGUCGCCUUUCUAUAUUUUGCUCGAAGGAUGGGAAACAAGUUGACCAAUUGUUUAAUGGAGAGGGUGGCUCUUAGCUCAACCUCGGGGGAAGUGGAUGCUUUUUAUAGCCUAUAGGUAUGUGGGUGCAAUUUGAUAUUCAAAGAUGGAAGUAUAUUCAAAUUCUCCAAUCUUUGUCAUAAAUUAAAACAGUAGAUGGAAGUACAUAUCAAAACACCACAAUUAUUUAAGUACACAUUCUAAGAUAUUUUCGGUAGGUUAUGUUUAUAUUCAAAGAUAUUUUAUACACUAUUGAUGUAAUGGAAAGUUGUUUAUUUGAAUUUUUCUUUUUAUAUGCCGUUCCUUUCAACUUGAGUCCACAUUUUAAAAUAUUUUCUAUAGAUUAUGUUUAUAUUCAAAGAUAUUUUAUGUACAAUUCAUGAUGUAAUAGAAAGUUGUUUAUUUGAUUUUUCAAUUCCUUUUUAUAUGUAGAUAACGGUGUGUGAGGAAAUUGAAGAAAAAUGCUCUGAGCAUGUACUCCUCCAAUGCCGAAAAAAUUAUGAAUACAUAUUUCUCUUUUCUUGGUUUCGGUAUUUUCUUCCUCUUAAUUUUCUAUUUGAUUGGCAUAUUUGGAGGACACCACUAACUAUUAUUUGUUUUUUAAGCCAUAAUUAGUCUAUUUUUCUCUCAUAUUCCAACUAGUUAAUUAACUUGAUUUCCAUUCAUUUCUUAGUGAAGAAAAAUGCUUUGAAUAUAUCCUUCGUCGAAGGAUAUCACUAAAAAUGCUCUGAAUUAGUCCAUUACUAAUUAUUAUUUAUUUUUUAAGUAGUAAUUAGUUCAUUUUUCUCUCAUAUUCAAACUAGCUAAUUAACUUUAUUUCCAUCCAUUCCUUAGUGAAAGAAAAAUAUUUUGAAUACGUCUUCCUCCAAAGAUAUCACCAAAAGUAUUUUUGGUAAAGAUCACCUGUUUAUUUUGUACAAUGAAUUUAAUGUUAUUUUAUACAAGUAUUAAUUUAUGAAAUUAAAGUCAAGACAACGUAAAAGAUAUUUUGUAGAAGAAAUUUCAAUCAAAAUGAUAGGUGUACGUGUGUUAAAGCCCUACCAACUUUGUUGUGGGAGUUAAAAGCCUUACCAGCUCUCAUUGUAGAAUGGACAAAAAAAUUUCAGAAAGAAAAAAUAGAAUACGAUACUGUGGUAUCAAAACCAAAUUAUUUUUAGGUCAAUUAUAAACACAUGUUAAAGACCCAAUGGGUUUGGGUCAAUAAACCCAAUGAGUUCUUUUUAGUUAGUUAAAUGAUUGAAUGCAUUAUCAAAUUGAUAUCCCUUUAGAGCUCAUGUUUUUAUUUUUCUAUUUUUUGUUUCUUAUUUAUUUAUUUACUUAUUUUUGUAUCUUUCUAUUUUAAUUUCAACUUUUUCACAAAUUUUAUAGUAUCCAUGUAUGUAACAUUGUAAACUAACAAUUUCACUCUCGGAUCAUAUUGGUAUAUUUGGCAUAUGUCACCAAGUUUUAGUUUAAUUUUUCUAAAUGAUAAUUGGCCAUUUUUCUCUUACAUUUGAAAGCUAAUUAGAGUAUAUUUGAGAACUAUUUUUUAGAUCAAUUUUUUAUUCUCUAGAACAAAAAAAAAAAAAAAAACACCCAACAAGGAAAGAUGUUUAACAACUAAAAAACUAUUUUAUGUUUUUAUUCUUUAAAAUAGAAAACACGAUGUUUUUAAAGAAAAUUUUAUAAUUGUUUUUGUUUGUGUUUUUAAGAACCGUUUUUAUAAAAUAAUUAUAUCAAUAUGUAGAAUAAUUAAAAAUAAAGAACUAGAUAUAAAAAUUAAUUUUAAAAUAUAUUUAAAAAAUAAAAUAAUAGUUUUUUAGAAAUGUUUUUUAAUAUAGUUACCAAAUCAGGGUUUGAGCUUUGCUCCCCUCCAUGUUGACUCAAUUAUUAAUUAUGUGGCAUUCGAACAUAAGUCAAUGUAUAAUUUUAAUAGGAAAAAGACGGGACUUUUCUCAAUAGUACGGUAAUUUAAAAAAGUUAUGCUUAAAUUAUUGUAGUAGAAGAAAUUAUUACAAAUAUAUGGUAGUUUUUGCCACCUAGGAGAGAGGAGAUAGGAGAGAGGAGAGAGGGUGAACGGAUAAUUUUUUUUAAAACCAAAAUCACCUUUUCAAAAAAAAUUUCAAAAGGAACUCGUCUCUUCAAGAGACGAGUUCCCUAAAAAAAUAUAUAUAUUUUUUAUAAAAAAAAUUCCCAAAUUAAAAAAACAAAAAAAAACAAUUCUUCAAGAACUCGUCUCUUGAAGAGACGAGUUCCAUGAAUAUAUAUAUAUAUAUAUAUAUAUAUAUAUAUAUAUAUAUAUAUAUAUUAAAAAAAAAUUCCCAAAUUAAAAAAAAAAAAAAUUCCUCAAGGGAACUCGUCUAUUCAAGAGACGAGUUCCAUAAAAAAUUCCUCAGGAACUCGUCUCUUUUCCAUGAAAAAAACAAUUCCUUAAGAGAACUCGUCACUUCUUUUUUAAAAUUCCCAAAUUUUUUUUUUUUUUUAGAAAAAAAAAAACAAUUCCUCAAUGGAACUCGUCUCUUGAGUUCCCAUGAAAAUAAAAUUUUUUUUUUUAAAUUCCCAAAUUAUUAAAAAAAAACAACUCCUCAAGGGAACUCGUCCCUUCAAGAAACGAGUUCCCAUGGGAAAAAAAAAUGUAUAUUUUUUUUUAAAAAAUUCCCAAAAAAAAAAAAAAAAAUUCCUCAAGGAAACUCGUCUCUUGAAGAGAUGAGUUCCCAUGGAAAAAAAAAAAUUUUAAAUUUUUUUUUUUUUUAAAUAUUCCCAAAUUUAAAAAAAAAAAUUUUAAAAAUUUCCUUAAGGAACUCGUCUCUUCAAGAGACGAGUUCCAUGAAAUUUUUUAUUUUUUUAUUUUUAAAUUCCCAAAUUAUUAAAAAAAAAAAAAAAGCAAUUCCUCAAGGGAACUCGUCUCUUGAAAAGACGAGUUCCCAUGGAAAAAAAAAUGUAUAUAAUGGAAAAAAAAAAAAUUUAAAUUUUUUUUUUAAAAAUAUUUCCAAAUUUUAAAAAAAUAAAUAAAAAAUAAAAAAAAUUCCUUAAGGAACUCGUCUCUUCAAGAGACGAGUUCCAUGAAAUUUUUUAAUUUUUUUUCUUAAAUUCCCAAAUUAUUAAAAAAAAAAAAAAAAAAUUCAAUUCCUCAAGGGAACUCGUCUCUUGAAGAGACAAAUUCCCAUGGAAAAAAAAAUAUAUAUAUUUUUUUUAAAAAUUCCCAAAUAAAAAAAAAAAAUUCCUCAAGGGAACUCGUCUCUUGAAGAGACAAGUUCCCAUGGAAAAAAAAAAUUUUAAAUUUUUUUUUAAAAUAUUCCCAAAUUAAAAAAAAUAAAUAAAAAAUAAAAAAAUUUCCUUAAGGAACUCGUCUCUUCAAGAGACGAGUUCCAUGAAAUUUUUUAAUUUUUUUUCUUAAAUUCCCAAAUUAUUAAAAAAAAAAAAAAAAAAAAAAAGGCAAUUCCUCAAGGGAACUCGUCUCUUGAAGAGACAAAUUCCCAUGGAAAAAAAUAUAUAUAUUUUUUUAAAAAAAAUUCCCAAAUAAAAAAAAAAAUUCCUCAAGGGAACUCGUCUCUUGAAGAGACAAAUUCUCAUGGAAAAAAAAAUAUAUAUAUUUUUUUAAAAAAUUCCCAAAUAAAAAAAAAAUUCCUCAAGGGAACUCGUCUCUUGAAGAGACAAGUUCCCAUGGAAAAAAAAAAUUUUAAAUUUUUUUUUUUAAAUAUUCCCAAAUUAAAAAUAAAUAAAUAAAAAAUAAAAAAAUUUCCUUAAGGAACUCGUCUCUUCAAGAGACGAAAAGGAGAGACGAGUUCCCAUGGAAAAAAAAUGUAUAUUUUUUUUUAAAAAAAUUCCCUAAUAAAAAAAGAAAAAAAAUUCCUCAAGGGAACUCAUCUCUUGAAGAGACGAGUUCCAAUGGAAAAAAAAAAAAUUUAAUUUUUUUUUUAAAUAUUCCCAAAUUUAAAAUAAAUAAAUAAAAAAUAAAAAUUCCUUAAGGAACUCGUCUCUUCAAGAGACGAGUUCCAUGAAAUUUUUUAAUUUUUUUUUUAAAAUUCCCAAAUUAUUAAAAAAAAAAAAAAAAAAAAAAAAAGGCAAUUCCUCAAGGGAACUCGUCUCUUCAAGAGACGAGUUCCCAUGGAAAAAAAAAUUCCCAAAUUUAAAAAAAAAAAUCCUCAAGGAACUCGUCUCUUCAAGAGACGAGUUCCAUGAAAUUUUUUCCUCAAGAGAACUCGUCUCUUCAUGGAAAAAAAAAUUUAAAAACAAAAAGAUUUAAAAAAGAGACGAGGAAUUGUUUUUUUUUUUUUUUAGGAAUUUUUUUUUCCAUGGGAACUCGUCUCUUGAAGAGAAGAGUUCCCUUGAGGAAUUUUCUUUUCUUUUUCUUUUUUUAAUUUGGGAAUUUUUUUAAAAAAAAUAUUUUUUUUCCAUGGGAAGUUCCCUCGAGGAAUUGUUUUUUUUUUUUUUUUUUUUUUAUAUGAUUUGGGAAUUUUUUAAAUAUAUAUAUAUAUAUAUAUAUAUUUUCAUAGAACUCGUCUCUUGAAGAGACGAGUUCUUGAGGAAUUGUUAUUUUUUUUUUUUUAAUUUGGGAAUUUUUUUUUUAAAAAUAUAUAUAUUUUUUUUAGGGAACUCGUCUCUUGAAGAGAUGAGUUCCCUUAAGGAAUUUUUUUUUCAUGGAACUCGUCUCUUCAAGAGACGAGUUCCUAUUGAAAUUUUUGUGAAAUUUGAAAAGAUGAUUUUGGUUUAAAAAAAAAUUAUCCGUUCACCCUCUCUCCUCUCUCCUAUCUCCUCUCUCCUAGAUGGCAAAAACUACCAUAUAUUUGUAAUAACUUCUUCUACUAUAAUAAUUUAAGCAUAACUUUUUUAAAUUACCGUACUAUUGAGAAAAGUCCGAAAAAGACGGGUAUAAAUAUAUCAUAACAAACAAAAAGGUGGUAGAUGUGUGUUUUAAAGCAGUUGAUUUCAAGUUAUGUCUAUAUUCAAAGAUAUUUUAUGUAGCUUAUGUUGACAUUUAAGGAUAUUUUAUAUAAUAUUAAUAUAAGGAAAAGUUGUUUGUUUGAUUUUGUUUCUUUUUCUACCAUAGAUCCGACCUAGAUCCUGAUCCUUGUCUUAUUGGGAUCCCAACAUAUGAUUUGAUCUCGAAUUAUAAUUACAGAACAAUAACACCAUGGUAGCUACUGUGUUCCCUUGCUACAUAGAAUAGAAGCUUCUAUACAACACUACCCACUUUUUACCCCCACAGAAACCAUAGUCGCUGCUUUAUCUAGCUAAAUGCAUUUUAUUAAAUACUUUUAUAAAUGGAAUUAUAUUCGUUCUUGGAUCUCCAAGGAUAGAAGAUGGAAGGAUUAUAAGGAAGAGUAUGUUUAAUUGUAAUUUUUUUAGUAAUAUAUUUUUAUUUUUCAUUUUUGAGAAUGAUAGUAAAAAUGAAGUGAAAUAAAGGUACCAAUUUUUUUUUUUUCCAUUUCUAAAUUUAUUUAACAUAAUUUUAAUACUCACAAUUCAAUCGUAUCUUAUAUUAAUAAUAUUGAUUUCUCACAUCAAAACAUUGAAAAAUUGUCUAAACUUAUCAAAAAAACACUAAAAGGAAUUUCUACUUAAUGUUUUAUAAUUGUCAAUUUAAAAAAAAAAAAAAAGGGAGCCAAUGAAACGCGGAUAAAAUGGGAGAAAGCAUGUGGCUGGCCUUUAAAUUUUAUAUUUUAUUUUACUUCUUUGAUUUAAUUAUUAAUUGUAUGUGGAUAUAGAAUAGAAUGAAUUAGAUUCUAUUUUGUAUGGUCAAAACUGCACCACUUCAAUCAAAGUGGUAGAUGCAUGAAGGUCAAAACCCUAGCAGCUUUGUCGUAGGAGUUAAAAAGGAGUAGAUGGAGCUGAUAGAUUAGAACAGUUCCACAAAAUUACAGACAUGCAUUGCCAUUCUACCCAUGGGGCAACGUUGGCUUUGUGAAGUUCUAGCGUUGUCUAUGAUUAUUUGCAUCAAGUCACCAAAUCCUUCUUCGCACCUUCGAGGAGUUUUGCCCAUAAUACAAAUUAAUGGCCAAAAAAUUCCUUGAUUUUAGGACACGAAAUAUACACAAGGAAUCUCACAACCACAUAUGUGUGUAUGACAUAAUAGGUAAUUGGUCAAGUUUUCUCUCAUAUUUGGAUUAGUUAAUUAACUUGAUUUCCAUCAUAAGGACCUAACUAGGGGCAUUUCAAAUAUAAAUCAAUAUCAAAUAUUAAUGUUCAUAAAGACCGGUUAUCUACCAUAUCAAAGUGGUAGACAUAUCUUAAAACCUUACCACCCUUGUCAAGAUACUUGGCUUAAUAUCCUCCAAGCUUUGUCAUAGGAAUUAAAACAAUAAGUGGAAGUAUAUCAUAACAUAACAAUUAUUUGCACAGAGAUGAGUAGUCUCUUUCAACUUAGGUUCACAUUCAAAAACUUGAUAUCUCACGUAUAGAGAUUCGAAAGUGGUGGAAACUUAACAUAAAAAAAUCAUUAAAUUUUUUUCUUUUUAUUAUUGUAUAAUCAUCAAUGUAUUUUUCUACUUUUAGAAACAAAAAUAGAACUAGAAUUACCGAAGAUAUUAAAUAUUUUUUUAAAGUUACAAAAUGUAAUUAAAAAUUUGUUUAUACAUUCUACUUCUAAAAAUAGUAUAAAUUGAUGUAUGAAUAUAUAUAUUUCUUCUCAUUUUUCCUUGUUGGUAUUUUCUUCCUUUUUUCUAUUUGAUUGGUCUGUUGGAUGGAUAUCACUAAUUAUUAUUUAUUUCUUAAGUGGUAAUUGGUCUAGUUUUCUCUCAUAUUUGGAUUACCUAAUUAACUUGAUUUCCAUCAUAAGGACCCAACUAGUGGCAUUUCAAAUAUAAAUCAAUAUCAAAUAUUAAUGUUGAUAAAAAUGGGUUAUCUUGAACAUUAAUAUCAAAUAGUAAUGUUGAUAAAGACUAUUUUAUCUACCACAUCAAAGUGGUAGACAUAUUUUAAAACCUUACCACAUUUGUCAAGAUACUUGGCUUAAUAUCCUCCAAGCUUUGUCAUAGGAAUUAAAACAAUAAGUGGAAGUAUAUCAUAACAUAACAAUUAUUUGCACAGAGAUGAGUAGUCUCUUUCAACUUAGGUUCACAUUCAAAAACUUGAUAUCUCACUUAUAGAGAUUCGAAAGUGGUGGAAACUUAUCAUAAAAAAAUCAUUAAAUUUUUUUCUUUUUAUUAUUGUAGAAUCAUAAAUGUAUUUUUCUAUUUUUAAAAACAAAAAUAGAACUAGAAUUAAGGAAGAUAUUAAAUAUUUUUUAAAGUUACAAAAUGUAAUUAAAAAUUUGUUUGUACAUUCUACUUCUAAAAAUAGUACAAAUAGAUGUAUGAAUACAUAUUUCUUCUCAUUUUUCCUUGUUGGUAAUUUUUUCCUAUUUUCUAUUUGAUUGGUUUAUUAGAUGGAUUUCACUAAUUAUUAUUUAUUUCUUAAGUGGUAAUUGGACCAGUUUUCUCUCAUAUUUGGAUUAGCUAAUUAAUUUGAUUUCCAUCAUAAGGACCCAACUAUUGGCAUUUCAAAUAUAAAUCAAUAUCAAAUAUUAAUAUUGAUAAAAAUUGGUUAUCUACCACAUCAAUACCAAAUAUUAAUAUUGAUAAAGACUAUUUAUCUACCACAUCAAUGGUAGACAUAUCUUAAAAUCUUACCACCUUUGUCGAGAUACUUGGGUUAAUAUCCUCCAAGCUUUGUCAUAGCAAUUAAAACUGCAAGUGGAAGUAUAUUAUAACACAACAAUUAUUUGUGUAAAGAUGAGUAAUCCCUUUCAACUUUGAUUCACAAUUAUUUGUCAUGCCUUAGAGUGUGUUUUGGGGUGUGAUAGAGGGCAACAAGAUGGAUGAAUGCUUUUUUAAAGAAUUAUUUGAUUAAAAAGAAUUAAAUGAUUUCAAAUUUGUAAAUCUAACCUCUUUUUUUUUUUUUAACUUGAUAAUUAAUUAAUUUUCUUUUGAUAUAAAUCCUCUUGAACCUUUUCAUUAUUUACAUGUAAUAAAAAAAAUUUAUAAAAUAAAGAUAAGGAUAUUUUUAUCAAAAUGGAUAGUUAAAAAAAAAUGGAGAUUUAAAUUUAUAAAUGGGGGAUUAUUUCAUCUUUUAAUCAAAUGACCUUUUUUCAAUUAUUUUAUUUCUAUUGUAAAAGGCUCCAUAAUUUGUAAUUUUUAUAAUAAAAAAUAAUUUCCUUAUAUUCUAAAAAAGUGUGAAAUGAUUGACUUUUAGGUCAUUUAAAAUUUAUGUGGCUAUUCAUAAAAGUAUUUAAUGUAAUAUUAUCUAAUUUAUUUUUAUUUAAGUUUUAUCAUUUCUUUUCAAUAUUCAAACAUAUACAACACUCUUAAAUUGCGACAAGGAUUUAUGAUAAUAUUAUUUUAUGUUAAAUUAUAUAUACUUAUCUUUUAUAUCGAUUAAUAUAAAAAAUAAUUUUUUCUCAAUAAGGAUAAAUAUUUCAUUAACUUGUUGUGAAUCUACAUCUUUCUCGUGCGUUCCCACUUGACAGGGUUCCCAUUCGAUGGAAAAACACAUUGUAUUAUAGAAAAUUGUCUUUUUGAAAAAAUUGGAGUCACCACUUAUUUUUGUUCAUUUUUAAAGAAAAAACAAAAUAAGAGAAAAAACACCAUAUGACUCUUUUUUAAUUUUAUAUUAAAACUGUGCAAAUUAUCUCAAUUCAAUAAAAAAAAAUUCAAAUUUAUUGUUAAAAAAGGUUUCAAAUUUAUUUUUUAAAAAUAUUAGAAAAUAUUUUAUUCUUAUUUUGUUAAUAAGAGUUUUUCAAUUUUUUUUUUAAAAAGGACCACUUAGUUUCAAUUUUAUUAUUUUUAAAAAAGAUUAUAUAUUUUUAUGAAAAAGAUGAUUUUGUAGCUUUAAAAGAAGUUUUAAAAUUUAUUUUAAAAAGUUUCACUGUUUUAUUUAAAAUAAAAAAUUGUCAUUCUACUUAAAAAAUAAAAAAAAUAAAAAAUGUAGUUUUAUUUUAAAAACUAUUUUACAAUUUUUAUUUUAAAAAAGGAUUUUUCAGUUUUUAUUUAAAGAAAAAGAAGGAUUUUGCCCUUUCUAUUUUAGAAAAAUGAUUUGCAGUUUUUUUAUUGGAAAUAAAUACCUUAUAUAUUUUUUUUUCAAAAAAAAACUUUGAAAAAAAAAAAAAGAAAAAAGAUUUUUACAGUUUUUAUUUAAUAAAGGUUAUAUUCUAUUAAAAAAAGAUUUUAGAUGUUAUUUUAUAUGCAAACUUGGUGAUAAAAAAUGUAAAAGAAUAAAAUGAAUUUGAAACUAUGCAAAAAGUGUAUAAAAGGGAUAUAAACAACAAAUAACCCAAAAUAAAAUAUAUAAAUAAAUAAAUAUAAAAUGGAAUAAAUAAGAAUAUUUAUAGAACUGAAAAUGAAACAGAAAUAAAAUAUACAGAAAGAGCCUCCUCAAAAUGUCGUCCACUGCCUCCUCUAAAAUCCUAGGGUCUGUGCCCUUUUGUAGGCCUUCAAGCUUGGUCUUCAUAUGCCCUUCCAUGUGGUGGACAUCUAAGCUCUAAGCGAAAAGUAAGCAGAGGGAGGUAGUAAAGUUGGCCCAUCUCCAAAAUCAAAACAAGGCCGAAAUGAGAAUGAUUAAAAAAAGAGAAAAGGGGGAUCAAACCAAUAUAUACAAGCCCAAAACGAACAAAGCCCAAACCCAACAGAUAAAUUAAACUAGGCUCAAAGGCCACAAACACAUCUCAGAGCAAUGAUUGAAGCCUGAAAUAAAAUCCAAGAACCCCAAUACCCACAAACAUGAAUCAAUAAAUAAACCCAAAUCAAAGCCCACAAAUAGCCCAAGUUCUCAAAACUAACACUUUGAAGAUUGAAAGCAAGGGUUUUGCUUUAUGCUCCUGAAGAAUCCUUAAGGUAAAAAGCGAAGUGCAGCAUGGAAGUAUGAUAGCAUGGGCAAUCCGUGUGGAUGGCGGCGCGGGGUUUGGGUUGUGGCCAUAAAUAGUGCAAUGGUCGACAGUUGUGCCAACGAGGGAGGCGCGUGGCCUCGUCGAAGAUGGGGGUAGUGGAGGCCAUGGAAGUGUGGGUCUCGGUGGCUGGAACGGAUCAAGUCGAUAGCGGCGGGCUAUAAUGGUGGAGAGGGGGCGAUAUGGUGGCUGUGAGGUACACGACUGGUGUGAAGGUGGCAAGAAGGGUGUGGAGAGAAGGGGGAUCGAGAGAGAGAGAGAGAGAGGGAGGGAUGUUAGAGAGAGAAUAAAAAAAGAUAGAGAGAGGGAGAGGUGUCAGUCCGGUGUCUGCUGGAGUGGUGCGAUGGCGGCGACUUGUCAAAGUGGGGUCACCAGACGAAGAUGGCUACGGUGCCGAUAGGGUAUGAUGGUAUGAGUGUGAAAAUGGGUACAAGAGGGAGUGGGAGAGAGAUGGAGGUAUUGGCCGACAGUAGUGCCACAAUUGUGUCGGUGAUGAGACUGGCAACGGUGAGGCCAUGGUGGCGAGGGGUGUGGUGCAGGGUUCAAAGUAUCGGCCGAGUCGUAUCCGCCUCGACACCUGUCGCGACGAGACCGAUACCAAAUACAGUAUAAUGCACGAACUCGGCUAGGAAUCGGUAAAACUCGGCUGACUCGUCUGAGUUUUCGAGUUAACUCGGUUAGGUUACAGAGAAUUUUCAAAUUUUAUUUCCAAUCACAAUAAAACAUCAGAACAUUUUCAUAUAAAAAAAAAAUCAAAGAUUGCCCUUUCAAAAGCAAGCACAUAUUCUGAAAUUUUAAACCAUCAAUGAGAAGAUCAAAGAAGACGAAGAAGAAAUAAUCCAACCCGUGACCCGUUUGGAAAUAAGUGGAGAAACCACCGAAGGAUGAGGGCAUGAUUUAGGAUUUACUUACCUGAUUUUCCUCAAAAUCGAGAAUUACCAGAGGGUGGAGCUUUGGUGUUGACGGUGGUGACUCGUCAAGUGGACUGGAUCUUUCACCGGCGACGUCGACGAGACAACCCCUUCACAGUCAAAUUGCUUCCCCUCCCGUGUUGGGUCUUGCACGGUUGCAAAUUUGCAAUUGCAGGUGGUGUUGUGGGUCUUGACGGCAAUUUCUGGGGACGGGAUGAUUGAAUGCGUUUGUCCAAGCAAAUAUUAGGGCUACGCUCAUUUGGCUAAUUAUGGGCUGAGCAUGGGCCAGCCCAUUUUUUAACUAUUAGCUGUAACUGGGCCGUUCUCUGAUUUAUGUCAUAAAUCUCUUCAUCUUCAUCAAAUUUUAUAACUUGGAGGUUUUUAUUUCACACUCCAUUUAAUAAAGUUUAAGUAAGUUUCAAGUUUCACAAAUUUAAUUUUUAAAAAUUAUAUAUUCUAUAUAUAUAUAUAUAUAUAUAUAUAUAUAUCUUCUUCCCUUUUCUUUUUUUAAGUACAAAUUAUUUAUCCUUUUUAUUUUCAUUUUUAUUUUUCAUCAUCUUUCUUUUUACAAAUUAAGUAAAAUGUGUUUCAAUUAUAUAUUAAAAAUGUUAUUUUUUUAAAUUUAUUCUAAAUAAAAUAUUAUUAACAAUUAUUUUUGUAAAGUGUUAUUAUUUAUUUUUAACAAAAGAAUUAAUUACACUUUCAUAAAGAUAUCAUUAUCCAUACAAUGUAUAAUAAGCAAAUUAAUCGUAUGUCAUUUAAUAAAGUUUAAGUCGGUUUCAAGUUUCACUAAUUUAAUUUUAAAAAAUUAAAUUAGAAGUUAUUGAAAAUGACAAAUAAUUUUGAGCUAAAUGUGAAAAAAAAAAAUUGUUUUAUUAAUUUUUUUCAACUUAUUCAAUUAUAUCUAUUUUUUUUAAUUUAUAUAACAUUUUUUAUAAUUUUUUGAAAUUUCUAAUUAUCUUAUUUUGCGUAUCGCCCGAUACCGAACCGAGAUGUCGAGACCGAUAUGCCUCGUGGCCCUCCGAGUCAAUGACCGAUACCGCGACUUUGAACCAUGGUGUGGUGGGGAUAAGGGUAGGUAUGGGAGAAAGUACAUAAAAAAGGAAAAGGAAAAAGAAGAAGAGAAAGACAAGAAAGGGAAAAUUUUGGGGGCCAGGGGGAGGUUGUGAAGAAAGGAAACGAGAAAAAGGAUGUGAUUUUGGAAGUCAAGGGUCAGGAUUUAAUCUUCCUAUUAGGUAUUCGAAUGAGCCUGAAAAGAAAAGAUCCAACAAAUGUGAAAAAGAAAUAUGCUUGAAAUAAAUGUUAGAGAAGGGCCUGGAGCAAAUUUUGGGUCUGGCCGAGGAUAAUGAUUUUUUUUCCUUCUCUUGCUGCCUUGUUUAGUUAAGGGUCCAUAUGUCUAUCAUCUUCAGUUGCAAUCUGGCUAGAAUUGGAAAUCAUCAGUGCUUCAGCAAUCAGCAGUACCCUCUUCUACAGUCCACACCCAUGUUAAAACUCAAGCCCUUAGAAAAAUCAUUAGUCCAUUUCUGUAUAUAUAUGUACAAUGUCCCUCAGAGCAAGUCAAACGAAGUCAUCCAGAUAUUGUAUACGUCUCUUUUAAGGUUACUUCCUUUACUGACAAUAGUUGUAGAUUGUUUAAUGGACAGUGCAUAUGACUAUUUGUUUGUAGAUGGAUCAAUUGCUUAUAAUGAUUGCCUAGAGAUAACGGCUAAGUGUUUGGUUCUAAUUCGAUUAUGCUCUUUUCUUCUAUGUUCAAAAGUUGUACUCUUAUGUGUUGGGAUUUCAAUAUUGUAAUAUAUUAAUUGAAGAAUACAAAAACAAAAAUAAAAUAUCUAUACACAAAGAUAUAUGAUAUUUUAAUAUGAUUCAUCAACCAACAAUACUUAUUUUCAUGGAUGAUGAAUAAUAUUCUAUUAUACAAUAGAGAAUAUUAUAGAAUAUAAAAAUAAAUACAAUUAUUGUGCCUUAAAACAUUCCAUGUUUUCUCAUUCUUUAUGGCUAUGUUUGGUUUCCGAAAAAUGCGAGAGAAAGAAAAUUGGGAGGAAAAAUGGAAGGAAAUAAAAAACUAAGGAAAGAAAUAUAAAUUUUUUCACUUGUUUGGUUAUCUAUGGAAAAUUCAAGGGAAAAAAAAAAAGAAUUCAUUUUCUUUUAUUUGGUUAACCACGAAAAAAAAGUCAAGGAAAAAUGAAAGGAAAAUAAAACCAACAAUUUGUCUUAGAUGAUUAUCAAUAUAAACUAGGGUUUCUUAUAAAUUUAUCAUUAUUACAAGUGUUGAUCCAUUUUUCACUUCAUAUAAUACCUCAUUGACUUCAAGAUACAUGAGAUUUUAAUAUGAUUCAUCGACUAACAAUGCUUAUUUUCAUGGAUGAUAAAUAAUAUUUUAUUAUACAACAGAGAAUAUUAUAGAAGAUAGAAACAAAUAUAAUUAUUGUGUUUCAAAACAUCUCAUGUUUCCCUAUAAUUUAUGUCUCUAUCCUAAACCACGAGCCUUUUUGUUCCAUUGGGUAUCUUCUACUUUUUUGCACAUUUAUGCCCUGAACUACAAGCCCUCUUACUUAUCAUUUAUUUUUCGUUCUUCUUUACAUCUUAAUCUAAGUCAUGAUAAGAAAAAUGGUUCGCUUGAAAAUCAAUCUCAACCUCUAUCAAAUCCUUCGUGAUAGGGUCUCUAUAUUUCAAUAAUAUGUACAUUUAAUCUCCUUUAUUUGUUUUGGUAACCAACCAUGUAUAGUUCCCUUUUUUGAGGGGUUAAUUUGGUAAGCCUAGGUUGUAUAUUGUAUAUGUAUUUCUUACCUUAAACAAUAGAACGACUAUCUUUGACUCUUAAAGCCUAUGUGGACUUUAUCAUAUCUCUCUUAUAACUUUUUUCUCUAAUGUUAAUUCUGUCUUUAUUUUGAAUCUAUUCAAUCAUUUCAAAACCAUAUCCAAAUAUCCCCAUCAAAUCUAAAAUUACUUUGGUCUCGCAAUAGUGAGUAGAAAAAGGAUAAAUAAAGACUAUUCUCAUUCAAUAAAUAGAACAAAUUAAAAACCCUUUCUUUUCUUUUUCUUUUUACCAUUUCUUAUUAUUUUUAGACAUUAAAAUGAAAUUUUACAGUUCUUAAUUUAAAUUUCAUUGUGAGCUCGUGUGACUCUUUUUAUUUAUCAGUGGAAUGCCCUUUUGUGACACAAACCAUAUCCAACCACGUAGUGUGUGCUGGUCUGUUUUCAUCUUCAAACAUCUAAUUCCUUCCUCGGCCCCGUCACCACAUAUUUACCUCAAUAGCCUCCAAAAUAUCCACGACUAUCCACUUGGAAAUGUGAUUUCGUUUUUCCUUUUUUUUUUUGCUCAUCAUGGUGGUCCAAUUAUGUCCAUGGUCAUGGUGCUUGUGAUCCUAUAUAGACAUAUUCUUGGGCGCAGCGAAGUCGAUUACCAUGAGCCCAAGGUAAUCGUUGAUAUUAGGAAUGUUUCGUCCCUCCCGAUAUUGACUCCUCCCGUCAUUGCAGUUUUGAGAAUCGAUUCUCACUGUAAAAAGCAUUUGAAAGUAGCUCCUUCGAAAAGGCUCGUUAUCAGGCCCAAAAUAACCAUCCCAACUCAAAGUAAUCACAAGAUUUUGAUGGAACGAUUUCUUGUCCUGCUUCCAUCAAAGGCAAGUUAGCAACUUCCUUCCAGUACAUAAACCAAAGGGGUUCAAUUAUUCAAACAGGUUCCAUUCAUUCAAGUUACACAAUCCUCUGACUUUCAACUGUUUAAUUAAAGAAACUAAUGAAGCUUACUAUUAAUUGAAUAUAUGAAGCGAUUAGAUUAAGAUAAUUUUGGUAUGCUUAAAAUUAUAAAUAAAUUGCAUUAAAACAUGGAUUUUACUCUCUUACUAUUACUAAUACAAUCAAUUUUAAGGUGACAAUGCCUUUUUUUUUUUUUGGUUAAUUUCAUUGAUCUUUCUUGAAGUUUGAGUUCUCAUUUAUAUUUUCAUUUAUUGCUCCUUUAAUUCAAAAUAAGGAAAGUAUGUCAAACUAAUGAAAAUGGAGUUUAAUAAAAUAUGGAGAUAUUUGAUUAAAAUAGUCAAAAUAAGAAUAAUUAUCUUUUGGAACAAAAACAUCCUCCAUCAAAUUAUAUUAAAAUAUUUUUUAUUAAAUAACGUAAGAAAUAUUUUCAUCCAGUUUAGAUUAUAUUGACAAUAUUAAACACAAAGUUUUUUUUUUUUUUGCUUUUUCAAAGUAAGAAAUAUUUUGAACUUUUAGACUUAGAUAUUUUUAAAAUAUAGAACGAGGUACUAGAAACAUGAGAAAAGCUCGGAGGGAUGACAAGGCCACAAAAAUGUCACACCAAAAAAAUAAGCAAGAUUAAUCUAUUUAUUUAUUUAUUUUGUAUAUGUAUUUCUUACCUUAAACAAUAGAAGGACUAUCUUUGACUCUUAAAGCCUAUGUGGACUUUAUCAUAUCUCUCUUAUAACUUUUUUCUCUAAUGUUAAUUCUAUUUUUAUUUUAAAUCUAUUCAAUCAUUUUAAAACCAUAUCCAAAUAUCCCCAUCAAAUCUAAAAUUACUUUGGUCUCGCAAUAGUGAGUAGAAAAAGGAUAAAUAAAGACUAUUCUCAUUCAAUAAAUAGAACAAAUUAAAAACCCUUUCUUUUCUUUUUCUUUUUACCAUUUCUUAUUAUUUUUAGACAUUAAAAUGAAAUUUUACAGUUCUUAAUUUAAAUUUCAUUGUGAGCUCGUGUGACUCUUUUUAUUCAUCAGUGGAAUGCCCUUUUGUGACACAAAUCAUAUCCAACCACGUAGUGUGUGCUGGUCUGUUUUCAUCUUCAAACAUCUAAUUCCUUCCUCGGCCCCAUCACCACAUAUUUACCUCAAUAGCCUCCAAAACAUCCACGACUAUCCACGACUGGUGUGAAGAAAUGGAGAGAAGGGGGGUCGAGAGAGAGAGAGAGAGAGAGAGAGAGAGAGAGAGAGAGGGAGAGGGAGGGAGGGAGGGAUGUUAGAGAGAGAAUAAAAAAGAUAAGAGAGAGGGAGAGGUGUCAGUCCGGUGUCUGCCGGAGUGGUGCGAUGGCGGCGGCUGGUCGAAAUGUGAAAAAGAAAUAUGCUUGAAAUAAAUGUUAGAGAAGGGCCUGCAGCAAAUUUUGGGUCUACACUCGUCUUACGUGGAGUUUGCUUUUUGUUUCAAAUCGGAAUAAACUUGAACUUGAACUUAAACUUAAAUAAAGAUUAAUAUCAUCAAGUAUUUAAACUGUUUAUUUUUCUACUGAUGUAAUAUGGAAAACAGUGUUCUCCAUAGGGGUUUGUUGGACGUCAAGAUCACAGGGUUUUUAGGUCUGGCAGAGGAUACUGAUUUUUUCCCUCUCUUGGUGCCUUGUAUAGUCAAGGGUCCAUAUGUCUAUCAUCUUCAGUUGCAAUCUAGCUAGAAUUGGAAAUCAUCAGUGCUUCAGCAAUCAGCAAUACCCUUUUCUACAGUCCACACCCAUGUUAAAACUCAAGCCCUUAGAAAAAUCAUUAGUCCGUUUCUGCAUAUAUAUGUACAAUGUCCCUCAGAGCAAGUCAAACGAAGUCAUCCAAAUAUUGUACAUGUCUCUUUUAAGGUUACUUCCUUUACUGACAAUAGUUGUAGAUUGUUUAGUGGACAGUGCAUAUGACUUUUGUUUCUAGAUGGAUCAAUUACUUAUAAUGAUUGCCUAGAGAUAACGGUCAAGUGUUUGGUUCUAAUUCGAUUAUGCUCUUUUCUUCAAUGUUCAAAAUACUUAAUUCAAAGGUGCAUAGAUAAAGAUACACAGAAUGUUGUUUCUUUUUCCACCCUCGUGUCCUAAAUGGGACUUUCUUUGGAUUGUGGAUAUGGGAGUAUGCUCUUAGAGCAUUCACCACUGUGGGAUCCUUUUUUAUUGUACAUAUCAUGAGUGCAUCAUUUAGGGAGUAGGAUUGAGGCAUGCCUUGAUUUAAUUAGCUCUUAUGUUAUCUGUUGAGUUGUUUUUCUAGUAUUGCUAUCAUCAACGAAAGAGUGCUCUUGAACUACAUUUUUGUUUUUCUAGGAUUUGCAUAUAUACUGUUCAUACCAUAAAACAUAUUUUUUUAAUAUUAAUUUUUUCUAACAUUGGUAUUAGACCCAAGUUGUACUCUUAUGUGUUGGGAUUUCAAUACUGUAAUAUAUUAAUUGAAGAAUAUAAAAAAUAAAAAUAAAAUAUUUAUAUACAAAGAUAUAUGAGAUUUUAAUAUGAUUCAUUAACCAACAAUGCUUAUUUUCAUGGAUGAUAGAUAAUAUUCUAUUAUACAAUAGAAAAUAUUAUAAAAGAUAGAAACAAAUACAAUUAUUACGUCUCAAAACAUCUCAUAUUUUCCCACUAUUUAUGUUUUUAUCCUAAACCAUGAGCCUUUUUGUUCCACUAUGUAUCUCCUACUUUUCUUCACAUUUAUGCCUUGAACUACAAGCCCUCUUACUUAUCAUUUAUUUUUCGUUGUUCUUUACAUCUUUAUCUGAGUCAUGAUAAGAAAAAUUGUUCGCUUGAAAAUCAAUCUCAAUCUUUAUCGAAUCCUUUGUUAUCAAGUCUCUAUAUUUCAAUAAUACAUACAUUUAAUCUCUUUUAUUUGUUUUGGUAACCAACCAUGUAUAGUUUCCUUUUUUGAGGGGUUAAUUUGAUAAGUCUGUAACGAUAACUAGGUUAUAUACUGUGUAUAUAUAUUUCUUACCUUGAACAAUAAAACGAUUAUCAAAGCCUAUGUCAACUUUAUCAUAUAUCUCUUAUAACUUUUUUCUCUUCUAUUAAUUCUGUCUUUAUUUUGAAUCUAUUCAAUCAUUUCAAAACCAUAUCCAAAUAUCCCCAUCAAAUCUAGAAUUACUUUGGUCUGGCAAUAGUGAGUAGAAAAAGGAUAAAUAAAGGCUAUUCUUAUUCAAUAAAUAGAACAAAUUAAAAACCCUUUCUUUUCUUUUUCUUUUUACCAUUUCUUAUUAUUUUUAGACAUUAAAAUGAAAUUUUACCGUUCUUAAUUUAAAUUUCAUUGUGAGCUUGUGUGACUCUUUUUAUUCAUCAGUGGAAUGCCCUUUUGUGACACAAACCAUAUCCAACCACGUAGCGUGUGUUGGUCUGUUUUCAUCUUCAAACAUCUAAUUCCUUCCUUGGCCCCCUGUCACCACAUAUUUACCUCAAUAGCCUCCAAAAUAUCCACAACUGUCCACUUGGAAAUGUGAUUGGUUUUUCCUUUUUUUUUUUUUUUGCUCAUCAUGGUGGUCCAAUUAUGUCCAUGGUCAUGGUGCUUGUGGUCCUAUAUAGAGAUAUUCUUAGGCGCAACGACGUCGAUUACCAUGAGCCCAAGGUAAUCGCUGAUAUUAGGAAUGUUUCGUCCCUCCCGAUACUGACUCCUCCCAUCAUUGCAGUUUUGAGAAUCGAUUCUCACUGUAAAAGGCAUUUGAAAGCAGCUCCUUGGAAAAGGCUCGUUAUGAGGCCCAAAAUAACCAUCCCAACUCAAAGUGAUCACAAGAUUUUGAUGGAACGAUUUCUUGUCCUGCUUCCAUCAAAGGCAAGUUGGCAACUUCCUUCUAGUACAUAAACCAAAGGGGUUCAAUUAUUCAAACAGGUUCCAUUCAUUCAAGUUUCACAAUCCUCUGACUUUCAGCUGUUUAAUUAAAGAAACUAAUGAAGCUUACUAUUAAUUGAAUAUAUGAAGCGAUUAGAUUAAGAUAAUUUUGGUAUGCUUAAAAUUAUAAAUAAAUUGCAUUAAAACAUGGAUUUUACUCUCUUACUACUACUAAUACAAUCAAUUUUAAGGUGAUAAUGGCUUUUUUUUUUUUGUUAAUUUCAUUGACAUUUCUUGAAGUUUGAGUUAUCAUUUAUAUUUUCAUUUAUUUCUCCUCUAAUUCAAAAUAAGGGAGGUAUGUCAAACUAAUGAAAAUGGAGUUUAAUAAAAUAUGGAGAUAUUUGAUUAAAAUAGUCAAAAUAAGAAUAAUUAUCUUUUUGGACAAAAAUAUCCUCCAUCAAAUUAUAUUAAAAUAUUUUUUAUUAAAUAAGAAAUAUUUUCAUCCAGUUUAGAUUAUAUUGACAAUAUUAAACACGAAGUUGUUUUUUUUUUUUUGGCUUUUUCAAAGUAUUUGAACUUUUUGACUUAGAUAUUUUUAAAAUAUAGAACGAUAGAAACAUGAGAAAAGGUCGGAGGGAUGAAAUGCCCCCAAAAAUGUCACACCAAAAAAAUAAGCAAGAUUAAUUAAUUAAUUUAUUUAUUUUUCUUUAAGGGUCUUCUGGUUGAUUUGCUAAUUAUGGGGGGUGGAAAUAGCGGCAGAAAGGGUGAUGAUGGUGCCAUUGCAAUUGCGAUUACUGGUUUAUGCCUCUUCUGAAAGAGCAGUGAAGAUAAUCAUUGGUGAGAGUGAUGGGGACUGACGGCGGCGGAGCUCUCAAACAGCGGUGGCGGCCGUGGCAUUAUGCUGCUUGAAGAUUGGUGUUGAUUCUUGAUGUUUCAAACUCGUAGCCUUUAAUAAUGCUAUUACACCAUCAAUCAUUUAAUCCAAAAUGUUUAAUACUUAAGGUUGUGAUAAAUAUUACAUCUCAGGCCCAAGCCCACUAAAGAUGGUUUUUGCAUCAAUGAGCCCUGAUUUCUAAGCUUUCCACAAAAUGUUUUAGAUUAGUUUUGCCUGAAGCACCAUACUCCAUAGAUUCCACUGCCAAUCCUUUCCAUUUUUUAGCAUUUCUUCUCAUCGCAUCCCCUUUCUCUCCACCUUCCAUCACCAUCUCCAAACAUUUUUUGAUCUCUCAUUAGGUGAUCUUAAACAUUUAUGAUUAUGAAAUUUAUGGUCAUUAUAAUUUUUUCAAUUGAAUUUGAUAUAUGUCAUUUGCAGUUAAGGGUAUGUUGGUUGAUCAUGAUAUAGGCAUAUGGAAGACUCAAGAAUUGGAGAGAGAUUGAUAGCAUGUCUUCAAAUCAAAUGAUAAAAGAACAAAUAAAGAGUUGAAAGAAAUUGUGGAUUACAAAUUUUAGGGUUCAAAACAACGGGAAUUGUAGAUGUACAAUAAUUGGGUGAGCUAAAAAAUAGACCUAAACCAACACAACCAAUCCAAUUACCGAAGUUUCAUUCCUCCUAAAAGUAAAUGUCCAAGAAAAAAUUCCCUAAUUCUUGCUUGUUCAUUGAUUUUUUUUCUUUUAUUUUCUAGCUAUCAUUGAAAACAGGAUAUGUUUGUAUUCUUUUUCUUUCACCUUUCGUAAAAAAAAUCCUCCUAUUGUCAACUUUUAAAAAAAAAAAAAUUAAGAUUAUAUAUAUAUUUUAAUAAAAAAUGAUAAUACAAAGAAACAGAACAAGAUAAAGAUGGAGGAUGUUUAAAGGACCAAAGGAAAAGUUUCUCAUUUAUCUUCUCUCGAGGGUCUCUAAAGGUACCAAAUAAAAAUUAUCUCAUUUAUCUUCUCUCUGUUUUUAAAAAUUUUAAAUUAUAUAAAUAUCCUUGAAGUUAAGGUAGGAAUGUUACAUGCAUAGAGUUUGUACUCCAUUUAUUUAUUUUCCCCCAGAAGUUUAGUAAAACCUCUCACAAUAUUUUAAACAAAUGAACUAGGCUUUGACUUGGUUUAAUUGAACAUUGUUUAUGCGGGAGUUUUCUAUAAAAUUUUGAUGAAAAUUUUUAAUAAAAGAGAUUAUUUGAUAUUUGAGCAUUGAUUAGGGUAAUAUUGUUUUAAAAAUAUUUAGGGACUAAAUUGACAUGCCAGUAAAAAUAUAAAAAAUGAUUUUUACAAUAUGCUCUAAAUUAAAUAAAUGAAUUUGAAACUCCUCCCUAUCCUUUUUCCUUUAACUUCCAAAACCAUAUGUAACUGCUUUCAUUUAUCUCCUUAUCCUUUUUAAUAAAUGAAUGAUUAGAAUAAAAAACCAGACCAAUAUAUAUAAGCCCAAAAGAAACAAAGCCCAAACCCAACAAAUAAAACAAACUAGGCCCAAAAUCAAAUAUACAAAGCCCAAACCCAAAACAAAUAUGAUAGCCCAAGGCUACAAAUACAUCUAAGAGCAAUUCAAAAUAAUAUCCAAGAACCCCAAUACCCAUAAACAUGAAUCAAUUAGGGAGAAUUGUGUUUUAGGCCCAGUGGGGCCCAAAAAUUAACAUUUGGUCCAUCAAUCAUGCAUAUUUAAGCCAAAGACCCAAAUAAAGAAUGAAAAUUAAGAUGAAGGAUAUUGUCUUUCAUUAAUUCCUAAAAUACCCUUAUCCCUUAUGUGAGUGUGAAUUUCAAUUUUUUUUAUGUUUUUUUUUUUUUGCUUUUCCAUUCCCUAUUAAGUAUUACUCAUUUCUAACUUUUUUUUUUCUUUUUAUUCCAAUAUAUAUUUCUAUUUUAUGUCAAAUAAAAAAUAAUAAUGUUUUUUUAUUUUUCAUUUUUAAAGAUAUUGAAUCUUUUUGCUCUUAUUAAAAACAAUGAUAAAAAUUUUGGGAUUUUUCAUCCAAAUAUUUUUUAUUUUUUUGUAUUUAUCUUUUAGUUUAUUUUUUAUUUUUUAUUUUAAAUUUAUAUUACCCUUUCAUUUAUAUUUUUCUCUUAUUUUUAAUUAUUUUUUAUAUUUUCUACAUUAACCAUAUUUUAAAAAAAAUUUAAAAUUGACUAUCACUUCACUUUAUUAUAUAUAUAUAUAUAUAUAUAUAUAUAUAUAUAUAUAUAUAUAUAUAUAUACUUUUUAGCUUUUUAAUUUUUAAUGUUUUUAUUUUAAAAUUUUUAAAAAGAUAAAUUUAUUGAAAAAAAUAACUAAGAUAUGAAGUUCUAAUAUUAUAUUAAUAAUUCUUCUUAUCUAGAUAGACUAAUGCAAAGUAUUUUGACUCACAACAAGAAAAUUGUCAAUACAAUUUUUAAGUUAAGCUUUAAAAAUUAAAUUUUAAAUAAAAUAUAUUAUAUAAAAUUUUAUCUAAAAAUUAUUGAAAGUGGUAUUUAAUUUUUUUUUUUUUUGACUUUCAAACUUAUCUAAUUUUUUUACUUGAAAGGUAAUAGAACAUGUUUACAAAAAAAAAAAAAAAAAAAUUAUUUUUUCAUUUUUUAAAUAAAUGAGUAUAAAUAUAUUAAAAGAAUUAAAGAUAAUCUUAGUAAAAAAAUUGAUAAAUAUGAUUAUAAUUUUAAAUAUAGAUUAAUUUGGAUAAAAUUUCACAAAAAAAAAAUAGUGAAAAGAAAGAACAUUGCUAAAACUACAAAAACAAAAUAUGCAAUUACAAAAUUUUGAUGAUGAAAUUUCAAAAUUAAAUUUGAAACAAUUCUUGAGUAAGAGAAUUUGAGUGGGGAAAAAAUCUUUAAGUGGAAAAAAAUAGGAAAGUUUCUCACUUGAAAUCCUUAACAAAAAGUAGUCUUGUAUACCCUUAUACAAUUAGUAAAUUUGCCUUGUACAAUUAGUGUAAUACCCUUGUACAAUAACUCAAAUUUCAUAGAUCAUUUCAUGAAUAUCUGACAAUAGGUCGGUUAACCAUGUUUGCAUUGGUUUGGUUUUAAAAAAGAAGAAAAAUUGUUGUAGAAUUUUGUUUUACAAUCAUCAUAAGUGAGGUACCUAUUCAAAUAAUCAUAUACAAGUUAGAUAAAGCGCAUGAGAUGAAUGUAUGCUUAACCAAUGUGUGUAAGGAAUGUCAUUUAUCAUCGGUUAGGGGAAAUAAACAAACAAGUUUUUCAAAACCACUUAAAAUCUUUUACAAAUAAUAGUCUUGUACACCCUUGUACAGUUAGUAUAUUUUCCAUGUACACUUAGUGUAAAUACCUUGUACAGUGACUCAAAUUCCAUAUACCUGCUACUCAAUGUAUAACCAUAGGUAGAUUAACCAUGUUUUCAUUGGUUUGUUUCAAAAAAUAGUGGAAGAUGGAAAAACAAAAUUUUCUUUCAAACAUCAUUAGUGGGAUAAGUAUUUGAAUAAUCAUGCGCGAGUUAAAUAAAAUACAUAAGAUGAAUGUGUAAUAGAGGAAUGUGUACCUUAAGAGUGUGCAAUCCUUAGAUGACAAGACAAAAAAAAAAAGUUGUCCAAAAUUGAUUAAAAUCUUUCAAUUCUUUGAACUAUGCCCUCAAAAUAUUCAAAAAUUUUCCAUUCCAAAAUAUUUUAAAAAGUGUAAAUAGGGUAAUUUGCCCAAUUAAAUUCUUCAAAAUAUUCAAAAUUUCUCCGUUCCAAAAUUACCUAAUUGCUCUCCACACCAAUCCUAAAUAUUUUUUAAUAAAGAUUUAAAUAUUUAAAAUAAUUAAAAUAAAUACUUUCUUAUUAAAGCAAUUUUUUCAAAGUAAUAAGAUAAAAAUCAUGAAAUCUUCAAAACUAUAAUUACAACAAAUAUUUUUAAUUUUAAAACUAAUUUCAUAAUUUAAAUUAAUGAUUUAAAAAAAUAAAAAUGUUAUAAAUAAUUUUUUUUAUUUUUAAUUCCAUUUAAAUGUGAUUUUUUUUAAUCUCUAUUUAUAACAAAGAAAUUAUGUUUAUAAAAGAAAAAUAGUAAAAAUGUAUAUUUCAUUUAGUUUACUUAUAAUGAACAAUUCAAACAUUAUUGAUUUUAAUUUUAUUUCAUAUGUGUUAAUUUUUGUAGGGAAUGUCUUAAUAAAAUAGUUUGGUAAAAAAAAGAAAAAAAAACUAUCAAUAAUCGUCUUAAUAUCAAAUUCAAGUUGUUUAAAAAUCAUACAAAACCUAUCAGAAGCCUUGUACACUUAGCACAUUUCUCUUGUACAAUUAGUGUAAUACCCUUAUACAAUGUCACAAAUUUCAUAUUUGUCAUAACUUAUAUGUUCAUGUAGGUGUAUUAAUCAUAUUUUCAAUUGUUUGGUUAAGAAAAUGGUAGAUGACUUAGGAUCAAAUUUUUUCCCAAAUAUCAUUAUUGGAGAAAAUAUUAGAAUUUUCAUAUGAGAGUUAAAUAAAAUAUAUGACAUAGGCAUACAAUUCUUGGGUGACAAAGAAAAAUAAAAAAGUGGUUUAGAAUAAAUUUUUCUUUUUCUUAUUUUAAUAAAUUUUCAAUUAAUUCAAAUCAUUAAAAAAAAUCCUUCAUAAACUAAUUUGUAGCAUUUCAUAUAACUUAUUACUAUAAAAGUCAUGUUCAAAAAGUUAUUAAAAUAAGGAAGGAAGAAGAUUAAAAAAAAAAAAUUGAACUUUUUAUUUUAUAAUAGUAAAAAAAAAACUUUAAAAUACUUUUUAAUAUAAAAAAAUUAAAAUAGUGAAUAUAUUUAUUUUAAAUGGUAUUUUAAUCAUUAAAUUAUUUAUUUUUAAAAUGUAAAUAAUAAAAAUAAAUGUAAAAGAUAAUUUUUAUGUAUUUAAAUUAAUAUUUUUUUAGAAAGUAUUUUCCAAAAUAGUCUUUGAAUCAUUAAUAUAAUUUUUUUAUAUUUAUAAUUUUAAAAUAAAAAAUAAUGUUAAAUUUUCAAUUAUUUACAAGAGUUCUUUUUAUAAAAAAAAUGGUUAAAUAAAAAUAGUGGCAAGUAGUAGAAUAAAGACAAAAAUGAGUCAAGUGGGUAUUUUUGUCAAUUACUAUCCCAUAUCCUUAUUAUCAAUUAUGGGUGGUUGGAGGACCAAAUGUUAAUUUUUGGGCCCAGUUGGGCCCAAAACACAAUUCUCCCUAAAUAAAUCUAAAUCAAAGCCUACUAUGGACUAGCCUUUUUCACUCGAUGAAUCCUUACUCAAAAAUGGCGAGACUUACUAUUUAGUGAGAAACUGAUUUUUAUCAUAUAUAUAUAUAUAUAAUUGUAGUUGUCACUUAUUUUUGUUUAUUUAUCGAAAGAAAAACAAAAUAAAAAAUAAAACUCUAAAAAUAACUUCUUAUUUGGAAAAACAUAUUUUUGAAAACCAAGUCCAAGUUUGAGGGUCAGGUUACCUAUUGGGAAGUCACCAUAAGGUAGCAUCCUUCUAAUCCCUAAAAUAGGUCUCUACUAAUCAAAUUGAGAUUACUAUGACAAUUGGUCAAUUAAUCAUGAAUACUAAGAAGCUAAGCCUAUAUCAAAGCAAAGUAUAGCAAAAGGCUACUCAAACAAGGCAUGCAUAUCAAAGAAUCGAAUAAAUGAGAAGGAAAUGAAAAAUGAACCAAGUGUUUUCAUAAAACAAUUGGGUUAGCUCACAAAUAAUAAUAAAUAAGGAACCAUAAGCUAGGCCUCAUAAUGAAUGUAACAUAUGCAUAUCUCAACUCAUGAAGUAAAGAAAUGAUAAGGUAUGAACAAGAGGAAAUAAGAUACAAUAAAAUAUGCUGAAAAAUUCAAACGUGACUAACAAGUUUACACUCACAAAGAUUAGUCUAAAUAAAAUACCAAAUGAGAAAUUUUGAUCCCAAGAAAGGUUUAACUAAUCCAUAUAAUAUGUCUAUAAUGUAAAUCAAGAAUAAUAAUAAAAAAAAAACACUUAUAAAUAUUUGCAAGAGGAUUGAAUUAUCAAAAUCAUGCAAAAUGUCAUUAGUAGAGCAUAACCGGGAUAUUUUCAAAAUAAAUCUUAAAUAAAUAUCUAGAGGUGUUAUUUCAUCAAAAUAAAAAAUGGACAAUAUCUUAAAUGUCUAUAUCACAAUAUAAAAAUCCAAAUUAUUUAAUUAUGUGUCAAGUAAUACCAUAUUAAAUCACACUAAAGAUACUUCAGAGAACAUUCAACAUAUGAUCAUAAUAGAGAUAUUUACAUAAUAAAUCCUAAAAAAUAUAUAUAAAAAUGGAAUUUCAUCAUAAAAAAAUUUGAAUAAUAUUUCCUGUGUCUAGAUUACAACCCAAAAGGCCAAAUUAAUUAAUUAUGCAUCAUUCAAUACUAACUUUCAUUUUACUUUUACUUUUACUACCAAAUGCAUAAGCUAAAUACCAUCCCAAAUAAAAGUAAAGAAAUAAAACACACUCAAAUUGCAAUGGAUCGAAGUCAUAGAAGGUAUGAUUAUAAAAGAAGAUGGAAAACAACUCUUAAGAGGAAUGGUGAUAAGCUUUUUAAAAGCAUGUAUCAUGGGGGAAAAAUGAAAUAUUGAAUUAAUAAAAUUUGAUUCAAAGUGAAGAUAACUAGAAAAUAUGUCAAAUUCCUAAUUGAUACAUAUUAUAUUUUUAAAGAAUAUUAUAUAAAAUAUUUCCUUAAGUUGAUAUGUUAUUAUAAUAUUAGAUUUUUUUUAUAAAAUAAAGAAAAUUAUUAUAAAUAUUUUAAUAAAUAUUAUAGGUCAUCAAAUGAGAAAGUUACAAGAUGAAGACCAAUAUAAUAUAUUUUAUGACCAAUAAUUAUAUCUAAUUUCUAUCUUUUAUAGUAUUUUUUUAAAGUAUAGAUAAAAUAUUCUAUUUCAUUUGUAGAUUGACACGAUUGGUCUAAUUAGGUAAAAACCCUAUGUAACUUUGCACAUAGAUUGUUUGUUUAAUUUCGUAUUUCGAUAUUAAUAUGUUUGUAUUAAAACUUUACUGAUAUAGUACCGGUCAUCAGUGCAACCACCAUUUCUCUCAUGACAAAAAUAGUGAGGAAAAAGACUUGGGAUAUGUGUUUGUAAAUGAACUCCUUUGCAUGGUGGAGUGCAUAGAAAGGUUGAGGCAUACAAUAAAUGUAGAUGUGGAGAGCAUCAUGGCGAGGAGUAAUGGGCACAACAAAUACUUUAAAUGUUGUCAUGUGGAUUUCUUUGACAUAAACUAUUUUAAUGACACAACAAUUAUAAGUGAAUGUUUAUAAAUUUUACUUUUUGAUUGAUUUAAUUAUAUGUGGGUAUAAUUUUAAAUACCUAUUAUUAAUUAAAAGGGUAGUUCCAACUACCUACUACUCUCUAUUUUGGCAUAGUACAAUGGAUUUAAUGCUAUUUUGUACAAGUAUUAAUCUAUAAAACUAAAGCCAAGACAACAUAAAAAAUAUUUUGUAAAAAAAGUUUCAAUCAAAGUGGUAGAUGUUUGUGUCUUAAAGCCCAACCAACUUUGUUGUCAGAGUUAAAAGUCCUGUCAAUUUUGUUGUUGGAGUUAAAAGCCCUACCAACUUUGUUGUUGGAGUUAAAAGCCCAAUCAACUUUGUUGUCUGAGUUAAAAUGAGUAGUUGGAAGUAGAUCAUAACUAACAUAAUUACUUAUGUCGAGUAAGGAUGAAAAUAUUGGUAAUCACAUAUAUAAUAAUAUUUUAAUUUUACAGAUGUAUUGAAAAUAUAUCGGUGACACAAAAUAUUGGUGGACCUAAAAUUGAUUAGAAUUUAUAGAAAUAUAUAUAUAAAAAAAAAAUCUUAGAAAUGAAACUAGAAAUAUGAUAGACAUUUUAAAGUUGUUUUGUUGAAAAAAUUGAUAUUUGUAUAAUAUAAUUUAUCAUAUUUGAUAAUUACAUUGUAUACGUCAAUAAAAAAAUAUAAAUUUUAUAAGUAUAUAUUUAUUAUUAAAUUAUAUCAAAUAUUAUUGGAUAAUAAUAUUGUGAUAUUUGAUUAUAAUAUGUCUAAUUUUAAAAUAUAUUUAAUAUUAAAAUUAUAAUCCAUUUAAUUCAAUUGUAUUAAAUGAUAUAAAAUAAAUGAUGAUAUAUGUAUAAUUUUUUUGAAUGAAUAUAAAAACAAAUAAAAUUUAGUUUUUAAGGUAUAAAUUAGCCAAAAAUUUCAUUAUAUGCAUAUAUUUAUUAUUCAAUUAUAAAGAUGACAUUCCAAAUUAUUUUAUUUUAUUUAUAAUUAAUGAAUCAGUUUUUUGAAUUUCAAAUUAUUCUUAAAAAUUACAAGAUGUAUUAAAGAAAUAUAUAUAUAUAUAUAUAUAUAUAUAUAUAUUCAAGUUUUAAAUUAUUUUUUAACAUUAUUAAACUUAUUAAUAAGGUCUUACUUCGUUUGAAAUUCAUUUUCUCUAAUACAAAAAUCAGAAGAAUAAUUUUCUAUUUUACUUUGUUUUAAAAAAUUGUUUUUAAAGAAUAACAACCAAAUAGUGAUAUAAAUUUUUUUAAAACAAUUUUUUUAAAAAAUCACACGCCCAUAUAGGUUUUUAUUAUUUGGAAAAAAUCAAGGAUAUUUUUAAAAUGAAUAUAAAAAAUUAUUUCAAACUAUGUACAAUGUGACAUUUUUUUUAAAUAAAUAUAAAAAUAAAAAAUUAUUUUAAACCAUAAGUAUGGAUAUCAUUGAAAAUUUAUUUAUUUUUUCAUUUUUAUUCCCAUUUUUACUUAAAAUUCAAAUGGAAACAAAUUAUCUUUUUUAUCUUACAUUUCUAUAUGCAUUCAAAUAAAAUAAUUAAAAUUAUCAAAUUUAUUCCUAUUUAAAAAAAUAAAAAUAAAAAUGAAAUAUUUAUUCUCAUAUUCGUAUCAAACUUGCUCUAAUAUAUAAAAUAACUGGCAAGGGGAUAGAAGAAGCUGCCGAGGAUACAACUAAAGGUGAGAAUUGGGAGUCCAAAGGAAUGUGGCAGUACAGCAUACAGGCCCGUCAUGAAUGCUACCACCAUUGCUUCCAUCCCAAACAUGGUGAGAUAAGAGGCACAUAAAAACAAGAGUAGCCAUAUCGUCCUACUAAGUUCAACUACCAGUGCCAUAAGAAAAUAAAAGAAUACAGCAGAUACCGAGAGCAUCAGGGCUAUGGUAUCCGACACAACAAAUGUUUGAAAGAUGCUUUCUUUGUUAAGAUUGCCAUCCCAUCUGUGUCGCUGUAACCACCGGGCCAGGUGAAGCCUGCCGCAAAGGCUACUGUGCCCCAUGAAAAUUUAUUCCGAGAAGAAAUAAAAUUGUCAGAAAAGUUCAACUUUCUUUUGUUCCUUUCCAUCUUAUCCACCGUUUUGUCCAAUAUGAAUUCUACAUCAUUAACUCCGAAAGAAGCAAGCAGGUGGAGGGGUGUGUCUCCUUGAGCAUCUUUCUCAUUUACAAGUCCUCUCACUCUUAAUCCAUCCUUUAUUAAUAACUC
rnacentral:lncRNA from 1 species